rnacentral:autocatalytically_spliced_intron from 1 species
AUGAACAGUGAAAACAAUCAAUUACCGUUAAUUAUCACUGAAAUGGAAAAAAGUACGGGCGAAGUUAUACAGCUGAUCCCCAACUCGAAACAAAGCAUCCAACCUAAAUCGCUUCUGCGACUGGGUGUAUUUGUUCCGACCCUGAAAGAUGGCUCUGAUUCCAUGUCCAGAGGACAUCACAUCGACGCCACCAGGGAGUUGUGCAGAAUGUCCUCUCUCUCCGGAGAAGGUUACGAGAAGAUCAGCAUUUUCGGCCCGCGCCUUGAUAUGGAUACUGAUUUUAAGGUCUGGUUAGGGAUUGUGGAUUCACUGACCAAUAAGUACCUGGAAAAGGACGGCACUGUACGAAUGAAUUUCAUUGAUUUUGCAUGCAGCUGCGGACUGGCGACAAAGCGUGUCGACUCCCGGUUACGCAAGCGAUUCAGUGACUCUCUGACGCGAAUUCAGCAUACGCAUUUCCAGUUUAUAAAGCCGUCUUCGGUUGAAGGCAAAAAAAUCAAAAUUGAUAUGAGUCUGGUCUCUACCUCUUACUAUGAUGAGGGAACCGAUGAGGUCAUCAUCAGGCCAAACCCGGACCUGAACACCCUCUACCAGGUCGAUGGUAAAACCAGGCUAUACCUUAAAAUUCUGAAAACCCUGGCACGAAAAGAGUCAGCACAGGCGCUGUACCUGUACCUUGUGGAGUUACCGGAUAACUUCUAUCGCAUUGGCUUUGACCGACUAAGGGAACGGCUGCAACUCACUGCACACAAAGGCUCUCAGAAUGCCACCAUCAAACGGGCACUGGAGCAACUGGAAGAAGCUGGCUUCCUGAAGUAUUCGAUCGAGAAAUCCCGUGGCGAUUAUGUGCUUGUCAUUCUAAACAGAAAUAAGAAAAUAGCCUGACUACUCCCGCUCUUAGCUGGCUACCACAUACAUCCCUUCUUCUCGUGCCCCCCGCACAGAUCUGAUAUCAGGUGGCAAUCAGCCACCAGCGUUGAUACCCGUGGGCGUUACAGGCCCCGUUUACCCGCCAGCGAUGAUAUCUGUGGUCGCUUCAGGCCCGGUUUACCCGCCAGCGAUGAUACCCGUGGCCGCUUCAGGCCCCGUUUACCCACCAGCGAUGAUAUCUGUGGUCGCUUCAGUACCCGCCAGCGUUGAUACCCGUGGGCGUUACAGGCCCCGUUUACCCGCCAGCGAUGAUAUCUGUGGUCGCUUCAGGCCCGGUUUACCCGCCAGCGAUGAUACCCGUGGCCGCUUCAGGCCCCGUUUACCCACCAGCGAUGAUACCCGUGGGCGUUACAGGCCUCGUUUACCCGCCAGCGGUGAUACCCGUGGGCGUUACAGGCCCGGUUUACCCGCCAGCGAUGAUACCCGUGGCCGCUUCAGGCCCCGUUUACCCGCCAGCGAUGAUACCCGUGGGCGAUGCAGAACCGGUUUACCCGCCAGCGGUGAUACCCGUGGGCGUUACAGGCCCGGUUUACCCGCCAGCGAUGAUAUCCGUGGCCGCUGCAGAGCCGGUUUACCCGCCAGCGAUGAUAUCCGUGGCCGCUGCAGAGCCGGUUUACCCGUCAACGAUGAUAUCUGCGGCCGAUGCAGAACCGGUUUACCCGCCAGCGGUGAUAUCCAUGGGUGUUACAGGCCCCGUUUACCCGCCAGCGGUGAUACCCGUGGGCGUUACAGGCCCCGUUUACCCGCCAGCGGUGAUACCCGUGGGCGUUACAGGCCCCAUUUACCCGCCAGCGGUGAUAACUUUAGGUUAAGUACUUGACAGAAAGGGGGGAAAUGUCUGAGCGACCGUUUUACUUGUUCCGGUCAUUGAGGAGAAACCAGUCAUGAAAAGCCUGUUUGUCAUCAAAGCCAGGCAUGUUAUGGAUAGACAUGUUCCAGUUGAUUAUUUUGACGAUGAACCCUAUGAAUGCCAGUUCAGCAUCAUUCAGUUCACCAUCACCUCUUUUACGUAAAAAAAAGUCGUACCAACGUUCGUAAGCCGGGACAUUGAUAGAUUCUGAAGCCUCAAGCAGGCGUGGGAUAAAAUAUACCAGCUCAUCAAACGCUUUACUUCCUGGAGGUAUAUCGGCACGGCUUAAGCUACAGAGAAGGUUUAUAGUGCACCUUAAAUGAUGCCACUGCAGAGACGGUGACGACGGUAAUACAUUCAUGCUUAUCGGCAAUUCAUGCGGGAUCAGCGCAAGAAGCUGAUUACCGCUGCUGGUGAACUCCCUCUUGUACUGGUGUAAGGCUUCAGGCUUAACCCUUUUCAUCAUUGGAUGGUAGAUCCAUUUUUUCGCUUCCUCAGAAACGAAAAGUAACUUUUCUACCGCAUCCAUCAGCUUUAUGCCUUGUCCCUUCUCCCGGUAUGGAGCGACGAUGCUUUCUAUUCGAACCGCGUCUAUCUCAACCAGCGCCAGCUGGCCGGUCUGGGCUAACAGGUCUGGAUUUGGCUGGAUGUCCUCAGCGGUAUCAUUGAUGAAGAUCCCGAUAGUUGUGUCAUUACACUGUCCGAUAAGGUCAGCAUUCAGCCCGCAUACAAUCCCACCAGCGGUGAUGUUUUUCAGUGUGACAACACCUUUUUCCUUACCGUGCAAAAGGUGUGGAAGAGCCAGGAAUUUUUUCUCCUGUAUCUUCAUCUGAAUGUAUUUUUUGAAAUGUUGUAAGGUCAGUUCACUGCAAACGCCUUUAACAUCCGUGGAGUGGCUGAAAUGCCAUUUUUUACUUUGUCCCUGUCUGGCUAUCAGUGACGUGCCACAGAUGAGGCAAAUACAGUUGCACGAAAGACCAUUUUCAACACUGGCAAUAUCAACAAUUUGAUUGGUGUCCUUAUCAAAACCAAAUGGGAUCCACUUUCGUGCAUUGCGUUUCAUGUUGGCUCCUCGUUUUAUGCAGAUAAAAUAUUCUACAUCAACUGGUUUACUCAAACCGGAGAUAACAUGAUUAACUAAAGAAUUAUUUAAAUAUCAUCAGGGAUUAGACUCCAUACAGAAGCAGGUAUUUUGUCAUAUAUUUUUUUCAUAUAAAUUUCAGCUCUUCGGUGGUCAUACGCACCAUUCAGACUGGUAAUUUCGUUUAUUGCGCCGCCUUCAUCAUUUAAUUUAUCCAGGAUACGUUCGAAAACUUUAUCAAGGGUUUCUGUUGUGCUGCAUUUUCUGAACUUCAGAAGAUAAACUUCUCUGAGGUUGCUUUCAGCUUUAGGGCUUUUCAACAACGUUGCUCCAGGACAUGUUUAGAACUCUCAAUAUGCUCGAAACAAUAAAUGAAUCCCCACAGACUGGCAAGUCAGGUAUUUAUGGUUUUUUGUGAUUGUUCCUGGCUUUGAACAAAAAUACUGUUAGUAUACUGUUUAUAAAACCAGUACUGUUAAAAGACAUGAGAUCUUCCAUGACAGAUAAAACUAAGCUGAUAGCCCUUUCUCGUCCCGAUGACAUGAGCGCACUGGAUGCGCUUAAGCUGUUACGUUUCCGACGCUACAACACGGCAAGAAGCCAGUUAAGGACCACCCGUGUCUGGUCGUCAUGGUGUGCCAAAAAUGGCCUGACGCCCUUCCCUGUGACGGCUGUUGAUGUUGAGCGUUAUAUCAACGGGCUGAAUGGUUCCGUCAAAAUGGCGACCAUUUCUCAUUUCAUUGCGUGCCUUUCGAGUGUUAACGGGAGCCUCGGGUUCCCUGACUUCCGCAACGUUCUUAUUAAGGCGCUUGUCCAGGUCUGGCGGGCGCGGGAAAAUGAGAAAAAAGUGAUUACCGGUCAGGCGCUCCCCUUUAUGGUUGCAGACCUUAAUAUACUCCGUCGGGCCCUUCAGAAGAGCGACGACAUCAGGGAUAUCCGCGAUCUGGCUAUGAUCUGGGUUGGUUUUGAAACGCUGCUGCGCAACGUGGAAAUCCGGAGGAUUAAAACCGGUGACCUCAAAUGGCAAAAUGACAAUGACUGUUACCUUCUGGAUGUAAUGCGGACCAAAACAAGCCUGUCGAGCAACCUGACGUUUCAACUUUCGCCACAGUGCAGCCGACACGUCAGGCGACUGAUUGAAACGGUGGAGUAUACGGAUACAGAAACCUUCGGGAACCGUUACCUGUUUCAACCUGUCAACGUCCAUACAAACCGGUAUUUUCCGGCCACCAGCAGUAAGCUGUCCAGAGGCAAAUCUAUAGAUAACAUGCUCCUGAAGGCUGGCUUCAAUCAGUCGUUGCUCACUCAGCUGCAGAAGGACUCACAGGUCACACGAGAGGAUGUCGGUAUUCUGUCCUCCAAUUCACUGAACCAGGCAUUUUCGCGCCUGUGGGAUAUAGCCGGUAAAGUGGGUGAUAACCGGCAGUCUGGCCGGUACAUUAAGUGGACAGGGCACAGUGUGCGAGUCGGGGGGGCUAUUGAACUGUUCAGGGACGGAUACACUCUGGAGAAAAUUACGGAGAUGGGGAACUGGUCUGAUCCGAAAAUGGUUUUCCGGUAUAUCAGGGCAUACCUUGCCAGUGAAAAAGCCAUGGUGAGCUUUAUGCGCAAUCAUCUUGACGAUAUAUAACCAUAGCCCGGGGAUGCCUGUAAACAGGUGUUAACGUGCUAUGGGGUUAAUGAAACGUCGUUAAAUAUUAAUCUCCUUUAAACCGGUUAAUACAAAAUUACCUUUUUCAGAUAGAGUGUCGAAGUCAUUCAGACUGAACUCAUGGGUAUGAAACCAGACAACACGACACGUAGGACAGGUAACCGGUAAUUCAUCUUCGCCUAUUUUCUCGCAAUUAUGGAUAAUUUCACCCUGCUCAUUCCUGUCGAUAUUAUAACCACUUGUGCAGAGUGUUUCAUACCCAUGUGCACCUGUGACAAUAUGAGUGGCUGUUCUUUCUUUAACCUCUCCAUUUAUUUUUAUCUGUUCGCGGGUGGUAAUUGUUCGUUUAUUGUUCACUGUGCCUCCUGAACGAAUGUGGUAAUAUUAUGAUACUAAUCUUGUAUUAACUCUUUCUUCGGUCGGGGAAACGCCUCAGGAAGGACCACGCGAUCAAGAAAUUUAAAAAGCUCAUCACCUUUCAGAAACGUUCUUGAACGGAGUUCAUUUACCAUAUCGUUGUGUACCGAGCGAUUAAUGUCAAAAAAAAGAUCAAGCAUUAACUGCUGCUCCGCUUUGAGAGCUAUCAAUUUACUCUCAUUAUGCUCUACCUGUUCUUUCGUUUUUGGAUGCAUGUGAUAUAUGCCACGGGUAAGGUUAGACAGAUAAGAGUCUGCUGUUUUCAACCAUCGGGCAUGAUCAUUGGAGCUCCCUAAUGAUUCAUGACCGGUAUGUGAGCGUUCCCCGGCAUUCCCGGCCAACAGUAACAGCAUGAACCAUUCAGCCAUUGUUUUUUCAUCAAGGUUAUGAGGCUUUAAGCCAUCCUGUACAUAACCCAGUGAGCCCGAAUUAUCCGCUUUAGCCUUAGCCACGACCAAAAGAUUUGAUGGGUACUCAUCAAAAGCAGCGUAUACCAUCGCAUGACCCGCUUCAUGUGCGGCGAUAAAUAACCGGUCCUGAACCGUAACCCUGGUCGUUACAGGAGUGCCGUAAGAAUAGUUGCCAUGAUCAUGCCGCAAGGGAUUGCAAUAUGAUAUGCCGGUUUUCGAACAGGUUAAAAUAAAUUGAGUGAGAGCAAUGACAAAUAACACACUAAUAGCCAGGUUCGGUGUAUCGAUGAGCUUGUCACCGAAAAUGCCAAUGGCAGACAGAACAGCAAUAUACGCGGUAGACCCGUAUAACAAUGAGGGGUAUGUGUUCGGGGAAAGAUAUAAUGGAUAAAUAAGUAUACAGAAAAGUCCACUAAUCAUAACAAAUUUCUGGACUAACACCGCGUCAUAGUGUUCUGGGGUGCGGAAUAAAUGCAGAGACACCCACAUUAUUAAGCUGCAUGCUCCCAGCCGUCCUGUUUCCUUCAGUAUGCGGCCGUAAGGAAGAAAGACAAAGAAAUGCCUUAACUGUCUCCAGAAUCGCUUCUGGCGAGUUUCACGAAGAAAAUUUUCAAAUAAUUUCAUUAUUUAUCGCUUUUGCUCUGCCUUUUCGGUUUUCCGUUGUUUUUUCAUUCUCCGUUUUUCCUUGAUACCCGCCAGGGUGUAAAGAACAACUGAAGCAAUGAAAUUUACCAGCGCAGCAAAUUCUACCCCCAGAUGAAUCACUGCCGGUGUGAUGGGUAAGAAUAAAGCCACAAGAAGCAGAAUAAAUGAAAUGAUACACCGUAAGGCCUUCCCUUCCCUACCGUCACCCUGAUUAUUAUGGUUCGCACCGGCACCGAUUUUGCUUGUCAAAAAAUUCAGGCCGUACGCACACAGGGCGGUUACGACCAUGAAAAUUGCAUAAUUCAUUAUUCCUCCUGGGGUUUUAAUCUCAGCCUGACCACAUUGACCAGUUUCUUAAUGCCGUCCUCGCCUGGAACAAACACAUAGCGAUACCUCGGCCAUGUAGUGUGAGUAAAAACCUCACCAGCUGUUUUCAUAUCAAGUGGCAAGAAUCUUUCUGUCAUGCUCUCUGGUAAUUUAUCUACGGAGAUCAUCCCUUUCCUGAAACUUUUAACCAUCAGAGCAAGCGGGGUUUUGCAAUUUUUAUUACUCAUGGUUUCUGUGUAACGGAUCAUCCCUCCCAUCGUGACCUGAACUUUACCGAGUUCACAAUCAAACAAUGGCAUCACAGGCCAGAAAGGAAUUUCAAGACUCGUGCUGGUCAGAGCUUGUUCGUAGCCCUGCUCACUGGUUUCCACCGUUGUGUUAAGUCCCGGGAACAGAGCAUGCAUAAACCGGAUGACCUUGACCACCCCGGGUGUACUGGCUUUGCGCUGAUAGAUAUCAGGCAACCACGGCGAUGUACUGGCCCAUAAGGUAGUUGAGGCAUAGACCUGUUUCUCCAUAUGCCACAGAAGGGAGGGAUCCGACAGAAAAUGAUGGACUGUAAGCAACUCAGCCAGGAAUCUGUCUUCACUCGGUUGUGUCAUGGCAUGUUUAAAACUGAUCUGAACCCGGAAACGUUCCUUAGCGUUCAGAAACGAUAUUCCGCGACUGACCGCAACCUCGUAUCGCCUGUUGGCCGGGUCCGCAUGACAAAUACCGGUUAAAAUCCGGUUCAUGCCAACUCCUUAAUCACUUCUACCAGCCCGAUGCGGGGCAGGACAGAACGAUAUUUUUCUUCAAAAUUCCCGCGCUUCUGCCUUUCACCUUUUUCGUAAUCUUUUAACGGGUUAAAGCGGCCCGGUUCACUGAACAAAAUUAAAGGUAAAGGUGCCCGGAAGUUAAGUUUGUACGGUCCGGACAGGUCAUCAGGAUCAUCAGGGCUGGUGUACCGGAUAUUGACGUUAACAGCAGGAAAGUUACUUUCCCGAAUGAAACGAAACUUCCUCAGCUGCUCAUCUUCAUGACAGGCCUCUUCAUUGAGCGCUGACAACAUCAUGAUUUCCUCAAUGCGCUCCUGCUUCAGUCGCUUAACAUCCUGUAAUGUCAGACUGAUAUCGGGCUUUAAUUCCGUUAGUUCCCUGCGUAAGCGAUCAAUAACCGUUUCCAGACGAGUGAACUUAUGAACGACCGGAAUUUGCCAGGUGAAACCGAGAGUGCGAAUUUUCUGAGUCACUAUGCGGAUGUUACGUGAUACCUGCAGGGUUACCAGCCACGGGCAGACCUGAUGCAGUAUUUCUGACCGGGUGUCCUUAUAUUGAGUGAUACCUUUGACCACAUCAGCGAAGUUGUCACGAAGGCGGUUGAUUUCACCCACCAGCUCAGUCACCAGGUCAUGGUUGUUGUUGACUACAAUAUACCCGGGAUAUUUACGGGUGAUUUUAGUUGAAUAAGGUUCAUUUUUGGCCUGGCUUUUAUCAACCCGCUGCUGCCGGUAGAUAUCUACCAGGGUAUCGAGAUCGGGCUCCGAGUGAGACACUUUAAUAUACUGUGGCGGGUCAUAUUCCUCCACGCUACGUGGCUCCGGGAGCGAAGCAAGGUAAGUUGACCCGAUAUCGCUGUCCCGGAGCAAACUGUGCAGAUCAUCGAGUUUGCGUAGUUGCUCUUCAUUGUAAUGUGCGAAGUCAGUAUUCAUAUCUUCUCCCGUUUCAGGUGACCAACGUUGGACGGUAGACGCUAAAUGAACUCAGGUAAAGUCUUAAACGUGAGCCACACCGGAAGCCGACGUCCGUCCUGACACACCCGAAUCAACCGGUAUCGAGUUUUCUCCAUUGACACAAGCCAGUAACCAGCAGGGACAGGCCGGUUAAUCGUUAUCAGCUUCAGUCCGUAAAACCCACACGAAAUUAACAUGCGCCCGUCGUGCUCCCUGAAAAUGAAACUGAAGGAGGGAUAAAGCAGCCAGAAUGCCGUCAGGUAAAUGUACCAGGUAUAAGGGACCGUUAGCUGCAGGAUUUCAUAGUUACGCACCGUCGCUGUAAUGAGUCCAAGGCUUAAUAUUGCCCCUAUACCUGCAUAGAGUUUAAACGAUGGACUUUCGUAGUUCUUCCAGGUAAUGCUUCCAAUACGGUGCACUUUACACAUCGUCUUGCCUCACUGAAAUUGUAUUUGGCCUUUCAUACGGGGAAUAAUUUCCUUCUCCCACAAAGACCUGGAAUUGCCAUGCCCCCCCUGAAGUUGCAUAGCACAGACUCUGUUAAAAACGGAUAUCUCUUUCCUGAUUGCCUGGGUUUGACGAUCCGUGAGUACAAUGUAUUCCGGUACCAGUUGCAUGACACCGUUCAUCAUUUCAGCCUUCAUUAUUCCUGGGCCAUCUUUUUUGUCAGCCUCAUCGGUUUCCUUCACAUUGAAUCCAAAUGAACAAAGAAGCUGACCCUGGGCCUUAGGCCCCAUCUGGACACCCCGGCUGUCGACCGUAAAACGAACGAUCGCGUGGUCCCCCCCUUCAUCACUGGUUAUGUUUCUUACCAACAUGCUGAUUGGAGUCAUAUGUAACCAGCUGUAGAUUCCCAAAACAAUUUCUUCUUUUAAAAUCAUAUUCAAUUUGUCGGUUCUCUUUUUCUCAUUAAUGAAUAUGAAAACGGCUUUGUUGAAUAAAUCAGAUUUCGGGUAAGUCUCCCCCGUAGCGGGUUGUGUUUUCAGGCAAUACGCACGCUUUCAGGCAUACCUGCUUUCGUCAUUUUGUUCAGCGCUCGUACCAGGGCCAUAGCCUCCGCAACCUGACCAUCGUAGUCACGCAGCGUCAGUGAACCCCCGAACAGCUGUUUUACCCGGUACAUCGCCGUUUCCGCUAUCGAGCGACGGUUGUAAUCUGUUGUCCAUUUCCACCGCGCAUUACUCCCGGUCAUUCGCUGAUUCGCAACAGCACGGUUACGGUCUGCAUAUUCACCGGGCCAGUAACCCGCACCUUUUCGGGGCGGGAUAAGGGCGCUGAUUUUCUUACGCCGCAGUUCAUCGUGACACAGCCGGGUGUCGUAAGCGCCGUCUGCCGAUGCUGCCCUGAUUUUUCUGUGAGUCUGCCGGAUAAGACCCGGGAAGGCUUCUGAGUCCGUCACAUUGUUCAGCGACAGGUCUGCACAGAUGAUUUCAUGUGUUUUACUGUCAACGGCGAGAUGCAGCUUACGCCAGAUACGGCGGCGUUCCUGGCCAUGCUUUUUGACUUUCCACUCGCCUUCACCGAAGACCUUCAGCCCGGUGGAAUCAAUCACCAGAUGCGCGAUUUCACCCCGGGUGAACGUUUUGAAACUGACAUUAACCGACUUUGCGCGCUUGCUGACACUGGUGUAAUCCGGGCAGCGCAACGGAACAUUCAUCAGUGUAAAAAUGGAAUCAAUAAAACCCUGCGCAGCCCGCAGGGUCAGCCUGAAUACGCGUUUAAUGACCAGCACAGUCGUGAUGGCAAGGUCAGAAUAGCGCUGAGGUCUGCCUCGUGAAGAAGGUGUUGCUGACUCAUACCAGGCCUGAAUAGCUUCAUCAUCCAGCCAGAAAGUUAUGGAGCCACGGUUGAUGAGGGCUUUAUUGUAGGUGGGCCAGUUGGUGAUUUUGAACUUUUGCUUUGCCACGGAACGGUCUGCGUUGUCGGGAAGAUGCGUGAUCUGAUCCUUCAACUCAGCAAAAGUUCGAUUUAUUCAACAAAGCCCAUAAAAUCAUAUCAGCAACUGAUAAAAAUCCAUUCCUUAAGAUUCUUACACUUACCAUUCAAAGCGGUCGUCAACUUUCUGCUAAACAAAUUGCAGUCGCUGAGCGAAUCCUUUCAGAAAUCCACUAACCCUCAAAUGCACAAUGUCACUGUCAAAAGAUGGUGACAUUUUUUUAUUUACUCCCCUUAUCGGGAAAACCCAAAAAUUUUGCAUGAUAUUAUUCUCAUAUAGACCUAUGAGUGUCUUUGAAAAGUUACUUUCGCGGCCUCCCUCAUAAAAAGGUUCAUUAUGAAUUUACCACUAUUCUUAAAUCGUACUGCUAUAGCUGUAGGCCUUACGUUGGCUUCCGGUGUGUUAUCCGUUGCGCACUCACGUGUAUACGAGUACACCUUUACCGAUAUUAACGGGGUCCAUAAAAGUGUCUCAGAAAGCGCCCCAUAUCUUAACCCCCAGGGCAAUUUUAACGCCCUUCUCAUUGGAGGGUUAGAUCAACAAAUCCGUAUCUCCGUUUCUCGCGAUGAAGAUAACAGCUCCAUUUAUAGCACUACAACCGGCAUCAUUACUGUUGAUGACCGAAUCUCGUCUUCAAGCGGCAAUAGUUUCUACGGUAAAUCUGUCACGAUCCCCCCUCUUAGUGAUGGCCGCUACACCAUCAAAUCCGAAAUUUUAGACUCAAAAUCAGCUGUGGUAUCAACAACAACUCACCCUGUUUUUAUUGAUACCGUGGGGCCUACGUCUGAUAACUUUUCGGUUCCAUGGGUACCAGGUUAUGACAUGGUGGUAUCAGGUUCUCGAUGGGAACUUGGACGUGGUCAGGAAUCUAUAAUUUACCUCGCUGUCAAAAACAUCAAUGAUUUGUCAGGUUUUGAUAAAGCGGUAGUUCAGAUCAUUAAACCCGGUGGCUCCGUAUACUCAAGUUAUACAAUGUCUUACGAUGAAGGCUCUAAAGGUGCAACAGCCCCUAUUACUAAAAGUGGCAUGAAUAAAGCUGACUGGAUGCCUGUUUCAGACGCUGAUACUGACUUUAAAUUUCGCGGCUUACUCUAUGAUAAAGCUGGCAACGUCUCUCAGGUUCCAGACCAGACCUUUGUAUUCGACUCAUCGCCGGGAGAAAGUGAAUUAUUUGCAGUAGAAGAUCCAACUGCUACAACAAGCGUCAUACCUGGUUUCGAAAAAGGAUAUGUUAAAUACACUGCUGGUAUGACUGUAGAUACAAACCCAGUUACUCUUAUUUAUAGAUUACCAAGGACAAAUUAUCGUGCAAAUAAUAAAGCGGGAUUAUCUUUUGGUUCCCUAUUAACUGAAUCUAAUGGUUACGUUUAUAUCAAGCAGACUAUUCCUGUUGGAACAUCAUUUGUUAUUCAUAACGGAUAUCAAUAUGGCGGAGGAAAUUCUUCAUAUAACGUUAAACUGGGAGAGAACGCUCCAAAAUCACCAGUAAUCAGAUCAAGACUAAUGACUUUCUCAACAGUAGGCAGUUUUGACUAUGGUCAGAAGCUUUUUAAAAAUGAAGAACUGCCUGGUGAAUAUCAAACUGCAUCUAUAACUGUUGACGCAAGGGAUUAUGUACAAUCUUUUUACAAUGCAACACAAGCAAGGGAAGUCUGCUCAAUACCCGUUGGAGAAACAACAUGCACUGGAACUUUUUCCUACAAAAUUAAUAAAGGAAAUGGUUACAUUGCGCAUUAUUUCUUAGUGCGCAGUCCUGAUAAGAAAUUAACUUCCGACCAAUUUGAAAUUAGAAGUAUUUGGAAUACAGAUUUAAUUCCAAAAAUUACAGGAUUUGAUUAUAGAGAAGCUAAUAAAUCUAUUCUGGUCUAUGUUACUCAACCUGGUAAUGGUAACUGGAGAGAAGUAUUGAGGUUAGCUAGUGUCGAACUUUUUGACACAUUAUCUGGAACGUCACUUUUAGCCGGUUCAAAAGUGGCAAUGUCAGGUGAUGAUUAUACCUAUGCCCUUGAUUUAUCGAAGUUACCAGAAGGGAAGUAUGAUCUUGCAUUCAGAGCAAAAGAUACAUUUAAUAAUACUUCCCAACUUCCUUUUAAGUCUAUUGUUGUGGAUAAAACGCCCCCUUCUCUCUCUAUCUCUUAUGAUGGCGCACCUCUAAUAUCUGAAAGUACGGUGUACGGAUUAGAAAACAUAUCAGUAUCUGUAACUGAUUCAUUGAGCGAAUCGAAGAUUUACCAAAUGGUUCUUCAAGGCGGACCUACAUCUGAUGAUGUUGAAUUAGGUUUUACUAAAAAUACGGAUGGAACCUAUACCCCACUCUAUCCAAGAUUAUUUCCGUCUCUCGAUGAAACAACAGAUAAAUACACCCUUUUAGUUAAAGCUAUAGAUGAUGCAGGUAACAUGUCAUCUAAAUCUAUCCGCUUUGCCUACUACCCUAAGAACCUUAUUGUUCUUGAUAAACUAAAUACCCUGGCAGUCAAUAAGGCGAUAAAAUUAUCUUCUGGUGAGCCAUUAGCCGUUCUUAAAGCAAGCCAGUUGCGUCGUAAUGAUGGUUCGCUUGCAAAAGGCGUCCAAACAGCACUAAUUACUGUAAGGGGUGAUUCAGCAUUCCCAAUUAGUGUUAUUGGCAAUGUUGUAGCCCCUGGAGAAACAAAGGAAAUUCAAAUAGAUUUAGGUGCUGUUGGAAACGAUGUAGUGAUCCCAAUAUUCCCUGGUAUUAAUGGUGUUGUUGGUUCAUCUGGAUUUAUAGUUGAAUUUCCGCAACUCAAAUAAACUUAUAUUCACUCAUAAAAACCAGUUCAUGUGACUGGUUUUUUUUAUUUUUAUUAACAGUUUUAUUUCAAUCCCUACCCUUUAAUCGCUUUAUGAUAACCGCUCAGGCCCUCCCCCUGUUCGCAGUCCUGCUUCGGGAGGCCGGGCGGCUUUCUGAUACCCCGGCAGGACAAAACAACCCCCUUGUUCGCAGUUCUGCUCCGGGUGGCCCAGCGGCUUUCUGAUACCCCGGCAGGACAAAACAACCCCCUUGUUCGCAGUUCUGCUUCGGGAGACCCUGCGGCUUUCUGAUGCCCCGGCAGGACAAAACAACCCCCUUGUUCGCAGUUCUGCUUCGGGAGGCCCAGCGGCUUUCUGAUACCCCGGCAGGACAAAACAACCCCCUUGUUCGCAGUUCUGCUUCGGGAGGCCCUGCGGCUUUCUGAUGCCCAGUAGGUCAACCCGACAUCUUUGUUAACUGCUUUGCUUCAAGUAGCCCUGUAGCUUUGUGAUCGCCCGGUGUGACAAAACAACCCCCUUGUUCGCAGUCCUGCUCCGGGAGCCCCAGCAGCUUCCUGAUAGCCAGUCACAUUAAAACAACCCCCUUGUUCGCAGUCCGGCUCCGGGUGGCCCAGCGGCUUUCUGAUACCCCGGCUGGACAAAACAACCCCCUUGUUCGCAGUUCUGCUCCGGGGGGCCCUGCGGCUUUCUGAUCCCCCGGCAGGACAAAACAACCCCCUUGUUCGCAGUCCUGCUCCGGGAGGCCCUGCGGCUUUCUGAUGCCCAGUAGGUCAACCCGACAUCUUUGUUAACUGCUUUGCUUCAAGUAGCCCUGUAGCUUUGUGAUCGCCCGGUGUGACAAAACAACCCCCUUGUUCGCAGUCCUGCUCCGGGAGCCCCAGCAGCUUCCUGAUAGCCAGUCACAUUAAAACAACCCCCUUGUUCGCAGUCCGGCUCCGGGUGGCCCAGCGGCUUUCUGAUACCCCGGCAGGACAAAACAACCCCCUUGUUCGCAAUGCUGCUUCGGGUGGCCCAGCGGCUUUCUGAUACCCCGGCAGGACAAAACAACCCCCUUGUUCGCAGUUCUGCUUCGGGAGGCCCUGCGGCUUUCUGAUGCCCAGUAGGUCAACCCGACAUCUUUGUUAACUGCUUUGCUUCAAGUAGCCCUGUAGCUUUGUGAUCGCCCGGUGUGACAAAACAACCCCCUUGUUCGCAGUCCUGCUCCGGGAGCCCCAGCAGCUUCCUGAUAGCCAGUCACAUUAAAACAACCCCCUUGUUCGCAGUCCGGCUCCGGGUGGCCCAGCGGCUUUCUGAUACCCCGGCAGGACAAAACAACCCCCUUGUUCGCAAUGCUGCUUCGGGUGGCCCAGCUGCUUUCUGAUACCCCGGCAGGACAAAACAACCCCCUUGUUCGCAGUUCUGCUCCGGGUGGCCCUGCGGCUUUCUGAUGCCCAGUAGGUCAACCCGACAUCUUUGUUAACUUCUUUGCUUCAAGUAGCCCUGUAGCUUUGUGAUCGCCCGGUGUGACAAAACAACCCCCUUGUUCGCAGUCCGGCUCCGGGUGGCCCAGCGGCUUUCUGAUACCCCGGCAGGACAAAACAACCCCCUUGUUCGCAAUGCUGCUUCGGGUGGCCCAGCUGCUUUCUGAUACCCCGGCAGGACAAAACAACCCCCUUGUUCGCAGUUCUGCUCCGGGUGGCCCUGCGGCUUCAUGACAACCCCACAGGGUAAAACAACCCCCUUGUUCGCAGUCCUGCUCCGCGUGGCCCAGCGGCUUUCUGAUACCCCGGCAGGAUAAAACAACCCCCUUGUUCGCAGUCCGGCUCCGGGUGGACCAGCAGCUUUCUGAUUGCCCGGCAGGACAAAACAACCCCCUUGUUCGCAUUGCUGCUUCGGGUGGCCCAGCGGCUUUCUGAUACCCCGGCAGGACAAAACAACCCCCCUGUUCGCAGUCAUGCUCCGGGUGGCCCAGCGGCUUUCUGAUACCCCGGCAGAGCAAAACAACCCCCUUGUUCGCAGUCCUGCUCCGGGUGGCACAGCGUAUUCCUGACAGACUGGCAUGACAAAACAACCCCCUUGUUCGCAGUCCGGCUCCGGGAGGCCAGGCGGAUUUCUGAUAUCCCGACAGAGUAAAACAACCCCCUUGUUCGCAGAUCUGCUCCGGGUGGCCGAGCGGCUUCAUGACAGCCAGACAAGACAAAACAACCCCCUUGUUCGCAGUUCUGCUCCGGGUAGCCCAGCGGCUUCAUGACAACCCGACAGGGUGAAACAACCCCCUUGUUCGCAGUCCGGCUUCGGGUGGCCCAGCGGCUUUCUGAUACCCUGACAAGACAAAACAACCCCCUUGUUCGCAGUGCUGCUACGAGUGGCCCAGCGGAUUCCUGAUACCCCGGCAUGACAAAACAACCCCCUUGUUCGCAGCCCGGCUUCGGGUGGACCAGCGGCUUUCUGAUACCCCGGCAGGGUAAAACAACCCCCUUGUUCGCAGUCAUGCUCCGGGUGGCCCAGCGGCUUUCUGAUACCCCGGCAGGGUAAAACAACCCCCUUGUUCGCAGUCAUGCUCCGGGUGGCCCAGCGGCUUUCUGAUACCCCGGCAGAGCAAAACAACCCCCUUGUUCGCAGUCCUGCUCCGGGGAAACUCUGCGGCUUUCUGAUGCCCAGUAGGUCGCCACCCUGUGUCUUGUACACAGUCAAUAUCAGGAAUGGACGAUGAGGGUUUGGGAGGGUAGGGGAGGGAGGGGGAGAAAUCGUGAUCAUUGGACAUGAAAAAAAGAUGCGUAAUUUUAAAUGUUAGGUAUAAGACCUAGCAUGAAAGCUGUAGAAUUUACCAAAUCGGAAUAUUUUUACAGUUAUUGAUUAUUUUCCUUUUAUAUCAAUAUUUUGAAUUUAGGUUGUACACAAGACGAACAAAUUGAAUUGUGCGCGAAAAGUUAUUUUGAGCGCUAAAUGCGUUAAAUGUGCAUUACAAUGCACUUUUAACUUGUAAUGCGCUCAAGCCUCAUUAAUAAUGUGAAAACUAACCUAAGGAGAUACCAUGAGCAUACUAGAUGAUAUUCGUACGAUCGGCCUGAAAAUGAAAAAUGAACAAGCAAGCCUUAAGGAAAUUAUCCUUGAGUCAAGCCGGGUAGAUGUUUCUGAUGAACAGGUCGAUGGAUUAGACCGUCUUAUCUAUAACCACUGUUUAAAUAAAAAAACUCUCUCUGAUUUCUUUGGUAAAUCAAGAAAUACAUUUAGUAGAAUUCUUUCCGAACUACAUGAGAAACAGGUAAUUGGGGAACCCAUUUUCCAGAACAAGAGUCACCUGUAUACCCGGUGGGAUGUGCAAAAAAUAAUUGAUGCAAUGGGCACAAUUCAAUAUCGCGAAAUGUAUUUACCGCGAGUCAUCGUGAUUGAGAACCACAAAGGUGGAACCGGUAAAAGUACAACAACAGUAACACUCGCUACCGCAGCUGCUUUGGAUCUUAAUCUAAAUGCAAGAAUCCUUGUAAUUGACCUGGACCCGCAAGGUUCAUUGGGUAAUAACCUUAUUCAUACCACUAGCGAUGAUAGUGUUUAUCUGACUAUUACCGACGUUUUGCUUAGUGAAAUUGAAGAUAAUGAUUUCACUCAGUAUAUAAAUCAAGGUUACACGGAAGAACAAAUAAUUGGGGCGAUGGCCUUUUCUACACAUUUACCUAACAUGGAUGUAAUAACAGCUUUCCCGACUGAUGACAGAUUUACUGACAAAUACUGGAGUCUGGAUAAGGAAGCAAGACUCAAGCUACUAACUCGGUUUCGCGAUGUAGUUAUCCCUGUAUUGAAAGAAAAGUACGAUCUCAUUUUUAUUGAUACACCACCGCAAGAUUCUCCAAUCAUUUGGUCAACAAAUGAGGCGGCUGACGCAAUUCUUGUUCCGAUUACACCCCGUGAAUAUGAUUUUGCUUCUACCACAAACUAUAUGAUUACUAUUUCAGACCGUCUGGCACAAUUGCCCUCCAAAGGCGAAAACAUUAAAUGGCUAAAUGUAUUGGCUGUGAAUGUAGAUGACAGAAGCCAGCAUGAGAUUCGUACUUUAAAUAAACUUGUAAGAACUGUACGUGACCGUUUCAUGACAACAAAUAUUAAACAUUCAGAAGCUUUCGUUGCAGCAGCUGAAAAAGGUCGCACUGUACUCGAUAUUAAAAAAUCAGAAGAGCUCUGUUCUUCAAAGCAGUAUGAUAUUGCGGAAAUGUCUGUUCAGUCUGUAUAUCAACAACUUAUCAAUGAGAUUAAAAGCUUUUCAGUUAGGGAGGACAGUGAAUAAUGAGUGAUGUUGAACGCGGUACGAGCAAAGACAAGUACUUGACCGGAAACGCAAAGCGUACAUUUGUUGAUCAAAAAAGCGGGCUUCCGCCUCUAAAAGCUCCUUCUGUACAAAAACGCCUAUUUACUCUGUCAAAUGGUCGUAAAGUAGAAGCUCGCUACGUAGUCGUUCCUGGUUCAGAAGUGGCAGAGAAGACGCUAGUUCAUGAGCUAAACCCUCGAAAUCAAGAGGCAAUUGACGACCUUUCAACAAGGGAAAUACUCCCCCUUAUAAAAGAAAAUGGGGUUACUACUGAAGCUAUUGCUGUAUACCGCGACGGUAAAUAUUACCUGAUUGAGGGUAGUCGGCGUCGUUAUUGCUGCAUCAAAUGUUUGGCAGACCUGCCGUUAUGGGCAUUUGAUGAAGAGGUAAGUCGUGAAGAUGUCGAUUGUAUUGUAAAUGCUGCACAAACAGCGAAAAGGUUCUCAUAUCGUGAAGUGGGUAUUAAGUACCUUCAAAUCAUGAAAAAUGAAGAGUUCAAAACCAAUGAGGAACUUGCUUCUUAUUUUAACAUUAGCGUUGAGUCGGUAAGAAAGAGAAUCCAGGCGGCUAAAGUUAACGAAGAACUAAUUAGAAUUUUCCCUGAUAGUGAAGGGAUACCUAAUACUUACUAUGGUAAAUUGGCUAAAAUUGAAAAAGUUGCUAUUGCCCAUAAAAUCCCUUUGUCAGAGCUAACAUCUGAAGUCGGGACAGAAGACAAUAAGAUCAUUAACGUUAAUGAUAUUGAGGAAGUCCAGAAAUCCAUUUUAGAUGGUUUGCAUUCAGUACUUACCAUUCUCUGUAAUGAUGCAAAUAAACCGCCUAAAUGGACUGUGUCAGAUAUUAUAGAUUUCGAAGAUAAGGAUACUUACGCACGUGUCAGGAAGAGCCAAGACGGUCAAAAAGUAAGUUUUGAGUUCAAGCGUAUAAGCCAGUCAACCAUUAAUGAAAUAGAACGUUUAAUUAAAGUUAGUAUUGGCAAAUCAAAAUAAUCAUAAAAUGGUAUGGUCAUGGCCCUUAGGGGUCAUGACUUUAUAAUCCAUUAAAAGCAAAGCAACCCCCUUGUUCGCAGUCCGGCUCCUUGAGAUCCAACGGCUUCAUGUUAACCCGACAUGACAAAACAACCCCCUUGUUCGCAGUCCGGCCCCUUGACGCCCAGCGGCUUCAUGGAAGCCCGGCAGGGCAAAACAACCCCCUUGUUCGCAGUCCAGCCCCUUGACGCCCAGCGGUUUCAUGACAACCCGGCAGGGCAAAACAACCCCCUUGUUCGCAGUCCGGCCCCUUGACGCCCAUCGGCUUCAUGACAACCCAACAGGGCAAAACAACCCCCUUGUUCGCAGUCCGGCCCCUUGACGCCCAUCAGCUUCAUGACAACCCGGCAGGGUAAAACAACCCCCUUGUUCGCAGUCCGGCUCCUUGAGAUACAACGGCUUCAUGAUAACCCGACAUGAUAAAACAACCCCCUUGUUCGCAGUCCGGCCCCUUGACGCCCAGCGGUUUCAUGACAACCCGGCAGGGCAAAACAACCCCCUUGUUCGCAGUCCGGCCCCUUGACGCCCAUCGGCUUCAUGACAACCCAACAGGGCAAAACAACCCCCUUGUUCGCAGUCCGGCCACUUGGCGUCCAUCGGCGUCCUGAUACCCCGGCAGGGUAAAACAACCCCCUUGUUCGCAGUCCGGCCACUUGGCGUCCAUCGGCGUCAUGAUACCCCGGAAGGGUAAAACAACCCCCUUGUUCGCAGUCCGGCCACUUGGCGUCCAUCGGCGUCCUGAUACCCCGGCAGGGUAAAACAACCCCCUUGUUCGCAGUCCGGCCACUUGGCGUCCAUCGGCGUCCUGAUACCCCGGCAGGGUAAAACAACCCCCUUGUUCGCAGACCAGCCCCUUGACGCCCAGCGGUUUCAUGACAACCCGGCAGGACAAAACAACCCCCUUGUUCGCAGUCCGGCCCCUUGACGCCCAUCGGCUUCAUGACAACCCGGCAGGGCAAAACAACCCCCUUGUUCGCAGUAACGCUAUGACCGGUCUGUGACACCUGAUGAAUGGUUUUUGAUUUACGCCCAUAUAAAUUAGGUUGUUAGUAGAGAAAAAAAUUUAUUCAUGCUGAUAAGAUUGGGAAAGGUGGCAGAUCUGGAUUGAGUAAUUUUUUAUUCGUAAAUCAACUGAACAGGUAGGAUAUGGGAGAAUUAUAUUUGCUGUUUGCUAAAGACAAAAAUGGCAUGUUAUAUGACACCUAUCAUGCCCGGCUAACAUCUGACAUUGAUUACUAUUGCACUCAAUGCGGACGUCGCAUUGAUUAUCAAAAAGUCCGUUUUGAAGAUGACAGGAAGGAAGUUUGAUUUUCAAGUUAAAGAAAUGACGUAUAAGUUCAGCCUGGAACGAGGAAGUUACUCCGAUACGUUCUAUGUCGUCAUCUAUGAGAAAGAAUGCGUUUUACUUGAUUAUGUACUCAAUUCUGUUCCAGCUAAUGACAAUACAUACAAUCAGAUUAAAGCUUUGUGUAUAAAGCUCAUUCGUAUGUAUGAAUCUGCCAUGCGUGGUUUAAGCCUUGCUGGUUAGGGCUGCGCCCGGCCUACUCACGAAUAAUCAGGGCCGUUUUCCGUCCAAAAAAAGCCUCCACCCCCUUUAAACUGGGGGAGGGGAGUAAUAAACAGCAAAAACGGAUCUGAUCAUGUCGAAAACGACGUUGAUCAUUUCUGGAAACCUCCCAGCAAAGCUGGUAUCUAUCGUCCUGAAGUGACGAUUAACGAAUCUAGAAAGUUACUUUCUUUGGUGGGGUAGGUCGGUGGUAGGAAAACGAUGGUGACUCCAGGGCUAAGGCCCUAAUCAGGUGUUAACCUAAUCAGGGCUUACUUAGUGAUAACUUAAUUACUGAAUUUGCGGAAAUUCGAUAAUGAAGUUGCUUUCGCCGGUAGAGCCGUUUUCCGCUGUAAAAAUUGGGACGGUUGAGUUUUCCCCGUUCCCAAGGUCUAUCUGAAUUUCUUUCGUCUCCCCAGGCUGGAUCACGUUCCCCAGAAUGUUAAUCGCAUAAUCGGCAUCCUUCCUGACCGUGAUAUUUGCUGUUUGUACGCCCUGCGCCAGUGAGCCAUCGUUACGACGCAGCUGGCCCGUACGCAUGACGGCCAGCGGUGUGUUAUCGCUGGUUUUGAGCGCUUUCACCACGCCUAAAGUUUUCAGCUUCUCAAGGGUCACGAGAUUUUUAGGGUAAUAGGCAAACUGAAUGCUUUUUUGUGUCGUGUUGCCUUUGGCAUCGGUAGCAAAAGCGGUCAGUGUAUAUUUGUCCGUAUCUGAAUCCAGGCUGGGGAAGAGGCGAGGGUAGUCUGGGGUAUAACUACCGUCCGAGUUCUGGUUAAAACCUAAGACAACGCUGUCAGACGCCGGUCCCCCUUUGAGCUCAAGCCGGACAAGGCUGGGGGCGGUUAACGCAUCAUUUAACGUUAUGCUGAUGUUCUCAAGCCCGUAAACGGUGGCUCCAGAGGACAGAGACGCAUUUUCAUAGUUGAAAUUCACCACAGGAGGCGUCUUGUCGUUAAUCAGGUUUAUGAAUGGUGACGAUGUUUCAUUGCUAAAGGUGUCCUUUGCCAGAAAGCUCAGGUUAUAUUUCCCUUCGGCCAGUUUGCUCAGGUCAAAACUGUAUGUGUAAUCCUCGCCAGAAAGGGCGGUCUGGGCACCAGAUAACAACUGUCCACCAGUAUCAGAAUCUAUCAGGGUAGCCGAUUUUAGUUGCAGCAGAUCGCGGAAUUUACCGCGUCCAGGUUGCGUUACAAAUAAAAGAACCUUUUUGUUUUCUUCCUGGUAACUGUAUCCAGUAAUUCUGGGUAGCAGGUCAGUAUUCCAGUGGUGCCUUUUUUCAAUAGAUACUGAUGAAAACGUUUUAUCGAAAUCAGUCAAUCUGAAGGAGUAGGUCGUAAUACCGUUCCCCGUUUUUGGGAUGGACCAGGAUACCGCACCGAUACACUCAGUUUCGCCAGCUGGUACCUGACAAAUCUCAGUAUUACCACUCAUCGCACGCUGAACGUAAUUCCGUGGUGAUGCCGUUAUCCUUACAGAGCUGAAUUUAACGGGCAGAUCUUUGGUAUUCCAAAGGUAGCUGCCUGCAUUCGUUUCGCCUUUUUUGUCUGAUGUUAACCAGGCCUCAGGUGCUGCCGGACUGACCGGAGCCUCACUCCCCAAAUUGAUAUCAUAGGAGAGUGAACCGCCGCCCCAUUGAUAGCCAUUAUGGAUAGUGUAAGUGACUUUAUAGGCGGUCUUCGCUGAUACAUAGCUGUACCCAUUAGCCUCGGAAAUUAUCGUUCCAAACUUCAAACCAGCUUUAUUGUAUUCCCUGCGGUUAUUCGAUGGCACCCGAUACACGAGUGUCAAAGGGUUCUGGUUUACAGUCAUUCCCGGCUUAUAAGCUAUGUAACCUUCACUAAAGCCUGGAACCACGCUCGUUUUAGACGUGGGGUCAUAUACGGCAAACAGUGUGUAUUCACCAAGAUCCGAGUCAAAUACAAACCUCUGGUCUGGCAAUGCUUUACGGUUUCCCGCUUUAUCAUAGAGCGUUACACGAAAGCGGUAUUCGACAUCAGCGUUUGAUACAGGCAUCCAGGCGGAACGACUAAAAUUACCUUUUGUCCACGGCACAGAUAGCGAUGCUGAACCACUGUCGUAAACCAUAUCAGUGAUGGAAUACACCGUAUCGUCAGGCUUGAUCACCUGGAUAGUCGCUUUAUCAAAACCGGUUGCAGCUUUGACAUUAUUCACAUUCAGGUAGAGUUUUGCUUCAGCCCCCUGGCCCAGUUCCCAGCGAUCACCAGUUAACACCAUGUCGUAUCCGGGUUUUUGGUCCACGCUCAGGUUAUCGGAUGAGGGGCCAGCAGUAUCAAUAAUAAAAUUGUGAGUCGUGCUGUCGAUAACCGCGUUUUGUGUAUUCAGGAUAUCCGAGGUUAUGACAUAACUCCCGUCACUCAAAGGCGGCAGUGUCACCGUUUUUCCGUAAAACUCUUCACCUGUAGAGGCCUUUAUACGGUCAUUGACCGUCACGCUAUCUGUAGUAAAGCUAUAUACACCAACAUUGUCUUUCUUUACCGUUACCUGAAUUUUGCGAUCGAGACCUGAUAUCAGCUUUACCUGAAUUUUUUCGUUCGUAUUCAGAACACCAGAAUCCGCGCUGACUGAUUUAUCCGUUCCGUAGAUAUCCGUGAUCGCAUACUCAUAGACACGAGCAUAUGAGGGGAGAGAAAGGGCGGUCAGUAUUAGCGUAGUCAGUAAUUUUAUUUUCAAUUUCAUAUCAAAUUAUUCCAGAAGAAUAUUGAAGGUUAUGCCAUGGCGAUAAUGAUUUUCUUUUUCUGAUUGCAUGCAUUUAACAGAGCCAUGAGGCAAGAAAAGCCACCAGCCCCACGUAACAGAGGCGGUGGCCGUCGAUAGUUAGUUAAGUUGCGGGAACUCGAUGAUGAAGUUACUUUGGCCUGUAGAGCCGUUAGCAGCCGGAAAAAUCGGUACAGUGGAAUUUGCGCCGGUUCCGAGGUCGAGCUGAAUUUCUUUUGUUUCCCCAGGUUGGAUCACCGUACCGAGAAUGUUGAUGGCGUACUCAGCAUCACUUCGGACCGUGAUAUUGGCUGUCUGGAUGCCUUGGGCAAGUGAACCAUCAUUACGUCGCAGCUGACCGGUUCGCAUGACGGCCAGCGGUGUGUUGUCGCUUGUUUUCAGCGCCUUCACCACACCCAGCGUUUUGAGUUUUUCCAGGGUCACGAGAUUUUUCGGAUAGUAGGCAAACUGAAUACUUUUCUGGGACGUGUUCCCUUUAGCAUCUGUAGCAUAGGCCGUGAGAGUGUAUUUAUCCGUCGACGCAUCCAGAGUCGGGAACAGACGUGGGUAAUCUGGUGUGUAGCUCCCGUCAGCAUUCUGGUUAAAGCCGAGGACAACACUGUCAGAUGCCGGUCCCCCUUUGAGCUCCAGACGGUCAAGAACUGGUUUGGUCAACGCAUCGUUAAGGUUAACGGCGAUAUUCUCCAGUCCAUAGACGGUCGUUCCGGAGGGGAGCGGGGCAUUCUCGUAGUUAAAGCUGAUUUCCGGAGGCGUCAUGUCAUGCACCAGCGUGAUGAAUGGCGACGUUGCCUCGUUUUCGAAAGUGUCUUUUGCCAGGAAGCCUAAAUUGUAUCGUCCUUCCGCCAGCUUACUCAGAUCAAACGUAUAGGUGUAAUCUUCACCCGAAAGCGCAAUUUUGGUUCCAUUAAGUACCUGCACGCCGGUAUCGGCAUUAAUCAGUUCAGCAGACUUGAGCUGGAGCUGGUCCCUGAAGUUGCCGUUACCGGGCUGCGUAACAAAUAACAGCACUUUUUUCUUAUCUUCCUGAUAGUCAUAGCCGGUGAUUUUAGGAAGAAGAUUGGUGUUCCAGUGGUUACGCCUUUCCGCAUUUAUUGAGGCUAGUGUUUUGUCCUCGUUAUACAUUCUAAAAGAAUAGGUCACGCUACCAUUACCACUUUGGGCAAUAGUCCAUGGUACCGGCCCGCUGCACUCAGUCUCGCCUGGCGGGAUCUGACAAAUUUCCAGGUUCCCUGUAAACGCUCUCUGGAGAUAGUUUCUCGCAGAGGUACGAACUCUCGCUGAAAUGAAUUUCACCGGCAGAUCGCUUGUCUUCCACAAGUAGUUAAAGGAAUUGAUUUCACCCUUUUUGUCCGUAGUGAGCCAGACGGUGGAAGGCGUUUCCGGACUUUCAGGGGUAUCCGGCCCGAGUUUCAGAUUGUAAGUCGCAGCAGCGCCACCCCACUGGUACCCGUUAUGGAUAUCGUAUCUGAUGUUAUACGGCGUUGUUGCGGCCACAUAGACGUAGCCGUUGGCUUCGGAGAUGAUGGUGCCAAAACUUAAACCCGCUUUGUUGUAUUUCCGGACGUUAUUCGUCGGUAGCCGGUAGACGAGGGUAAUCGGAUUUUGAUUAACCGUCAUACCUGCUUUAUACGCUACGUAUCCCGAGGUGAUCCCCGGCACCACGCUUGUCUGUGAUUCGGGAUCGCGUAUUGCAAAUAGGGUAAAUUCACCAAGCUGGUUGUCGAAAACAAAUUUCUGGUCAGGUAACACUUUACGUGAGCCUGCCUUGUCAUAAAGCGUCACCCUGAAACGAAAUUCAACGUCUGCAUCCGAUGUCGGCAUCCAGGAAGCCUUUUUCCUUUCACCUAAUGUCCAGGGAGCCGAAAGGGAAGAGGACCCACCAUCAUAAUCCAUGUCCGUGAUUGAAUAGACGCUGUUGUCCGGGUUGAUGACCUGUAGCGUUGCUUUAUCAAAACCGGUCGCGGCCUUAACGUUAUUCACGUUCACAUAUAAUUUUUGUUCAGCACCGAGGCCGAGCUCCCAGCGGUCUCCCUGUGUGACCAUUUCAUAGCCUGGUUUCUGAAUAAUGCUCAGAUUGUCUGAGGUUGGCCCAACACUAUCGAUGGUGAAAUCCUGAGUGGUUGAGUCGACCUGAAUAUCCUGUGUGUUAAGUAUUUCAGAGAUGACCUGAUAGGGACCAUCACUCAGGGGAGGAAGCGUGAUGAUUUUCCCGUAGAACUCUUCGCCCGUUGAGGCCUUAAUUCGAUCACUUACCUUAAUGCUAUCGGUGGUCGUGCCGUAGACCUCUGUACCGUCUUUCCUGACAGAUACGUGUACUUUGCGAUCGAGGCCGGAAAUCAGGCUUAGCUGAAUUUUUUCGUUAGUGUUAAGAAUACCGGUUUCCGCACUGACUGAUUUCUCAGCGCCAUAGAUAUCCUUAAUGGUGUACUCGUAGACCCGCGAAUACGAUGAAAAGGGGAGGGUCGCGAGGAUUAACGUUGUCAGCAGUUUUAUUUUGGUAUUCAUAUCAAAUCAUUCCCAGCAGGCUUGAAAUCAGAGUGAAGAAAGUUACUUUUCUCUCUCCCCGGCCGUCAUAUCCGCCGUGUCGUGUUUAUCCAGAAAUUACCGGCCACCAGCAGGGACCGGUAAUCGUGAGCCGCUAUUUAAUUUGCGGAAACUCAAUGAUGAAAUCGCUUUGCCCGGUAGCGCCGUUUGUCGCCGGGAAAAUUGGGACCGUGGCGUUUACACCAGCGCCGAGGUCUAUCUGGAUUUCUUUGGUUUCGCCUGGCUGAAUGACAGUACCCAGUAUGUUGAUCGCAUAAUCAGCGUCAGUCCUGAGCGUGAUGUUGGCCGUUUGUACGCCCUGAACCAGGGAGCCAUCGUUACGCCUCAGCUGCCCGGUACGCAUGACGGCCAGCGGUGUGUUGUCGCUGGUUUUCAGCGCCUUCACCACACCCAGCGUUUUGAGUUUUUCCAGGGUCACGAGAUUUUUCGGAUAGUAGGCGAACUGAAUGCUUUUCUGCGUGGCGUUCCCUUUGGUAUCCGUUGCAUAAGCCGUCAGCGUGUAUUUAUCGGUAUUUUCGUCAAGGGUAGGGAACAGACGGGGAUAAUCUGGCGUAUAGGAGCCAUCGGCAUUCUGGUUGAAGCCAAGGAUCACACUAUCAGAUGCGGGGCCACCUUUGAGCUCAAGACGUUCCAGUACAGGCUUUGUCAGCGCAUCAUUCAGGCUGAUCGCGAUGUUCUCCAGCCCGUACACGGUAGAACCGGAAGCGAGCGGGGCAUUUUCAUAAUUAAAUAUGACGUCCGGGGGAGUCAUGUCGUUCACCAGCGUAAUGAACGGGGAUGACGAUUCAUUAUCGAAGGUGUCUUUGGCAAGGAAAGAAAGGUUAUAUUUGCCUUCCGGGAGAGCUCCCAGAUCAAACGUAUAGGUGUAAUCAUCACCAGCAAUCGCUGUAUUGGUACCGGUUAACACCUGCACAUUUGAAUCUGCAUUAAUCAGAACAGCAGACUUAAGCUGCAAUUUGUACCGUAAACUGCCGUUCCCCGGCAGAUUCACAAAUAGCAGAACCUUUUUCUUGUCUUCCUGGUAAUCAUAGCCAGUAAUUCUGGGUAACUGGUCAGCAUUCCAGUAUUGCCGCCUUUCAGCAUAUUGUGAGAAAAGGGAGCCAUCGGCAUUGGUCAUCUUGAAGAAAAACCCCAUAUGGCCGUUACCACUUUUUUGAAUAUUCCCUACAAUUUUCCCUUCACACUCCAGUUCGCCGACAGGAAUGUCACAUAAGAAAUCGCCGGUAUUAGACAUAGCCUUUUGGAUGUAAUUUCGUGCCGACGCUUUCACGCGGGCAGUAAGAAAUGUCACCGGGAGAUCGGAUGUUUUCCAGAGGUAAUCAUAUGAGCUUACCGCGCUUUUCUUGUCCGAGGUAAUCCACACGUCAGGAGUAGUUGGGCUUACCGGCGCAUCUGCACCCAUUUUAAUAUUGUAGGUAACACUGGCUCCCCCCCACUGAUAACCGUUAUGGAUAACAGAGAGCGUCUGGUAAGGGGUCGUGACCGACACAUAGCUGUAGCCGUUCGCCUCAGAAAUUAUGUUCCCGAAGGCCAGCCCGCCUUUUCUGUACUCCCUGCGGUUCGUAGAAGGGACACGGUAGACAAAUGUAAUGGGGUUCAGAUUGACCGUCAUCCCCGAUUUAUAUUCAACAUAGCCUUUACUGAAUCCAGGUAUAACACUGGUUUCAGUUGUAGGGUCAUACACCGCGACUAGCGUGUAUUCGCCUAAAUCCGAGUCAAAGAUGAACUUCUGAUCCGGCAGGACUUUUCGGGUACCGGCCUUGUCGUAUAGCGUGACACGAAAGCGAUAUUCUGUAUCCGCAUUGGACACCGGCAUCCAGUCGGCUUUAACCGCGCUCCCCUUAGUCCACGGAACAGAAAGCGAUGCAGAACCGCUGUCGUAAACCAUGUCCAUUUUGGAAUAGACGGUAUUAUCAGGAUUUAGGAUCUGGAUAGUGGCUUUAUCAAAACCGGCAGUCGCUUUCACAUUUUUGACGGUGACAUAGAGUUUUGCUUCUGCCCCCAACCCCAGCUCCCAGAGGUUUCCGGUAAGGACCAUGUCAUAUCCCGGACGCUGAUCAAUACUCAUGUUAUCGGCAGUGGGGCCAGACGUAUCAAUCAGGAAUGACUGGGUUGUCGAAUCAAUAAGGGCAUCCUGGGUAUUCAGUAUUUCCGAGGUGAUGGUAUACAGCCCAUCACUUAACGGGGGCAGGGUUAUCACUUUCCCGUAAAACUCUUCAUCUGAUGAUGAUUUGAUGCGGUCGGCAACUUUUACGCUUUCUGUCGUCGUGCUGUAGACAUUCACGUCGCCUUUUUUCACCGUCACCCGGAUUUUUCUGUCCAGUCCUGAAAUCAGGCUAAGCUGGAUUUUUUCCGUGGUGUUCAGCUUCGCUGAAUCGGCGCUAACGGAUUUCUCCACACCGUAGAUAUCUUUGAUUGUGUACUCAUAAACACGGGAAUGGCCGGGCAAUGAAAGGGUGCCGAGGAUUAAUGCCGCCAGAAGCUUGGAUUUGAAUUUCAUAUCAGUACCAGUCUAAAGCAUGGUUAAAAGGUCGCAUUGUGGGUCGCUCUUAACCACUGAUGGAGCGAUACAUGCCUAAAAGUUACUUUCCUUCUCCGUUGAAAAAAAACGGAUGUUUAUGAUUCUGCACUUCAGGCCAGCGGCUUAUUUCACCUGCUGGAGAACAGCACGCCUGCUCUUCUGGACUGGCGAGUGUAAUGAGCGAUUCCACACCAGCGUGUUUUCGUAAAUCGAGAUGAAACCAAGACUAAUCAGCUCCUGCUUAAUCCGUUCGUUCAGCAAUGAACAGGUCUUUUGCCCCGUCAAAUUUGAAAGGUAAUUUUGUAAGGCCUUUGGUGUGGCCGGGAGAGAUUUAGGGGAGGAUGCGCAGGAAAGCUUCAGUCUGUUAAUCCAGUAGCCCAUGUCAUGCUCUUUGGCUUUCAUCACUUUCAUUGUUGAAGCCUUGUCUUUAACCGGUUGCGGAACGGGCAGGGCUGGAGAGAUCCUUGUACAGCUGAUCCCUGUUGCUUUCAGACGGGCAAUAAUACCGUCAUAGCCCUUGUCACGGGAGAUAACAGAGAAGUGUGACGUAUCCCCGGCCAAUGCGGUCAGUUGUCCGAGUUCCAGGACCAGAUGGAAAUCAACAUUGUUUUUGGAUACCUCAGUCGCCGGAAUAAUGCGUAAAGAAAUUGCAGAGCUCAGGGACGUAACAGGAAUUUUAAUGUUUUCCUGUUUAGCGCCCGUGAAGAAAAGCACUUUGUCAAAGUCAUGAAGGGAAACUCCCUCAAGGCUUCCGAUAUUUUCAUAAUCAAUCAGGGCAAUUCUGGUUUUGGGACUUCGCAUUACUCUCUCCCGAAAAAAAAGGUUGAACCAAAUAUCAACCAAAUCGACUACACCACAUGCAGGCCAAAAGUAACUUUUAUGCCUACGUACAUUACCUGCACCCAGUAAAAGUGACUUUUUAAAGGGCAAAUCCUGACUAAACGUCCAGCUCCUGAUUCACCAUGGCUACGGCCAUUGGUCUGGAGCCACUGGUAUCAUCCACCUCGACGGCUAUAUCUAUCCAACGGCUGGGAUCUGAAACCCAGUCAAUAAGCUCUUUUAUGGACAGGCUGUGCCUGAUCUCAAUGUUUUUAAUGCUGUCAUUGCCAAACCAGUUAAUCCGGUUCACAUGCUGUUUUAUGUAGUACACAUCCCAUGAGCCAUGGCCCAGAAAGUCCUUACCCCACUGCCGUUUAAGCUCUCGCCAGUCACAGGGCAGAACGUCUGCACGAGAAAGACUGUCUGUUAUCUGAUAGAUAUCUGAAAACCCCACCUCGCUAUCCGGGAUCAUUUCCAGGUACAGGUACCCGGCAACCGGAUGCUUCGCGCUAAUGACCACAUUUUUGGAGCUCAUCAAAGGUUCCGUUUUUCGUAUGAACAGGCCUGACGCCAAUAAUCCAGUUAUAUCAAAAUCGGCAUCAGAAAUUCCUGAAUAACAGGACGAAAAAAAGCCUAAACGAAAAAAAAUGCGAUAGAAAAAAUAGGGUCUUCCAGGAGCGAUAUAUUUUGAUAUCGUCAAAUAACUAAUCCAUCGGAGAAGUUCAAAUGACGCCAGUAUUCAGAGCGGGAAAUGUGAAAACAGUACGCGCAGCAAGAAGAAAACGACACAGAAGGAGAGGGAGGCUCAUUCACAGCCAUGAUGACAGUUUCAUUACCAACAGACUCCUCGAUCAGCUAACCGACGAGAUGAUGUAUCAGGAAGCAUUCAGAAAAAAGCUUAUCGACGAACGAUAAAAAAAUACUCCACGGCCGAAAAGUACCUUUUAGCCGGAAAAAAUCAAAAUUCUCUAUGUUAGAUUAUGACCAGUAUUAUUAGGUCAGAAGUAAACCAGUGCCCUGUCUGGUUAAAGGGAAUGGCGGUAGCUUCUGAAAAUUCAGCUUAACUUCCAGUUUAUUCUAGCGGGAUGUCUAUGCAUUCAACUCAUCUGACGAAAAAGUUUAAUAUUCUGGCGGUCGUCUAUUUCACAAUCAUUGCUUGUGGUCAGAUUGUUCUUUUCCCUCAUUCGCAGCCCAUUUUUCUGGUCAUCGUCACUAUGGGUAUUGCGGUUCGCUUAUUUACCCUGCGGCCACAAUAUAAAAAUUUACGGUUUCUGGUUUUGUCCAUCAUCUCACACCAUCUUGUUUUUACCAUUCUUACGCUCAUCCAGCUCUAUAUCAAUGCCAGGUAUAUCAGGGCCAGUUUCAUUGAGUAUCAGAUGGUUUACGCGCCUUUGCUCAUCGGGAUGGGAUAUGUGUAUUUCAACGUCUGGAGAGCGCGUACCUGACGUCCACCUGACCUCUUUGAUUAAAGGAGCCUGAAUGCUUCGUUCUACCCCCAAAAUCACACCCCUGACCUUUUCUCCUGAAGAAAUUAGUGGCCUACAGAACGGCCAAAAAACCCAGUUCCGCCGGGCACUGAAAGGUCGUGAUGCUUUUUCAGAAAAUAUCACCUCCAGAGUAACUUCUGGACCUGCAAUACCAGUCCUAAAAUGCCCUUAUGGUCAGCCCGGCGACCGGAUUUGGAUCAGAGAAACAGCAAGGACCGAGUGGCAGCAAGUACAGGAGUCCCCGCUAAGAGUUCAGACCGGUGUACGGUACCGCGUUGAUAACGAGUACCAGGAACUGACCAGCGAUUACCCGUGCCGGAUGUUCCCUACAAAACGCCUGACAUCACAAGGCGUGCCUGCGUGGGCAACGCCGGUAAGUAUGCCUCGAUGGGCUAGCCGGUAUCUUCUCGAAGUCUGCGAUACGCGCCUUGAGAAACUCUGCGAUAUCUCUGAAACCGAUGCCUAUGCGGAGGGGGUUCUCACUGAAGUGUGGGACCAGGUUGUCGUUGCCCGAAAUUACGGUAUACCCGAUGCAUUCUUUCAGUACUGGUCUGACGAUAUCGAUCACUACGUCGAAAUGAAUGAACUGUACCGUAGCUCUUUCCAGAGCCUGUGGGAUAAGAUUUAUGAAGCUGGAAGCUGGGCUUCUAACCCGCUCGUUUGGGUUGUCACGUUUAAAUUACUGGAUAUCGACAGGGGGGAGAAUGAAUAACACGCCAGCUCUAUACGAGGCUGUUGAUUCAAAGAUUCUGGAAAAGGUGGGUAAACAUCCAAAAGCAUUCGUGGAUAUAUAUUUUCCGGAAAUAUACACGCUUUGCGUGGAAAUUCUUAAUGACAAUAAAAAAGAGCCUGCUCGUAUACUCGACAGGCGACUACAGGCUCUACGAAAGAAAGGUUUGAUCCAUCACGUUACCGGGAAAGGUUGGGUUAAAAUGAUUCCCCAGGAAGGAAAGGAAGGAAAUUCAGGGGGGUAGAGACUCCAGCUGAUAAAAUGAAAUAUCAGGGCUGUUCUUUUCAUAUGGAGUAAGCUGUUAUGCUUUACCCAUUUUUUGGAGCCCUGUGCUUCAUUCUGACGUUAUGCUUUUUAAGUAUCAGCGGUAUGAUUAUUCUCAUCCAUAAAACUGAUUCUGUUCAAUACAGCGUUCGGCGUUACCGAUUUCUUUUACUCUGCAAGGCAGCUGGUGCAGUGAAUUUUUUUAUUACCAUUUACUGCAUCGCUGGAACCGAGGGACAGCUUUAGCGCUGUUCCACAUCUGGUCAAAUCUUGUGGCUCUGGACCGAAAAGUAACUUUUCAACCGGGCUAUCAAUCCAGACAAUCAGAAUAUGACAUUCUUCUUAUUAAAUGAUGUCGCCGGGGGCGAUUAUGAAUAUCUAUAUGGACGGUAAAAAUGUAGGCUGGCUUUUAUACCUUGCUAUGGGUUUUGUCGCUUUGGGCAUUGCUUUUUUAUUGUCCCAUAAAAUCACUUCAAUGCUAAAAAUAAAAUCAACGGCUAAUGGCGGGCUUAUCAUAUCAGGAAUUACAUUAAUCCUGGCUGGUUUUGUCAUGUUCAUUGUCGUUAACCGAAGUUCAUUAUCAUUGGAUGAUAUUAAGAUGGGAGAGCGCUGGCUUAAUGAGUGCCAGCUACUUGAAACUAACAUUAACAAUGGUCUUUUUGACGAACCGACAAACAAGGUUAAUUGCAACGGAGUGAUUGAAAACAUUCCAAAAUACAGUUACGACGAUUACACCACCGAAUGGUUAUUGUACCACCAACGCAAUGAAAAUCUGAAACAUGCAGGACUAACAUCAAAACUCAGUUCAUAGCUGAUUUCAUGAAAGUAACUUUCUUAUCACCUAUUUUAAACGACUCAAGAGGCUGUUUGUGAAUAAAUUAUUAAUAUUCAUGGCGUUAUCACUUUCCCUGUGUCUGUCUGGCUGUGAUUUGGGAACAUCAAAGUCCUCAUGGGCUACCGCUAAAGUGGUUAAAACAGAGAUGGUGUAUGGAAAUGUACUAUACAGGAUUGUUUUCUAUACCCUUCCGGAUUUUGAUGAAGGAAAUAGGAUUUUUCAGGCGAACCUUUCUCCUCUUGAGGCAGUGAAAGCAGAACAUGGGCAAAUGAAUAUCAGGCUGAGAACAUAUUCAGAUGGCAAAAUAAUGGUGUAUGAAAACAUUAGAACUUUCAAAGAAUAGUUAUGACAGAGGCAGUUAUAUGAGAAUGAAAAUCAUCAGCAACUCAUCCAGUCAUUCAGCGCAUUAUAUAUACACAUCAUUUAUUAUAAUAUUAAGUUUGCUUGUCGCAUACUUUCUUGCAAAAGAACUUUCAAAAACAGAUGAGCCCGCAACGAAACAAGAGUUAAUUGAUAUCAUUGAAGCUACCCCAUGCGCUUUAGAACCUAUCUCCAGAGCCAUAGAGCAAAAUCCGAUAAGUAUCGUCAGAGCAAAUUCUAUUGCCAUCCAAUGUCAGAGAAACAUAUUAAGAAGCGAAGUUAUAAAUGAGCAAAGAGAAGCAUUAAAUGAGCAAAAACAAGCAUUAAAGUACGUUGAAAAAGAUGAGUGGCAAUAAUAUUUACAAUCAUUUCUUUGUUUUAAAUUCACAUAUCAAUAAAUGCUUUAUAAGCAGGCAUAACAUGGAAAUUAAACAGAACUUCUUGGUAGUAAUAGCUUUAAUUAUUGUUGUUUGUGGUAUUUUUAUAGUUUCCGGGAAGUAUGAUGUUAACACUUUCCAGUUUGCAUAUUCCAUUGCCACAAAAGAGAGUCUGGCGAAAAUUAUAAACAAUACGCCUUGUGCAUAUAACCCCAUUAAUAAAGCCCUCGAAAACGGGCCGAUUGAUAUCGGGCAGGCCAAUGAAAUUGCAGAUAAAUGUAAGAGGGAGGAGCAGUCAGAAGCAGAAAGGAAAGUGCAGCAGGAUGCGUUAAGGCAAAUCAGCAAACCUAACGAUAUUGAAGAUAAAGACCGAGCUGCGACCAAACAGGAGAUUAUUGACAUCAUCAGUUCUUCACCUUGUGCUAAUGGACCAAUCACUGCUGCCAUCGCUGGUAUGCCUAUUAGCAUCAGUUAUGCCCGACAUCUCGGCAGCACUUGUGAAGAAGUUUCAGCACAACGGCAACGUUUAAAACAUGAAAGAGAAGAACAGGUACAGGCUCUUUCCUAUUUUUACGAGUAAUAACCCCCCUGGUUCUUAUUCAUUAAGAAAAAGGUGGUCGUUAACCUAAAGGUUUUUUAAAAAUAAAAAGGACUGGCAUCGUUUCUUUAAGUGUCAGUUAUCAAAUUUCGGAAAGUUACUUUCUGGGGGGACUAUGUCUGAAAAGAUUAUCAAAAGGGGAGGAGAGCUCAUAGAGUUGCACUCUCGCAAUAAUAUUUCAAAUAAAGCGGAGCUGCAGAGCAAUACACAAAAACCCAAAACGAAAAUCACCAAAGCUCAAAGAGCAGCACUCAGAAUGAAAUUUGCUGCCCGGUGUGCUUAUUGCGGGUGUGAGCUGAAGGAAAAGGGCUGGCACGCCGACCAUGUAGAGCCAGUACGGAGAGAUUUCGAUAUAGUUCGCGCGCCCCAGGGGAGUCGGGUGACUCACGUUGCACGCAACAAUGGACGAGUAUUCCAUCCCGAGCGGCAUGAUUUAGAAAAUCUUUUCCCAGCAUGUUCUCCAUGCAACCUGUUUAAAGCGACAUUUUCAAUCGAGGGAUUCAGGAAACAGAUAGCCCACCAGCCUGAACGAGCUCAAGCCUACUCUGUCAACUUCCGCACCGCCCAACGAUUCGGACUAAAUAGCUGCGCCUAAUACCGCUACACUUUUGCCUGACCAUGUUUUCCUCCGGGGAAUGGGCUGGCGGUUUCCAUAAAAUGGCGGACCUUUUUCAGUAACUGCCACAUUGAGCGGCACUGAUGAUUACGGGUUAUCGUGUCAUGAAGUGCCUGCCAUAGCUGUUCCACAUGAUUCACCCACGGCGAGUAAACCGGCUGGUAAAUUACCCUGAACUUGGGAUUUGCUUUCAACCAGCGCUGUGUUUCGCGGCUUUUAUGGAUAAUGUAGUUAUCAACGAUCAGCGUGAUUGUUUUCGCCCGCCGAUAAGUGGCUUUCAGGUGCUUCAGCAGAGCGAUAAACAGCGCUGAACUUUUGCUGUUGCCGCCCACGUAGCUGACUUUACCCGUGCCACUGUGCAGUGCGCCGGCCAGAUAGUAUUUUUCGUUCUGCCCCGGCGUCACUACCCGUUUCUGCUGUCCGCGCAACUGCCAGUCCGCACCGAUUUUAGGAUUAAGGUGGAUAUCCACUUCAUCUUCAUAAAAUACCGGAUGCUCUGCGCUGCAUUCAUCCAGCGCUUUGUGGAUUACCGCCAUCUUUUCAUCUUUAUGUGGGUCACGGAUACGCAGAGUUGGCGCGGCCCUGCGCCAUACAAGCCCCGCAGAUGGCAACCAGCGGCGAACGGUUCCUGCAUGUAACUGGCAACCGGUUAUCUCAUUGAUUUUUAUUGCCAGUAAUUCGGUGCUCCAGCGUGAACGUUGAUAACCAAAAUCGCCGGGAGAAUGCUUUAUCAGCUCACGUAACAGGGUGCAGAUAUGUUCAAAAGGCCAGCGUCGGGAGCGCCCUGCGGGUAAGGAUUUCAGGCCUUCAAUACCUGAGUGCGUAAACCAGUUAAUCCAGCGACCAACGGAUGAACGGGCACAACAGAGAGUUCUGGCAACAUCGCUGACCCGUUCACCCCGAUGAAGCAUCAGCAUGGCCGUGAGUCUGCGGGCAUGAUUUUUAUCACGCGUUUUAUGAAUAGCUUUCUGCAUCAGGCGUCGUUCGCCACGGGGUAUUGGUACUAUGAUCGGCAUCGCUCAGUCCGGUUGGUGAUUUUGGUUGGUUUGGCGAUUGAUCAGAUCGCACAAUCCGGGCUGAGUUCCCUUUCAGUGAUCUACUAUUCCGCGCAGCUAUUUAGUGACGGUCAUAGAGAGACCUGUCGUGUUCUGGUUUGAGGUCUAUGAUGCUUCGGAGCCUCUGGAGCCCCAACUAUCCUACUUCAUGGAGAACCGGCAGGUCGCUCCGGUCUCCAGAUGAUUUGAUUGAUAGUCAAUCGCCCUUCCGAACGUUGGUGUUUAUUUAUCUUUCCAGGUUGCGAGAGAAUAAGAGGUAUUUUGCAGUUUUAGUAUUAAUGUUUAAUUUCAGGAGGAUAUUACUACCUUCGGUAAGAAUACGUUUCUAACGAAUGAAGACAUCCUGAUAAUAUCAAAAAUCCUGAGCUGCUCGUUGCAUUUCAUCGGUGAUUAAAUCAUAAGUUACAGUAAUAUCCGCCCCGCAAGCCUGUUCCAGCUUCAAUCUAAUCAACUUACCGAUAUGUUCAUCUGUCAUCGAGGAUUCGAUCCUGACGAUUCCUCUGCCAGCUCUUAGUUUAGCUCGGUUUUCUUCUACCUCAUGAAUAUCGAAAGUUUCCAUUGUCAUCUCUCUGUUGUCAGAUAAAUUGUUUAGAACAAUAUAUCAGUCGUCACCAUGCAUCUCAACAUAUCCUUAAAAUAACCCGUGGCGCAGGCCAGUAUAACCAGAUAAUAUUCUGGCAUCAUUCCUGUUCAUUGUUAUAUAAACUGUUCAGUUACAGGCAUUGCCUGGUCAUACUUCUAUCUCGAAUCGUUAACCAUGUGAUGUAAUUAGUCAUGCAAAAUGGACUCUACUAUGCCCAGUCAAAUUCCACUCGCGCCAAUACUUCCGACAGAUUUAUUCAAUAAAGAGGGCUUUAUUGAAUAAAUCGAAUAGAGAGAACAAAGGGGAGUCCUGUUGACCCUGCACUACGGGUUCUACCAGCGCUUCUCAAUAGUGUCUACUAUGAGGCUUAUGUAAGCAGAUCUCGAUUCCUCACUGUCGGACUGCCUUGCGUAAGCUUUUUUUAUUGCACCUUCAGAGAGAGGAUGUUUCAUGUUUAGAAGUAACAUGAUCACCAGAACAUCGAUAAUGCGGGCAGAGGAAAAGUACUCAUAGAUGUAGUCGAAAGACGUUUGUUUAAAGUCUACUCCAGUUGCUCCAAUAUCAAUCAGGGCAGCGAUUAUCUCCCUUUCGUCACCAUUUCUGACGGUAAGCUUUAACAGGUUUAGUUUACGUUUCUGUGCUUCCUCAAUCUUUCGUUGUGACUGUAGAUAUUCGGCAAGGUUUUUAAACAUUAUAACGUAUCCCGUGAGUACUAAUCCCGCAGAGCAUACGGAGAUUCCCUGAAAGUUGGAAGUCGGCAAACACCUGAUUUGACCAUUCCCCAUAAUGGAUAUACAAUAAUCGUCAAAUGGAGGUGGCUUAUGUACAAAAACACCACAGCUGAAAAACUACCAGAUACUCAUGAUAAUCUGACGGACUUUCAGCGCAAUCUACUGAAAAGAAUAAACAAUAUCGCACUGUCUCUGAUGCCUGAGUUUGAGGACAAAUCCCAGGCCAUGGAAGCGAUCACACUGGAUGAUGGCUCAUUGAUGCAGUUACUUUACUCUGUGCAAAUGCAACAAAAAACGCACGCAUCUGAGUAUGAAAUGCGUAAGGUUCAUCGCCGUCGUGAAAAUCUGGAAGCUUUUUACAGAAGCCUUCAGGAAAUAGGCGGUACCUUUAAAGUCAAUGAUGUGGCGGACAUACUGGGGAUUACCCGACAGGCAGUGAACAUCCGGGUGAAGAAGAAUCAGCUUCUGGCCUUUAAGCAAAACGGUGACUUUAUGUUCCCGGUCUUCCAGUUUACUGAUGAAGGUCUGAGACCGGGAUUUAAAGACAUCAUGGACGCAUUCGAUGAGGAUACCCAUCCGGUGUUGCGGCUGGAGGUUUUCAAAGCUCCGAUUGCGGUCAGCGAUGAGCAAACCAAAACACCCAUCCAGAUCCUGACUGAUGGCGCAGCUGAAGAUGAACUGGCUCUGGCCGUUCGAGCCGCACGACUAUUCGGUAGCCAUGUUGCCAGCUGAGUUAAAGAAAAGAGGGGCAUACCGCGCCCCUCUUUAGUUACUUCGGUUCGGACAUAAUUUUGAAGUUUAGUAAUUCCUCAAACAUCUCUUCGCCGGUCAUGAACGUACCAGGCCAACCUGCAGGGAAAAUUCCUGUAUCUGUCUCCCUGUAAGAUGCAUAGGGCACCAUCCCCCCGGGAGUAUCAGUGAAAGCAGGCGGCUUACCUGGCAUUUCCCAGAAAGCAUAACAACGCUUGCAGCGAUAGUGUCUUCCUGAAUAAGAGAUCCCAUCAAAAUCACUUCCAAAAUGCGUAUGCAAAUACGACAUCAGCCAUUGUGUGAAGGUAUAGUUUUCGUUUUCAACGCUGUCAGGUGGAAUGUGAAGCAGCUGGCAUAAACCAACAAUAUCGAUCGCUUUCACCGUUCUGUUGACAUCUAUCGAGCACAUAUAAUGCUGAUGUAAGACUUUCUCUGGGUAAUUAACAGGACCACCCAAAUGAAGUAAACGUCCGUAUGCUUCCGCCGCUGCCGUUAAUGAUGAGUCUGCAGCGUACCACACGGCAAUCGAACCACCGGGUGGGUUGUAGCGUCCACACUCUUCAAAUAACACUGGCGCACUGAACUGUACUGCACUUGCAUAACACUUCUUCUGGUGACGCUUCAAAACAGCCGAAGCCGGAUUGAUUGUCACUGUCGGAAUACGCCCUACCUUUUGUAACGCUACAAUUCCCUGCGUCACUUUAUCUUCUUCAAAAAUCCAUUUAUCCAUAAAACACCUCCUUACAACAGAUUAGGCCAUAGGCUUUCUCCAUUCUCAUUUAUAAAAUGUCCCUGAAGUAUCGUCAUUCAAGGACGAAUAAGACCUGCGGUCUCGCUGAUAUUAUAUCCAAAAAAACCAUAUGUUUCAUAUAAAUAUGGUUUAUCUUCCAGAUGAAUUUAGAGUAUAAAUAGUAGCUUGCAUUGUACCUAAUUUAAGGUACAAUUGAUGUUGAAAGGGAAGGCUACCGAGCCGCCCAAUAACUGCCUCAGGAGGCGUUCAUGUCAACUAUCCCUCAAUUAGCUGAACUGGGUUUUACCUCAGAUGUUAUACCUGUGAUCAAUACACCAGCGCCCAAUAUGACUCGCGGAUUUGAGCGCUUUCAUAUCAGCUAUAACUUUUCAUCAGCAGCAUACGGUUGCGACACAACAGCUCUGGUUCUGGAUGAGCGUGUCUUUUUCGUUCUGGACGGGGACCACGCCAGGGAUAUGACCGAAGCUGCAAAAUCACAUGGUAUUGAUGGAUGCGUGAACGUCUUCAUAGACCGUAUUGAGUCUGCUAAUCGUCACAGCGAGCAUAAAAUGGCGAUUGGCCUGACAAGUGAUAAGUUCGGACUGAUGCCGACCGCACUUGCCGUCAUCGGAGAACAGAACAUCCUCCGGCUUCUCUCUGCAGUGACAGGAACUGUUCAGGACUUUUCAGCGAACGGCAUUAACAAGGAUUAACCAUUCUAAGUACCAACAGACCCAUAACAUCUGAGGCUUAUAUGAAACUUGACGAUUUAACAGGUGACGACCGUACUCUGGUUGUAGUCGCUCUCCAGGCUCUUCACCGGGAGCGAGCUAACGCAUAUCAUGCAGCCUGCACCGCCUGCCAGCUCUCAGGCAAGCAACCACCAGCUGAAGCCCUUUUUGGCGUUGAUGAAUGUAUUUCGGCAUUACGCAGGAUUGGGGCUCUCCCGAUGAGAUGAAAUCAGAGAUGAAAUCAACCAAUGUGAAAGACGAUAGUAGGGCAUUACUCAUCAGUGCUGGUCAGUUGUUGUUUGGUGAGCGCUGGCAAACGGAACUCGCCAGAGCCCUUGGCCUGUCAGACGGCAGGCGCAUCCGUCAGUGGCUUUCUGGUGACAGACCAAUUCCAGUUGGAAUAUGGGAUGACCUGAGUGGUCUUCUGAAUGACCGAAGUUCCGAAAUAGCUCUGAUUGCUAAACACAUUCAAGACAGGACGAAUGAGAACGUAUAGGUUAAUUGAGCUGACAGUAGGGAGGGGGGAAAGUGACGCAACAAUUCUCGCCUCCGCGUGAAGUCGUGGAGAUGUCCCGGCGGAUUUUUGAAAAUGUAAUCUCCAGUAGCCUCAAUACUGCUGAUACCACAGGAACCUGUAUGUAUGGUUCGAUUCUGGUUUCCAUGCUCCUGGAGAAAUAUUCAGGUGUCAGGACACGUAUCGCCGGUGGAGAUGGUGUUGGUGAUGGUGGAAUUCUAACUGCAGCCGGUAUGAAGGGGCAUUAUUGGGUUGUUGCCAACGUACAUGGAAUGCUCUUUGUUGUCGAUAUCACGGCAGAUCAGUUUGGCAUGGACAAAAUCGUAUACAAAGGGUUAAAGGAUGCUCCAGAGUACAUUGAGGGCCACCAAAUCACCAUUGAUGACCAUGUUCAUGAGACCCUUCAUCAGAUUAUAGAGAGUCAGCGUUCAGAAUAUAACCAGCCGUGAGCCCUGUAAGAAAUGACAAAGAACAGGAGUCCUGGCUCGCCAGAGCUCUUUGUACUGGUUAAAAACCCAGAUAUCAUUCCCCCUGGGUUAUAUGAGUGAUAGACUAUCACUCAUAUAACCUUUGGAGGUAAGAAUGUCUGAAUUUGAAUCCCUUGCAGAAGAGCUGGUAGAAGAAGCACGAAAUGAAGAGGCCAAGCAACAGCAACGGGACCUGACACUGAUAGGUAAAGUCCUGGAAAUUUAUGAUCAGAAGUUCGUUGCAGAGCUUCUCCGUAAGCUGGGUAAUUCAGACUGGACCAGGGAGACCCUGAACCGCUGGAUUAAUGGUAAAUGUGGACCUCGUUCGCUCACAGUAACCGAAGCGUCUCUGCUCGAAAAGAUGCUCCCUCAGCCGCCUGCUAACCACCCCGAUUAUGCAUUUCGCUUCAUCGAUCUCUUCGCCGGUAUCGGCGGCAUCCGUCAUGGAUUUGAGGCCAUUGGCGGCAAGUGUGUUUUCACCAGUGAAUGGAACAGCUAUUCAGUCAAGACUUAUAAGGCUAACUGGUACUGUGACCCCGACGCACAUAUCUUCAAUUCAGACAUCCGGGAUGUCACGCUCAGUCAUAAAGAUGAUGUCAGCGAAGAAGCCGCCUACGCCAAUAUCGACAAAUCGAUACCCGAUCACGAUGUCCUGUUAGCUGGGUUUCCAUGCCAGCCUUUCAGCCUUGCCGGUGUCAGUAAGAAAAACUCACUUGGCCGUAAACACGGUUUUGAAUGUGACACCCAAGGGACCCUAUUCUUUGAUGUGGCCCGCAUCAUCAUGGCGAAAAAGCCAGCCAUCUUUGUCCUGGAAAACGUCAAGAACCUCAAGAGCCACGACAAAGGCAAAACAUUCCGCGUCAUUAUGGAUACCCUGGAUGAACUCGGUUACGACGUCGCCGACGCUGAAGCAACAGGUGCCGAAGAUCCAAAAGUUAUAGAUGGUAAACAUUUCAUCCCGCAACACCGGGAGCGUAUUGUUCUGGUGGGGUUCAGACGUGACCUGAAUUUAAGCCAGGGAUUUAGUCUUGGUGACAUUUCUUCUCUGUACCCGGAAAAAAAGGUCCUGUUCAGAGAGCUUCUUGAUAGUGAAGUAGAAGAUAAAUAUACACUAACGCCAAAGCUGUGGGAUUAUCUCUAUAAGUACGCCAAAAAACACCAAGAGAAAGGCAAUGGUUUUGGUUUUGGACUGGUGAAGCCUGAAAAUGAUGAUGCAAUUUCUCGCACAAUAUCAGCGAGAUAUCACAAGGAUGGUUCAGAAUCGCUCGUUGAUCGUGGUUGGGAUAGCGAACUCGGUGAAAAGAACUUUAACGACCCAGAGAACAUGACCCGACGUCCUCGUCGUCUAACACCGCGUGAGUGUGCCCGGCUAAUGGGAUUUGAGCAGCCAGGGAAAGUAACUUUUAGAAUCCCCGUAUCCGAUACUCAGGCUUACCGCCAGUUCGGAAAUUCCGUCAUCGUGCCGGUAUUCGAUGCAGUAGCGAAAUUGCUGGAGUCACGGAUCAUCGAGGCUGUGAAGGCGCGGAAAUAGAAGGUAUUGAAAGAGCCCCAAGGGGCUCUUCAAAUAUCUAUGCUGGUAUCAUCCCAUUGCGCAUACGACUCUCGCCAGAUGUGGGGGGAUGUCACCAAUAGAGUUUUUUAAGUUCAUCUAUAAACGCAGAUAGUGACAUUAGCUCACCCCUGAUUUCCUCGGGAAAGGCCUUAUGCAACCCUACCGGUACAACGAGCCGUAUCCCCUCAGACUGCAUUUCCCUGAACUGUGCCACAGAUACGCCCUGCUGUAAGGUGAACAGGUGUACUGUAUCAAUUCUGUCAGCCUCAUUCAGUACCUGCCGCCAGCGGUCCUUACAGGUGGUUUUAACCCCCAACAUGCGUAACUGUUCAGCAGGGUAAUAAGGAUCGCGAUAGGCAGCACCGGAAGGAAAGAUGAAAUCGGGUUUUUUCUUACCUUCCGUGAUAGCCUGAGUUUCAAAGCUCAUUACACCGUGUUCUUUGAAAAGAGAUUCAAGAUGGAGCUCAAGACUUUUCCCGGCACGAGACUUCCUCCGGUUACUCACUGAGUUAGCAAGCGUAAUAAAAUCAUUCACCGUGGCAAAGCCUUCGGCUAUCUGACCCAGCACGUGCAGUUCCUCAACGGCUAGAAAAAUUUCAAACUCAAUUUUCCGCCGCCACGUCAGUUGAGUGUCCGGAUCGUCAGAUUUUUUAUCGUAAUGACAUGCGGCAAAACCAAUAAUUUCCCUUCCUGAAGGAAAGUGAUGGGCCCAUUCCGGCGGCAGCUCAUACCUGGUCCUGGCUGGGGAGUGCUCGGUAACGAAUCCCCCAAUUAUUUUGUCUCCAGGACCAAAUAUUGUUCCUCCCGGGAUAACUUCUCCAAUAAUAGGUUCAAGAACCUCCUCCUCGGUCAGGUCUUUGCAGACCCAGACAUCGCAAUAACUGGAAGAUGUGCCGGGGAUAUGGUCGAACGCGAGAAGGGCCAGAGCUCCUGUAUUCUCCGGAUUCUGGAGCGGAUUUUGUCUACCAAAGCCCGUCAGCCGUUUUUCAUCCCGGGUGCCACCGAAAAACUUAUUGUUAUAGUAAAUGGCCCUUACAUCAUUAAGGUCAGGGCAAUCAGGAUGAGAUGACAUGUGCACUGAAAAAAGUGCUUCUGGAUUUCUUAACUGAGUAUCACGGAGUGAAGGGAACAGCUCAUCAAUGACUGCCCCUGGCAUGUAAAGACCAGACUGGUGGGAUCUUGUCGCGCCGGUAUCGUUCGCGGAUAGACGCUUCACGUAUACCCAGACAUUAGCAGAGCAUUUUUCUUGCAACCACUCAGCCAGAAUACUCAUCCAAACUACUCCAUCAUAAACAUUCACUGUUUAUGAAAGAUGUUACGGAUCCUGAGGUUAGAAGCAAGGCUAAAAGAAUCGGAGUGGGCUGGAGUGAGGGGAUGAUUAACAGUGAAUUGCUUAUACGUUCAAAAGGUUAUGCUCAUAAAAAUACACUAAUACUAAACCUUAAUAAUUUAUAAAAUCGUUAGUUACCCGGACUGUAUAUCAACACUACCUUCACAUCAUGUUCCUCAACGUACGCUACAUCAUUAAAAAAAUCAGUCAGAAAAAAAUGGCGAUGUGUAUUUCAUAUAAUUUCUCACUGUUUAUGAGAUGAAGGACUCCUCCAGCAUUUAAAUAUAGCAUACGAACAAAUCAGGGGAUUGACGAAGCAACUUAAAAUGUAAGAAUAGAGAUGCGCGAUAUUCAUCAUCAAUGACAGACUCACAUGAAAUAGCAUUAAAAUCGUUCAUGCACGUCUGAAACAGGCAUGAUCAAUAUUAUUUUUCACAAUCAAAACCGGGAUUAUAUUGACUAAACAUUUAUAUGUGGAAAAAUAGACUAAUCCCGUAUCACUCUAAAAGGUAACAUAUGAAAAUCCGAGAUAAGAUUGCUGCUGAAUUGAAUUACCAGGCAUCUGUAGAAGGAGAGACGGGUAAUAUAAAAAUGUGUCGUAUUAUUCUGGAGUCUGUGAACAAUGCUGUUGUUUUCAAUACAAUGACAAAGGUAGAGAAGGCACCUGACUCUGACGCAAAAACCACCAAUGAGCAGUAUUUCCACUAUGUUCAACCAUGGGUUAUCCCGUUCAUUGAAAAAAUGCAUACAGCCAAAGACGAAUGACGACAGCAUCCCUGGAAAGGAAGAACCUAUGGCAUUACUGAUUUCAGCAGAUGAUAGUAUUCGAAAGCUAUCCCCUCAGGACCUUGACGGUAGCCGUGAUAAUGAAGGUGUAUUCUCGCUCGCCGAUAUGCAACAAAUGGUAGGCGGUUACAUUCAGGCAGUGAGACUUAAUCCUGUUAUCGUACAUGAAGAUACGCGUUACACCUGGUUAAUUAUCAAUGAAGAAGGGAAGCUUCUAUCUUUGCCAAUUAACAACAAUGCGACCCUUAUGGCAGUCACUGCUAUCAGGCAUGAUGAUUACAUCGUCGGUGAUGCAUUGAUGCUUGAAGAACACGAAUUUCAGUAACUUUUUGUGAUACACUAUUCUCGUUAUUAUUCAAUGUUCGUUAGUUAAAUUUGCCUGUCGAUGACAGGCUUUUUUUUGAAAUAAAAAGCCCGGAACCAGGCUUUAAGUGGAGUACCAUCAGACAGAAGAAAGUUACUUUUUGGAUUUUUCGCUACCAGGAUGGAGUGCUAAGGCAUCAGGCUUAACAUCAACCAUUGCCAUUAAACAUUCUUUAUGCCCGUAUGUGCUACCGCCUGAUUUGUCGAUAUACACAACUCCAUUUUCUCUCAUUCUCUCCCUUCCAUAGCGGGCCGCAUACGACUCUGGCAUAUUUUUCGAGCAAAUCUCACAGGGCCCCAGAUAGUCACUACCCCUGGCCGUUGCCCUAAUGACUUUUACCAGUCGACCCGUUGGUACGUUAGAAAUCAUUUGAUUAAACCUCAAGCAUUAUCCAAAGGGCGAUUAAACAUUACCCUUAAGAAAAUUGAAAAGAAAAAAAACUAACACACUAGCACCCAACAUAUAGAUCGUGAUGAUAAAUAUUCUGGCUGAAAUGGUUGGGGUCAUUCUUGCGUUAAAUGCACUGAUGAAUAGUGCGAUUGCCGCAAUGAUUUUUAUAAUAUACUCAGGGAUAACAUUGUUUUCACCUAAAAUCUCGUAUACCUGUGAGCUUAACAGGCAAAAAGAAAGAAUAACAAGCGGACUCAACCAUUUAAGGUUGCGAAUUAAAUACCAAUCCUCUUUGCUGUUUUUCAUACUCAUUCAUACCCUCUAAAUUUAAUUAUCGACCAGAUUCUAAUUUCACAUUACUUUUUUAGCUUUGACAGUAACUUUUUGAACGGGGUGUACUCAUACACGAUCAAUGCAGUCAAUAAAAUCAAACUCACAGAAAGAAUAAAAAGGUGAAUGCAAUUUAUAUAAAAUUCGAGCUUUAUGCUCAAUUUUUUCAAGUUUUCAAGUUCCUUAAACUCAUUUCCGACAUCAUACAUGUCCUGAUGACCUGCUAAUUUUGCCGAACGAAAGAGAGCGUCUUUUUCAAUGGCGGUUUGAGUUUCCAGGGCUUCAUUUAUCUCACUCUUUUUUAACAUUAAUUUAUUGAGUUCCGCACCAGCGCUCGAAAUAUCCGUCUCUUUGUUUUUUCUUUCAAGAAUUACAAUUAAAUUCUUAAUGUUAGAAUUAAGUUCUUCAAUGUCACUUUGUUUAACUGUUUUCAAUAACAUCGUAGACGUUUUAUUUGACAGUUCAUCCAAAUCUGGAUGACCUGCGUACUCCUCUGAAAUCUUCGCUGAGGCAGUGUCUCGCUCAUUAAUCAGCUCGCUAAUGUGUUUCAACGGUCGAGAAUCAUUAGAUGAAAAUGUAUCUAUGGGUGGCUCAUCAAUACUGCGAGCAACGCUACCAGAACUCAUGAAUAUCGUCAGCAGAAGGGCGGGCAGUAGGGCACGGGGAACAUUUGAAAAUUUUGAGGGUUUCAUAAUAGCUUCCUGAAUUUUUGAGAUGUGAGUAGUUUCACGAUCGUAAAGGAAAAUUCUGUCGAUUUCCGGUCUUUGCUGACCAUAAAAAGGAUUUAGAACUUUUUAUUUUCUUUAGUUAGCCUAAGCAUCCCCCCCCUUUAACAGAUAGGGGGGGGUAGAGGCUAUCAGCAUCCCAUCAUCCGUUCCAUUUUUUCCAUUUGAGCUAAGUCCGCCAACUCACGACGUUCGCGGCGUUCUACGACAAGAGCUCUUUUUUCCCCAAAAGUCAGAGCACUGAUAAUGGGGACCUUAAUUUUCCCACUGCCUUUACAGGUGGUGCAGGCAACAUCAUAUGUACCGUUUACUAUCCUGUGCCGUUCCUCUGGCUCCAUUUCGUAAAGCUCAGCGCUGGUAAAACCAUCCGAAAACGCUGGGUUGUCAAUGGUACCGUGGCCUUCACAGUGAUGACAAAUUGCCCAAUAAAACUUACCCAUGCAUGGCUCCCUUUAUCAGCUGUUACACCAUUCAUCGUAAGUUUUUAGUGGCUUUCCGGUAGUGACGUCAAUACCUUUUCCAUUAUCUGCACAAGCAAGGUAAAUUUGGUAUUCACUGUCGUUAUCACCACGAGAACGAGUCUGCCAGUUUUCAUUUUGUUCAAGUUUCAUGACACACCUCACUUUAAUUUAUUAGUGUUAUCCUACUCUAUUUGACUCGUCCAUCAACCCCCUAAUUACUAAACAAGAAAUAUUUUAAUGCUAUUGUUUAGCAACUUUAAAUCGUGUUUAACAACAAGCGUGCGUUAAAGAACAUUACCAGCGACAAUAGAAAUAAAAUAAUACUUAAUGCCACUUCUUUUAAGGCUUCAUUUACAACUAUCUUUCUGAAUCCUGAGGAGAAGGGGGCGGAAGGAUUCAAACAUCUCAAUGCUGGGAUUAAAUUCAUAAUGGCGAAAAUUAAGAGAGUAAGUCCAGCCGAUACGAACAGUGUAAUCACACUGUAUGAUACAUGCUCAUGCUUAUAGAACAUAUUGUAUGCUAUCAAGGUUAUACCUAUGAGUACAAGGAAUAAACCUGUGAUGUUAACAAUAAUGAAUAUGGCGUCCUUUCUGUUAUAUAGGGAAGAAAUCAUCACUCUACCAAUCAUCAACAAUACAAUGAUGUCAAGAAUUACAUUUAAUGAAAAUAUAGCGAUAUAAUAAAAAUCACUCAUAUCCUUUCCUUUUCCCUACAAACAAAAAAUGUUGCUUGUGAUGUAAUGUUAAAUAUAUUAAAAAAUCAUUGAUUUGAAGUCAUAUCAUAAUACUGUCCAUAGGUUAAUUUUAUAAAAUCAGGGGGAAUAGACACUUCAUUUUUGAAUCCAUCAACUCUAUUCGGAAUGCAAAAUACCAGAGCAUCAUUUCUUUCAAAGAGCAUACCGCAUUUCGUUGUCAGCAUAGCCGUUGCAUGCUUGCGGAAGGAGGAUGGACCGCCUUGUGCUGUUCGCAUCACGCCAUAGUGGUUGAUAAUGUAAGAUUCCCAACAAGGAUACGAACCGAGCCUUUCAUUUGCUGAUUUAAUAACCGAAUCCAGUUUUUUAUUGUAGUCGCGACCUUCCUUUGUGUUGCCUUUGCCGCGUACAACUAUCACCGGUUUAUUAUUGAAUAUAGAUCGCUCUUUAAUCGUUAUGGGGCACGGAAAGGUACACUCAGCAUCCCAGGCAAAGGCACGCAAUUUAUCCCCUUUAUCUCCCAAUCCGUAUGAAUUAAUGAAUGCAAUUGCCCCGACUGACCUGCAGGCUUCAUCAAUAACCAUGGAACGUUGCUCUCCGACAGUUUCAUAGGACUGAAUUAACUCCUUAACCUUUGGUCCUUCAACAAGGUAAUAAUCAUAAUACUUAGCCUGGUCCGACAUCGUGGUCCCUCUCGUGUUAUGGAUGGUUACUGCAAUCAAAGAAAGUUACUUUUUUGCGGCAGUAAGCCCAAGAACUUCUUUCAUCUGUUUCUGUGUCCAUAUCGUUUUGGUAAUGGUCAGAUCUACAUCACCGCGAUAGGCUGUACCAUCUGGCAAAAUCACCAGGCUAAUUAUUUUUUUCCUGGUUUAGAAACUUCAAACCGAUCUCCACUUCUCUUUACGGUAUAACCCUUUAACAGAGCCUCCUGAACGAUUUUUUCUUUUCCUUUCUUAGCCAUAACCCCCUCCCGGCUUUUAUAGCAUAGCAAUCAGGGUAAAUUAUCAAAUAUCAAGGACAACAUCGCCACAGGGACGACAGCAGCAUGGCAGAAUUUCAUCCGCACCUACGUAAGCCAGGGGGAAGCAGUUGUAAGUGACUUUUCCUGAUUUUUUCUUGAGCCUGCAUGCACCACAAAAACCUGAACGGCAUUGUGAUUCAACAGGAACCCCCGCCGACUCUAGUUGCUCCAGGAUAGAGUUUGCACUAUUUUCAGAGGUUAUAAGCAUUUUGCUUUUCUCAGCAAAGAUAGUCUGACAAUUGAUAUAACCUGACAUAAGCCGCCCCCUUUUAUCUUUAUCAUAUUAUAUCAUUUUACCAGGCUACCAUAACCCCCUAAUUAUGCGAUGAGUGAAAAUUAACCCGGAAAAGUUUUAUCAUCAGAAAUAUUCAGAAAUUAUCACAUCAGAGCCAGCCACAUUGGAAAACCACAAUCAUAAAUGGCGGGUGUUUAUGAAAAAUAAUUUUAAAUUUUCACGCUCAAACUAAAAAUGACCCCUUGAUGCAGCGUUUUAAUAUGCAAUCAUGUAUUCAACAAAGGAGAAAAUAUGAUCCAUUCAUUUGAAGAAAAGAACCUUGAGAAGUUAUUUAAGAGCGGGAAAUCGCAGUCAGGUCUUCCAACGGAUAUUACCAACAGUCUGAAAAGGGCGCUUGAGGAGCUGCAUAAUGCGGCAAGCGAAGCUGACCUGAUCCGUCUUAAAAGUCGUAACUAUGAAAAAAUUCACCAUACACGUUUACGAGAACGUGAAAGGGCGGGAGAUAUGUCAUCUAUCCGUGUCUCUUCAAAAUAUCGUCUGCUGUUCACCUGGGCCGAUGGUGGCGCAAACCGGGUGAAACUUACCGCUCAUGCCCAUGCGUAAGGAUUCGUUUAUGCAGCAUUGCACAGCACGUCCUAAUGACGAAGUCCGGGCUAUCGAUCUGUUUACAUCCUUAGGUCGGGAAGGGGUGCAGUUUCGCCUGGACAGCCUCGCUAUAUUGGCAGCAUCUCGCUGGGAGCAGGCGUUACCUUUGCCUCCUGAUUACACAGGAACACCGAUUGAUUUUCUGUCGGAUGCGGAACGCGAGGAAAGGCAUAUCCUUUUAACCGGUCAGAUGCUUUGCAUCGAUGAGAUAGCUGAAGCACGUGAACGUAUAAAGCAGCGUAUAGCCAGUCGUAAAAAGCUAUGCGGUACACGGAAUGCUGACUCACAUAUUGAAAGCGUUUGAAUGGGACUACCAUGUUAGAGAAAAUUUAUUAUCUGGCCCUUUUUCUGAUUGCGGUUUGCAUUAUCUGUGGUUUCGUUUUUGCAUGGCGCAGACGUAGCCCUAUGGCCCUGACGUUGACUAUCAGCGCUCUUGUGAUCUGUAUUGCUUUUCAUACGCUGGAGAACUCUGUUGCGACAGGUAAGGAUGAGUUAUUGCCAGGUGCCAGGGACUUUACACAGUGCGAGCUGGUUGACCAGCAAUCAGCUGAAAUCAGCGGUUUUGGCUAUCCGGUCGUUGUUCUGAUUUGUGAUGACGGCCAACAGAUUUUAGAUGCAGGGAUAUACACGCAGCAGCUGAAGCAAAAACAGGAUUGCGCCCCGGGCAGUGAGGUAACAAGCUGUCAUUAACUGCCAGAAAAGUUACUUUCCCAAAUAAUUCUUAUCCGCUGCAGUAUUUCCUGUUUUCCAGCGAGAAAGUAUCCGUUAGUAUCUGUUAACAUCAUUGAAUCAAACACAGAGAGAACAAAAAAAAUUAACCGCCAUAGAGGUAUAAAUGACUUCCGACGACAAUCAGAAUAAUGCAAGCGGCAAAGGUGUGGAUGAUUCUGUUAAAUCAGGCCAGAGCCAACAAAACACAAUUAGCAUUCUUAAACCAGGAUCAAAUAACGACCUGAUUGACCAACUUCGUGGUGGGCCUCUGGACAAAACAUCCGUUGACUAUGAAUACCACUCACCGGAUCCUACUGAAACUGCCCAACGUCUUGCUUUAAUUAGUUAUUUGAUUGCCGGGGAAGAAAAAAAUGGUGCCUUUUAAACCUGUUAAUUUGCUUCAAAUUAUGUCAUCUCACAAGAUGGAGACAGAUGAUGUUGCACUAAUCGCCGGUACCGAUUCUGUUGUAGUGGAGUCCUGGUUCAAGGAUGGGGUCGCCAGUGAGACAGCCCUGCACAACAUCGCAUGUGCAGUCGGAGUAUCGACGGAAUGGAUUCGGGGCUUUGUCUCCGGUGAGGAUGAAACACUUAAGGCAAACAGUGAAGGCCUGACGAAAGAGUUGCAGAAUCUUCCCCCUGAAGAAAUCUCCGUUCUGGCAAAAAGCUUCAGUUUGCGUUUGAAAGAUAUCAGUGAACUCGAUAACAAGCAGCAGGGGCAGGCUCUUUCAACGGUCAAUAAUAAUGCGGUUUUCAAUAGUGAUACCGAAGAACUCCUUGCGGUAUAUCGGUUAUUGCCAGAAACAGAAAGACGAAAUCUAUAUCGUGUGGUUUGUUUGAGACACAAAGAACUAGCACGGCUUUACGAAAAAUAUAUUAAUAAUAAACAACUUAUUUAAUAAUGCUACAUGGCUACAGAACUGGACAUUAGCAAUAGCCGGUGUCCGGUUUUUAUCCGCACGCGCUAGUUUUAAAUGAAACUAACAAUCAGUCAUAAACACUGGGCAAAAACAAAUUAUUUCCAUUUCAAUCUCAUUUCACCCCUGGUCAUAGCAUUUAUUUCUGGCAUAAUAGCUUUAUAGUGAAUAACACAGCUUGCCCUGAAUUGUUACUCUCUUACUAAAUUAUCAAGGAUAAACUAAUGAUAUCUAAAAACGAGGCAUUAGAUUUUUUAAUGAUGCCAAGCCAGGGUGCAACCUUUAGCGUUUUUGUUGGUGCUAUUAGUUUAUUAUCAAUCCAUACACAAGGGUAAAACAUGACGAACAAAGAUGUCAGCAAAGCGAUUUCAGUCAAAGACAAAGAAGCUCUUCAUUUAGAAGUUGUAGAUGGAAAACUAGCUGUAAAAAGAAUAUGCGAAGAUUUUGUUAUCGUAAAUUUGAAUGAUAUCCCUUCGAACCGUGAAGAACUCAUUCAUUUCAAUAAUAAAUAUUUAGCUCCAAACGGACUCGGUAUUGAUGCAGAGUCACUUUCUGAUGUAAAAGUCGAGCAACUUAUUGAAACAAUAAAAGAAACAUUCACUAAGGAGAAUGGGGUUGCCACUAUGACUGACUAUACUGGCCCUCUUAAUUAACCCAACACUGGCUAUCAGUGAGGCGAUAUGUCGACAGAAAACAGUGCAAAGAUCACUUUUACUUUUAACGGUAAUGCUCCUCAACACUGGAUAACUACAUUAAAUAGUCAAAGGAAAGGUACCUGGAUUGAUCCGCAAUCCAGCGGCAGCAAAGUACUGCUGGACAUCCUCACUAGCAGCGGCAUUGAUGCGGACAGCGUUCGCGGUGAUGAUGUUCUGGUGUUUUCAGUUCCCUCUCAGCGUGAGAUUUUGUCUGAACUUCUUGGUAUCUAUGCCGUUUCUGAUGCCAGAGUGUUGCUUAUCGCCGCUACGCCAUUCUGUCCGAACCUUUCUCGUGUUGUGGUAACAACCCACCAGCUUCUUUCGGACGGCAGCUCUGUUUCCAGCGAACAAAAGGCAUUACGCAACCUGUUUUUUAUGACACAAAACGGCAUCUGUAUUCAGAGUGAUUUAUCUUUGAAUCUUGACCCGGCCAAACUACCUGGUUCCCGUUUCUUUGCCUGUGAAGAUGAUAUGGAACAAGCAGGAAUUCAGCGUUGGGGAGAAAAUGGUGGUGAUGCCUGGCGUGCAAUGGCAACGAUUAUGCAUGGAAAGAAAAUUCUCAUCAACGGGGCCGGACAAAUGCUGGAACUAGGGAAUACCCCGGAAGAGCGGAUUAACGCCGUCAAUAAUUAAAUUCAUUUAUAGGUUGUACCUAUGGAAACAACAUUUUUAGGAAACAACGAGUUUAUCAAACAUGGAGGCCAGUUAUUCCUAAAAACUGAGGAAAGCUGUUUCGCUUUUUAUAAUAUAGAAUGGGCGAAAAAAAUCUUAUCCAGUGAUAAUGUUAAGUUUCAAAAUGGAAGGAUGUCCCAUGACGUCGCCCAUGAUGUUCUUGAGGAAGCUCAGGAUAACUUAUUAUGUUUUUUGUGUGCAACAUUACCUAAAAUGUCCACCAGCUAAAACUAACUGUUUGCGUGAAAUGACGCUAUCGAGCCCCCCCUAACACAGGGGUUCUCGUAGCCAUAACAAGAAUUCCAUCUAACACUGCAAUCAAAGGGAAAUGGUUUUUGGGGAUUCGAAAGUUAUACAUCCAUAAACAGUGGAUGUUUAUAAAUCAUAUAAUUUUUUAUCGGAUUAUUUUUUAAUCUAAUGAAAAUCACCCCUGGCACUCAAUUAUAAAUAUGAGAUAAUGAUUUUACGAAUUCAACAGGGGUAUGUUAUGUCUCGUCUGAACCUGGAUUUAAUUGAAACUAUUUACUCUGAUGCUGACCGUGAACUCACCAAUGAUGAGUUGUAUCGGGAGGUACAGUCUCGCCUUUCAAUUUCAGAUAAUGAUUUCAAUUCAAAAGAAAAAUUCGGUUUGGCCGGUGUUCCUCAUAACAAAAUUAAACACCGUAUCCGUUGGUUCCAACAGACACUAAAAGCCAUGAACGUCAUCGAACGUUUAAGCUCCGGCCGCUCUCUAUGGCGUCACUGCAGGAAAAAAAAUUCCGGACUUUCCGAAGCGCGGGAAGGGACACGUAUAGUGGCAUUCAGUACAGAUCUCGGGGUAGCGAUUUUAGGCAACUCUACAAUGGUGUUGCCUGGCAAUACCGAACCGGUCCAUCUCUGCCUGACAUCUCCACCGUAUCCACUCAGAAAGCAGCGGGAUUAUGCCGCAGCCUUCAAAAACGACAGUGACUAUAUUGAUUUCAUCGUGGAAGCCAUUAGACCAAUCGCCCGCCAGCUGGUUAACGGUGGUUCUGUCGUGCUGAAUAUCGGUCAGGAUAUUUUUAAUCCGGGUCAGCCUUCACGUUCCCUCUACCCGGAGCGCCUGCUACUGGCCUUGUGCGAAAAACUUGACCUCUACCUGAUGGACCGGGUGCCGUGGGUGAAUAUGAGCAAACCACCCUCACCGACAUAUUGGGCCUGCCGUAAGAAAGUUCAGCUGCUGGCCGGUCAUGAAAUUAUUUUCUGGCUGACCAAUAAUCCUGAUGCUGUCCGUUCCUGUAACCAGCGCGUUUUGCAGCCCCAUACAGAGAGCCACAGCGCGUUGGUUGCCAGAGGCGGAGAGAACCGUACGACCAUCUACGGUGACGGAGCCCAUGUCGUGAAACCAGGUGCCUUUUCUCAAUCCACUGACGGGGCUAUUCCCAAAAAUGUGAUAAUCCGAGGCCAUGCGUGUGCUGACACUCGCCGCUUUCACAAGGAAGCUAAACGGUUAGGGCUUCCUGGACAUGGGGCGAUGUUCCCUACGGCCAUCCCCGACUUCUUCAUACGGUUUCUGACGGAAGAAAACGAGCUGGUGGUUGAUCCUUUCGCUGGCUCUCUAAAAACAGGCCUUGCCGCCGAACGGCUCAACCGCAGAUGGAUGUGUUUUGAUAGUAUUCUGGAAUGGUUACGAAUUUCAGCCACCGGCUUUUUUUCUGACUUCCCGGGAUUUGAGAUGAACCCGAUUAUUGAUAACGGCGAGUUGUUCGCGUAAGCGGGCGUUAGAACAUUUUUCAUUCUGCACAUCGUGGAGUGAACGAUCACAGGAGAUGGCAAUAUGCCUGACAUUAUCCCGCACCAACAGCAGCCGGAACAAUUUCAUAAAUUCUACUCCCUCAAGGGGGGGCAAUACUGGCGUGCCAAAAACGCGAUUCCUGAACAACGUAUAGAGCAGGAUGAGGUUUUGCUGAUUGAGUCGCUUCGCUGGGUCGAUAAUGCACUCCAUACCGUGAUCCUCCGCACCCAUCCGUCAAAAUUCGACAAAAACUUUGUUUUCAAAUUCACCGAUGCUGCUGGCCGUAGCUACAGCACGACGAAAUCGUUUAAAGAACACCGCUUUCUGUUCGACGAUUUUCUGGACAAAUUUGAGUUUGCCGAUGACGGGCAGGAAAUCCGUGGUCAGGAACUGCUGGCCGCUCAAAACCGGGUUAGCCAGCUGACACAGCAAAUGACCGACACCAUGUCCGAUCCUGAUGCUCUGCGUACGGAACUUCUUGGCAGGAUUGAAGCGAAAAAAGCCAGUUCAUCAGCUCCUGGGGAUGAGAAAAAACAACUGCCUAUGGUUCCGGGCCUGUCGUCAUCUACGGAGUUAGCAUCUCUCGGUUCCGCUCUUUCUUCCGGAAUAGAUGAAACAAAAAUAGUACAGCUCAAGCAGGCAGUUGAGUUCAGACAUGAAAUCGCGCAGGCCCAAAUCGACUGGAUCAAAGAAAAGAACUCUGUGAUUUCGAAAGCCGUCAUGGCUAUUACACCCUAUCUGGAAGAGUCGGCCGCCGCACAGUUGGCUAUUGCUGAAGAUAGUCGUGAAACGCUGAAUAAGCUGAUGGACGGUAUCAAGUCCCUUGACCUUUACAUCGGUAAAGAUGUGGUGGUUAACACGAUCAGAGAGGGCGAUUCAGCACCGGCACACAUUCCCUUAACGUUCGUACAGCGUAAGCUGGCCGUCGACGAGGAAACCGCUGUUUUUCUCGAUAUCGGUGAAUGGUUUGAUUUUGAAAAGCUGCCACUUUUUUUCCAGGCAUUAAAGAACCAUCCGGGGCUGGUGGAGCAGAUCUUCCCGUCACAGCGCUGCGUGGUCUGUAUGACCACGACCCGGCGCUAUAUUGAUUAUCAGGACCGCUGGGCGAACUGGGAGCUUAAUGCCAAAAACCAGACCGUUUUCCUGAUGGUUCGGGACGGCGAACGGCUGUUCCAGGUCUACUCCGGUGUUGAAUCUCACCUCGGCGCUCAUACGCUUUUCCCGACCACCGAUGAGCAGGGAAAUAUCUUUCGUGGCGUUGACGGUUCGCAGGUGACGUUCAAUGACGUGUCCUACACGGACAAACUCAAAGCCCAUGAGAUGGUUGCUCUGCAUUAUUACCGGUUUCUUAUCCUGUGCUGCGGGCUCGACCACCGGCUUAAGCUCUUUGGCGAGUUCUACGACCCUCAGGACCGCUUAAGUUUCGUCUCUAUGGCGUUCCAGGAGACGUAUUGUCGAUUCAUUUACGAUCAUGAUGGUACUGGUCUUCUGGACGAUCCUGAUGCGAAAGUGCGCCCCUCUAUUGAGGAGUAUAUAACCCAGGCCAAUAGCCAUUUGCGCUCAGGUUCAAGGGUGUUCUGCGAGUGGAGAGCUGUUUGUACACCAAAUACCGCGCCAGGUGUUGUGAAAGUCGAUACUGGUACCAGUUACCGAUCCUAUUAUUUUACCGCCGAUUUCAUCGAUGAUGAGGGAAUGGCAGUGGCCUUUACCCGCAACAAUGAGAUUUGCGUGGAGGUUCCGGUCAAAAAAGAUAUCUACCGUCGCACCCGGGCUAAUGAUGUACGUGAAUUUAAUGCGAAAGUAUCCCUCACGAAUUUUCAGCGUGAUCCGUGGGAUGACGCCAGCAGCGUGGGAUUCCUCUGUCUGGACGCGGUAAAAGCCGAUGAUCUGGAUUAUUACAUCAACAGCCGCUCCAGCCGUAGGGAUUUUAUGUACUACAUAAAGCUCUUCAAACGCCUUUCAGCUGUCCUGAGAGCGGAAGAAGAGCAGGAGAUGCCAUAUCGACAAAAGCUCCUCAGAGCGCUGGUUGAUGGCAACAUAGGCACUAAAGCUAACCGUGCUGAAAUCGUCGACAAGACAGUUAUCACCUGGCGGGCUGACAAAAAAGGUCAGCCGCUUAGUGAAGGAAUUGACAACGAGAAAAGCUGGAAGGCAUUACUUGGCAUGAUGGACCUGAUCGCCUGGCGCGGUUUGAGCCAUAAAGAGGCCGCAGUGGAGAUGGCCAUCUCCCGGGGUAGCAAACCGUUACGUCUGAUAGUCAUGACAAAUGCCAGACUGGCUCUGUACGUAACCCCUACAGACGAGGAACGUGAUGAUCGCGUGGAAAAACAUAAGUGGGCCAUGCUGCUGACCUUCAAAAUGUCAGCAAAAGGGCUGACUCUGGAUUCCAGCAAGCCUGCUUUGCUAAGCAAAAAUAGUGUCUGCGAAACAACCCUCUAUGAAUGGCCGGAGGCCAAUGAGUGGAAAGGGCUGAAAUCAGUGUUCUCCAGCUUCCACGAAAAACAAAGAGCUUUUGAAUACAUUGAGACAGGUAAAGAGGACCUGCGAAAACUGUCUCCGGCUAACCCUGCUGAAUUUGAGGCUGGGGUACGUGAAUGGAUGACGGCCUACUGCGAAAUGAAUGAUUACCGCAAAACCGGGGGCCAGGUGCAGCAUCCGAGAUUGAUGAUACCGGUAGGCAUCUACAUUGACCGGGGAGACUGGCAAUAUAUCUACGUCACUACAGAGAGUGAGGCCGCAGGGUAUUUUUAUCACAACGCCAGCGAAUCCCUGAAAAAGGAACUUUUUCAGGAGUAUGUAUCACGCUUUGCUCAUCAGGAAGGAAAACUCGAAAGGCUUGAAACUCGGGGGAACCGGCUGGCAUUGGGCAUGGCUAACAAAACUCCCGACAUCGGGAUGUUCAGUGCAGAUCGCAAUGUUGAAAUGGAUAGCGUGAAAUAUGGUUCUCUGUCUUACAGUGCUUACAGCCAGCUUCAGAUGAUAGAAAACCGUUUAUAUUUUGUCAUUGAGGAAGCUGAACGUGGGGUACAUCGUCGGAUUUAUAUUGCCGAUAACCUAAAAGACGAUAAGGAUGAGUUUAUCAUAGACAAACUCCUUGGUUCUUCACAUCUACAGGAGUCGUCUGGCGUUGAUGUAUUCGAAGUUAUGCUGCCUAAGUCGCUGUCAGAAGGGCCACUGCCGGUAUUGAAAUCAAGUGGUGAAAUCUACCGUAUUCACCACUGGUUCGACAUUUGUCCAAAAGGGACUGACUCGAAUGUAUCAUUGAGCAAUAUUGAUGCCCCUGUAAAUACUGUUACCAGACACAGUUUUGAUAGCAGGGAGGCGGCAAUUAUGCAUAUCCUGAGGCAGGAUAAUACAGUUAGGAAAAACACCUCUGGUGACAUAUUUAAUACGCCAGAAGGUAUUAACGAAAGAUGGUAUUAGGAGGGGCUAAUGUUUAGCAUGUUCUUUGUUUUAACCAGUAUUGUUGUGUGGAUUAUGCCGGUGAUGACCAUCGCCGGAGCAAUUUUCCGUAAGGACCUGUUAAACCGGAAUGAAUGGACAUUUCUCGUAUUCUUUAGCGUUAUUGCUGCAUCGUACGUGUCAUAUUCCAGCUGGCAGGACAGAAAUAUGGGCCUGGUACCAAUAGGGAAAGAAUAUUUAUCUUGCCAGUUAAAAUCGCGUAAUGAACCUGACCUCACAAGUUUCAGGACCGUGACACUUGAUUGUGGCGGAGAAGAAAAAAUGGCUAAAGAGGAAUUUUAUGAUGCGGCCGUAAAAGCCGCCACAAAAUACGGUUAUGAGUAAAUCGUCAAGAUUCACUUUCCUCCAUUUUACCCCUCAGCAAUUUCAAUUUCGUUCAAUCCACCAGCACAGGCCCACGGUCCCGGUAAACCCGGUACCGGGACCUGUGCCGUGAGACCACUUUAGACGGGUCACAUCACUUCAAAGGGAAGCUGUCGCCGUCUCAGUCACCCGGUCUCAAAAUUUUUACAGGCGUUCAGCCUGCAAAAACUUUGAGCUGCGGCUUCCUUCUCCGCCCUUUUUCGUUCUGUUUUCCCCGUCUGCGUUUGUCUCACGGCACAGGUCAAGCCGCAUACUAUCCUCAACUGCUGGAGAACUCGCUAUGAACGUUUUUAACAAUCUGUUUAAUCGUCACUGCCAAAACACUCUGCUGGCGCACGGCUGGCCCGCCGAUCUGGAGCUGGACUAUUCAUUACGUUAUUGCCAGGGAGAUGGUGUGGCAUUUUACGGCGUGCUGCAUGACAAAGAAAUUUUGACUUUGCUGUCUGGUCUGCUGAGAGAUAACCACAUCACCGAAAAGCUGGCAGAAGAGGUUGCCGAAGUAAUAAAAGACAGCGACACAACACUCACCCUUGAGCGCAACAGUUUUGGCUACCGGUAUUCUCAUGCUAAUACCAUCCGGGCAGAGUUAGAGAAUUACCCAGACGACAUUGGAUAUGAAGAGCGCUUUAAUGACAUGCUGGAGAGUGUCCGUGGGAGCAUUGAGCAGAUUUGUAGCACACUGGAAGGUGACGGAUAUAAAAUUCAUGAAAGCAUAACGCCUUCGUAUGAAGGAGACCUGGUUAUGUCACGUUCCACCGCCAAUUUUGAAAUCAUUGUGACAGAAAGCGAAGAGGAAUACUGGGACACAUCUGAUACCUGGGAUGAUGAAUGCAAAGAUUUAUGCAUCGCAGAUAUUCUGAGUGGCAAAUGUGAACUGAAAAACCUAGAAAUCCAGGUCAGAGGUAGACACACAGGCAAGGUCUAUGGGCAACAUUAUGCCGAACUGGUAUUUAUUAAUAAAAACAGCCCGGUGCGAAGCUGGUUUGACAGGGAAUGGUUAAGAACAGCGCUUGAUGAUGCACGUGGCAAUAUUGAAGAAAACCGUAGUGAACUGAAAAACAUAAGGUCAUAAUUUAUAUUUAAGGAGGUGCGACUAUAUAUGAUGUCGCACCUUUUUAAAAUAUUGGCAAACACAUAAAUGCCUGUCACAUUCAGAAAGGAAAAUCAUUGUAGCACUAUUCUGAAAUUCAUAAGGAAUUACAGCGUUGAGAAUAUCCGAUGUUUACUGGCUUAACUUUCGCUGAAAACUACGGCAGUUCAGUAGAUACAGGUAUCGGAAUGCCCAGAGCUUCCAUCAUUCCGGCCCCCGGUCGUGCAGUGGAACAGCGAAACGAGAUUGCCGCGCUUCGCCUGUCCAUCCGGUGACGGCGAACGGAAAAAACUAUUCGUCCGCGAUGGACGAUUCCGGUUAAAGUCCUAAAAUGGUCAAUGUCUCCAGGCUUUCAGGGAUUGGGAUCCGCUUGGCCCGCUUAUCCAACAUUUCACUGAUCCUUUCUGGAUCAAACAGGAUCCAACCUUUCAGCAACCCUAUCCUUAAGUCAAUUAGCCCCUCAGAAGCCCGUAAACGCUCUCUGAGGACAUUUUUCAGAAAAAAGGUAUCUACCUACGUAUAAAUUCUACGAUUAAUCCUGUGGCGUUUCAGGGGCAUUUUGUCAUUGGGGGGGGAUUGUCUUCACUGUUAGCUGUUCCCAAAUUCUACCACCAGCAUUACCAGGCAGAGAUACAACACACAUUGACUUUUUUUUAUCAUAUUAAUAAAUAACAGUUUUUAAAACAAAACAUCAGCGUUCGUACGUUGCCUUUUACGCUUGUUUGCCGUUGUUUAUCUCGAUCUGGAAUCCAGCUUCGGGAGGAUCAGGGGGGGGAAUGCCCGGAAAGAAGCUAUUUUGCUGGUUUUGUAAGCAAUCUGGAGGGGCAAGACACUUAUCACCGUUAUCCACAGGGUAUAACCAAUAAUAGAUCCCAAUAUGAUCCAAGAUCUAACCUAAAUAAAACCCAAAGGAUCCCCGUUCCUUCAUCCCAUUGAUUUUAUGAUAAAAAUCGUCACUUUCCCUCAUCGUUCGUACGUAGUUUUGUCAACGUUCGUACGUGAUUAUGUCAUUGCUAGGUUGAAAUUCGUCAUCGUUGGUAUGUAUUUUUAACAUCGUUCAUAUGAUAUUAAGUAAUCGUUCGUACGUUUGCAGAAGGGUAACCUGUGAAGAAAGUAAACAAAGAAAUAUCUAAAGAUAUCAGUGGGAAAGGUUAUUUUUCUUUUGAAGUGACAGGACAAACAGGCAAAGUUACUCACUUCGCACCAGGGAACACAGGCACUGUCCAGCCCGUUGCGCUGCUAAGACUAGGGGUAUUUGUCCCGACUCCCUUGGCUACAGGCAAAACACGUUCCAUUGAUAAAGUUGUGACUAUGGACGUGUCAAACGAGCUCCAGCAUAUGGAGGUCGCUUCCAGUGAAGGGUACAAGGAGAUCUCCCUAUCUAGCCCCCGGCUGGAUAUGAACACCGAUUUUCGAGUCUGGCUGGGAAUUGUCAGGACGAUUCACGAUUUUAACGAUGUCUCAGUUUCGGGAAGAAUAAAAUUACCUUUCUCAACGUUCCUCAAAAACUGUGGAUUUGACCCGACACGAUCGAAUAAGCACAUGAAAGCACGUAUCGACGCCUCGAUGGUUAAGCUAAGAAUGGUGACAUUUCAGUUCAGAAACGAAGAUUCCACGCUUACUACCGGCCUGAUAAACUGGGCACGUUAUAACAUCAAAACAAAUGAGAUCGAGAUAGAAGGUGACCCCCGCAUCAAAGAGCUUUACGCGAUUGAUUAUAAGGUUUUUUUGCGGCUUAAGGCACUGGACAGCUUACAACGAAAAGAGUCUGCACAGGCGUUGUAUACCUAUCUGGCGAGCUUGCCGAAGAACCCGGCCCCAAUCAGCAUGAAACGAUUCCGAGACCGACUGCGGUUAACUUCCCACGUCUCCGCUCAGAAUGAAAUUAUACGGCGCUCACUUCGUGAGCUACAUGAGAUAGGUUAUCUGCAAUACCAUGAAGAGAAGGUCGGUAGAAAUAUCAAAUUUCAUAUCCUAAAAAGAAGCCCAUCUCUCGGUGCGAAAAAGGACCCUAUUCAGGCACCGGCACAAAAUGCCCCGAUCCUGGAUGACCCGUUGCUUGAAAAACUGAAAAUGAUGAAAGCAGCUGGAUUUACCGGCGAAGAGAUUGCUGCAGUUCUUGUUUCCAUCGAUAAGAUGAAAAAGAUAAACGGCAAGCAUCAUGAUGAAGAGGCUGAAGACGCGGAUUUUAGCGAGGAGUGAGACUGCUCAACUAACAGAGGGAGUCUUGGCUUUCUGAGACUCGUUCAUUUCCUGAUUGCCUUCCUUCAGACGCAAAAAAACCUGGGGCAUUCCCCAUCUAAUUAUCAAAACGUCAUCGUUCGUACGUUCACGGUUGACGGAUGCGUGUAUCCGGACCUAUUGUCAUCGUUCGUACGUUAACGUGCUUUGCUCGUUAAAAACACUCCCGAUAAAAUGGCAGAUGCCAGGAACGUUCUGGAACAAAAACAGAUUGUAUGAAUUGAUAUUUAAAUUAAUAAAAAUCAAUAAGAUAUACUUUCGUGAGCUACAUAUACACCUUCCCUAAACUCAUACUGUCUUCUAAAUACAGUUUCCGCUAACACUAGCGCAACGCCAAAAAGUCAUCGUUCGUACGUAUGAACGAUGACGAAAUGGAUCAGAGGCAUUGUUCUACUGAACAGGCAAUCUGAUAACAGAUGUGUGCGGAACUAGCCUCAGGCCUAAACCUUUAACGUUCAGCGAGCUUUAAUUGGUAUUGAUACUCGUACGGCGGUACUCCCUUACUAAAAGUAACUUUUCAAACUUAAAUUGCCCGAUGUGCUGUCCUGUUUUGAAACUCACCAAAGUUUUCCAGACAGCGCGCUUUAGAGACUCAAUCGCCCACCACUUUACUUGGAAAAAAAGUUACUUUUGGUGAUAAGCCCUGUCAGAGCAGCUGAUCCUGUUUCGUCGUGCAUCCGGACGAACAUAUAAAUGAGAGACUGGACAGAGCAAGGCACCGGAGGCCAAGAUUGCUCCUUCUCUCGUACGUCUGGCUUGUCCUGGCCUCAAGUGAUCACUCAAGGCUUAUCGCAAUCAAAAGUAACUUUACAAACUAUCCCACCAGCUGAAGCACCGGAAUGCCGUUGCUCAUCACAGGUUGAACAAUUUUACAAUGUGCUGAAAUGAUUUUUCGGGAUUAAGGAACGUUUUUUCGUGAUGUAAGCAAUAAAAUGUCAUUUCAUAUCAAGGCUGUAUGAAUAUACAGUGUCUGGAUAUGACCGUCGCCGGUUUUUGUCCGAUUGGGGAAAUAAUAAAUAUCCUGGAAAAGGCCUUUACAGCGUUAAAGACAUAGAUAUGCAUUUAGCCCAUGCCUAUAAUGAGUAGCCGAAACAUUAAAAUAGAUAUGAGGUAACAGAAUGAUUAAUAUCAAAGAAAUUCCACUUAGGGAUAUCCUUGUUGUGGGGAUUCCUGUUCUGUUGUUUUUGACUUUGCUGUGCAUGCUUAAAAGUCACUUUCCAGACGUUGUUAACGUCAUCGGUACAUUAUUCGUUUUUAUUUUUUCGCCAGCACUGGUGGCACUGUUGACCCUUAACCGGGGAGUGUUCGUGUACUUUGCCGGAGCGCUCGUUACACAGGUGCUUACUGCUUCUCUGGUGUAUUUUGUUUCUUCCCGCGACUUUAGCGAAUCUGUAGGCCUUGGAGCGUGCGCAAUAGUGAUUUACGUAAUUGCUCAGUCGAAAAUUAACGACAUUAAUCCAUAGUUAAGAAGGGAAAAACAUAACUCCGCACAUUAGUUCUGGUGGCGGAAAGCAGAAAGCCUCGUAGUUAAUUUUCAAGGAAGAGUAAACCACGAAAUUAACGCGAAACGCCCUUAGACAUUUUAUCCCCCUCCUUUGCAUAAUCACUGAAUGUUUAUGAAAUAAAAGAAUUUUUUUCCUCUAUUAUUCAAAUAAGGGCUUUACACAGGGUUUUAAUCUGUAUAAUUGUUGCUGCCAGACACGAAUACAGAAGAGGGUUUUAUUGCAUAUGGGUGGUCGUGGAAGUUGCCGAAGAAAGCGAAGCCUGCGCUGUGUCCCCUGCUAUGCAGGAAACUGGCACCGCUACAGAGACGGGCUGGACUAUAACGGAUGGGAAGAUGUAUCAGUGAUCGCAAAUAAAGGGUCGGGGUAUGUGUGUCAAUGCAGACAAUGUGGUCACACCUACAUCUCCUACUCCUCUGCUGCCCGUCGCCAGUAUCAGUAUCAGGUUAACAGAAGCAGCGAUGAACCCGGUAUUCGGGAAAAUAAUUUUAAUUCAAAUGCAAAUUCACCCUCUUAAUUCUGAAACGCCAUUGUGUAUCGGGAUAAACUUUCUGUGCAUGCUGGUUUGCAUCAGCGCAUUUCAUGAGUGCUGUUGCAGACAUGCAGAUGAAAUCAGAUUUGAUAAUUUAUAAAGAAUGAAGGGCAGGGCUGAUUAAUGAAAACGUCUAUCGCACCGAUUCUGUUCGGGAGGAAUAUUGCCAAUAUUUCGGAGAAGCAUUUUACUCCCUGGUUUUGUCCUUAUGACCACUACCCGGGUUUGGUUCUGGCCUCAACGAUCACCGUUCCUUAUUCACCCUCACCGGACUGGUUUCUGGGUGAAGAACAAUGUGGAGGUCACAGUUGUAACCAGUUUCGUGCAGCAAUAAAGCCUUUGCAGAUCAUACCUCAGUCACAGGUACAAGGGGAUCUGGAACUCAUUGCCAGCGAGGGAUUUGAGCCAGGCACGCUCGAUUAUUUUAGCCUUGCAGACGAUGAGGUGCAGAAACGGGUACGGCUGAAUUAUCAGUCAUUCGUUAUGAAUCUAGGUUUAACCUGCUCGGAUGAAAAUGUUCUUCUGCUGACGCAGCCACUGUAUCCACUGGAUGCGACGGAAUCCAAUCUCAGAGCGUUAACUACAGACCAGACUUGCCUGAGCGGACUUACUGACACCACCGGACUGGUCAUUUUUGUUGUGGGGGUGAACUGCGACUAGGAGAGGGUAGAAAAGGGUAGUAUCACGCUAAGCCACUUACACAUUAACGAAUAAAAGUCACUUUUUGAGGUAGAUAUGAAAAAAAUCACACGCGAUGCAUUACUGGUACCCUUCAUCGGGCUGCUGAUCCUCUCCUACCACAUGGGCUAUUUCCUUUCCGACUGGCCUUACUGGCAGGUAUACGCCAUGCUGGCGGUGGCCUUCUUUGCAGGCCGUUUCUGGCUGAGAAAAAAAACGUCGAAAGAUGAACCUCAGGAAGGCAAAACAGCCGGUGAGUAAAUCUUUUCCUGAACUGGCCUGUUCCGGUAAUAACGUCCAGGCCAUUCAGUCAGUUGACGGAAUAACAUAAAAGGAGCCUCUGUAUGAGCAACAUGACAGUGUCGUUUUACAGUAAAAAACAUCAUGACACCGUAACCAGCGCGAUUAAAGCCCGUGCCACAUCAUCAAUUGAGCUUCUCUGUACACCGACGCUUAAUCAGCUCCUGGAGCUGACAAAUGCGAUCUGCCUGUGUGCCGGGAUUGAAAAUCAAAUCGGCCUUUUCGUUGACGACUCAAAUAGUGACGAAUCCGGGCACGACGAACAGGAACUUACGACACACGUUGCAUGGCUGUUUAACCAGAAAAGCCAUGGUACUGCCCGUAAUGCAAUUAUUAAAAAAGACAUUACGGAGGUGAAAAUUGAUGACCCUCUGACUUUGAAUGAGAUUCUGGCGAUCAUCGAGGCAGUGUGUCGUUGCGGCGGUAUUGACGAUGACGUAGUGGCUAUUGCCGAGCCUAUGGUAACGGUCAUUGACGGCGCAAAAUACGAUAACGCCGCUGCCGUGGAUACCAUUCAUUGACCGAACGGAAACCGGAAAAGUAACUUUUCCAUAGAGGUGUUUAUGCUGUUUCGGAAACUUGUUUUGUCAGGGGGAGGAUGUAUCUUGCUUCUGGCCUAUCACGGAGGCUAUUUGUUAAGAACCUGGCCGUGGCUGUUCUAUUAUGCAAUGGUCGCAUGGGGGGUUGCAUUCAGCUGGUAUUUUUUCGCGACCCCUAAAGCCGAUUUGGUUCCGGAAAAGAUAAACAAAAACGAAAAACAAAUACCCAUCGCUGGUCAAUCACAGACUAACCGGUAUAAACAGAAUGAUAGUGAUUCUUCACUGAUUAGCCAUAACAUUAAUUUCUCAUCUACAGGAAUCAAUCAUUCGGAAAGUAUCAUAAACAAUGGAUCAGAUUGCAGUUAUUCGGACUCGUCAGAUUCAGGAUGCAGUGGGGGUGAUUAAAAAUCCUGGAUAAAUAAUUAAAAUCCUUACAAAUAAUUAGAUGAGGAGGAGAUAUGGCAUACACAGGAAUAACAGAUCACGCCAGACUCAGACUUAUGCAGCGUUCACGACUUCCCCUGCAUGUACUCACUGACAUGAUCGACAAAAGGGAAUAUGUGGAUCUGGGUUCCAAACCCGGAAUAUUAAAAAAACACAUUCUGAUUUAUAGUCGACUGGAUGAACGUUGGUACGUACUAAUCAGGGACAUAACAUCAGGAUGUAUCGUUACGGUAUUGCCGGAAAAUUACCAUGAUUCUUCAUUUAUUAAAAUCAAAGAUUCAGAUAAAAAAUCUGCAUAUGAUUUAGCGUUUAAAGUCAGGGCUUCUAGUCCUGAAGUUAUUAGUAUAAAUCUGUGCUUUAAUGAUUUCGAUGGUUACCGACAUUCAAAGAAUAUUUAUUCCAUACCGCUUUCACAGGUGGAUAUGUCGCAAGAGUUAUUUUUAAAGUCAAAGUUUAUAAAACAGAUAAAAAGAAAUAUUAGGGAAAAUAUUGCACGAGGGCUUUCCUUUGAUGAACAUACCAUAGAGCCUGGUUAUACGCCGUUGUUCCUGAACGUGAGGUUCAGUGCGGAUACAUACAAAAUAUUAUAUUUCUGAUUACAGGGGAAACUCAAUGAAUGACCGAGUCGUCUUUUUAAACAUCAAUGCAGAAGAUAAAACCCCAUUUAUUACUGAGGUAGAAAUGCUUAUUGGGGGAGUCCCACGGCUUAUGUAUCCAGAUGGCACAGAGCAGUUUGCGGAUGAUGAAAGCGAAACUGUUCUGAUUUAUUCACCUCGACUGACCGAGCAGGAACUAGAAGCAUUUUGCGAAUCGAACAUUGAGCAUUACCGGACUUUUCACGAGAAAAAUUUAAAACACAUACUGAGGGGAGACCGCGUAUCAAUAACCCAUUUCUGGGUUGAAUAAACUAAGUUAGGUAUUCACGAUUUGGAGGGAAUCAUGUAUCUGCAUCUUGUACCAACACUAUACCACAUCAUUUCAAAUAAAUGCCGACUAGAAUCAGUGACGAUCCCGGAACUGAAAUUCGAGAUUAAGGAUGAUGGACUUUCAUGCGGAAGACCGUAUCCAAAUAAACGGCUUUAUGUUGGCAUGAAAAAUAAUCGGAAAGCCAUGGUUGGGCUACUUCUUGAAUAUGACAAACAACUCAGCCAAUUUACAACGGAAUAUAAAUGGGUUAUUGAUAACAUUGGUGUUGUUCAGCACCAUAUUAAAACGAUUGUGCUGGACAGUGAAUUUGACCUUAUUUCACAACACAUAGGGUUAAAUAUUGGUCUGGAUGAAUUGAAGCCAAGACUCCAUCCCUCUUAUCACAAAAUCGCACCAGUUAAAAUACAACCUAUGAUGGAAUCAUACCGAACAGGCGAAGCGGUUAAUAAAUUGCAGCAUGAUGUAUGGGAGAAUAAUGUUCUACUGUUCAGGACAGAGACAUUGCUUUUGCAUACUCUGGAAUCAGAAAGACUCGCUAAGUAUAGUUUUUUCAUCGACAGGCUUCCUCAAUUAAGUUCUAAAAUUUGCAUCUGAAUUAAUUCAAAAAGCUCCGAUUUUAUUGAGGGGCUUUCCUUUUCAUGAAAUGCCAAUUUAAAAACCCCAUACAACUUAUGACCUAAACUUGAAACACAAUCAGGAAAAGACGACUACGCAAUGAUGGUUGCUAUGGGGGGUUAACCCCAUUCCAAUUUUGAUUAAAAUCACUGAGUGAUUUUGACUUAAUUUUUCUCCCUUAUUUGCAUCUUAUGUAAACAGUGGGGCAUUAUAAACUCAUGACUUUCUGCCCCAACACCUCAAGAUCUAAGAAAGUAACUUUUUUAUUGGUUUUUUAAAAAUGGGGGUUGAUGGGACGAAAAAAAAAGGUAUCCUGGUUUCAACGAAGAAUAGUUUUAAUGCUUGCCUUAUCUACCCGGGAGUUCAUAUGUCCUUAGAAAAUACAUUGACCGCUGAGUUAAAUUCAUCAGAGAACGCAGGCGGUAUUAUACCUUCUGUUGCUAUUGAUUUAAUUAUUGCUCAACGUGCAGCAGGUAUUGCGGCAUUUAUGGAAGGUUUAGAUAAACUCAGGGAAGCGGAGCGACUGUUCGCUGCUGCGGCUGAAAAGGACUGGUUCACGGGGCUAGAUGAGAUUAUUUCGACCGGUAGGCGUUGCCUUAAAGAACAUGAGAUAGAGGCGGUUCGACGCCGGGUGGCUCGUAGCGUUGAUAGAUCUAUCUGGCAACGCUUGAUGACCCAGACAGGUAUGUUUACGUUGAUGAGUGGUGAUCAACAUGACAAAUGGACUGCUCAGGUAUACAGCAAAGAUUGUCCGGAAGUCACCCUGGACAAUGUCAUCAGUACGUUUCAGCAUCUUAAUGCAACAAAAAAUGAAACGUUUGUUACAGGUAUUAUUGAUGUUUUCCGUAAGCUGUCCUGGGACUACAAAACAAAUAAUCCUUGCCGUCUGGGCAAGAAAAUUAUCCUCGAAGGUGUUUUAUCCAUAAAUGUCUCACCAACCCGAUACGCUUCGGUCAGGACUAAUGCGCAGAACUGGAUUAACGAUCUCGCCCGUGCUUUCUGCCUCAUCGACAAGAAAAACGUGCCAGAUUCACGGAUAGCAGAAGGGUGCCAGUACAGGGAUUUUAUCAACUUAAACAGUUAUACGUUAAACGGUGUGUUUACCUGCGAGUGGUUCACUAUUAAAUCUUUCUGGAAAGGUUCAGCUCAUGUGACUUUCACACGCCCUGACCUCGUUGAAAAAAUUAAUGAAAUUAUUGCAAGCCGAUACCCCGGCGCUCUCCCACCCAGAGUAUGAAAGUAAAUUCCAACUAUUUAAUCAUACAAAAUUCAUUAUUAAGGAAUCCUGAUAUGGGAAUUCAAAUUAAAGAAAGUUACACCACUGCUGUUAUCAGCACCGCGCACAUUGCUAAAGAAGAUACUGAGUUAUUAACUGAUGCCAGUUAUAAUCCCCGAACAGAUAGUGGACGUAGCUGGAUCCACGUAAACGAAUAUGGUUAUAUUAUUCGGACCAGCGUUGAAAAUCCGGGGUGGAAACAGCUUUUACGAGACGAUGGUAUCUCCUGGCCUACAAUUGAAAAUAUCGAAAAAGUGAUUAAUGCUGGGUACGAAUGUGUUCAUUUUGACCGUGACGCAGAUAUCGUUGAUGGUCUGAUGGCGUGGGAAUGGUAACUACUCAUUACCAGGGCUCCUUAACCUAUAGGGAAGGGGCCCAUAUAUAAUUGGCAGUACAGAAAAAAAAGGAGUCAUUAAUGGAUAUGCUUAACGGGUGCAGUUCAGCUCCUCAGGUUUCAACAUCAACCGCUAUUGCUGGUGGACGCGAAGUCAUUGUGACCGGUUGUGUGACAAAGCAGGGCAGAGCUAUUCAUUUCUGCAAUCAUAAGCUACUCAGCGGUAGCAAUAAUAAUCUCUGGUUCCCAGUGGACACCGUAGAUGACUGGUUUUCCGGCAUUGAACGAGUGCUGGUUAUGAAUGGGCUUGCUGAGAAUGUCGUAAACCUCACGCCGUUAAUUGAAGGUUCAGAAUAUUUCGACUGGAAAGUAAAGUAUAACCUCCGGGUUAUCUGACUCACAAAAAGUUACUUUCUUGCUUAACGCUUAUGAACAAUCAGAGAAAUCAAUUGGCUGUCCACCAGCUUCUGGACAGCCGUUCUUCUAAUUAGAUCUUAUCCAGAAAUUACAAGAUAACUCCAUUUCUGUCCCGUUAAUUGUCGUUUUGAAAAAAUCAUAAUGAUAAAAUCAAAUUCACCGUAGAGCUUGUCACCUGCCUGAAAAAAAACAGGGGCUUGAUAAGGCGAUUUAAAAAUGUAUCCUGGUUUGAUGAAUAGUCAUUUCCGGGUGAAGGGAGAAUUUAAUGGCUGUCCAAAAAACUCAUACUGGCAUCGUGAUUACCAAAGACGGCGAGGUAACAAAGAAAUUUCAUGAAACACCGACCAUGUGGGUGGUCAAUAAAACUGAAUGUUAUCGCAAGGAUAACGGCAUACGCCAUUUUGGUGAAAGAACCCGCCGCCGCCUUGUCCUCGAAUCCAUAAAACCAAUACCUGAAGUUAAAAAUUAACUAACUUAAUUAUUUAAUUAGUUGACAAAAAAGGAAAAAAUAAUGAAUAGCCAUUCUCCAAAAGUCGUCAUGAUGGACAGUGACGAAGCAGCCAGUAUUCAAACAUUAACGGGAUGGGUCGAUCGUCAGGGGCGUUUCUGGGGAGAUAACGAACAUCAGGCCCGCUGGAGUGGUUCAACGCACCGCAAAUGUGGAAAACAUCCGGAACAACAUCCUGCAUACCCUUCUAACAGUUAUUGUGAAUCAUGCAGAAAAGAAGAUCGCCAGGCUAAGUUUGCAGAAAUGAAGCGGGUGGCCUGGCGCGGCGAACCGUUGGUGAUUUUCGAUACGGAUACCUAUUUUUUUGAUGCCGAGUCGCUGGAGGAUUAUUGCCGUGACCAUGACGUUUUACCCGGUGAUCUGCAACUGGUUAUCUGUCUUCCAAACCAUAUAGAUCAGUUUGAUAUCCUGCAACAUUGCGAAGAAAUUCUACCCGAAGAUGGUGAGAUAAGCUUUAUCCCUGAAGCUGUCCAGGUGGCGGUUGAGGCGUUGAAUAAAGCGAUCAAAGAAAGCGCAGCGGUCUCAUGGAGCCAGGGCUCCCUGGUAGCUGUUUUACCGGAUGACCUGCUGAAUGCCGGUGAGAAGACCGCAGGGCAGAAAGAACAAACCGCCUGAUAAUGGCGGUGGGCACCACCGAUAAUUACGGGGCUUGUAAGCCCCUAAAUUAGGGCUGACAGAUAUGUUAAUGCAGACAGAAAAGGCAGUAUUACAAAUUGCGGAGUAUAUCCCCCGAGCUUGCCGCAAUAUGAAACUCUUUGAGGCAAAGGCCCGACUUGCAACCAAAAUCGCAUUGUAUAUUGUUGACGGCUGCUGUGACGAAGUACUCAAUCUGGCUUUCAAACCUGCACUUAACUGCCGCACCAGGGAACAGUUUUUUAACCAUAUUCAGCAAAUUAAAAACGGAGCUGGCAAUGUUCGCUUUUAAUGACGUUAAUACUCCGCAUGAAUGCUUCAAGAAAUGUCGUUGCUACCUCCCCCCAAAGCAACGCGAACAGCAUCGUUUAACCCAGCAUGUUUCUGAAUUUGACGAGCAUCCCGCUGACCAGAUUGACCAAUACAAGGACUACCCCGAUGCGUAAAGAUAACAAUGUCCUCCCUCCAAAGAUUAACAACGGUGUUCUCCGGCGAUGGAAUGCUCAGCGUGGGCAAAGAAAUAGCAGGGGUGGGAGAUAUAAACGCUUCCCUUCAGUUCACAACUUGAACGAGUGGGUCGUUGAUCGUUUGAUCUCAGAAAUUAUCGCAGAGGACAGAGAUGCCUGAUAACACCGAACUGACACAUGAUGAAAUCAUUGCUGCGUUGGCACAGCUGAAGCAGAUCAGCGAAUACCCAACUCCCUCUACUCAAUACGCACGCGUCUUACUUAAAUAUAUUACUACGCUGGUGGAGUCGCAGAAGAAGGCGCAUUCAGUAAUGGCUGGAGUCGUAACCACAGCAUGUAUCCGGGGAGUCAGACCAUUUGAUGGAAUUGAGUGCGAUCCCCCAACUCUGGAAGAAAAUGCGGAAGCGUGUGGCGAUGCCAUGUCUGCUCGAAUCAGAGAACUGGAAUCUAACCCACCAAAACCUAAGGAAUUAGCCGAAGCGCUUUUUCUGAUUGCAACUUUACGUGAGCAAAGCGACGGUUGGGAGCGUAAAGCCAUUAACAGUUUCGCUGAGCGUACGCAGAUGUUCCAGCGCAUUGCCGAGUUGGAAAAGAGAAACCAAGAACUGGAGUCAGGGCUGUUAAUUCCAGCCGAAGUUGAGAGCCAGGACCGAGCAUCUGGCAUGAACGCUGAGGCAAUUUGUGUCGACGGGAACAAACCUGGCAUGAUUGUGGCGGUGCACAUUGAUGCCGGUGACUUUGUUAAUGUUAAUGGUCUGAUAUUAAAGGUAAUUGAAACCGACUUUGACGACCACGACGUAACUUUAUAUUUGGCUGGUGGUGAAGAGUUUAAAUGUGCUGCUGGUUACCUGAUAGAAGUGGUUCCUGUACCAGAGGAUGAAGAGUAAUGGCUAAGCGCGAUUUUAUCCCAGCUGGCGCGACCUGCUGGCAGGGCGGUUGUUGUACUCACAGGGGGAUUACCCGUCGCCAUCGUUAUGUUACCGGGGGCGAUGGGCGGAAAUUCGAAUCGUGUUCCUAUACUGACGACUGGUACGCACUUGGCGACACGAUUGACUCUUAUGGGAGACCAUACCGGUAUCGAAUCACGGGUGAGAAGGCCACGGUUCUUACUCAGUUCUGCUUAGAAAAUUUAAAGCCAGAGUAAAACAGACAAUGAAAAAAUAUACCGAGCUUGACAGAAUAAUCAUGGAAAAAAUCGGUGUUACCCCGAUCCCUUUUCACCUCUUGUUUUCCCACGACGACAUCCCGGCCGAAUGCAAAAAAAUUGCCAUGAAAGAAGGAAAAAGCGAGCCAUUUCGCAUCCUCGAUCGUCGGCUUCAGGCUCUACGUAAAGCCGGAAAUAUCCGUAGCACUUCUAAAGGUUGGGUGAGGACUUAACAAAUGACCACUAAAUUACCAUUAACAGACGAACGCCUCUCCACCAUCAGUGAUUACUUUGUUGCGAUGGAAGAACAUUACAGUGACCCGGCAGACAGAGAGAAUUUUGAAAUUUUCAGUGAUGCUAAAGCCUUUCUGGCAGAGCUACAGCAACGUCGCAAGGCUGCAACAGGUCGCGAACCGGUGGGCAUUAAGCUCCCCCCUAAGAUGUCGAAUGAUCGCAUAAAUGCGCAUGAAUUAAGCACAGGCGUCGACGUCUGGAACCGAUGUAUUGAUGAAGUGGCAAAGCUGAACGGCAAAUGUAUCCCGUCAGUUCCAUCCGGGCUUCACCCAAAUACGCAAAAGCUCGUGACCGAAUUCUGCACCGAGCUGGCUGAAAAGCUUUAUAAGGCGCAACUCAAGUACGGCCACUCAGAUAACUGGUCAUACGCAAAUUGGGAAAUUGAGUGCCAGACAGCUUUCCACGAGCAUAUCGCCAAAGGUGACCCCCGCGACGUUGCCGCGUACUGCGCAUUUAUGUGGUAUCACGGCUGGAGAACCGAGGUCGAGCGUCGAGAACAGGUCGUGCCAGAUGAGGUCGAGCAUGUAGCCGCCGUACUAGAGCUUAUCGGUGGUUUUGAGGCUGCUGAUAUCGAUAGCGACACAGUAGAUUUACGGUUUGAGAUCGACGAUGUGGACACUGGCUCUGACGUAUCCAUUACUGAAUAUGCCGCACGCGGUUCCGCUAUUAUCCGUAUGCUGGCUGGCAAUGCUCCGGUAAAUCCAGACAGUUGCAUUCUAGAGGCGCUGGAGAACAUACAAACCGAGAAUGAAGUGGCACGAGACCAGUUAGUCAUUCUCCAGCUGACGCUAUUAAAGCAGCAGAGAAAGAUUGCCGAGCUGGAGUCCCGCACCGUGAAGCUGCCGAAACCUAAAGAUUCUGACCCGGGUUGGAAAAUUGAUCCGGAAUUUAUCAGCAAAGUUCAGAACGAGAUAGGGUACGAUGACCAAUGCGAAUGCUGGGAGGGUACACCUUCCAUGGAGGUAGUAGAGGCCGUUUUGCUGGCCGCCGCUGGCAUCAAGAUGGAGGUUGAAUAGAUGGCAUUCAUAUCUCAACUGGGAACAAUACCAAAGAGUAGCGGAAGAGUGCCAGGUUCUAAGUUCGUUUCGUUUAGAAAGACAAAAUCUGGUGCUACUGGUGGGCUUAUUACUAAGGACACUGGACUGCGCGGAACCAAAAUAGACAUUCAGAUUGAUGAGGAUAAUAAAACUAUCCGUCUUGGCGAGUACGAGAACGGAGUGAUGGUAACUCAAAGACAGGGCGUAUUCAGUUGCUCGGUUAGCGUAUUUAAUGCAGUGGGAAAGUGCCGAAUAUCCCUGACUGAUGGCGGGGACGGGUGGUGGUACGGAAGUUAUAAAUAAGUAGGCAGCUAACCACUAUUAUCCGGUUUAUAACAAAAACCAGGUUCUCCCCCUGCUGGAAUCACUUGGACUUAGAUUUUUUAGGCGGAUGCAUGAGUAGAGACGAAAAUAUUCAGGCUGUAUUUGAUCUAAAAGCUGGUUAUACACUUGGGCUCGCCGACAUCGAGAUUCUUAAGAGAGUGGCCCGGAUGGCGCUGGCCGCAAUGGACGGCGAGCCGGUAGUGUUUACCGACGAACGAAACCUUCAUCAUAUUGCCAUGGGCCGAGAAACCUCUCUGAUUUGGGGCAAACAGAACCAUGAGGCGGGAGAUAUCCCGCUCUUUCGCCACGCUAAGCCAGCGCCGGUAGUGCCGGUAGUGCCGGAUGCAUUGAUUAAAGCUGUAGAUUUUUAUGAACAGGUUAAACGUGAAAAUCCGUCAGUAGAAACGGGAGCCUGGAAAGAUGCCGUGGAGUGGGUACUGAAGGAAGCCUGCCUGGCUCUGAGAGAUCCCCUCAUAAUUUCCCCAAAACGUAACCAUGUGUGAAUAGAUUUUGAGUAAGCAGGGUUGCAGCCACGAGUGAGUCUUCCCUUGUUAUUGUGUAGCCAGAAUGCCGCAAAACUUCCAUGCCUAAGCGAACUGUUGAGAGUACGUUUCGAUUUCUGACUGUGUUAGCCUGGAAGUGCUUGUCCCAACCUUGUUUCUGAGCAUGAACGCCCGCAAGCCAACAUGUUAGUUGAAGCAUCAGGGCGAUUAGCAGCAUGAUAUCAAAACGCUCUGAGCUGCUCGUUCGGCUAUGGCGUAGGCCUAGUCCGUAGGCAGGACUUUUCAAGUCUCGGAAGGUUUCUUCAAUCUGCAUUCGCUUCGAAUAGAUAUUAACAAGUUGUUUGGGUGUUCGAAUUUCAACAGGUAAGUUAGUUGCUAGAAUCCAUGGCUCCUUUGCCGACGCUGAGUAGAUUUUAGGUGACGGGUGGUGACAAUGAGUCCGUGUCGAGCGCUGAUUUUUUCGGCCUUUAGAGCGAGAUUUAUACAAUAGAAUUUGGCAUGAGAUUGGAUUGCUUUUAGUCAGCCUCUUAUAGCCUAAAGUCUUUGAGUGACUAGAUGACAUAUCAUGUAAGUUGCUGAUAGGUUUCCAGUUUUCCGCUCCUAGGUCUGCAUAUUGUACUUUUCCUCUUACUCGACUUAACCAGUACCAACCCAGCUUCUCAACGGAUUUAUACCAUGGCACUUUAAAGCCAGCAUCACUGACAAUGAGCGGUGUGGUGUUACUCGGUAGAAUGCUCGCAAGGUCGGCUAGAAAUUGGUCAUGAGCUUUCUUUGAACAUUGCUCUGAAAGCGGGAACGCUUUCUCAUAAAGAGUAACAGAACGACCGUGUAGUGCGACUGAAGCUCGCAAUACCAUAAGCCGUUUUUGCUCACGGAUAUCAGACCAGUCAACAAGUACAAUGGGCAUCGUAUUGCCCGAACAGAUAAAGCUAGCAUGCCAACGGUAUACAGCGAGUCGCUCUUUGUGGAGGUGACGAUUACCUAACAAUCGGUCGAUUCGUUUGAUGUUAUGUUUUGUUCUCGCUUUGGUUGGCAGGUUACGGCCAAGUUCGGUAAGAGUGAGAGUUUUACAGUCAAGUAAGGCGUGGCAAGCCAACGUUAAGCUGUUGAGUCGUUUUAAGUGUAAUUCGGGGCAGAAUUGGUAAAGAGAGUCGUGUAAAAUAUCGAGUUCGCACAUUUUGUUGUCUGAUUAUUGAUUUUUGGCGAAACCAUUUGAUCAUAUGACAAGAUGUGUAUCUACCUUAACUUAAUGAUUUUGAUAAAAAUCAUUAGGGGAUUCAUCAGUGCCUGGCUGCUAAAAAGGAUGAGUCAUGACACAGAAAAUCAGAUUAACAGACGCGCAAGUCUAUACGCUGCGCCGAAUGAAAAGCGGCACCAGAUACUUUCUACAGGGCGAUGGAAGGCGUGGAGAUGAGGACAACGGUACGCGCAGAGUCAACUGCCCGUCGCUUCCCGUCCUCUUUAGAAAUGGUCUCGUUGAUUUUUGCAGUGAUUGCGUAAAGCAGAAUUACACCUGGUAUAGCGUGAAGUUGACGCCUGAAGGAGCAAAAGCCGCAAAUGGUUCUCAGACAAGGAAAGAGCGCGGUUUGCCCUGAUGAGGGUUGCUUACAGUGCCAUGAUGCAAUUGAUCUCGGAUACCUGUCAGCAUAACAGUCAGAAAAAGUUACUUUCUUUUCUCCCCAGCAGUGAUAAUCCCCGGCACUAUCGGGUGUUUUUAGAUAUUCUCCAUGUUUACUUUUUCAUGCUUCGGGGAGAAUAUUUUAAUUCAUCGUUAAUUAUUUCUCAGUGUUUAUGAAAUCACCAUGGUUUAUUUUUUGUGGAGCGACCAUUGGAUGCCGUCAGAAAAAGUUUCUUUCCUGGUGAUAUGCAAUUAGGGGCUUGCGAAAACGAUUCGAAAUAGUAUCCUGGUUUGAGGUCGAAUAAUUUUAUCCAAGACUGGACACCACAUUCCGGGAGCGAUGAACAUGAGCAAGGUACCUGAACAAAAAAAGCAUGUAAUUAAUUUUGAAUGCGACCAUUGCGGACGCAGCUAUGACGAUACUGAUGUUUGUACUUCUGACGAUUGCCCUGAUAAUGAAAUCGCUAUGCCAGACCUACUCAAUUACUGGACAGUUGAUGAAGUGGCUGAAUGUCUCGACGGCGUGGGUGAUGAUCUUUACAGAAAGCUAUGGUCGUACAUUACAGCAGAGACUGAUGGUAACCCGCCACUGGCUAAAGUUGCCUGGGAAGCGUUGACUCAUGAAGAGAAGGCUGAAAUGGUCCAGGCAGUGGAACAAGAGUUCCCUGACGGUGAUUAAGUUCAGUAAUGUGUGACAAACAAAGUGUCGUGCCGGUAAUGGGUAAAGAACGGAAAUAAUACACAGCAAACCCUAUAAAUACCUUCCACCAGCAGCAAUGGACAUUUACGCUUGUAUCCAUUCUGGAAGAGCAGGCGACAGGCCUGCUUUAAAAAAGAACAACUAAACAGCUGGUGGAUUGGGAUAAUUUAAUCAACUUUAGUGUUAUCUGAGUGGUAACGCGAUAUUUUCACUUAAAUAUUUCAUGGUGAAUUAAAUGAAAGCAUUAAACGAACUACAGUUACGCCAGAUAUCCGCAUGCCCUGGGAACAUUGAGUUACAGGAUUGGUUGAAAAUACUUGUUGCUGAUAAUGCAGUGCUCGUUCGUUCUUUAACGGUCAUCGCUAAUUCAGAUGAGCAUCAUGGUAAGACGAUGGUCUGUGAUUUUGAUUCGUUGAUUUCUGUAGCUACUGCUGGUCUGAAAGAGCAUGAGCAACUCCUUAAAGGGAACACUUCACCUGAUUGCGAACAACAAGAAACAAACAUCCCUAUGUUCUACGUGGAUGGAGAGGCGGCAAUACGUCUUCUCAAGGGGCAUACUCGUUAUGCAGCCAUGACGACUGAGCCAAAGUCUGGUAAGACGUUGCCGCUUUACAUAAACGCUCAAUCUGCGUCAGUCGCACCGGCAGAAACAGAGCGAAAAGGUAAAAGGCUCCGCGUUGCAGAAGGGAGGUAUGCCGCUUUUUUCCCUCAAGAGCGGCCACUCGAUGGAGCGCAGAUCAUCGCAUGGGAUGAGAACGGUAAUUUGUUAGGCAUUGGUUUUGGACGAGACACACGCGAUACGGGAGUUGCUAUCAUCGUCAACGGAAAAAAAUACGACUCAAACCAUGUGAUUCACUGGUGUAGUUAGCCAUUCGAAUGUGGCCGGUAUGUAAGGAAGAUGAGAAUUAUGACCAGUACCAACAGAGUUCGGGACGCUGAAAUCUUUCGGGCCAGAACGGGGGAGUAUCCGGUUGACAUGUACAUCAAGUGGCUGAAGGAUGGCGCACUGGAUUUCGAUGCCGACUAUCAACGUGACUAUGUCUGGGGGCAUGAGGAACAACAGGCUUUUUUACAGGGGCUGAUAUCCGGCUUUCCUCUGGGGUAUGUGGCGCUGGCGAGAGCCCCCGACUGGGCGUCCCGGGAUGGUGCAUAUAUUGAGGUUGUUGACGGCAAGCAGCGACUGACAACGUUAAGGCUGUUUAUCAACAACAAAAUUUCACUGGCGCUCGCAGGGGGGCCGGUUUUCUGGCAGGACCUAACUCGUGGUGAGCAACUCGCCUUUGGUGCCCCCACGUUAACCGCCGUGGUGCUUGAUGACGCCACGCCACAAGACCGUCUUGACUAUUUUAUUGCAGUUAACUUCACCGGCAUGCCACAAAGCGAGGAGCAUAAACACAGGGUUCUCGCACUCAAAGGAAAUAUUCAGUAACGAUCAGUCAACUUGUCAGUUAACGAGAGCAUGAUGAGUCAGUUGCUGGUUUGCACCAACCCUUUCAGGAUGUAUAUCGGGAGGUCUGUUAAGUGGAUCAGAAUCAGGUUUUAGACGCAAUCAAUAAUGACGAUGUUACAGCACAUGAAUUGUUGAGCGAAGCAAUGCCAAACGCCGCCUCCCGUUUUUACCGGACGGCAAAAAAUCUCUCCAGACUCCUGGAUGAAAUUCACGAGCAUUUCCCGGAUGCAUCGUAUUAUGCCGCAUCCGGCACGUUAUGCUUACUGCUGGGGGAGAGCCAUAGCAAGUCUGACGUGGCGCAGCAGGAGCUUUUAGCCCAUGCAGCUCCUGGCUUGAGGGUUGAAGGGGGGGACUGGUAGUGGAGAAUACUUUCGGUAAAGAGUGACUGGUAAACGUCAUUGUGGGGGAUAUUAGUUGGCCGAUUAUUUUGUCAGUAGCCGUAAAUCCUGAAUACCGUUACUAUCCGUAAAUCGGCAGUCUUUCCUUGAACGUUGAGCCGUAUAUUAGCAUUAAUACCUAAAACCCCCUCCGGCUAUUCGCCGGAAAAUCAGAUACUGGGAAAGGGAGGAAGAAAGUGAUGCUUAUGAAUUUUUUCCAUGAAGGUGGUUAGUAUGCGUAAAUCCGUUUCAUUUGCAGUGGUUACUUUUUUUACUGGUAUCAACCUCGUUAUAAACCCGUUCCUGGAGGAACCUGCAUUAUGGGGGGCGCUCCUUGCAGGCAUUUUCAUUCUGAUAAACAUUGUGGCGGAAAAAAUGCAUCUUUGGAGUGGCGUUGCGUGGAUUAUAGCCGCUGGCAUAAUUCUCGCCAUGAUGAUUAAUGGUUACGUUCUAGGCGAUAAAUUCAAAUAUCUUAUCUGCGUUUUCUCUUUCUUGUCUUCUGCCUGGUAUUCCGUUGUAGAGUUUAGGAAGAAAAAAGCAGCGCAGGCUUCAUAAUAUAAGGGUUUAUGCGCGAGCAGAUUAAUAUACUUUUCGCGAAAUCUAACCUGAUUUUUUGUGUUUAACCAGAAAGUAAAGGCUGAAUUAUGGUAACUGAAAAGGAACUAAUUGCAUUUGACCUACUACAGAACUUCGGCGAACGAUGGAAAUACCGAUAUUCAGCUGGCGCUAAAUAUAUAUUUGCCAGCAGUAAGGCUCGGGCAAUUGAAGGUGCUACAGAAGCAUUCAGGAAAGCUAGACCGGGUGAGCUUUUAACACGUGAGGAACGCUAUGAGAAAGCAAACCAAGAUGAUAUCGAACAGUCGGAUAAUCGGUGGAAACACCUUAACCUUGACGAUCUGCAAGCGCUUUUCUCACGAAUGGGAGGUGAUAUUAAGUCGCUACAGGGGGCCUCUCUACGUGAGUUCACCGGGAACGGCGGUCGGCGUACGUCAAGUGCGGUUGCGGCUCAGGGGGCACGGGAUACAGCACUAAUGUGUAUGCGACUUGAGCGCUACAUACAAUGGCGGCGGGAAAAAUAGACUUUCUUGGCUCCAUAUCCCUGCAUCAGCUGCAAUACUGUGAUAAUUUUACGUCAUCAACGUCUCGGAAAUUCAGGUAGGCCGUAUGAACGCUAUUUUUUCUGAUCUCCCAGUCAAAGACGGUAAAUCCGGCUCGUGGACAUUGGAUACUUUCACUAUCACCGAAAAUGACGCAGAACGUCUUGCUAUUCGUGCCGACUUUUCAGGCAAUCAGGAUGAAUUUAUUCCAGCGGGAGAGUAUCGUCGUCUCUCAUACAACAGUGAUGUCGUGAUGUCCAACACACCGAUGGAAAUACGGACCUGCAUGGAUUUCAUCGAGCGGGCGACAGGCCACGUGCUUAUCAAUGGACUGGGCCUUGGAAUGGUGCUUAAUGCAGUAUUAAUGAAAGCAGACGUCACGCACGUUACUGUUAUUGAGAAAGAGCAGGACGUGAUCAACCUUGUCGCCGCGAGCUUUGCGGACGAUAAACGCGUAGAAAUUAUCUGUGCAGAUGCGAUGACUUUCGUUCCACCAGCAGAGGUCACCUAUGAUGUAUGCUGGCACGACAUAUGGCCUCAGUUCUCAAUGGGGAAUCUUGAUGAAAUGGAAAUGUUGGAAAGAAAGUACCUUUAUCGUUGCCAGUGGCAGGGUUCCUGGGGUAAGGAACAAUGCGAGAAAGAGUUAAUUAAUUUUAUCCAGAUUGAGGGUGAAAUUGAAAAAUGGCUGCAAAGGGUUUAAUGAAAAUAAAUCGUCGUAUAUAACACCGGCAUGACCCUGUUUUUACUCAGAAGUUAUGGUGUGGUAUAUUUAGGUGUUAUUGUUGUUUUUUCUGGCUUAAUUCGAAUUAAUGGAUUUUCUGGUAACCCCCAUAUAAAUCAACCUCCGCCUUUGUUGUUUAAAUGGGGUUGCAUACGCAAUUAAAUAAUGUAUCCUGGAGUUCGGGUUAUCUGUGGUUUUCGUACGUAAAUUGCGCACCACUACAAGGUAAUAUAUCUGCUCACUUUAUUAUGGGGUUUAUUAUGAGCGCACAAGAUUCUUUGGAAAUACUUCUCGCCUGGCUUGAGGAUAAUGUUGAAAUGGAAACAGAUAUCAUCUUUGCUGAUGAUAUUGACUCCGCAGCCAUGAUACCCGCAGUCCAGGCUGCUAUCGCUGGUUUAAAAUUUGAUAUAUUUAACGAUGAAGUGAGAAACCUGUUAAAGGUUAAACAUAAGCAGGUUGUUAAAGACGCUCUGGACGCAAGCUCAGACUUUCUGGAUACGGAUUGCGUCAUGGACCGACUGGGUAUUUCAUACAGUGAUGCAGAACUCCGGACUUCCGGUGCUCUGGAGCUGCAUAACGCUCUUCUCGGAUGGGCAUCAGAAUGACCGAAAUAGCCCAAUGCCCGGCAGUUAAGCAAAUUAACUUUUAUAUACUGGAGGCCUCACCGGAGUUGCUGGUGGAUCGCCGGGUAUAUCUUGAAGUUGUGCUGCUGAAAAUCUGGCGAAGCCGACUUGAGACAAUCCGGUCCUGGAAUUGUGUUUCUGAUGAAGAUCGCAUUCUGGCUGAAGCAUAUCAACGUGGCAUAGAUUUUCUGACGAAAACAGUCAGGCUCGUCACCCUGGAUUGAUUCUUUAACUCAACUGUGAUGCAGAGGACGGAACAUGUCUGAGAGCAAAGCCUUCAGGCCCGAUGGCGGUGGAAUGAGCUUAGGGCGCAUUCAGGAAAUUGCCGAUAACCCGUAUUGUGAUGAAGAAAAACGGUGGCUGGCUCAAACGUUUCUGGCAAGAGCCAGUCAAAAACCAGCUGCAUAUGUGGAUGCUGUUAAUCUGCGCCAACUCCAGAGGGGGGAAGUGGAAUCAGCGGUAAUUUUUACCAAUAUGGAAUGUACCGCCCUAUAUCUCAAUCCACCUGCCAUUCUUAACGGCGUCGAUACAGCACAGGUGACGAGAAGUGCAGACCUGCUCGAUUUAGAGCUACGCAUUGCAGAAGCAAAAAAAAUGGGUCUCGACACGACCUCGGUUGAACAGAAGUACCACGAGUUAAUUGAAGAGAUUCGAUCGAACAGGCAUCAUUCCGGGAACGAACGUUGACCUGCUCAGUAUGGUUAUGGUUUGCAGUCAGAUAAAGUAACUUUUAAAUAUAAAACACCAUAAAUAAAACGGUUAAAAAGGUGGUCGAAUGAAAACCAACGAACAAUUACUCAGUGCACUGAUUGCUGCACUGGAAUGGAUUGAUGCAGUUCCUUCGGAUACGGUUCUGCCUGCUAUGCCAGGAUUUGACCGCGACGAAGUGAACGAGUUGAUCGCAAACGCCCGCAAAGAGCUGCAAUCAAAGGUGAGCUAAACAGAUGAGCCGUACCGUGCAUAGCAGGAGACUUGUACCUGCUAUGUUUCCGGCGACGUGGUACUGAACCUGAAAAGUAACUUUUCCAUCGACGUUCGGGGGCCUUUUUUUGAACAGGAAUCAACAUGACGGGUCAAGCGUCUACGAUUUUCACAAUCAGAUAAAAAUGGUUUCUUCCUUCCCCCACAAGCUUUGCCACCAUUCCCAGCGCCGCUUUUGUCAAAAAGUUACUUUUGAAAGCACUGACUCAGCACCUAAAAAAGUUACUUUUCUGCCCUUGUAAACGUGUCCGAUCGUCUUUUCCACCCUCAAAUAAAAGUAACUUUUGACAAUUUAUGCCAAAAACCAAUGAAACACGCAUCUUUCCUAUGCCCCUUCAUUUCUCGUAUCUCAUUCAAAAUGCUCCAGAAAUUAUGAAAUACGGGAAACCACUGCAAAAAUUUUCUUCCUCUAAACACUAAAAUCCGCCUCCUGGUUCCCUUGUCACAAAGAAAUCAUGUGUAGAAUUUUUGCCGUGAACAAAAAAAAGUAACUUUUUUCACGCCAAAGUGAAAAUAGGGGCUUGAUGGAGCGUUUUGAAAAUGUAUCCUGGGUCUAACAACGGCAAUGACCGUUAAACCACAUACAACAGGAAGAGGAAAAUUCAAUGACUACUGCAACUCUGGCAACUCCAGCUAAAACCAAAAACGAAAAUGUUUCUCUGCGUACCUUCUUAGAAAAAAACGGUAUCGGUGGUCGUCUGGGCAAUGGUCUUGUUAUGGACCCGACGCAUCUGAACAUCAUCCCUGGCUUUAACACCCGUACUGCUGGCCUGGGUGAGGCUUACUGGGAACUCCCGGAAGUUAAGGACCACCUGGCGCGUCUGGCGCAGCAAUAUGCCGAUAGCCCACUGGAAAUGGCCGCUAUGGUUGUCCAGGUUCGUGAUGGCCAGGUUGUCAUUCGUCAGGGACACUGCCGUCACCGUGCAAUCCCUCUGGCUAAUAAAAUUCGCGAAGAACGUGGAGAAGGCCCGGUAGAUAAAAUCCGUGUUGACGAGUUUCGUGGCUCGGAUGGUAAAGCAGAGCUCUUUAACCUUAAAGGUAACGAUCAACUGCCGGUUUCUAUCGUUGCGCAGGCAGAAUCACUGUACCGCCUGCACAACGAUAGCGAAGAGCCUAUGAGCAUUGAGGAACUUGCCGAAGCCCGGAAAGUCUCCGUUACCCAUGUUCGUAAAUUGCUCAAAGUUCACACCGCCCCGGAAGCGUUAAAAGGUCUGGUCGUAAAAGGUGUUGUCGCAUAUUACGCUGCUCUCGACGUGAUGGAAAAACAUCCUGAUAACUGUGUUGCUAUUAUUCAGGAAGCGUAUGAUAAGUUUGGCAAAGCCACUGACAAAACCAUUGGGCAGGUCCUUCUUGCUCAGCGUGCAGGUGAAAACGGCACCAGCGGUGAAUCUGAUGGCAACGUGACAACCAUUACAGCGACUGAUGCAGGUAACGCAUCUAAUAGCACUGCUGGCGCUGCUGCUGGUGCAGUUGAUGGCUCUGCAGGGAAUGAGGCUGGUGUUGCUGGUGGUGGCUCGGAAGAAGGGGCAGGGAGUGACAAUACCGAACCGACGCCGACUCCGGCCCCGAAACGCGAACCUAAACAAAAUUUCAAAACUCAGCUGUCGGUAUUCGACGUGCUGCCGAAAAAAAUCUCAAAAGAGAUCGUCGAUAACUCGCUGGAAGUUAUCAACCGUAUCGUUGUUGAUGCGAAAGAAAUUCCGUUUAUGGAAGACGGUGCGGAAGUUCUCACUAAAGCUCAAUAUCAACUGACUCUAACCUAUGAAGAGUUCGUGCAACUGACAGCAGCCAAAGACAGCUACGAUAAACAUCUGGAAAAAAUCCAGAAAAAAAACACAGAGCAGUAAGGUAAUAACCGUAACCGGGGAGAUAUCCCCGGCUAACAUCCUGUUUAUUUCAUUUCGAAUACAUUACCGGCUUGUUUUCAGAUAAGCCAGGGGACAUACAUAAAAUGAAUUUUAUUAAGCUUAUUAUUUUAUUUGCCGUUGUGGCUUUGCUGGUUUAUGGAUUCAGCGGUUUAUCAGGAAAAGAUUCCGUCGCCUUUACAUUUCUGAGCUUUGGUUUUUCAGCUGUUAUAGCUGCAUUUUUCUGGAUAAUGAUUGUGUUGCUGGUGGCUCUGUAUUUGUUUGCUUCAAGCUCAAUCAGUAUUUAUCCAAAAAUGCUUUUCCUGGAAGGUACACUUUUUGGCUGGUGGUAUUUUGUUUUCAAUUUUCUUAUACCAGACGGACAGUCUCUAACCUUGCUGGGCGUAAAUAUCUAUAACCUUGGGGGUUAUUUUAUAUACGGAACGACCGUGCUUAUUGGUAUCGGUAUUGUGAUGAUGAUGUUCCGGCGGUCAACUAAUCAGGUUGAUAAGGUGAAAAAGCAUGGCUGAUUUCGCUUCAACAAAACAAAAUUCAUCGUUCGAGCUUUGGUUUGAACAACUCCAGAUUUUGGCUGAACUGAAUGGUGAUGUCGCUGGAGAAAAGGCUGACUGGGUACAGGCCUAUGAAGCGGGAAUGGCUGUUGAUUCUGCGUACUAUGAAGCCUUUGGUGACAGUGAUGACUGACACGAACAAUCAGGAAAGAAACGGUUCAAAAUUUCUGUUUGGUGUGACUUCUACCGACCGCAUUAUUCAGACUGAGCAAGGCGAUGGAUUCAUUAAUUCAUGUAUCGCAGCUCACGGGAUUAUCACCAAAAUUAUUUUGACGAGCUAUCGUGCUGCUGGUGCUCUUACGGAGAUGGUUCUCUUUAAUGAGCAAGGUGCUACCUUCGUUAUUACCAUUGAGUCAGGGGUGUUUACACCUUCUGGAUUCGUGCUAACUGAUGAAGAUAUCCAGAUAGCACACAAGCAGAUCACAUUAUCCGACACAACAGACAUAUUAAUCCUGGCAACGAGGAUGGCUAGACGUGCAGGGCUUAAGCCCGUUUUUCCUGAACAAUCGGAAUUUAGUUCGAUUUUAGAAUUUACAGUCAAUUAACGCACAUUUAUUAAGGUGAAAAUAUGAGUUCUGAUGGUGUUGAAUUGUCUUCUAUAUCCGAUGGUGUUGAGUUGUCUUCUAUAUGGGAGGCGGGUUCCUGGUUUCCCGUUCGUGAGUUUGGCAUUCUGUUAUUAGUCAUGCUGUUCCUGAUGAUUGUUUUUGGUAUUUUUAGGAAAGAUUUUUCCCAUUUAAAACCACUGCUCACAUUGUUUGUUUUGUUAAUUGCUCUUGGCGGGACGAUACUCUUUAUGACCUUAUUCUUUUCUGCCAAAAACAAAAAUGAAGCUGAAUGGCGAGACUGGGCAAAAGACCACUGUAAAAUUGUUGCUAAAAAAGAUGGGUCAACAACUACUGGUGUCGGUAUAUCCCUGAAAGGGCAGGCUGGCCUGUUUAUUGGCGGAGAGCCAGGGCAGACCGGUUACAGUUGCGAUGAUGGCGUGACUUACUGGAAAAAUGAGUAAGACCAACCAUUGCGAUAUCCUUUUUACGUUCUAUUUAUAAUCUGUUUGCGAUAAAUAUCUAUUUACUAUUUCAGCUACCUGUAAGGAAAUUUUAUAUGAUGCAACAUAAUUCUUUACCUGAACUGGUUCAGGCGAAUGUGGAUGGCUACAGCCGUAGUAUCAAUAGUUUUUUGCAGCAAACUAAGGUGAUGCCUCUGGCUUUCAUCAUUGGCGAAUCUGGAUCCGGUAAAACUUGUCUGGCUAAUCUCGCAUUACCAGGGGCUUUAUAUCCCACUGCGCGGGAAAUCGCAGAAUGUGACAAUAUCUCUGAAGACUUUUCAGGGGCUGACAUAGUCAUUGAUGAUAUUGAGCUGUUUGACGCAGAUAAAAUCCACGAAUGCAUUCUGGCGGUUCGUGCAUCAGGACAUAAAAUCAUAAUCACCGCCAAUCCUGCAGAACAUACUUUGUGUACAGGUCUCUUUAGUCGUCUACCUGUGCCUACUCGGUGUUUUUUUGCGAGGUUGCAUGAUCGCCAUACUCUUCAGGAGAUGAAGAGAGAAAAAGACUCCCUGAAUAUCCCGGCUACUGGUUCGAAUUUUUCAGCCUAACUUAAACCCCGGCUUCGCAGUUUGGCUGGUAUGUCCCCCGCUAGCGGGGGUUAUCGGCAGUAAUUUGAUGCCCUCAUUUGCACCUGAAGUAUGUCCCCUGGAUGCGGGGGUUAUCGGAUGCUGAGCCAGCUUAAACUGUGUGUCUGUCCCCCGUUGGCGGGGGUUAUAGAGCAGUUGGUCUUUUCGGAAUUGAUUGUUUUCGGUGCGGGCCCCGUAAACGGGGGGAUGGACGAUAGCGAAAGCUCUCCUUGAUUCCUCUCUUGUGUGCCCACAAUCUCGCGGGGGGUGAUGCGAAUGAAUUUUGGCGAGCAGGGGGCGCAUCCCUGAUUUCGUCUAAUGGAUUAAAUCAAAUAGUAGCGUGUCCCUAGAAAUUUCUUCUCCUGCAUUCAUGAGGAAGCAACUCAAUAUUAGAAUAUUUUCUCAAGGAAAGUUACUUUUCUGUCGUAUAGACGUUUGCACAAAUUUCAACUCAAUAACCUAAUAUCCUAGAUAGCUCCACUGUAUUAUGCCUGGUUCCAAGGGGUUACAUACGAGUUAUCUGGUCGUUUUAAUCUAAAGUUGUUGUACGGAAAUUCUCCAUGGCGCUCUACUAUCCAUAUUUCGUUGAGCACCUCUUUGCGCUCUGAGUUCGGAUUAACGAUGAAUGCUUGUACGGUAUCAUCUUCCUGAUCGAUGACAAUGCAUCCCGACCGAAUGUCAUCGUCAGAUGAGGUAGGACAAUCUUUAUUCCCAUAUACUUCUGCAACACUUCCGUGAUCGUUAAUUUUCCAACCAGGAGAAAUAGCUAUGGAUGGUAACUUAAAUGCUCCCUCUAAGAAAAUCUGCUUUAUAUAAAUAUCAACUGAGUCUUUAACUUGAUCGCAACCAGUAAGCAAUAAGCCUGACAUUAUUGUUAGAGUGAUAAGUUUCAUUUUCAUUUGCGAUGUCCUCCUUUUUUUAAAUUUAUCACCUGUCGAAGAUUUAAUCAUUAUUUUAUGAGUCACAAAUGUGAAUUAAAGGGCUUAUGCAAUCAAAAUGGAGUGUUCGGUCAGAUUCAACAGUUGAUAUCAGAUGGUAGACGCCUUGAUGCUUGUGUUUGGGUUUGCUCAGAUGAAAAACAGCCAGUAAUUAUGGAUUUACGAAUGACGUCGCUAACCUGUUACCUGAUGGGCUGGGAACCGCCUGAAACAUAAUUUAUACUGUUUAUUUAUACAGUUAUAUUUUGUGGCGAGGUUAGUUAUAUGUUAUUGGUUCCUAAAGAAAAUCUGGUGAAACUUAACAUUCCACUGUUUCUUGAGUUAUGCCCCGCUGGUUUUCCAAGCCCGGCCCAAGACUAUACCUCCAGUGAGUUAGACCUGAACGAUUAUUGCAUAAGGCAUCCCUCUGCAACCUAUUUUGUCAGGGCACAGGGGAACAGCAUGCAGGAUGUGGGGAUGCGGGAUGGAGAUUUGCUGGUGGUCGACCGUUCACUACGCCCUCAGAACCGAGACAUUGUGAUUGCCGAAGUGGACGGGGGCUUCACAGUUAAACAGCUCCAGACUACUCCGAAGCUGGCCCUUCUGCCCAUGAAUAAUGCCUAUUCGCCUAUUUACCCUAAUCCUGAUGAACUUACUAUUUUCGGAGUGGUGACACAUUGGGUUCACCGUGCCAGGGGUAAUAUCUGAUGUAUGCACUGGCUGAUGUAAACAGCUUUUAUGCAAGCUGCGAAAAGGUCUUUCGCCCAGACCUUCGGGAUAAGCCUUUGAUUGUUUUGAGUAAUAAUGACGGCUGCGUAAUCGCUAGGUCAAUUGAUUAUGUGGAAUUGCAAGUAACACUGUGAUGCAGAUGAAGCGAACUUCAUCUGACUAUAAUGUUGAUAUCGUUUUCCGCAACAAUCAGCAUCACAGCAGGUAAACCUUCCACACUCAUUUUUUGAUGUAACUUUUUGAUUAAAUUAUCAUCUUCAUUACUGGCUUUCGCUGAAAAUCCUUGAGGAUGGGAGUGCCAUUCACCAACAUAAUCGACAACACGAGCGGUCAGCUGCUGAACCCGUUCUAAUGCUUCCUUUUGUCCCUCUUCUCCUCGGACAAAGAAGGCUGGUGAGGAUUUACUGUCGAUAGGUUCUGGGAACACAUCAACCAGAAUAAUAGUCUUGUUCUUAAAAUCAGUUAUGCCCACAAUAGCGCCCCCGGUUUCAUUCGGUAGGGCCUGUAAACGGGUAUGUCUCAGUUUUUGUUCUAAGCCUUGAUCGUAUCUAACAAUCCAUUCGCCAGCAAUUACAGAUACCACAGGGUAAAGCUCAAUUUCAUGAGCGCUCACUGCACCUGAAUUUUCAUCAGACACCCAGAUACAUAAUCGAGCAUCAUCCUUAAGGACGGUCUGCCGUAGUUGGCGCGACAGGAUACCAGCAUGAACGUGAAUACAUUCGUUAGACAUACGUACAGAAAUAUCCCUACAUCCACCACCGACCCAACGAUCACCAUAAUUGUGCUGUAGGUGAGUGUUUCCCCACUCGCUGCUCAAAAUUGCCCGGUAGUAUUGCCCCUCAAUUGCAUCAAUUCGGCACUGUCUGUCUGUAUCCUCUAUUAACAUCACGCUGGCCUUGCCUGAUGGUGUCAGAAACAGACUAACUGUUCUGGGUAUAUCAUCUUUUAACGCUAGGGUCCUAGGCACCUCAAAGGUGGUACUGACAUCCACAACUAAGUGAGCCUCAUUCACAGCUCUGGCAAUAUCAUGAUCGUCAUCAAGAAUACUUUUAUUGAUCGCUCCGGGGAGAGGUUCAUGUGGAUAAAUACUACCUGCGAGGUGCCGAAGAAUAUCAGUUUUAGGGUAUCCAAUAUGAUCAUCAACCCCAAUAUGGCGGGGCAGAUUAUGUGGAAGGAGUUUGUCAGGAUCGAUAAAUGUCCAGUGUCCCCAGCCGAUUCGUAUCCAGAUAUCAGCUAAUGUGCCGCCAAGAGCCCCAACGCCAGCCAGAACACCAUAGAAAGAUGCAUUAUCAGAAUCAACAGCAGAAAUGUCUCUUGCUCGUGCAGCAUUCAUAGCAGAACGUAUUUCGACAGGUAACAGUGGUAACUGUUGCCAUUGUGUACCUCUUACGCCACCAAGUAGUCGGAAACGGUGCUGUAUUCCCCGCUCAUUCCUGGGGGCAAGUAUGUCUAAUACGCUGGCAAGUUCGUAGAGUGAGCGUUCCACGAUAUAGCCCAUAACAUCAGUACGUUCUGUUUUACCAUCCCUUAAACGAGGAACCCAUAGCAGAAUUAGCAAACCUUCCUUUUCACCAGAGCUAGGGCGAAGACCUGUAUCAGGUAUAGCAUCAUAAACAGCAUCAGCGAGUGGCUGGAGAAGUUCACUUCCCCAGGAUUGAAGCUGCUCUUCCAGUUUUUUCAGAUUGUCAGGAUAUGAAGCAACUAAUGAGGCUUCAACUGGUGGGACGGCAAUGGUUAAUAAGCGAAAUGGUCUGAUGCCCUGAUUAGAAUGUUCAGGUACAGCCCUUAAAAUUAUCGGCUUACCAUUGCUGACCAUCUGGAGGCUGAGUUUAUGAGCUGCGGCAUGAUUAUAAUCAAGAUAAUUCGCUGGUAAAAUAAGUUGAUAGGGGCUCAUAUAAAAAAGUUGCUCAAGAGGUUGGUCUUCUCGAUGCAAACGUUGUUCAGCUGAUUCUCUGAGCCACCAAAAUAUUCGCUCAAUAAAUCUUUCAGGUGUCCAGUUGCGUUCGACGGCGUUCCAAGAUACAUCAUAAAGGCAAAGAAUUUUUGGAGAGUCUGGUACACCUGCAUGUUGAUGAGAUAAAACAGGAAAAUCUUUACGCAAUGCAUGAACUAGGAUCGGGAUAGUGAACUUAGGGUUUAUCUCAAUAGCUAAUCGUUCUUUACGACGAAUGCCGGCCUUAUUGCCAGAAGUUACUGUACCAUCAGCAACAUCAAUGACUAGGUAUUCCGAGCGGUCAUUGUUUUGCUCAGAUAAACGUAAUUCUCGAACAGUUAUAUAGGGAUGCUGUUCGCAUGCUGUAAGCAAUGAGAUUGUUUGCGGAUAUAGGCUAUCACGCCCCGAUGAAUCGAGGCGUUUACCCAAUUCGAAAUAUUCGAUCAUUGGUUUAUUACACCUGCCCGGGGUGCGGCUGCCGUAGCAGCGCUUGUCGCAGCAGAAACUGCACCAACAAUAGCGGGAAUCAAUUUUCCAUCUCGUGCCACUUCAAACUCAAGAACAGUUUUAUCUUUAAGGUCGCCCGUGCAACUGAACCAACCAUCAACAUUAUCCAGAAUAUCAUCGUACUCACGUUUAGCUCGAAUACACGGAGGAUCAUAAUCGUCAUCAAGUAUCUGUUUGCUGCUGGAAACUAUUGUCGCUCCAGAACGCGCUUGCCCUAAAGCAUUACGGGCCGCAUCGCAAACCAGAGCAUCUUCUCCCCAUUGUGACCAGCUAUAAUAGGAAAGUGAAUGCCACGAACAAUGAUGUGGUGUGAGGAGAAGAUCAUACUCCAGCACCUCAGGAUUGCUUUUGUAACGAUUCCAUAAUCGCUCCCAGAUGAGAACUUCUGCAUCCCCACCGAGUAAAAAGUGCAUAGGAUUACGAGAAUAUGCGGAAGGCAGUAUUUUCAUAUUCAUAAUGAUACUGGAUUCAUUUUUAGAAAGGGCUUCUUCCAGAUUUUCAUCAUCUUCAUGUGGUGCGGGUGCCAGAAGCUGUGCAGAGAAAACGUCUGAAACUUGCCCGUCAAUUCUGGUGAAUGUAUCACCAGCUUUAAUAAGAAUGGCACUCAGAUCAUCCGUUUUACCGUUAAUAUCUUCACCCAUGAUAAGAAUGCGAUUACCGCUAAAUGCGUAACCAUGUUCCCGCCAGUAUUUUACACGGCGCCGAGCUUCCGUAUUAAAUGCCUGAGCAUCUUCGCAAAGUGUGUGAUUUUUCGAACGACGUCGAAAAAUCAAUGGUGAUGACCACAACUCUCGGAUGAUUAUGCGUUUUUCUGAACGUUUCAGAUGGUCAUCUGGAUAGUCUUCAGGACGGCCCAGCCAAAAAUGUUUACGUAGCCCCCCACAAUGGUCCUGAUCCGGAUGACUCAGCAUAAAGACGUCAACAAAAGGGCGAUCGUUAUUAUCGUACUUCAAUCUGUUACGUAGCGCCGAGGCAACAUCAGGUGUGUCAUCUUUGGGGUCAUCAGCAGCAGAACGGAUAUGUACAUCAGUCAGAAUGGAUGUACCCGGGGUAUCAGCCAAACGCACCAGUGUCAUAUCACCGUUGCCGACCUGGAAAAAAGUAACUUUUGCUGCCAUCGACAUCUCCUUCAGGGAUACGAAAGAUUGAGGUUAAGAACAUCUGUUGCUAAGAUACAUCUAGUAAUUAUUCGAGUCUAGUAACUAUACGUAUAUUUUUUAGACUCAAAUUGUAAGCACAGGAAAUGAUUGAUAAAUGAUUGAUAAAAUGGUGCGAACUGGUCAUUGGGGCCAAGAGAGACGACUUGAAUUCAUCGAUUUUCGCCUACUGUGGGAAGGUCGACUUAACCGUGCAGAUAUCACUACAUUUUUCAGAAUUUCUGUGCCGCAGGCUUCAUUAGAUUUGGCUAAAUAUCAAGAGAUUGCACCAAGAAACAUGGUGUAUGAUCGAACUCAGAAGGCUUAUGUAACUACCCCAGAUUUCAAACCUGUUUUUUCAAGUUUUGACAGUAAUCAUUACCUGAAUGAACUAUUAGGGCGAGAAAAUGGAAUAGUGGAUCCUUGUGAUAGUUUCAUUGGAUGGGCCCCUCCGGUUGCCAGCCUUCCUCUUCCGGCUAGGAAAGUACAACCUGAAAUAUUGAUUGAUUUAAUCCGGGCCAUGCAAAGAGAACAGGCUUUGGUUGUUGAUUAUCGUUCGAUGACUAAUGAACCAGCGGUUCGUAUGUUAUACCCAACUGCAUUUGCACAUGAUGGUCAUCGGUGGCAUAUUCGCGCCUAUUGUUUUAAAUCUGCAAUGUUUAAAGAUUUUGUCCUUGGCAGAUUCUUUAAUAUUAUUGAAUUUGUUUCCCCACCGACAUCAAUUCCACAAGAUGUUGACUGGAAUACAUUUAUUGAUGUGGUGAUAGGUCCAAAUCCUAACUACGAUACGAAUAGACGGCUAUCUAUUGAGCAUGAUUACCAAAUGGUGCAUGGCGAGGCGAAAAUUCGGAUACGUCAAGCACAAUUAUAUUAUCUUAACCGUCGGUUAAAUUUGGAUGUGAAAAUCGAUUCUUCAAUAGAUGAUAAGCAGCAAAUCAUCAUGCUAAGAAUAGAAAAACCUGAAGAUUCUAUAGGAUAAAGUUAACAUGAAUGUAACUGGUAUUAAUAAAAACAAUAAGGAAUGGAUGAUUGCGAUAAUAAUCACCUACCUUUUUAUUCUGUUAUGUCUGGCAACAUACGCUAUUGGGGCUAUGUCUCUGGGGUGGUUGCCUGCACCUUACGCACCAUUAAGGGUGCCACUGAUGUGUGGCACCAUUGCCUAUAUUGGUGGUUGUUUAUAUUGUUUUCGUGCAAUUUACAUCAAUAAAUGCAUUAGAAAACAAUGGGAUCCAGAUUGGCAUGUAUGGUAUUUCAUCCGCCCACUUACCAGUACAAUUGCAGGUGCAAUCAGUUACUUAUUUCUUAAAGCAGGAUUGUUAGUUCUGGAAUCUAGCUCCAAUGCAGGGUCCAGUGAAAUGGGUUUCUUUGCAUUGGCGUUUAUUGCAGGCUUUAAUGUCGAUAAGUUUGUCGCGAAAAUUGAGGAAGUUGCAAAGGCCGUGUGGGGGAUUGAAAAAACAAGAAGUGCAACUAAUCAUGAGGUAAAAGACUUAGAUAAAAAAGAAUAACUUGGAUAUUCAAAUUAACCGGGAUAUUUUUUCGCUAUUUUAUCUUUUUUGCUUGUCUGGUGUUUCAAUGUUUUUUAAUUUCUCUAAUAAUUUGUCUAUCGCACCAAUAUCAUUAUUUACUGCUGCCUGUUCAUCAUCCGUCAACGGGAUCUCCUGCAUCAUUUUGAGUAAAUUCUGACGCCCCUCUAUAUAUUGCGCUUCUGAUGAUGAUUUAGGCAGGUAGAACGAACAUUUUGCACAAGCCAUACGGUGUGGGCACUGUUCAAAAAAGUCAUAACUACACAAUCCGUGCCCAAGGUCAUAAUAUCGCCAUGGUUCUCCUUUCUGCAUUUGUCCGGACGAAAUUGCAUCCUGAUCGAUCAGCACCGAAACCAUACGACGGUUUCGCUCAAAGUAUCCUGCUUUAGACAGAGACCCUGCCAGUUUUGUCGGUGUGAUAUCGAUAUAAUGCUGUGUCGAACUGGGAGAGGAAUGUCCGAGCCAGCGCUGUAACUCAAAUAAUCCUAGUGGUUCCCGGGCAUUAAACAGCUGGCUGGCUAUAGUUGCCCGCGCUCUGUGGCUAGUGAUAGUCCCCCUGAUAUCUUCGUUUGGAACACCAGCUUUCCGACAAAGCAUCGGAAUUAAGGAUUUAUUAAUAUAACUCUGGCUAAUCCGAGCAGCUUUAUGCAUAAAAAGAUAACUGACAAGUUCACCCGUUUUUAAAUCAAGUUGGUCUGGUUGUAUAUUUCGUUCUUUUUCCCAGCAAUCAAUGUAUUCCCCUACGAUUGGAUCAACAGGUUUGGUGAAGGCCGUGCUGGUUUUGUUCACGGGGACAUCCAGCAAACAUAUCCGAGAGCCGCCCUGAUGUUCAUCAUUUUGCCAGCGUAUACAGCCUGUUCGCAUCCGCAAAAUUUCAUCACGACGCAACCCACCAAACAGCCAGAGAACACAUAAUGCACGAACCAUAGAAAAUGGGUAGCGAUAGUAAAGUUGUUCACCAUAAUGCAGAUCCUGCUCCUGCAGGUUCAACCCUGCCCAGACAAGUUUACUCCAUAUAUCAUCAGCAACGACUCUUGGUGCAGGGCCAAUACUGGCCCGGAUAGCGCGGGGUAAACGGAACGUUCUGACAGGAUCAAAUCGGACGAUAAUAAGCCCCCAUUCCUGAAGGUCUCGAAAAAAAACUCUGAUAGCCUGUAAAAUCCCCGCCCGUGCAGAGGCUGUCAUUAACUGGCCUAUUCGAUUCUGAUACAUAUGGCGCGGUUCAGACCACUGGCCUAUUUUCAUUUGACACACUGCAGCUACGUAUUCAAGUGCGAUGUCCCGGCUCCAGUCUGCAGGAGAAUGUAUAUCAGGGUGAGUGGCUUUCAGCCAGCGCCCACACUGCAGGAUGCGGUACCAUGUACUGAGUUCAGAUGAUGGUGCUUUAAUAGCGGUUUUACGCCAGCGUUCACACCAUCGCAACCAUUCUUCCGGAACGUUACUGGUUGCACGAUAUUCCCCGUGAGGCCGUCUGCGCUCAAGAAUACGAUGGUCAAUGCCCGCGGGGAACAGCCCCAUCGCAGCAAAUAUCCUUGACAAGGUGGCCGCAGAGCGACGCAUAUAAACAGGCCCGUAAGUUAUUACUCGCUUAAGUGUUUCCAGUUCCAAUUUUUCAGGAUCAACCUGCCGCUGACAAAGCAUAGACAGCAGUAGCGCAUUACGAAUGUUAUUGUCAGCAGCGACAAAGCCGAGGCGCUGCAUGUUCUCCUGAAGCUUGUUUACCGCCGCCUCUGUCGCCGGGCGGCCAAAAACUUUGACAGAAAGCCGAUAAUGAUAAAAGCAGCCAGCCGCCUCAAGUCGAUUAAAUCCGCACAGUAACCAAGCAAUCGCGAGGAUAUACUGUCGACAAUUACCACAGCUGCCAUAUUUUUUGCGAAAUACCUCUUCACUGCUGCACAGCACUUCGAGCCAGUCGUCCUGGGUCCAUGACCAGUAGUUUUUUUCCAGCCGGUGCAUUUCCAGAAUGAUGUCAUGAAUUGCAGAAUUGGUUGUUGUGGAUGCGGCAUUCAUCCACUUUAAUGCUGCUCUGAGUGGAAUUAUCAGGCGAGAAAGCCUUUGUCUUACACAGUUCGACCAGUUUUGUUUAUGACGUCCAACAACAUACUGAGCCAGGUUUAUCAAAGUAUCUCGUUCAAUCGGCUGUAAUUUGGGAGAACAAUCCCAGUCAGGAUCAGGUUGCCAUUCUUCGUAGUCAAAAGGGGCUGGCGCAUCAUAUUCAGUUUUCAUUGCCAUCCGUAUUGUCCCCCUUUAAAUUGUGUAACCGAUGUUCAUGUAUCGACGCCAUACCUGCGUUAAAUUUUUCCGUAAGAUCACGCGCACUAAGAUGGAUAUAAAGUAACGUUGACUGGAUACUCUGAUGGCCGGCAAACGUAGCGAUCUCAUGAAUAUCCCAGUCAGCUCUGGCGAGAUCGGUCAGACAUAGAUGUCUGAAGGUAUGCGUACUCAAUUGGGGUAGCCCCGCCUGCAUUGCCAACGACCUUACGAUCUUGGACCAGGUCCACCGGGUUAUUGGCGCAGUUCUGUUGCGACAGGAAUAAGAAAGAAACAGUGGGCCACGGGAAGUAUUUAAUUGUCGCCGUUCUGCUAACCAGAGGAAAUAUAACUCUCCGGUUACGACAGAAUAGGGCACAACCCGACCUCGCUUAGUUUUUGUCGUUUCAGCCCGAACUGUUAGCAAGCGACGAGAAGGGUCAAUAUCGCCGGUAGCAACGGAGCACAACUCUUCCCGGCGCAGGGCACAGUCGUACGCAAGAGAUAGCAUAAAAGGGGUUCGAGGUUCAAUCGUGUAAAAAACCACGUUAAGGCAAUAAUUCAUUGUUUGAAUUGAAAUUUAAUGGCCUCAACUCUCCCUUCAGAAUAUUUUCCGGCAGCGUGAACGUAUAAUGUCCCAGCAUGUUGAUAUGACCGUACAUCAGUGGCGACAGGCGUGAGAUAUGCUCGUCUUCCGGGAUCUCACCAGCGCUGCGCAAAUGUGAUAGCGCUUCCUGCAUAUAAAGCGUGUUCCACAAUACAACUGCGUUAGUGACAAGCCCCAGCGCACCCAGUUGAUCCUCCUGCCCCUCACGGUAACGUUUUCUAAUCUCACCACGUUGGCCGUAACAGAUCGCCCUUGCCACGGCGUGACGGCCUUCUCCCCGGUUAAGCUGAGUCAGUAUCCUGCGACGAUAUUCUUCAUCAUCAAUGUAGUUGAGGAGGUACAGCGUCUUGUUGACCCGUCCCACCUCCAUAAUCGCCUGCGCCAGCCCUGACGGACGGGAACUUUUUAAAAGCGAGCCCACAAGUUCUGAGGCGUGGACUGUACCCAGCUUCAGAGAACCGGAAACCCUCAUCAUUUCAUCCCAUUGGGUUUCUAUCUUUGACAGUUCAACGCAUCCCCGCGCCAGCUCAUCCAGUACCCCGUAGUUCGCAUUUUUAUCUGCACGCCAAAAUACCGCCUCACCGGCAUCUGCCAGGCGGGGCGAAAACUGGUAGCCCAGCAGCCAGAACAGGCCAAAGAUAAUGUCGCUGGACCCUCCAGUGUCCGUCAUAAUCUCCACCGGAUUCAGCCCCGUCUGCUGCUCCAGAAGCCCUUCCAGCACAAAGAUAGAGUCACGCAACGUACCGGGGAUAACGAUGCCGUGAAAGCCGGAAUACUGGUCAGAAACAAAAUUGUACCAGGUGAUCCCACGCCCUGAGCCAAAGUAUUUUCUGUUAGGGCCAGAGUUCAGCGUUUUUACAGGAGUGACAAAGCGCAUCCCAUCUGCAGAAGCCACUUCUCCGCCGCCCCAGCGCUCAGACAGUUCCAGCGUGGACUGAAAAUCGACCAACCGGGCAUUAGCGCUGACCAGCGUUUCAGCCCGAAUGUAGUUUUGUUUUACCCAGCUCAGACGGUGGCGGGUCAGUGCCGGAAUACUGUGUUUGAUCAGCGGUUCAUGUCCGAUAUUGCAGGCUUCAGCGAGCAGUACGGCACACAGGCUGAUGUUAAGAUCCUGAGCACGGGCUUCAGACUCACUCACAUGAGUGAAUUCGCGGGUAAAACCAGUCCGGGCGUCAAUUUCAAGCAGCAGCUCUGUCAGAUCAACAGGGGGGACCAGCUGCCUGACGCGGCUGUUCAGAAGAAUCAGCGGCUGCGGUUCUUCCAGUUUUUCCAGACUGCUGAUGGUCAGGGACGGAUAUUUACCCUGAUGACAGAUGCUCACGGCAGCAUUCAGCUCAAAGCGUGAGGCCACCGUUUUCCAGGUUUCGUCCAGUUCGGUUGCCAGCUGUUUAACGGCAUUUCCACCAUCGGUGGGGUGUCCAAGCGCCCGGCAUACGGCGAUCCGCUGAGCCUGCCAUUCUUUCCCCUGAAGAAACUUCUGACGCGGAUCGCCCCAGCGAUCGCUGUUCUCCAGCCAGAUAUCGCGGCGACGCAGCGAAUCCUGAAGGCGUUCCAGCAGGCACAAUGAGUAUCCUGCACGCUGUAUCCGGCCUUCGGAGUCGUACACCAGACGUUUCCAGGGACCUGUAAUGAUCUGCUCAGGCGCAUUCUCCAGGAGGCGUUUUUUCGAACCACUCAGUUCGGCCAGGUAAUGUAUGGCCGAUAGCGUAUUUUCGCCGGCAGGGGCAGACUGAAAAUGUAAAUCACGCAGCAUCGCUGGCAGAAAGCGCUUAACCCGUCCAUAUUGCUCGACCAUUUCAUCCUGGAAAUUUGUGUCCUGCGGGCGGGCAAGCUCAUUGACUUUACCUACGGAUUCCGCCAGCCGGUUCUUUGGUACGUGGCUGAAAAUAGUCUGACGCAGCGCUGCGUCAUCCAUUUUAUCAUCCAGUAAAAGCGUACAUGCAUGUGCCAGAAGUAGCGCCGCGCGAUCAAGAUCUUUGAGCGUUCUGAGCCGUUUUUUCGGCACUGUUGCAAAGUUAGCGAUGAGGCAGCCUUUUGUCUUAUUCAAAGGCCUUACAUUUCAAAAACUCUGCUUACCAGGCGCAUUUCGCCCAGGGGAUCACCAUAAUAAAAUGCUGAGGCCUGGCCUUUGCGUAGUGCACGCAUCACCUCAAUACCUUUGAUGGUGGCGUAAGCCGUCUUCAUGGAUUUAAAUCCCAGCGUGGCGCCGAUUAUCCGUUUCAGUUUGCCAUGAUCGCAUUCAAUCACGUUGUUCCGGUACUUAAUCUGUCGGUGUUCAACGUCAGACGGGCACCGGCCUUCGCGUUUGAGCAGAGCAAGCGCGCGACCAUAGGCGGGCGCUUUAUCCGUGUUGAUGAAUCGCGGGAUCUGCCACUUCUUCACGUUGUUGAGGAUUUUACCCAGAAACCGGUAUGCAGCUUUGCUGUUACGACGGGAGGAGAGAUAAAAAUCGACAGUGCGGCCCCGGCUGUCGACGGCCCGGUACAGAUACGCCCAGCGGCCAUUGACCUUCACGUAGGUUUCAUCCAUGUGCCACGGGCAAAGAUCGGAAGGGUUACGCCAGUACCAGCGCAGCCGUUUUUCCAUUUCAGGCGCAUAACGCUGAACCCAGCGGUAAAUCGUGGAGUGAUCGACAUUCACUCCGCGUUCAGCCAGCAUCUCCUGCAGCUCACGGUAACUGAUGCCGUAUUUGCAGUACCAGCGUACGGCCCACAGAAUGAUGUCACGCUGAAAAUGCCGGCCUUUGAAUGGGUUCAUGUGCAGCUCCAUCAGCAAAAGGGGAUGAUAAGUUUAUCACCACCGGCUAUUUGCAACAGUGCCCCUGCAGGAUAUCGUGUAUGCCCUGAAUCAGCAGGGUGUAACGCUCAGGGCGACAGAACAGCCUGUAGAAACGUGUUCAGCAGCAGGCAAAGCCUUCCUCGAUAUGCUGGGCGUUUUCGCUGAGUUUGAAACCAAUCUGCGACGUGAACGCCAGAUGGAGGGGAUUGCCGCGGCGAAAGCACGGGGCGUGUACCGUGGAAGAAAGCCCUCAAUAGACCCAGCAGAAGUCUGGCGCCUGUACACCAUGGAGAAAAUGGGGGCCACGGCCAUCGCCCGUCAGCUCGGGAUCGGGAGAGCGUCAGUGUACCGGGCGCUGGAAAAUUAUGAGCAGUCGGCGUAGCGCCAUCCCGGCUGAUUCCCUGUUGCAACUACGGCAACGGCUCGACCGCCUGCCGCCAAAAAGCCCUGAACGUGCCACCCAGAUUGCCGCUGCCGCUCUGUUGUAUGGUAUUUCAGUCACGACGGUCUAUCGCGCCCUUCGUCUGGUCCUCAGACCCCGCACAGCACACCGCAGCGAUCAUGGUCAGCCACGGAUACUCCCCCCAUCUGAACUGGAACAUUACUGUGAACUGAUUGCCGCGCUAAAAUUGCGAACGACGAAUAAAUCCGGUCGCCAUCUGUCAACCGGACGGGCAAUACAGUUACUGGAAGAGCACGGCGUGGAGACCGUUCAGGGAUUGAUAAAAAGUCCCAAAGGCUUGCUUAGUAAGCAGACCGUCAAUCGCUGGCUUUCCCGCUGGCGUCUCGACCAGCCCCGCCUGUUACGGGAGCCCCCGGCAGUAAGAUUUCAGGCUGAAAACAGCAAUGACUGCUGGCAAUUUGAUAUGUCACCGUCCGAUCUAAAACAUAUUGAACGGCCUGAUUGGGUUGACCCUGCCCGGGGCGAACCCACGCUGAUGUUGUUCAGCGUGGUGGAUGAUCGGAGCGGUGUUGCUUACCAGGAAUACCGGUGUGUGUACGGUGAGGAUGCGGAAUCAGCGCUACGUUUUCUCUUUAACGCCAUGGCACCAAAAGCCAGGUCUGAUUUUCCUUUCCAGGGCCGCCCUAAAAUGCUGUACCUCGAUAACGGACCGCUGGCCAAAAGCCAUGUAUUCCAGAAUGUGAUGCAGUCCCUGAAAGUUGACUGGCUGACGCAUACACCGGCAGGUAAGGAUGGCACCCGGACAACGGCACGGUCCAAAGGUAAAGUAGAGCGUCCUUUCAGGACCGUUAAAGAGGCACAUGAAACCCUGUACCAUUUCCAUAAACCGGAGACGGAGCUGCAGGCCAACGAAUGGCUCUGGAACUAUCUGAGUCGUUACAAUGCGCAGCAACACCGCAGCGAGAAACACUCGCGCCUGGAGGACUGGCUGGCAAAUAUCCCCCGGGACGGCGUGAGAGAUAUGUGCAGCUGGGAACAAUACGGUCGGUUCGCCCGGGAGCCGGAAUCCCGCAAGGUGGGUGUUGAUGCGCGGGUAACGAUAGACGGCACCGCAUGGGAAGUUGAACCGGAUAUGGCGGGGGAAAUCGUCAUUCUGCUGUGGGGGUUGUUUGACGAAGAGAUGUAUGUGGAGUUUACCGGUGAAACAUGGGGGCCUUAUUAUCCGGUAUCGGGGCCUGUGCCACUACACCGUUAUCGGACGUUCAGGCGUGGCAAAGCGGCUGAACGGGCCGAUCGUAUUCAUGCUCUGGCCAGACAGCUGAACAUCCCCAUCAGCGCGUUGUCCGGAAGCGAUCUCCGCGUGGUCAGUGAUGACACCCAGCAGCGCAUUGAUGGGGGAACCGCAGAAUUCGGAAAAAAUCGUACGCUAAGCUAACGGUGUUCUCGUGACAGCUCUUUGACUAGGCUUUCUAAGGCCAUUCUGAUAGCCCUGACUUCCUGAAAAGCCAUGGCUAAAAUUUGUGCGGCUAAAAGGGAUAACCGAUGGUAAAGUAAGUUAUCCCUGUCGAGAUACUGAAAAGCGUUAUCCUCGUUUUUCCCAAAACUGUUUUGCCAGUUCGCUCAGAGCGCUAGUUAACUGAGCGACAGAUUUCGCACUUUGCAAAUUAUUCUGCCCGGUCUGUACAUUGGUAUCAGCAGCAUCGCGUAUAUUGAUAAUACUGCGGUUUAUGUCUUCACUUACUGCUCCCUGCUGCUCGACCGCAGUCGCUAUUUGCGCGUUCAUGUCGGUAAUUUCGUUAACGCGUUGGCCAAUUCCAUCAAGAGCUGUAGCUGCUUCCUCUGCGUGAGCUACACUCGUGUGCGCUUGCCGACUACUUUGCUCCAUGACUGUAACAGCGGAUUGCGCUCGCUCUUGUAGAGCGCUGAUCAUGCUUUGAAUAUCCGUUGUCGAUUGCUGUGUGCGAGCAGCAAGACUGCGAACCUCAUCGGCGACAACAGCAAAACCACGCCCCUGCUCACCAGCACGCGCGGCCUCAAUUGCUGCGUUGAGUGCCAACAAAUUCGUUUGCUCGGCGAUCCCUCGUAUAACGUCAAGAACUUUUGAUAUCUCGUUACUUUGACCUUCAAGCUCAUGAAUAACCUGAGUGGCUUGCCUAAUUUCACCUUCAAGGGCAGUGAUUGACUGGCUUGUGUGGGCUACCAGACGCUGGCCAGAUGCCGUCUCAGUGUCUGCUCUUCCGGCCGCAUCUGCAGCAUGCUGUGCAUUGCUCGCAACCUCUUGAAUGCUUGCCACCAUUUGGUUUACUGCCGUUGCUAUUUGAUCUGUCUCUGCCUGCUGCUCAACUGUAAGUACAUUGCUUGACUCAAUAUCCUUUAGUAGGCCUCGGGUGUGUUCGCUAAGCCGAUUUGAUGCAUCACCUAUGCGACCUACUAUGGCGCCUGUUUCAGCUUGCAUCAUUCGUAAAGCAAACUCUAUUUGGCCAAACUCAUCGGUGCGCCCAGUGUAGAGGGAUUGACUUAAUGGGUUAUUGGAAAUAUUCCUGGCUCUUUCAACCAGUCUUCCAAGAGGAGAGAGAAUAGCCAAAACACUAACAGAGCUUAAGCUUCCUGACAUUAAAGUGGCUAACAAUAAGCUGCUUAUUGAUGUAUCAGUAAGCAUGCCGGCAGCCAUUGCGCUUGAUAUAAUACUACCCCAUAUGAGCAAGAGUAUUUUCACGGAAAAGCUAGCAGCCAAUUUCGGCCUCGCGGCCUUCCCGCUUCUCAAUUGAGCAUAUAAUUUUUCCGCAGCCAAAACCUGCUCAGGUUCAGGCUUGGUCCUUACAGACGGCACUGUUGCAAAUAGUCGGUGGUGAUAAACUUAUCAUCCCCUUUUGCUGAUGGAGCUGCACAUGAACCCAUUCAAAGGCCGGCAUUUUCAGCGUGACAUCAUUCUGUGGGCCGUACGCUGGUACUGCAAAUACGGCAUCAGUUACCGUGAGCUGCAGGAGAUGCUGGCUGAACGCGGAGUGAAUGUCGAUCACUCCACGAUUUACCGCUGGGUUCAGCGUUAUGCGCCUGAAAUGGAAAAACGGCUGCGCUGGUACUGGCGUAACCCUUCCGAUCUUUGCCCGUGGCACAUGGAUGAAACCUACGUGAAGGUCAAUGGCCGCUGGGCGUAUCUGUACCGGGCCGUCGACAGCCGGGGCCGCACUGUCGAUUUUUAUCUCUCCUCCCGUCGUAACAGCAAAGCUGCAUACCGGUUUCUGGGUAAAAUCCUCAACAACGUGAAGAAGUGGCAGAUCCCGCGAUUCAUCAACACGGAUAAAGCGCCCGCCUAUGGUCGCGCGCUUGCUCUGCUCAAACGCGAAGGCCGGUGCCCGUCUGACGUUGAACACCGACAGAUUAAGUACCGGAACAACGUGAUUGAAUGCGAUCAUGGCAAACUGAAACGGAUAAUCGGCGCCACGCUGGGAUUUAAAUCCAUGAAGACGGCUUACGCCACCAUCAAAGGUAUUGAGGUGAUGCGUGCACUACGCAAAGGCCAGGCCUCAGCAUUUUAUUAUGGUGAUCCCCUGGGCGAAAUGCGCCUGGUAAGCAGAGUUUUUGAAAUGUAAGGCCUUUGAAUAAGACAAAAGGCUGCCUCAUCGCUAACUUUGCAACAGUGCCGUAAAGGCGGCCUUAUCCACCAUUUCCCGAACAAGCAGGCGCUAAUAUUCGCCCUGUUCGCGCGUCUGCUGGCAAUCAUGGAAGAAGCGAUUACCGCGCUGAUGCAACAGGAUGGCGUGAGCUAUGGCCGGUUUACCCGCGCCUAUCUGAACUAUCUGGCGGAUCUCACGGACACCCAUGAAAGCCGCCAGCUUAUGGUUUUGUCGCUGGCAAUGCCCGAUGAACCGGUGCUGCGCAAAUGCUGGCGCGACUGGAUGCUGGAGAAACUGGCGCAGGGCGAUGAGCUGGAUAACAGCCCAACCGGCACGCUGGUGCGCUACGCCGCUGACGGCAUCUGGCUUUCGGAGUUGACGGAAGGGAUCACCAUGAGCGCCGACCACCGUCGCGCGCUGGUUGACUCCCUGAAUAAAAUGACGCUUCCCGCGUGAAGCACAGACUGAGGCCGCGAUGCGCUACAACAUCAAUGCCCGUUUUAUCUACGACGCCACCGACGGAACCCUGACGCUGCCGCAAAGCGAUGAACCGGACAGCCAGCUAUCCCUCACCGCCAGCGCCCUGUUUAACUAUUUUCUGCGCCAUACCGAGAUUGUCAGCCGGGAAGAUGUUCUGAAAAAAGUCUGGGAUGACAAUGGAUUAACCUCAUCCAACAGCAAUCUGAAUCAGUAUCUCAGCAUGCUGCGGAAGACCUUUCGCCAUUACGGCGUCGAUAACAUCAUCGUCACCGUCUCGCGCGGCUAUUUGCAGCUUAAUCCCGAGGUCAUUAUCGAAGCGCUGGACGACGCGCCGCCGGUUUCACCACAACAGACGCCUGCCGAACCGCCGCCCGUUACGACAACGCCAGACGCACCGCGCUCCGCACAUGCUCGCGGGAUGUGCUGGUACAUGGCCGGAGCCUGCUUGCUCACCAUUGCCCUGCUUCUGGUUGCCUUCAGUCUGGUCGGCAUCAGUGAAUCCCAGCCUAUCGCGCUGACCCGCCUCAGCCAUAGCCAGUGCGAACUGCUGGCCAGCGAUGAAAUGCGACGUUCGGUCAGUGAAGAGUCCUACGGCAAAAACUUCGAUGAGGUACGCCAGCGGCUGAAUAUUGCCUGUAAACCCGGUGAACGUUUUCUUUUCUUCUACGGCGAUCGGCUCGAAACCAACGGGCUGGGGCGCGUGUUCCUUGCCCACUGCGCCAUGCAUGAAGAUAACCCGUUCAGCUAUUGCGAUAACUACUUUUACUACUCCUGGAAGCCGUAAUGAGACUCGCGCCGCGUCCGUUCUUUGCCCUCUGCGUUCUGGUAUUUAUUGCCGCCGCCGCGUUUAGCGCCUGGCGGCUGCUGCCUGCCGACAACGCGGGUGUCAUGAGCUGUUCCACUAAGGGCAUCAUGCGCUUUGAGAACAUGGACAAAGAGAACGUUAACGGCAAUAUUCACUUCAAUUUUGGCGCGCAGGGUAAAGGCUCGAUGGUGGUCGAAGGUUACACCGACUCCGCCGCCGGCUGGCUCUACCUGCAACGCUACGUGAAGUUUACCUACAGCAGCAAACGCAUCUCGGCCACCGAGCGUCAUUACCGCAUCAAUCAGUGGGAAUCGAGCGCCUCCUCGAUUGAUGAAUCGCCGAACGUGAUUUUCGACUACUUUAUGCGCGAGAUGUCCGACAGCCACGACGGGCUGUUUCUCAACGCUCAGAAGCUCAACGAAAAGGCUAUCUUGCUCAGCUCUAUCAAUUCACCGCUGUGGAUCUGCACGUUGAAAUCCGGCAGUAAGCUGAACUAACCCGUCAAUCAAAAAAGACCAUCCCCUUGUAGGGGCGUUCGCGACAGGCGGCCAGCCGCUGCGCCAGAUUCCCCACAUGCAGCUCCAGCUUAUGGCCGUCAGGGUCGAGAAAAUAGUAAGACGCCCCUUCACUGCGGUUAUCUUUCCAUACCUCAGCCCCCGCCUGCGCCAGCAGAGCCACCACCCCGGCAAACUCUUCUUCCGCCACGCUGAAGGCGUAGUGGGUAUAGUCGCUUUCCUGAGGGGGCGUUUUACGCCGCUGCUCAUCCAGCGACAAGCACAGCCACAGCGCCCCACAGGAGAGAUAGGCUCCGCUAUCCCAGCUGGCGUGCAGGCGCAUUCCAGGUAACUGCUGAUAAAAUGCCAGGCUUGACGCCAGAUCGCUGACCGCCAGCGUCAGAUGAUUCAAUCCCUGCAGCAUGACUUUUCCUCCCGUUAUCAAACCCUGUUGUAAACUGUGAUCGGCGACGCAUCCCCUCCCGGCCUCACCUCAUCACCGGCUAAAAAGCGCAUUUUUUGCGUUUAGCCUGCCAUCGGAAACCUGCGCCUCGCCACACUAAUCCCCGCUCUAUGUUACCCCUUUUUUGAAAUCAUUUAGCAAUCCAAUAACAUUUCAUCCCCCCGGAAAAAGCGGGCUAAAAAUCGCCUUAUUGAAGACCAAAUCAGCACCGACAUUACAGCAUAAAGACAUAAAUAAACGCCCUAAAAAGACUAAAUCACAGAGCUAUAUCCUAAAUAAUUACGGCACUGUUGCAAAUAGUCGGUGGUGAUAAACUUAUCAUCCCCUUUUGCUGAUGGAGCUGCACAUGAACCCAUUCAAAGGCCGGCAUUUUCAGCGUGACAUCAUUCUGUGGGCCGUACGCUGGUACUGCAAAUACGGCAUCAGUUACCGUGAGCUGCAGGAGAUGCUGGCUGAACGCGGAGUGAAUGUCGAUCACUCCACGAUUUACCGCUGGGUUCAGCGUUAUGCGCCUGAAAUGGAAAAACGGCUGCGCUGGUACUGGCGUAACCCUUCCGAUCUUUGCCCGUGGCACAUGGAUGAAACCUACGUGAAGGUCAAUGGCCGCUGGGCGUAUCUGUACCGGGCCGUCGACAGCCGGGGCCGCACUGUCGAUUUUUAUCUCUCCUCCCGUCGUAACAGCAAAGCUGCAUACCGGUUUCUGGGUAAAAUCCUCAACAACGUGAAGAAGUGGCAGAUCCCGCGAUUCAUCAACACGGAUAAAGCGCCCGCCUAUGGUCGCGCGCUUGCUCUGCUCAAACGCGAAGGCCGGUGCCCGUCUGACGUUGAACACCGACAGAUUAAGUACCGGAACAACGUGAUUGAAUGCGAUCAUGGCAAACUGAAACGGAUAAUCGGCGCCACGCUGGGAUUUAAAUCCAUGAAGACGGCUUACGCCACCAUCAAAGGUAUUGAGGUGAUGCGUGCACUACGCAAAGGCCAGGCCUCAGCAUUUUAUUAUGGUGAUCCCCUGGGCGAAAUGCGCCUGGUAAGCAGAGUUUUUGAAAUGUAAGGCCUUUGAAUAAGACAAAAGGCUGCCUCAUCGCUAACUUUGCAACAGUGCCCGAGCCCCUGCAGGCAGGAGAGCGCGGUCAGAUAGUGGCUGUGCAAGUGGACGAUCGCCUUGCAGGCCGGGUUGUGCAAAUAGACCGCCCGGUGAAAAGUGACCUCUUUCGACGGUUUGUCGCCGGAGAUCCAUUCCCCUUGCAGCGUCACCACCGACAACCGCUGAGCCUGCAGUUCGCCGAGGCAGGCGCCGGUCGGCGUCGCCAGCAGGUUGCCGUCCGGCAGCAGCAGCGACAGAUUGCCAGCGGAGCCGGUGGCAUAGCCGCGGCUAAACAACGAGGCGCCAAUCUGCACCAUUUCCUCUCGCAGUUGUUGCUCAGUCAUGACGAAACUCCUGCUGGGCACGGGCAAAGAACUGGAUAUCGCCGAAGUUACCUGACUUCAGCGCCAGGGAGAGCGGCUGGCGGGUGUCACGCACCCAGGGCACGCCAGGGGAGAUGGUCGGCCCAAUAUGGAACGCCUCAACCCCCAGGGUCUGCGCCACAAUGCUCGACGUUUCCCCUCCGGCCACAAUAAAGCGGGUAAAUCCGUUCGCCUUCAGGGCGGCGGCAAGAGCGGCAAACAGCUGUUCCACCCGUUCGCUGCUGGCCUUGUCGCCAUACUGCGCCUGGAUCCGCUGCAGCGUUUGCGGCUCGGUGGUGGCAUAGAUCAUCGGCGCCAGCGGCGCAUCGCGCUGCGCGUCCACCCAGUCAGUCAGCGUCCUGACGUAGCUCUCCAGAUCGGUAAAGCAGGCGCUUAAGUCGACGGCGCGGGCGGGGGCCUGUUGACGAUAGGCCGCCACCUGGCUGUUGGUCAUCACCGAGCAGGAGCCCGAGAGCACCACCGCCGGACCGGCCAGCGGCAUGCCGGCCUGAGCGCUUUCCCCCCUGGCGCCAUGGCGCUGCGCCCAGUCGCGGGCGAGGCCGAUGGCGAGGCCGGAACCGCCGGAGACCAGCUUCAUCUCCCGCAGCGCCACGCCCUGGGUGAGCAGAUCCUGUUCGCUGAGGGCGUCGAGCACCACAUAGCGCACCGCCGGAUCGUUGACUGCCGCCAGCGCGGCGGCGACCGGGCGACAAUCGGCCAGGCAAUCAGCGCGGCUUUUCCGCGCCCUUGGCGCUCAAUUAAGCGGCCCAGGUGCGCAUCCUCCAUCGGCGUCACCGGAUGGUGGCGCAUCCCGGACUCAUUCAGCAGUUGCUCGCCGACGAACAGAUAUCCCUGAUAGACCGUGCGGCCGUUAACCGGCAGCGCCGGGGAAAUCACCGUCCGCGUCUCACCCAGCUCGGCCAGCAGGGCAUCCAGCACCGGGCCAAUGUUGCCCUGCGCGGUGCUGUCGAAAGUGGAACAGUACUUGAAAUAAAACUGCUGACAGCCCUGGGCCUGCAGCCAGCGCAGGGCCGCCAGCGACUGGCUGACGGCCAUUUCCGCCGGGCAGGAGCGGGUUUUCAGGCUGAUGACCACCGCCUCGCUGGUCAGCGGAAUAUCGCGGGUCGGCACGCCAUUCAGUUGCACCGUCGGCAUGCCGUUGCGCACGAGGAAGCUGGCAAUAUCCGUGGCGCCGGUGAAGUCAUCGGCAAUGACACCAAGCUGCAUGUUGUCUCUCCUCACUGUUUAUGGCCCGGCAGGGUGAUGCCGUUGAAAAUCUUGAUCACCGCGCUGUCAUCUUCCCGACCGAAUCCGGCAUUACUGGCGGAGGUGAACAUAUUCAGCGCGGUGGUAGCGAGCGGCAGCGGGAAGGUCAGCGCCCGGGCAGUGUCAUUCACCAGCCCGAGAUCUUUGACAAAAAUAUCGACAGCGGAUUUUGGCGAGUAAUCGCCAUCCAGGACGUGCUGCAUGCGAUUCUCAAACAUCCAGGAAUUACCCGCCGCGUGGGUGACCACGUCAUACAUCGUCUCCAGUGGGAUCCCGGCGCGGGCGGCAAGCGCCAUCGCUUCGGCGGCAACGGCGAUGUGCACCCCGGCCAGCAGCUGAUGGAUAAUUUUUACCGUCGAGCCAAGACCAAUGUCGCUCCCGAUGCGGUAGACUUUGCCGGCCACGGCGUCCAGCACCGGCGCGAGUCGGGCAAAGGCGGCAUCGCUCCCGGAGGCCAUCACCGUCAUGUCGCCGGCGGCCGCUUUCACGGCGCCGCCCGAUACCGGCGCGUCGAGCAUCAAUAGCUGGUACUCCGCCAGCGUCUCGGCAAUGGCCUGAGCAUCGGCGGAGGCGAUGGUGGACGACACCAUCACGACGGUGCCCGGCUUCAGAUGGGCGGCGAGGCCGCUCUCGCCGAACAGGAUCCCCCGCACCUGGGCGGCAUUGACCACCAGCAGCACAACUGCAUCCAGUUCCGCGGCGAACGGCACCGCGCUGGGGCCCGCGCCUUUGGCGCCCGCCGCCAGCAGUGCGCGACAGUUGUCGGGAUUGAUGUCAACGCCCCAGGUGUUCAGGCCCGCCUGCAGGCAGGCGCGGGCGGCGCCCAUGCCCAUUGAACCCAGUCCAAUCACGCAGACGUUAGUGUGUGCAGCCAUGCUGGUCUCCUUGUGAACAUUAGUUAAUUAAUGUGAUUUAAUGAUAGAAUAAAGCGUUACCAUGUGAAUUUAUGUGAGAGUUAUCACGAAUAACCCACAUGAAUAUAAAAAAUUCACAGGCGGAAAGAGGCUGCACAGCGGCGAUUCUUGCCCUAAAAUAGCGUAAAAAACAGCGGCAAAGCGCGAUAACAACACCGGGUGUCGCCAGGGCCGUAGCCUGGGUGGUGACGCCUGGUGUGAAAAAAUGGUAAGGGGAGAGCGGUGAUUCCAAUAGAACGACAUCAGCGUAUUUUAGCCCUGGUGGAGCAGCGUGGGGCGGUAAGCAUUAACGAGCUGACGGAGAUCCUCGGCGUGUCCCAUAUGACCAUCCGUCGGGACGUCAGUAAACUGGAGGAGCAGGGGCUGCUGGUCAGCGUCUCGGGCGGCGUACGCGCCGUCAGCCGGCUGGCCGCGGAACCCAGUCAUCUGGUGAAAAGCACGCUGCAGAGUGAGGAGAAACAGGCGAUCGGCGCGCUGGCGGCGAGUCAUAUCGCUAAAAACAGUUGCAUCUAUCUGGAUGCCGGGACUACCACCCUGGCGCUGGCGCGGGCGAUCCUCGACCGGAACGAUCUCCAGGUGGUCACCAAUGAUUUUGAGAUAACCCAGCUGCUGAUCGAUGCCAGCCAGUGCGGCGUGAUCCACACCGGCGGCACUCUGUGCCGGGAGAACCGCUCCUGCGUGGGCGAAUCGGCGGCGCGUACGUUACGCCACCUGGCUAUCGAUACGGCCUUUAUCUCCGCCAGCGGCUGGGACAGUCGCGGGAUAUUCACCCCUGAUGAGAACAAGGUUACCGUCAAGGAGACCGUCAGCCAGGUCAGCGCGAGAAGCAUCCUGCUGUGCGACAGUUCGAAAUACAAUCAGGUGGCCACGUUUAUGGCGUUACCUUUGACCCGGUUCACCACCAUCAUUACCGACCGGCAUCUUUCCGAUGCCGCCGCCAGUCAUAUCGCCCGGCACGCCUGCGAGGUGCUGCGGGCCGGAUAACGCGCGCGGCCACCGCCGGCUUAGCGUUGCCAGUGCUCGAUCAGCGCCGCGCCGAUCCCGGCGAUUUGCUGAUUUCGCUCGGCCAUGCUCGCCGGCGUAUCCCGCAGAUAAAUCACCACAAUGCGCUCUGCUUUGUUAUUCGGGCCAAGCAGGGCGACAAUCCCGCGCGCACCCCGCUUGCUAGCUCCGGUCUUAUCGGCGAUAAACCAGCCCGCCGGCAGCACGGAGCGGAUCAACGGUCCGGCGACCCGAUCGUCCACCAUCCACUGCAGCAGCUGCCGUUGCGAACGGGCGCUCAGACGCUGGCUGGUCAGCAGCUUGCGCAGGGUCGCGGCCAUGCUGGCCGGGGUAGUGGUGUCGCGGGCGUCGCCGGGAAGCGCCUCAUUCAGUUCCGUUUCCCAGCGGUCAAGGCGGGUGACGUUGUCGCCGAUCUGGCGCAAAAAGGCAGUCAAUCCUGCGGGGCCGCCGACGGUGGCCAGCAGCAGAUUGGCGGCGCUGUUAUCGCUCAUGGUAAUGGCGGCGGCGCAGAGUUCGCCGACCGUCAUGCCGUCGGCAAGGUGUUUUUCGCUGACCGGCGAGUAGUCCACCAGAUCCUGCUGGCGAUAGUGGAUCUUUCGCUCCAGCUGUUCGUCACCGGCAUCCACCCGCGCCAGCACUGCGCCGCAGAGCACUACUUUAAAGGUGCUCAUCAUGGGAAAGCGUUCAUCGGCGCGCCAGGCGGUCAGCGUGCGGCCGCUGGCCAGAUCCAUUUCUAUCAUGCCUACGCGGCCCGACAGCUGGCUUUCGCUUUGUUUAAUUUGCUCAAGCGGCUGCGGGCUGGCGUGUACCGCCAGCGGCAGGGUGGCUAACAGGGAGAUAAUACACAGGCGAAUAUAACGCAUAACCACAAUACAUCCUUGAGUGAAGGCCGAUAAAGGCGAGUAAAGAAGCGACAAAUAAGAAUAACCCGGCGUUGGCACUGUUGCAAAUAGUCGGUGGUGAUAAACUUAUCAUCCCCUUUUGCUGAUGGAGCUGCACAUGAACCCAUUCAAAGGCCGGCAUUUUCAGCGUGACAUCAUUCUGUGGGCCGUACGCUGGUACUGCAAAUACGGCAUCAGUUACCGUGAGCUGCAGGAGAUGCUGGCUGAACGCGGAGUGAAUGUCGAUCACUCCACGAUUUACCGCUGGGUUCAGCGUUAUGCGCCUGAAAUGGAAAAACGGCUGCGCUGGUACUGGCGUAACCCUUCCGAUCUUUGCCCGUGGCACAUGGAUGAAACCUACGUGAAGGUCAAUGGCCGCUGGGCGUAUCUGUACCGGGCCGUCGACAGCCGGGGCCGCACUGUCGAUUUUUAUCUCUCCUCCCGUCGUAACAGCAAAGCUGCAUACCGGUUUCUGGGUAAAAUCCUCAACAACGUGAAGAAGUGGCAGAUCCCGCGAUUCAUCAACACGGAUAAAGCGCCCGCCUAUGGUCGCGCGCUUGCUCUGCUCAAACGCGAAGGCCGGUGCCCGUCUGACGUUGAACACCGACAGAUUAAGUACCGGAACAACGUGAUUGAAUGCGAUCAUGGCAAACUGAAACGGAUAAUCGGCGCCACGCUGGGAUUUAAAUCCAUGAAGACGGCUUACGCCACCAUCAAAGGUAUUGAGGUGAUGCGUGCACUACGCAAAGGCCAGGCCUCAGCAUUUUAUUAUGGUGAUCCCCUGGGCGAAAUGCGCCUGGUAAGCAGAGUUUUUGAAAUGUAAGGCCUUUGAAUAAGACAAAAGGCUGCCUCAUCGCUAACUUUGCAACAGUGCCAGCUGCGGGCCGCUCCCGCCGCGAAGGACGUGCUCGACGCCAUCGAGGUGCUGCGCGGCAUGAACAGCGACAACGCCCGCAAGGUGCCCGCCGACGCGCCGACCGAGUUCAUCAAGCCGCGCUGGCAGAAGCUGGUCAUGACCGACACCGGCAUCGACCGGCGCUACUACGAACUGUGCGCGCUGUCGGAGAUGAAGAACGCGUUGCGUUCCGGCGACAUCUGGGUGCAGGGGUCGCGCCAGUUCAAGGACUUCGAGGACUACCUGGUGCCGCCCGCGAAAUUCGCCAGCCUCAAGCAGGCCAGCGAAUUGCCGCUGGCCGUGGCCACCGACUGCAACCGGUACCUGAACGACCGGCUGACGCUGCUGGAAACACAGCUUGCCACCGUCAACCGUAUGGCGACGGCCAACGAGCUGCCGGACGCCAUCAUCACCGAGUCAGGCUUGAAGAUCACGCCGCUCGACGCGGCGGUACCCGACACCGCCCAAGCGCUGAUCGACCAGACGGCAAUGAUCCUGCCGCACGUCAAGAUCACCGAACUGCUGCUGGAGGUGGACGAAUGGACGGGCUUCACUCGGCAUUUCGCGCAUCUGAAAUCGGGCGACCCGGCCAAAGACAAGAACCUGUUGCUGACCACGAUCCUCGCCGACGCGAUCAACCUGGGCCUGACCAAGAUGGCGGAGUCUUGCCCCGGCACGACCUACGCCAAGCUGGCUUGGCUGCAAGCCUGGCACAUCCGCGACGAAACCUACGGGGCGGCGCUGGCCGAUCUGGUCAACGCACAGUUCCGCCAUCCCUUCGCCGAGCACUGGGGCGACGGCACCACCUCAUCGUCGGACGGCCAGAACUUCCGCACCGGCAGCAAGGCCGAGAGCACCGGCCACAUCAACCCGAAAUACGGGAGCAGCCCAGGGCGGACGUUCUACACCCACAUUUCUGACCAGUACGCGCCAUUUCACACCAAGGUCGUGAACGUCGGCGUGCGCGAUUCGACCUACGUGCUCGACGGCCUGCUGUACCACGAGUCCGACUUGCGGAUCGAGGAGCAUUACACCGACACGGCGGGCUUCACCGAUCACGUCUUCGCCCUGAUGCACCUCCUGGGCUUCCGCUUCGCGCCGCGCAUCCGCGACCUGGGCGACACCAAGCUCUACAUCCCGAAGGGCGACGCCGCCUAUGACGCGCUGAAACCCAUGAUCGGCGGCACGCUCAACAUCAAGCACGUCCGCGCCCAUUGGGACGAAAUCCUGCGGCUGGCCACCUCGAUCAAGCAGGGCACGGUGACGGCCUCCCUGAUGCUCCGAAAGCUCGGCAGCUACCCACGCCAGAACGGCCUGGCCGUGGCGCUCCGCGAGCUGGGCCGCAUCGAGCGCACGCUGUUCAUCCUGGACUGGCUGCAAAGCGUGGAACUGCGCCGCCGCGUGCAUGCCGGCCUGAACAAGGGCGAGGCGCGCAAUGCGCUGGCCAGGGCAGUGUUUUUCAACCGCCUGGGUGAAAUCCGCGACCGCAGUUUCGAGCAGCAGCGCUACCGGGCUAGCGGCCUCAAUCUGGUAACGGCUGCCGUCGUGUUGUGGAACACGGUCUAUCUGGAACGGGCUGCGCACGCGCUGCGUGGCAACGGCCAUGCCGUUGAUGACGCGCUGUUGCAGUACCUGUCGCCGCUCGGUUGGGAGCACAUCAACCUCACCGGCGAUUACCUCUGGCGCAGCAGCGCCAAGAUCGGCGCGGGCAAGUUCAGGCCGCUACGACCGCUGCAACCGGCUUAGCGUGCUUUAUUUAAUGAGAUGGUCACUCCCUCCUUCCCAGUACUAUGCUGAGGACAGGCUUUCAUUCGGAGAACCAUCAUGGAAAACAUUGCGCUUAUUGGUAUCGAUCUGGGUAAGAACUCUUUCCAUAUUCAUUGUCAGGAUCAUCGUGGGAAGGCCGUUUACCGUAAAAAAUUCACCCGACCAAAGCUAAUCGAAUUUCUGGCGACAUGCCCGGCAACAACCAUCGCGAUGGAAGCCUGUGGCGGUUCUCACUUUAUGGCACGCAAGCUGGAAGAGUUAGGGCAUUUUCCAAAGCUGAUAUCACCGCAAUUUGUCCGCCCAUUCGUUAAAAGCAACAAAAAUGACUUCGUUGAUGCUGAAGCUAUCUGUGAAGCAGCAUCACGUCCAUCUAUGCGUUUCGUGCAGCCCAGAACCGAAUCUCAGCAGGCAAUGCGAGCUCUGCAUCGUGUCCGUGAAUCCCUGGUUCAGGAUAAGGUGAAAACAACUAAUCAGAUGCAUGCUUUUCUGCUGGAAUUUGGUAUCAGCGUUCCGCGAGGUGCUGCCGUUAUUAGUCGACUGAGUACCCUUCUUGAGGACAGUAGUUUGCCUCUUUAUCUCAGCCAGUUACUGCUGAAAUUACAACAGCAUUAUCACUAUCUUGUUGAGCAGAUUAAAGAUCUGGAAUCUCAGUUGAAACGAAAGUUGGACGAAGAUGAGGUUGGACAGCGCUUGCUGAGUAUUCCCUGCGUUGGAACGCUGACUGCCAGUACUAUUUCAACUGAGAUUGGCGACGGGAAGCAGUACGCCAGCAGCCGUGACUUUGCGGCGGCAACAGGGCUGGUACCCCGACAGUACAGCACGGGAGGUCGGACGACAUUGUUAGGGAUUAGCAAGCGGGGCAACAAAAAGAUCCGAACUUUGUUGGUUCAGUGUGCCAGGGUAUUCAUACAAAAACUGGAACACCAGUCUGGCAAGUUGGCCGACUGGGUCAGGGAGUUGUUGUGUCGGAAAAGCAACUUUGUCGUCACCUGUGCUCUGGCAAACAAGCUGGCCAGAAUAGCCUGGGCACUGACGGCGCGACAGCAAACUUACGAAGCAUAAAGGCAGAAAUACACCAGUUUAAACAAUCAUUCAUCUGGUUUUGCGAAUACUGAUAUUGAUGAUACUAACGGCCCACCGGCCUGUUGAGGAACCUGUAAAACGGAAAGGCUCAUUGAAGCCGUAUAUUUUCUGGAGGUUCAUCAGGCGCGGAACUCAUCGAGGCGCGGGAAUAAAAUCCCAUUCAGACGCCGGAUAGAUUCAAGCAAGCCAACUUGUCGUCAAAAUCGGUGUUGCAAAAACGGGAGUGACCAUAGAUUCCGUUUUCUGAGGCGACCCCCACAUAGAGACCUUCCCGGUCAUUCACUUUGUAGAGUUUGUCCCUGGGCUUGAGAUUGCGCAGCUUGGUAUCGGUCAGCAUGUACCUUGUCCUUCUUCGUCUCCGAUACCCACUCUAUUGUAAACAAGACAUUUUUAUCUUUUAUAUUCAAUGGCUUAUUUUCCUGCUAAUUGGUAAUACCAUGAAAAAUACCAUGCUCAGAAAAGGCUUAACAAUAUUUUGAAAAAUUGCCUACUGAGCGCUGCCGCACAGCUCCAUAGGCCGCUUUCCUGGCUUUGCUUCCAGAUGUAUGCUAUUCUGCUCCUGCAGCUAAUGGAGCACCGCAAACAGGUUACUCGCCUGGGGAUUCCCUUUCGACCCGAGCAUCCGUAUGAGACUCAUGCUCGAUUAUUAUUAUUAUAGAAGCCCCCAUGAAUAAAUCGCUCAUCAUUUUCGGCAUCGUCAACAUAACCUCGGACAGUUUCUCCGAUGGAGGCCGGUAUCUGGCGCCAGACGCAGCCAUUGCGCAGGCGCGUAAGCUGAUGGCCGAGGGGGCAGAUGUGAUCGACCUCGGUCCGGCAUCCAGCAAUCCCGACGCCGCGCCUGUUUCGUCCGACACAGAAAUCGCGCGUAUCGCGCCGGUGCUGGACGCGCUCAAGGCAGAUGGCAUUCCCGUCUCGCUCGACAGUUAUCAACCCGCGACGCAAGCCUAUGCCUUGUCGCGUGGUGUGGCCUAUCUCAAUGAUAUUCGCGGUUUUCCAGACGCUGCGUUCUAUCCGCAAUUGGCGAAAUCAUCUGCCAAACUCGUCGUUAUGCAUUCGGUGCAAGACGGGCAGGCAGAUCGGCGCGAGGCACCCGCUGGCGACAUCAUGGAUCACAUUGCGGCGUUCUUUGACGCGCGCAUCGCGGCGCUGACGGGUGCCGGUAUCAAACGCAACCGCCUUGUCCUUGAUCCCGGCAUGGGGUUUUUUCUGGGGGCUGCUCCCGAAACCUCGCUCUCGGUGCUGGCGCGGUUCGAUGAAUUGCGGCUGCGCUUCGAUUUGCCGGUGCUUCUGUCUGUUUCGCGCAAAUCCUUUCUGCGCGCGCUCACAGGCCGUGGUCCGGGGGAUGUCGGGGCCGCGACACUCGCUGCAGAGCUUGCCGCCGCCGCAGGUGGAGCUGACUUCAUCCGCACACACGAGCCGCGCCCCUUGCGCGACGGGCUGGCGGUAUUGGCGGCGCUGAAAGAAACCGCAAGAAUUCGUUAACUGCACAUUCGGGAUAUUUCUCUAUAUUCGCGCUUCAUCAGAAAACUGAAGGAACCUCCAUUGAAUCGAACUAAUAUUUUUUUUGGUAAAUCGCAUUCUGACUGGUUGCCUGUCAGAGGCGGAGAAUCUGGUGAUUUUGUUUUUCGACGUGGUGACGGGCAUGCCUUCGCGAAAAUCGCACCUGCUUCCCGCCGCGGUGAGCUCGCUGGAGAGCGUGACCGCCUCAUUUGGCUCAAAGGUCGAGGUGUGGCUUGCCCCGAGGUCAUCAACUGGCAGGAGGAACAGGAGGGUGCAUGCUUGGUGAUAACGGCAAUUCCGGGAGUACCGGCGGCUGAUCUGUCUGGAGCGGAUUUGCUCAAAGCGUGGCCGUCAAUGGGGCAGCAACUUGGCGCUGUUCACAGCCUAUCGGUUGAUCAAUGUCCGUUUGAGCGCAGGCUGUCGCGAAUGUUCGGACGCGCCGUUGAUGUGGUGUCCCGCAAUGCCGUCAAUCCCGACUUCUUACCGGACGAGGACAAGAGUACGCCGCAGCUCGAUCUUUUGGCUCGUGUCGAACGAGAGCUACCGGUGCGGCUCGACCAAGAGCGCACCGAUAUGGUUGUUUGCCAUGGUGAUCCCUGCAUGCCGAACUUCAUGGUGGACCCUAAAACUCUUCAAUGCACGGGUCUGAUCGACCUUGGGCGGCUCGGAACAGCAGAUCGCUAUGCCGAUUUGGCACUCAUGAUUGCUAACGCCGAAGAGAACUGGGCAGCGCCAGAUGAAGCAGAGCGCGCCUUCGCUGUCCUAUUCAAUGUAUUGGGGAUCGAAGCCCCCGACCGCGAACGCCUUGCCUUCUAUCUGCGAUUGGACCCUCUGACUUGGGGUUGAUGUUCAUGCCGCCUGUUUUUCCUGCUCAUUGGCACGUUUCGCAACCUGUUCUCAUUGCGGACACCUUUUCCAGCCUCGUUUGGAAAGUUUCAUUGCCAGACGGGACUCCUGCAAUCGUCAAGGGAUUGAAACCUAUAAAAGACAUUGCUGAUGAACUGCGCGGGGCCGACUAUCUGGUAUGGCGCAAUGGGAGGGGAGCAGUCCGGUUGCUCGGUCGUGAGAACAAUCUGAUGUUGCUCGAAUAUGCCGGGGAGCGAAUGCUCUCUCACAUCGUUGCCGAGCACGGCGACUACCAGGCGACCGAAAUUGCAGCGGAACUAAUGGCGAAGCUGUAUGCCGCAUCUGAGGAACCCCUGCCUUCUGCCCUUCUCCCGAUCCGGGAUCGCUUUGCAGCUUUGUUUCAGCGGGCGCGCGAUGAUCAAAACGCAGGUUGUCAAACUGACUACGUCCACGCGGCGAUUAUAGCCGAUCAAAUGAUGAGCAAUGCCUCGGAACUGCGUGGGCUACAUGGCGAUCUGCAUCAUGAAAACAUCAUGUUCUCCAGUCGCGGCUGGCUGGUGAUAGAUCCCGUCGGUCUGGUCGGUGAAGUGGGCUUUGGCGCCGCCAAUAUGUUCUACGAUCCGGCUGACAGAGACGACCUUUGUCUCGAUCCUAGACGCAUUGCACAGAUGGCGGACGCAUUCUCUCGUGCGCUGGACGUCGAUCCGCGUCGCCUGCUCGACCAGGCGUACGCUUAUGGGUGCCUUUCCGCAGCUUGGAACGCGGAUGGAGAAGAGGAGCAACGCGAUCUAGCUAUCGCGGCCGCGAUCAAGCAGGUGCGACAGACGUCAUACUAGAUAUCAAGCGACUUCUCCUAUCCCCUGGGAACACAUCAAUCUCACCGGAGAAUAUCGCUGGCCAAAGCCUUAGCGUAGGAUUCCGCCCCUUCCCGCAAACGACCCCAAACAGGAGAGAGCAUAAAAAAUAUUGGGGCAGCGUGAGCUAUGCUGCCAUCGCUGGUCCCUUCCCGUCACUUUGAAAACCCGGAUACCAGCAGACAAAUUUAUCCUGCAGUUCGUUAUUCAAAACGGCGGUCCGGGUCUGUAACAAAUAAUGAGCCCCUUUUCUGCUCCACUGCAUCUGCUGCUUUUUGGCCAUUCGUCUGGCGAUCACUUCAUUGAUCGUGGAUUCCACAAACGCGGUUGAUACCGGCUCUCCGUACCGACGCAUUUCGCCGUAGUUUGGGAUCAUCAUCUUAUUAUUCCGGAUGUAGGUAUACAUUUCAUCCAGAUGUUUUUGCAGGGAUUUCAGGCUAGGAUAGCUGAGUUCAGGGUCAUCGCAAUACAUAACGCAAUUAUCAAUAUGUUCCAGCGCAGCGACAACAUUGCCAUGCCAGAGAUAUCGUUUAAUGCUUUCCAGCAGUGCCAGAACUUUACUCCCCGCCUCUGGAUCUGAUACCAGCAGUCCCCGGGCAUAUUGCAUGAGCACCGUCAGCCUCAUGGUGAUAUGAAACCAGUCCAGCACAUGCGUUGACUCAGGGUACAUACCGAACUGGAGGUCCCUGAGAUUAUCCGCGCCGUCGGACAGAAAAAAUAUCUGCUGGUUGGCCUGCAUUCCCUGCGCUGAAAGGGGUCGGUUCCGGCUGAGGGCGAAAUGACACCCUAAGCGUUAGCUCUGUGUCGUUGCACGAUGUCAGCGACGGUAUUCUUGCUGAUACCGAGCUCGCGUGCGAUCCAGCGAUAGCUGCGUCCCUCGGCCCUCAUCGCAACCACCUUAGGCAAAAGUCGGUCUGAUUUUGGUCGCACUCCGGCCUGACGACCAAGCCUCUUACCACGUGCCUUCGCAACAGCAAGGCCUGACUUGACCCGCUCGCUGAUGAGAUCCCGCUCAAACUCCGCAAUGCCGGAAAGAAACGUCGCCAGCAUUCGUCCAUACGGCGACGAAAGAUCGAACGCCAUUCCAUUCAUGGCUAUCACGGAAACCUUCCAGUUCUCCAGUUCACGUAGCGUAUUGAGCAGAUCGAGCGUCGAGCGCCCCCACCGGGAAAGCUCAGUGACCAGGAUUGCAUCAAUUUGUCUGGACUGGGCAAGCGCCAGGACUUUCUUUCGCUCGGCCCGGUCGAGUUUAGUUCCUGAACCUGUUUCCUUAAAUAUUCCCACCACGUCGUAGCCGGCACGGCCGGCGAAGGCUCGCAGAUCAAAUUCCUGGCGUUCACAAGACUGAUCCGCUGUUGAAACCCGGCAGUAAAUGGCGGCACGAUGUCCCAAUUGAACCCUCCUGGAUUUUUGUAUCGGAACGCCCUGAUUUAUAUGGGCUGGCUGUUGUCCAAAACAGACUAUACUUCAAAAGGGACGAAUUUGUAUGUCACGACGCCAUAUUUUCACCGAACGGCAGCGAGCAGCGCUGUUCGAUCUGCCCACGGACGAACUGUCGCUACUGAAGUUCUACACGCUGGGCGAUGAUGACCUGGAAAACAUUAGGCAGCGCCGCAGACCGGAAAACAGGAUUGGCUUUGCCCUGCAACUUUGUGCCUUACGAUAUCCGGGCCGUGCACUGGCUCCUGGUGAGAUGAUCCCGCGUGAAGUCCUUUCCUUCGUCGGUGCUCAGCUUGGAGUUCCGGCUGAUGCGCUUCUCACUUAUGCCACACGGCGCCAAACCCGUCAGCAGCACAUGGACACGCUGCGCGAAAUUUACGGCUACAAGACCUUCACGGGCCGUGGUGCCCGUGAUCUGCGGGAGUGGACUUUCGGCCAGGCCGAAGAUGCCAGAUCAAACGAGGAUCUUGCUCAUCGUUUUAUUGUGCGGUGUCGGGAAACUUCCACCAUUCUGCCCGCAGUAUCGACAAUCGAGCGCUUGUGCGCGGAUGCUCUGGUCGCCGCUGAGCGGCGGAUUGAAACGCGGAUUGCGGAAAAUUUAACAGCGGAUGUUCGCGAUCACCUGGACAAACUUCUGAGUGAAAUGCUCGCCGGCAAUAUCAGUCGUUUCAUCUGGCUUCGCAACUUCGAGGUUGGUAACAACUCGGCUGCUGCUAACCGUUUGCUCGACAGGCUCGAAUUUCUGCGUACCCUGAAUAUCAAUCAUAGUGCUUUGGCCAGCAUACCUGCCCAUCGCAUUGCCCGGCUGCGUCGGCAGGGUGAACGCUACUUCACCGACGGUUUGCGUGACAUCACUUCGGACCGCCGCUGGGCGAUCCUUGCCGUCUGUGUUGUGGAGUGGGAAGCGGCGAUUGCUGAUGCCAUAGUCGAAACCCAUGACAGGAUCGUAGGAAAAACCUGGCGGGAAGCGAAGCGCCAGCAUGACGAAACAAUUUCCGGCUCUAAAGCCACACUCACGGAUACGAUCCGUACCUUCACCGCGCUGGGAGCUUCGUUGCUUGAGGCCCGCAGUGACGGAACCCCGCUGGAGAUGGCUGUCGCCAGUUCGGUUGCAUGGGACCGGCUCGCUCAACUGGUAGCGACAGGGACUCAACUCAGCAACACGCUAGCCGAUGAGCCUCUUGCAUAUGUCGGGCAGGGAUACCAUCGCUUUCGUCGUUAUGCGCCCCGCAUGUUGCGCUGUCUGAAGCUCGAAGCCGCGCCGGUCGCCGGACCAUUGGUAGCAGCAGCUUUGUCGAUCGGAGAGAUGAAAGGUGUUGCAUCGCCAGAAAGGCGUUUCCUGCGGCCCAGCUCCAAAUGGAACCGUCAUUUACGAGCUCAGGAAAAAGGAGAUACCCGUCUUUGGGAAGUGGCGGUACUCUUUCACCUCCGGGAUGCUUUUCGUUCCGGAGAUGUCUGGCUCGCUCAUUCGCGCCGCUAUGGUGACCUCAAGCAGGUACUGGUGCCGAUGAUCGCGGCGCAGGAAAAUGCAAAACUGGCCGUGCCUUCCAACCCACAGGAUUGGCUGGCAGACAGAAAGGCGCGACUCACGAUCGCUCUUAAGCGGCUGGCCCGGGCUGCCCGUAACGGCACUAUUCCGCACGGUAGCAUAGAAGAUGGAACGUUGCGGAUCGACAGGUUGACAGCAGACGUGCCGGAUGGUGCCGAGGCACUCAUACUGGAUCUGUAUCGCCGAAUGCCGUCCGUUCGGAUUACCGACAUGCUGCUUGAAGUUGAUGCAGCCCUUGGUUUCACAGAUGCGUUUACCCAUCUGAGAACCGGGGCUCCAUGUCGCGACCGGAUCGGUCUGCUCAACGUCCUGCUCGCUGAAGGGCUCAAUCUGGGCCUGCGUAAGAUGGCGGAAGCUACAAACACGCAUGAUUACUGGCAGCUCUCACGCCUUGCCCGCUGGCAUGUUGAAAGCGAAGCCAUGAACCAGGCAUUGGCAAUUGUGGUGGCCGCGCAGGGUAAACUGCCGAUGUCACGCGUCUGGGGGAUGGGCACGUCAGCAUCGAGCGAUGGUCAGUUUUUCCCGACAGCGCGGCAUGGCGAAGCCAUGAACAUGGUCAAUGCCAAAUAUGGUUCUGUUCCCGGCCUCAAAGCGUAUACUCACGUAAGCGACCAGUUCGCGCCAUUCGCUUGUCAGUCGAUCCCGGCGACCGUGAGCGAGGCACCGUAUAUUCUCGAUGGACUACUGAUGAACGAGGUCGGUCGCCAUGUUCGCGAACAGUAUGCCGAUACAGCAGGAUUCACCGACCAUUUGUUCGGAGCCAGUAGCCUGCUCGGCUACAAUCUCGUUCUGCGAAUCAGGGAUCUGCCAUCGAAGCGGUUGUACGUAUUUAAUCCCGAUACGACCCCCAGGGAGUUACGCAAGUUGGUAGGUGGAAAAGCCCGGGAGGAUCUUAUCGUUGCGAACUGGCCUGAUAUUUUCCGUUGUGCCGCGACGAUGACCGCUGGCAAAAUCAGGCCCAGCCAACUCCUGCGCAAGCUCGCUUCUUACCCACGACAAAACAACCUUGCAGUUGCGCUUCGUGAAGUUGGUCGUAUUGAACGGACCCUUUUCAUUAUUGAGUGGAUCCUGGAUACGGACAUGCAGCGGCGUGCUCAGAUCGGUCUUAACAAGGGAGAGGCCCACCAUGCGCUCAAAAAUGCGCUCCGUAUCGGGAGGCAGGGGGAAAUUCGCGAUCGCACGACAGAGGGGCAGCACUACCGAAUCGCUGGGCUCAAUUUAUUGACUGCGGUGAUCAUUUACUGGAAUACCGUCCAUCUUGGUCAUGCCGUCACGGAGCGGCGGAACGAAGGGUUGGAUGUUCCCCCUGAAUUUCUUCCCCACAUAUCCCCAUUGGGCUGGGCGCACAUUCUACUGACUGGCGAAUAUCUUUGGCCCAAGGAACCGAAAGCUUAGGGUGUCAUUUCGCCCUCAGCCGGAACCGACCCCUGAAAGGUGGGUCAUGAGCCUGCGUUCCGGAUGACAGUCAUCCUUCUGAACAAAACCGAAGCGGCGGGUGUCAGCAGGCGCACCAACGGAAAAAGACUUCCCGGCAAUAAUUUCAAAAUUACGCUUUUUGUCAUCCCGAUCGCGAACAUAACCACCAUCUAUACCCACCACAAGCGGUUUUCCUGGCCUGGGCAGGUUCCCCCAGUCGCGGGGGCAGCCGGAAAGAAAACCUGAAUGAGCUUCAGCCUCAGCGUCAAGACGCUGCGCCACCUGGCAUAAAUGAUUCCUCACCGUUGAGGCAUUCAGGCUGUGGCCCACCGGCAGAAUAUCUUUCAGCAGACGAGUCGUCAUUUCAUAGGAGAUCAUCGAGGCCCAGCGGGUUUCAAUAUAUUUCAGUGCCGGGUGAGAAUAAUCGCCGGCCCAGUCGCUGAGCAAACUGACUGUCUUUGUAUCACUCUCUUCACAACGGCACCGGUACACCCGAAGCCCGGAUACCGGAAUAACGCCAAACAGCGUCCGGUACCGUAUUUUCUGUUUGCCUUUGAUUCUGCGCGCAGCAAGGCAGUGAGGGCACCGGAUAUGGUGUUGAGUAUAUUCGUCUGCCUGCAGCUGGACCACCGACUGCUGGACCGUAUUCAGCAACAGCUUGGAUUCUGACACCGAUAAUCCGAUGUCGUUCCGGGUCUCCCCUGAUUUCUGGAUUGUCAUCAGUUCCUCCGUUCGACUGGAGCCUGAUUCAUCGGUGAUGACUAUCUGGAGCGUCAGUUGCAUCAUUGCCUCCUGCUGUGGUGGAUGACUAUCUCCCGGCUACUGGUUGUUCAUCUGGUGACGAAGCUUAUAAUAUGUGGAAACGCCAAGGCCCGCAUGGUCGCAGGCGAUCCUGAGCCUGACCCCUCUGCUUCUGAGUGCGUCAAUUUCCUGGAUCUUUUUGAUAUCGGCGCCGGGGCGCCCUGUUUUUUCACCCCGUGCUUUUUUCGCGGCGAUGCCGUCGGCCUGCCUUUCCUUCAGUAAGGCUCGUUCAAACUGGCUGAAUGCCGACAUCAUGUGCAGCUGCAGUUCCUGCAUCGGAUUGUUUGUGCCGGCGCUGAACGUCAGCUGCUCUUUCAGAAAAAUAAGGGUAACGCCCUGGUCACGAAGCCGGGUGGUGACAGCGCACAUAUCCGACAUAUUCCGGCAAAGGCGAUCGAUGGAAUGAACCAGAAGCGUAUCACCAGGGCGUAAUUGCCCCAGGAGUUCCUGUAACCCCGGGCGGUUUGUGUCCUUCGCGCUGGCAUGCUCAACACAAAUUUUAUCAGGCUGAAAACCCGCCUUUGACAAUGCCUCUUCCUGACGGGCCGUAUUCUGAUCGGCCGAGCUUACCCUGAUGUAGGCAUAUUGCACGCAAAACCUCCGGAAGGUCUUUAAACAUCAUAGAGAUUUAAAGAAUAAUCCAUAAACACUGAUUUAGGGAGGUUUAUAGACAUUUUUUCGGGGAUCUGAGAGGCAUGCUGAAAACGUAUACCUUUAUAGACAUCAGUCAGCGACGACGGCCCAGCCAGAUAACUUCAGGCUCCAGUACCGGAGAUGCAAGGUCGAGCCUGCUCAGUUGCCGGUUGAUUUUGUGGCGGUUGAACCUGACAGCAUCCAGGUCGUCAGCAAAAGGGCGGAUCUCGCCGACCGUUGUUUCAUCAUCCGCAUUAACGAUAGCUUCAAGAAACGCCAGGGUUUUAUCGAACUCAUCCGCAGCUGUGGCUCCGGGCAUACCAUGGCCGCUUAUACAAAACGGCGCUUUCAGCGUAGAGUUUUCAUAAAUGGCCUCAACACGAAUGUCAUGAAGCCAGUGCUCAAAGAAAUUGUAUUCAUAGGUAAAGCGAUCGCCAGCAUCAAAAGCAAAAUCAUCAAUCACGACCCGGAACGGAUUAUCGACAAAACCGAUGCCUCCUUCGUAGGAGAUACCGUAAUCUUUGCCAUAAAUGUGAAAUUGAUGGAGAUGGUCGUCCCCCCAGCCCUGCACUAUCUGGAAAAUGAAGUGAAGCGCGGCCAGUGACGUGUCGGCAGCAAUUCUCAGCCGACGCCAGACCAUCGGACUGACUCCAUGAACUGCUAUUUUGAUGACGUAGAUCUUCAUAGUCAGCAGGUAUUGUUAUGAAAUGAUGGUGGUUAUUUUAACCCCUGUAGAUGGCAUCAUUCGAUGGCUGCCCCGAGGUUUUUCAUGCUCUCCGAUCUGGAUGAUGCAAUAAAUUUGAGCGUGAAGCCCCCGGCGACUGCAGGCCAGCGCCAGUUCAUAUUCAUUCAGCGCCAGAAACUCCAGCCGCUGUGCAUCAUCGAAAUCAGGUAGACCAUAGAGCGCUUCCUGCUCGGCGUCCGAAAGAAUACUGAGGAGCUUAUUUUUAGUAGGCAUCUCUGAUCCUUAUGCCUAUUUAAACGCGCUUGUCACAUUAUCAUUAACAUAGAACCUUUACGUGUCAUAAUUUAAAUUACGGGUAAUGUGACUACCGUUGACAGAUUAUGGUACCCAAAUCAGAAUGUCACAUAAUCGAACGUAUAUGUGACAGAGGAAAUAUGUUCAUCGGAUAUAUUCGGAUGUCAAAAGCGGAUGGUUCGCAGACGAAUGAUUUACAACGUGAUGCACUGAUCGCCGCAGGUGUUGAUGCCGCACAUUUUUAUGAGGACCGGGCAUCGGGCAAACGAGAAGAGCGUCCUGGACUUACAGCCUGUCUGAAAGCACUACGACCCGGAGACACGCUGGUCGUAUGGAAGCUGGACCGCCUCGGUCGUGAUCUUCGUCAUCUCAUUAAUACAGUGCACGACCUGACCGCGAGGGGGACCGGUCUGAAAGUGCUGACCGGUCACGGGGCGACUAUCGACACAACAACGGCCGCUGGCAAGCUUGUCUUCGGUAUCUUUGCCGCACUGGCGGAGUUUGAGCGCGAACUGAUUGCUGAAAGAACGACUGCAGGUCUGGCAUCAGCAAGAGCCCGUGGGCGGAACGGCGGCCGACCUUAUAAAAUGACGCCAGUCAAACUGCGACUGGCAAUGGCAUCAAUGGGACAAUCAGAAACAAAGGUCAGUACGCUAUGCCAGGAACUUGGGAUAACCCGGCAAACUUUGUACAGGCAUAUUUCCCCUGUUGGUCAACUGCGGGCGGACGGGAUCAAGCUGUUCAACCGUGGAUAAUUUGAACGGACGGAAAAAUCUGGGGUUCCGGCGUAGUACCCCUAUCACCUCCACAUUUUUGCAACAGUGCCUUAUAAAUGGCAGCCUUAUGUUUACUUGCCAAGAUGGGCUACCAUAUGAUGUUUUAUACUGAGCAAUAUUAAUAUUAUCUUUAAUGGAAAAAUUAAGCCCACUAAGUGACCCACUGCUAUAUGGCUCUAUUGUGAAGACGCCUGAGGGUAAAAAUUUAUACAUGGUUGUCCCUAUGUCUAUUAUUGCAAGGUUGACAAUAUUAUUCGUUUUAUAAAUUUGAGCGUUUAAAAUCACACAUCAAAGCAAUUAGUCAGGAUAAACAACAAUACCCAGUGCUUCGAGAAUCAGUUCUUGCUGCCAGGCUGCAAUUUUGAUACCUGAUGUAUCGACUUUGCGGGGAUCUAAACCGUCGAGUUCGGCGUGGCAUAAAUUGGCACCCUGUAGGCUAAAUUGCCCCCAGACAUCUUCGGAAAAAACACCUCGACUUAAGUCUGACUCUUUCAGUGAUGCACCCGCUAGGUUCGUUCCUAUCCAGCGAUUUUCAAACAACUCACAUUUUUCUAAACAAACCCUCUCCAUAUUGGCAUAGGAAAGAUUACAUCCAGAAAUAAAUGCUGAGCAAAAGUACAUACGAUUACUCACUUGAUGGGCAAAGUUUGUUCGGGAAAAGUUGGCACCUUUUAAAUCACACGCACGGAACUCUAUACCGUAGCAAUUGGCAUUACUGAAGUUUGCCAUCGCAAGUUGGCAUUGUUGGAAACUUGCAUCACGAAGAUCUGCGACAUCAAAGUGGCAGCCUUCGAUAUCACCCUGUUCAAUGAACUUGCAGUUGACGAAUGUCGUAUCACGCAAGUUAGCACGUCGAAAGUCGCUGCGAAUGAAUGUGCAAGCGGUGAAGGUGAGAUCACUUAAGUCUUUAUGUGAAAAGUUGUGGUGCCGAUAUGUAUGAUUGUAGGUUUCCAUGAGUACUCCUUGUUGAAAGGAGGGCUAGACUACCAUUAUACAUAUGCCAAGACAUUAAAAUAAAAGCCUGUUACAUCAACACAUUACAACCCCUCAAUUUACCUGUUUUAAGUGGUCAAAUUGGCGCGUAGAGCGCCUAUCGCUCUUGCAUUGGCACGCGGCCCUGUUGAAAAAAGUUAUUCGCUUUAGAUAGGGUUAGGAGAGCCGUGCUUCGCCGGUAAAAAAUCGGACUAUCCGACGCAGGGCGGACUCAUCGGCGGAGAAGCAAACUUUGACUAUAUCUCCCUACACUUGGAAGAGGGCUAGACUGGCCCCAUAGAUCACCAGACACUUCGACUCUCUUAAAAUAAGAGGUAGUCUUGGAACUAUGUUUAAUACCAGUCAGAACGAUAAGAUGGUUGGAGUGUUAUCAGGACCUGAGCGGCGUCGGCGUCGUACACCGCAGGAAAAAAUUGCCAUUAUUCAGCAGACUAUGGAGCCCGGUAUGACCGUGUCUCAUGUCGCGCGCCUGCAUGGCAUCAAUGCAAACCAGAUAUUCAAAUGGCGCAAGCAAUAUUAAGACGGUUCACUGACGGCUGUUGCAUCGGGCGAGGAAGUGGUGCCGGCCUCCGAACUCGCUGCCGCCAAUAAGCAAAUUCGCGAACUCCAGCGCCUUCUGGGCAAAAAGACGAUGGAAGCCGAGAUACUCAAAGAGGCCGUGGAGUUCGGCCGGGCAAAAAAAUGGAUUGCGCAUGCGCCCUCGUUGCCUGGGAACGACGAAUAAGCGACGUUUGCAGAAGUCUUGGCGUGUCGCGUGCGCAGUUGAGCAUUCGGGUUCACCGGCCAUCUGACUGACAGGAUCGCAGACGGCAGCCCCGUUCUGACGAUACCACCGUAUUGUCCCGGAUAAACAUGGCGGUGGCUGACCUGCCGACGUAUGGUUAUCGCCGUGUGUGGGCGCUGCUGCGACGGGAGUCGGAGCGGGACGGCCUGCCUGUGGUUAAUGCAAAGCGGGUGUAUCGCAUUAUGAGAACGCAUAAUCUGCUUCGGCACUGUUGCAAAGUUAGCGAUGAGGCAGCCUUUUGUCUUAUUCAAAGGCCUUACAUUUCAAAAACUCUGCUUACCAGGCGCAUUUCGCCCAGGGGAUCACCAUAAUAAAAUGCUGAGGCCUGGCCUUUGCGUAGUGCACGCAUCACCUCAAUACCUUUGAUGGUGGCGUAAGCCGUCUUCAUGGAUUUAAAUCCCAGCGUGGCGCCGAUUAUCCGUUUCAGUUUGCCAUGAUCGCAUUCAAUCACGUUGUUCCGGUACUUAAUCUGUCGGUGUUCAACGUCAGACGGGCACCGGCCUUCGCGUUUGAGCAGAGCAAGCGCGCGACCAUAGGCGGGCGCUUUAUCCGUGUUGAUGAAUCGCGGGAUCUGCCACUUCUUCACGUUGUUGAGGAUUUUACCCAGAAACCGGUAUGCAGCUUUGCUGUUACGACGGGAGGAGAGAUAAAAAUCGACAGUGCGGCCCCGGCUGUCGACGGCCCGGUACAGAUACGCCCAGCGGCCAUUGACCUUCACGUAGGUUUCAUCCAUGUGCCACGGGCAAAGAUCGGAAGGGUUACGCCAGUACCAGCGCAGCCGUUUUUCCAUUUCAGGCGCAUAACGCUGAACCCAGCGGUAAAUCGUGGAGUGAUCGACAUUCACUCCGCGUUCAGCCAGCAUCUCCUGCAGCUCACGGUAACUGAUGCCGUAUUUGCAGUACCAGCGUACGGCCCACAGAAUGAUGUCACGCUGAAAAUGCCGGCCUUUGAAUGGGUUCAUGUGCAGCUCCAUCAGCAAAAGGGGAUGAUAAGUUUAUCACCACCGACUAUUUGCAACAGUGCCCUCGAAGUUGUAGCGAAUGGGUAAGCCCCCUUCUUCCAGUACGUGAACCACACGGCACACGGCCCCGCUCUUUGAAUUCACGGUAUUGACCAGGCGAAGCACUCGGCUUGCAUCCUUUGCCCCUGGAUCAGCGCCCAGCUCGGCCAGCUUGUUGAUUAGAUGGGUUUGGCAAGCAUUCCAGCGGGGCAGGGCUUGGCGAGGUACUGGCCUUUCCAGUAGCCAUUUAGCCUGAAUGCCACGCCCUGAAUAGACCAUGAUGGAUGGCUGCGGUAUGCCUUCAGACUGGCAAAAGUACGUGAUGGCCGCCGCCAGUUCUUCAGGCUUGCGACCUUGAGCCCAGGGCAUCUUGUAGGUAUCGAGAUCAGCGAAUAACAAACCAAUCCGAAGGAGGUUCACGACUCGCCUGUUUGGCCGCAUAAACUCGGCCUGUGAUAGCCAGGUAUCAAGACGAUGAUCAACAGCAUUAAGGACUGUUGGCAUCUGCUCAAGAGGGAAAGAGGAUUGACGUUUGCCGGUUGGCCAUUGCACCAGGAGCGAGAAAAAGCCCCUUGCGCUUGUGUCGUGAUAUGUUUCUGCCUCGUUCUGACCGAACAAGGACAACUGAGCUUGCGCCAUUAUUGAUGCACCCCUAACUUGCCAAGGGGUACACUCCCGCUAUAAUAGGAGGUGCAACCCUUAGCCUUAUCCAGGCUCCGGCACCUCGGUUGCCGCCAAGCUCACCGAAAGUGCCACCAAAUUUAGACCCCGGUAAACCGCCCGCCAAGUUGGUUUCCGGGGUUUUCCCUUUCUAUGCCGCUAACGGCCUCACCUGUCCUAGACGACUACGCAACGCCUCGUCAUUCUCUGCGUCCCAUAGAUCCACGGCACUUUGCAGCCCUAGCCAGUAUUCCGGCUCUGUUCGUGUAGCUGCUGCCAGGAUAAACGCGCUAUCGACUGUAACAGGCACUCGCCCGCGACAUAGCUGAUUAACGUGCUUUCUUGUCCAUCCGGUAUGGGUGGCCAAGUCUGUUUGAGUGAUUCCGUACGGGGCCAAGAAUUCCCUUUCAAGUAUCUGGCCAGGUGUGGCCGGUCGUGAUUGGUUCAUGUAAUAAGCCCUCAUCAGAAUGAUGUGUUUUGAAGUGUAACCUAGUUGGUAAACUUCAACAAUAGAUCAGGCCCGCCCUGUAAUAGGGGAGGGACUUGUCUCACAACAUUGAGGCGAUCACCUGGUUGAGCUGCUGCCGGUGCCUGGUGAGUUGGCCACCUGGUCGAGCUGCCGCCUGUAAUAGGGGAGGGACUUGUCUCACCGCAUCGAGGCGAUCACCUGGUUGAGCUGCUGCCGGUGCCUGGUGCGUUGGCCACCUGGUCGAGCUGCCGCCUGUAAUAGGGGAGGGACUUGUCUCACCGCAUCGAGGCGAUCACCUGGUUGAGCUGCUGCCGGUGCCUGGUGAGUUGGCCACCUGGUCGAGCUGCCGCCUGUAAUAGGGGGGGACUUGUCUCACCGCAUCGAGGCGAUCACCUGGUUGAGCUGUUGAUUUACUUCUGGCGUCCAGAUCUGAACUUAGCAACAGCCAUCACCAACACAACAUCUUGUGCGCCGGCAGCUGAUCGCGGCCACCAUAUCUAGUGUUUCAAUUUUGGAUUGCGCAAUCCAAAAUAGGCGUAAAAAUAACGAUGGUUUUCUUUACAUGAUUGGAUUUGCUGGCCACUGUCAUUUUCAGAAGACGACUGCACCAGACAACGCGGUUUGAAGGCUGUUGUGCAGUCGUCUAUUGAACGAACAGUAUCAGGAGUCCGCUGCACGAAUGAUGACCUCAAGCCGGUUCUGGUCGCGCUGGCGACCGAUCAGCCCCUGGAUGUGCGAUACCGCGACCACGAUCUUUCCGGCGAUUGGGCGGGCUACCGCGAAUGCUACAUCAAGCCCGACCUGCUGCUGAUCUACCGCAAGUCCGACGCCGACACCCUGCGACUGGCGCGGCUUGGCUCCCAUAGCGAGCUGUUCGGCUGAUGCCAGUCGCCUUGUCCGCCAAACGAUCAUUAGUCGGCCAUGCCGGACACUGUCCAGCAAAGUUAUUGCACAACGGGUUGUCGGACAUUAAGAUAGGCGGACGGAAUGACGGACAAGAGAGGCGGCAAAUGGCACUGAUCGGCUAUGCGCGGGUAUCGACGGCGGAACAGGACACCGCCUUGCAGACGGAUGCGCUACGCAAGGCAGGCUGCGAGCGCGUUUUCGAGGACACGGCUUCCGGGGCCAAGGCCGACCGCCCCGGCUUGGCUGAUGCGCUGGCCUACCUGCGCGACGGCGACGUGCUGGCCGUCUGGCGGCUGGAUCGGCUCGGGCGCUCUAUGCCGCACCUAAUCGAAACGAUAGGCGCGCUGGAAGCGCGAGGCGUCGGCUUCCGUUCUCUGACGGAAGCCAUCGACACCACCACGCCAGGCGGGCGGCUCAUCUUCCACGUGUUCGGCGCGCUGGGCCAGUUCGAGCGCGACUUGAUCCGCGAGCGCACCAAGGCCGGGUUGACUGCCGCCGCCGCUCGUGGGAGGAAGGGCGGGCGAAAGCCGGUUGUCACCGCCGACAAGUUGCAGCGAGCGCGGGAGCACAUCGCCAACGGGCUUAAUGUCCGAGAGGCCGCUACACGGCUCAAGGUGAGCAAGACGGCCCUGUACACCGCGCUGCAAUCCACCAGUGCAGCCGACUCCUGAUAUUCCGUGCAGUCGUCUUCUGAAAAUGACACUCACGCGCAGGUAGAUGCGUGCGACUUUCAUGCGGGCCUCCUGGUCAUUUUGGGUAUAGGGAAAAUGACCAUUGUUUCACGCCUAGCCAAAAAGGGAAGGUUCCCGGUUCAAAUGUCGUUUUCAGAAGACGGCUGCACUGAACGUCAGAAGCCGACUGCACUAUAGCAGCGGAGGGGUUGGAUCCAUCAGGCAACGACGGGCUGCUGCCGGCCAUCAGCGGACGCAGGGAGGACUUUCCGCAACCGGCCGUUCGAUGCGGCACCGAUGGCCUUCGCGCAGGGGUAGUGAAUCCGCCAGGAUUGACUUGCGCUGCCCUACCUCUCACUAGUGAGGGGCGGCAGCGCAUCAAGCGGUGAGCGCACUCCGGCACCGCCAACUUUCAGCACAUGCGUGUAAAUCAUCGUCGUAGAGACGUCGGAAUGGCCGAGCAGAUCCUGCACGGUUCGAAUGUCGUAACCGCUGCGGAGCAAGGCCGUCGCGAACGAGUGGCGGAGGGUGUGCGGUGUGGCGGGCUUCGUGAUGCCUGCUUGUUCUACGGCACGUUUGAAGGCGCGCUGAAAGGUCUGGUCAUACAUGUGAUGGCGACGCACGACACCGCUCCGUGGAUCGGUCGAAUGCGUGUGCUGCGCAAAAACCCAGAACCACGGCCAGGAAUGCCCGGCGCGCGGAUACUUCCGCUCAAGGGCGUCGGGAAGCGCAACGCCGCUGCGGCCCUCGGCCUGGUCCUUCAGCCACCAUGCCCGUGCACGCGACAGCUGCUCGCGCAGGCUGGGUGCCAAGCUCUCGGGUAACAUCAAGGCCCGAUCCUUGGAGCCCUUGCCCUCCCGCACGAUGAUCGUGCCGUGAUCGAAAUCCAGAUCCUUGACCCGCAGUUGCAAACCCUCACUGAUCCGCAUGCCCGUUCCAUACAGAAGCUGGGCGAACAAACGAUGCUCGCCUUCCAGAAAACCGAGGAUGCGAACCACUUCAUCCGGGGUCAGCACCACCGGCAAGCGCCGCGACGGCCGAGGUCUUCCGAUCUCCUGAAGCCAGGGCAGAUCCGUGCACAGCACCUUGCCGUAGAAGAACAGCAAGGCCGCCAAUGCCUGACGAUGCGUGGAGACCGAAACCUUGCGCUCGUUCGCCAGCCAGGACAGAAAUGCCUCGACUUCGCUGCUGCCCAAGGUUGCCGGGUGACGCACACCGUGGAAACGGAUGAAGGCACGAACCCAGUGGACAUAAGCCUGUUCGGUUCGUAAGCUGUAAUGCAAGUAGCGUAUGCGCUCACGCAACUGGUCCAGAACCUUGACCGAACGCAGCGGUGGUAACGGCGCAGUGGCGGUUUUCAUGGCUUGUUAUGACUGUUUUUUUGUACAGUCUAUGCCUCGGGCAUCCAAGCAGCAAGCGCGUUACGCCGUGGGUCGAUGUUUGAUGUUAUGGAGCAGCAACGAUGUUACGCAGCAGGGCAGUCGCCCUAAAACAAAGUUAGAUGCACUAAGCACAUAAUUGCUCACAGCCAAACUAUCAGGUCAAGUCUGCUUUUAUUAUUUUUAAGCGUGCAUAAUAAGCCCUACACAAAUUGGGAGUUAGACAUCAUGAGCAACGCAAAAACAAAGUUAGGCAUCACAAAGUACAGCAUCGUGACCAACAGCAACGAUUCCGUCACACUGCGCCUCAUGACUGAGCAUGACCUUGCGAUGCUCUAUGAGUGGCUAAAUCGAUCUCAUAUCGUCGAGUGGUGGGGCGGAGAAGAAGCACGCCCGACACUUGCUGACGUACAGGAACAGUACUUGCCAAGCGUUUUAGCGCAAGAGUCCGUCACUCCAUACAUUGCAAUGCUGAAUGGAGAGCCGAUUGGGUAUGCCCAGUCGUACGUUGCUCUUGGAAGCGGGGACGGAUGGUGGGAAGAAGAAACCGAUCCAGGAGUACGCGGAAUAGACCAGUUACUGGCGAAUGCAUCACAACUGGGCAAAGGCUUGGGAACCAAGCUGGUUCGAGCUCUGGUUGAGUUGCUGUUCAAUGAUCCCGAGGUCACCAAGAUCCAAACGGACCCGUCGCCGAGCAACUUGCGAGCGAUCCGAUGCUACGAGAAAGCGGGGUUUGAGAGGCAAGGUACCGUAACCACCCCAGAUGGUCCAGCCGUGUACAUGGUUCAAACACGCCAGGCAUUCGAGCGAACACGCAGUGAUGCCUAACCCUUCCAUCGAGGGGGACGUCCAAGGGCUGGCGCCCUUGGCCGCCCCUCAUGUCAAACGUUAUGCAGCCAAAUCCCAACAAUUAAGGGUCUUAAAAUGGUAAAAGAUUGGAUUCCCAUCUCUCAUGAUAAUUACAAGCAGGUGCAAGGACCGUUCUAUCAUGGAACCAAAGCCAAUUUGGCGAUUGGUGACUUGCUAACCACAGGGUUCAUCUCUCAUUUCGAGGACGGUCGUAUUCUUAAGCACAUCUACUUUUCAGCCUUGAUGGAGCCAGCAGUUUGGGGAGCUGAACUUGCUAUGUCACUGUCUGGCCUCGAGGGUCGCGGCUACAUAUACAUAGUUGAGCCAACAGGACCGUUCGAAGACGAUCCGAAUCUUACGAACAAAAGAUUUCCCGGUAAUCCAACACAGUCCUAUAGAACCUGCGAACCCUUGAGAAUUGUUGGCGUUGUUGAAGACUGGGAGGGGCAUCCUGUUGAAUUAAUAAGGGGAAUGUUGGAUUCGUUGGAGGACUUAAAGCGCCGUGGUUUACACGUCAUUGAAGACUAGUCCUUUGCAUAACAAAGCCAUCAAACCGGACGCCAGAGAUUCCGCGCCUGUUGCGCAUGGCUUCGCCAUUUUAUGCGCAAUAGGCGCGCCACCCUGUCGCCGUUUAUGGCGGCGUUAGAUGCACUAAGCACAUAAUUGCUCACAGCCAAACUAUCAGGUCAAGUCUGCUUUUAUUAUUUUUAAGCGUGCAUAAUAAGCCCUACACAAAUUGGGAGAUAUAUCAUGAAAGGCUGGCUUUUUCUUGUUAUCGCAAUAGUUGGCGAAGUAAUCGGGGUCUGACGCUCAGUGGAACGAAAACUCACGUUAAGCAACGUUUUCUGCCUCUGACGCCUCUUUUAAUGGUCUCAGAUGUCCUUUGGUCACCAGUUCUGCCAGCGUGAAGGAAUAAUGGCCGAGCAUAUUGAUAUGUCCGUGGCAAAGCGGGGAGAGGCGUGCGAUAUCUUCAUCAUUCAGUGUUUCACCCUGCGCCCGGAGAUGAUCCAGGGCUGCCUGCAUAUAAAUAGUGUUCCAUAACACGACGGCGUUAGUGACCAGCCCCAGUGUGCCCAGUUGAUCUUCCUGACCGUCGGUAUAUCGUUUUCUUAUCUCACCUUUUUGACCGUGACAGAUGGCUCUGGCAACGGCAUGGCGACUUUCUCCCCGAUUAAGCUGGGUCAGAAUGCGCCGGCGGUAAUCUUCAUCAUCAAUAUAAUUAAGCAGAUACAGCGUUUUGUUGAUGCGCCCCACUUCAAUGAUUGCCUGAGUCAGUCCGGAAGGACGUUCACUUUUCAGCAAUGAACGGACCAGCACUGAAACCUGUACUUUGCCCAGCUUCAGGGAGCCAGCGGUCCGGAUCAUUUCGUCCCACUGAAGGACUAUUUUUCGGGGAUCUGAUUGCCCUCUGGCAAUAUCAUUCAGCACGCCAUAGUCGGCAUCAUGGUCCAUUCGCCAGAAAACCGAAGCACCGGCAUCAGCCAGGCGUGGAGAAAACUGGUAUCCCAGCAGCCAGAAAAGGCCAAAGACAAGUUCGCUGGCACCUGCUGUAUCGGUCAUAAUUUCGGUUGGAUUCAGCCCGGUCUCCUGUUCCAGAAGACCUUCCAGCACAAAGAUAGAGUCCCUCAGCGUCCCCGGUAUAACGAUGCCAUGAAAGCCGGAAUACUGAUCGGACACAAAGUUGUACCAGGUGAUCCCUCUGUUAUUACCAAAGUAUUUGCGGUUCGGUCCGGCAUUGAUUGUUCUGACUGGCGUAACAAAGCGCAUUCCAUCUGCAGAUGCCACUUCUCCUCCACCCCAUAUCUGUGCCAGUGGCAGCGUUGCCUGAAAAUCAACCAGUCUGGCAUUAGCGCUGGUGAUAGUUUCAGCCCGCAGAUAGUUCGCUUUUGUCCAGUUCAGCCGGUGUCGGGUCAGUGCAGGAACAUUUGAUCUGAUCAGUGGUUCCAGACCGAUAUUGCAGGCUUCAGCCAUCAGCACGGCGCUGAUGCUGACGGGCAGAUCAUCAACUCUGGCACUGGCUUCACUAGCAUGGAAAAACUCAUCAGCAAAUCCGGUAUGGGCGUUAAUUUCGAGCAGCAACUCCGUUAAAUCCACCGGAGGGAGUAGAUCACUGAUCAUUUUGCUCAGUCGUUUCAGACUGUCCGGCUCAUCAAGACUGGCGAGGGGAGAAAUUGUCAACCGGGGCUUCGGGCCAGAAACAUCGAGUUCGACAGCCUCAUUUUCGCAAAGACGUGCAGCAACCUGUCUGUAACGACUAUCAAGCUGAUGACCCAGAGAUUUUAUUGCUUCCUGCGGGUCUGUCGGGUGCCCCAAAGAACGAUAAACCUUAAUCCGGUUUGCCUGCCAGUCAGCACCCUGUAGUAAUCUUGCACGAGGAUCUCCCCACCGGUUACUGCCGGUAACGUAGACAUCCCUCCGCCUCAGACUAUCCUGCAGUUUACUGAGAAAGCAGAGCGUGUAUCCCCUGCGGGUGAUAUGUUUUUCCUUGUUAAUCACCAGCCGUUUCCAUGACCGACUGAUAAUUUCCGUUGGUGCGUCGUCAAAAAACUGCCGCCGUGAGCUGAACUCCCGGCUGAGGUAGUCACAGGCAUUCAGAGUGGUAACCCCGGCAGGUGCGGAUGAAAAUUUAACGGUAUUCAGCAGAUGGGGCAGGAAACGACGAACGCGCCCGUACUGCUCCACCAUUUCUUCAUGAAAAUUAUCGUCUGAGGGCCGGGCAAUUUCACGGACAAGCGUGAUGAUUUCAGCCAGCUUUUGCCUUGGGAUGUAGCUGAACACCUCAGCACGAAUCGAUUCGUCCGGUGUUUCUUCUUUCAGCAGGUACGAACAUGCGCUGGCGAGCGCCAAUGCAGAUUUAUCCAGAUCCUUCAGCGAGCGGAGCCGUUUUUUCUGCCCAAUCUUUCUGGCGUCACGGAUGAUAACGGCCAGCAUGGCGUCCAGAACGUCCAAUGCAUCAUCCAGCGCCAGCGUUUCCCAUGCAAGGACAAAGGCAACCAGAACCGCCAUCCUUUUCUGCGGUGACAUCCUGGCAAUAUUGAACACCGAAGUCAUACCAGCAUAACGUGCGAGAUUUUUCAGGCGCACAGCCGGGAGUGUACUCAGGUUUUCAGCAUGCAGGCCAAAAUCGUUCAGAGUUUUCCAGCGUUCAAUUGCUUCAUUAAACGCCGGACCACUGAUGGUCACAGGGCCCUUUUUCAGUGAUUCCAGUAAAGACAGGCGGCUGCAAUCAGUUGGCCCCAGCAGCAUCUCCAGCUGUGAACGCUGUUCGGCUGACGGUAUCAGUGCCAGUUUGUUCCACAGGCGCAACGUCGCCUUUUCCCUUACCUCUGAAAUCAACCGGGUCAGCGUAGUGGCUCCGGGGAGAAUAAUACGAUGUUGCAUAAGCCACCCUGUCGCCAGAUCGAAAAGCAGGCCAGGACGUUCGUUGCUUAUCCAGCUCCGGGUAUAUAAAAGACGGGUAAGGCGAAAUGUCCAGGGCCAGGCAAAUUCACGAUACUGAUAGUGCUGACGUAUCAGCGCUGCAUGCUCACGGCGGGUAUUUUCCCUCUGACCGUAUUCUGCAAGAACGGUGAUAUCACGAAUCCCGAGCUGUCUGGCGGUAAAAUGCCGGACGCCGGAAGGAAUAUGAUUCAUAUCGGUGAGGAAGGUGCCCAGAAAACGGACACAUCCAAUUUGCAGGGCAAUGCCCAGACGGUUGUGAUCACCUCUGCUUUUUCCGAUAAAUUCCUUGUCUGCUUCAUCAAGGUGAAAAUAUCGUGCCAGCUGAAGCUCAUCCGGUUCACCGGUGAAUCUGCCAUAGCUUUCAGUCUGCUCAGUGGUCAGAAAGUCAACGGGCAUAUCGGCCUCCCUGCCUGACGGGCAUUUAGUAACAUUUUUGCAACCGUACGAAAUGUUAUAAAUUAUCGGACAUCGUAAAACUGUUACAUUAAUAUGUCUAUUAAAUCGUAAAUUUGUAAUAAUAGACAUGAGUUGUCCGAUAUUCGAUUUAAGGUACAUUUUUAUGCGACUUUUUGGUUACGCUCGGGUCUCAACCAGUCAGCAGUCUCUUGAUCUUCAGGUCAGAGCACUCAAAGACGCAGGUGUGAAAGCAAACCGUAUAUUUACCGAUAAGGCAUCCGGCAGUUCAACAGACCGGGAAGGGCUGGAUUUGCUGAGGAUGAAGGUGGAGGAAGGUGAUGUCAUUCUGGUUAAGAAGCUCGACCGUCUUGGCCGCGACACUGCCGAUAUGAUCCAACUGAUAAAGGAAUUUGACGCUCAGGGCGUGGCAGUCCGGUUCAUUGAUGACGGGAUCAGUACCGACGGUGAUAUGGGGCAAAUGGUGGUCACCAUCCUGUCGGCUGUGGCACAGGCUGAACGCCGGAGGAUCCUAGAACGCACGAAUGAGGGCCGACAGGAAGCAAAGCUGAAAGGAAUCAAAUUUGGCCGCAGGCGUACCGUGGACAGGAACGUCGUGCUGACGCUUCAUCAGAAGGGCACUGGUGCAACGGAAAUUGCUCAUCAGCUCAGUAUUGCCCGCUCCACGGUUUAUAAAAUUCUUGAAGACGAAAGGGCCUCGUGAUACGCCUAUUUUUAUAGGUUAAUGUCAUGAUAAUAAUGGUUUCUUAGACGUCAGGUGGCACUUUUCGGGGAAAUGUGCGCGGAACCCCUAUUUGUUUAUUUUUCUAAAUACAUUCAAAUAUGUAUCCGCUCAUGAGACAAUAACCCUGGUAAAUGCUUCAAUAAUAUUGAAAAAGGAAGAGUAUGAGUAUUCAACAUUUUCGUGUCGCCCUUAUUCCCUUUUUUGCGGCAUUUUGCCUUCCUGUUUUUGCUCACCCAGAAACGCUGGUGAAAGUAAAAGAUGCUGAAGAUCAGUUGGGUGCACGAGUGGGUUACAUCGAACUGGAUCUCAACAGCGGUAAGAUCCUUGAGAGUUUUCGCCCCGAAGAACGUUUUCCAAUGAUGAGCACUUUUAAAGUUCUGCUAUGUGGUGCGGUAUUAUCCCGUGUUGACGCCGGGCAAGAGCAACUCGGUCGCCGCAUACACUAUUCUCAGAAUGACUUGGUUGAGUACUCACCAGUCACAGAAAAGCAUCUUACGGAUGGCAUGACAGUAAGAGAAUUAUGCAGUGCUGCCAUAACCAUGAGUGAUAACACUGCUGCCAACUUACUUCUGACAACGAUCGGAGGACCGAAGGAGCUAACCGCUUUUUUGCACAACAUGGGGGAUCAUGUAACUCGCCUUGAUCGUUGGGAACCGGAGCUGAAUGAAGCCAUACCAAACGACGAGCGUGACACCACGAUGCCUGCAGCAAUGGCAACAACGUUGCGCAAACUAUUAACUGGCGAACUACUUACUCUAGCUUCCCGGCAACAAUUAAUAGACUGGAUGGAGGCGGAUAAAGUUGCAGGACCACUUCUGCGCUCGGCCCUUCCGGCUGGCUGGUUUAUUGCUGAUAAAUCUGGAGCCGGUGAGCGUGGGUCUCGCGGUAUCAUUGCAGCACUGGGGCCAGAUGGUAAGCCCUCCCGUAUCGUAGUUAUCUACACGACGGGGAGUCAGGCAACUAUGGAUGAACGAAAUAGACAGAUCGCUGAGAUAGGUGCCUCACUGAUUAAGCAUUGGUAACUGUCAGACCAAGUUUACUCAUACUGAAAUAAUUGGGGGGUGAUUACCACCGUAAAUUUUUCCCAGACGGUAAAAAGAAUUACAGACUUUUAUCAACUAAAAAAGUGGCCUGAAUAUCAGCACUACCGUCAAUACCAUUUCAGUAAAUCAGGAUAGGGAAAAAUUGGCAAACCCAGUUCUUCACUUGCUCUGCGGGUUCUGUCACCCUGACGUCAUACGGUAAUCCCCCCCAAUUCAUUAAUCGACAAGGUCAUCCUGAUGAAACAAAUUACCAUGAGCGAUAUGCAGCAACAGAGCGCAGCGGCUGUGCAAUCGCCUCGGCUCCGCGCGCACCGUAAUUUCCAUCCAGAAUUAAGCGAUUCGGUCCAACGUCUGGCUAUUGCCAUGGAACCUGGGACCUACGUGCGCCCGCACCGACACCCUCACACCUUCGAGCUACUGUUGCCAUUAAGGGGUCGUUUCGUGGUGCUGAAUUUUGACGAUCGGGGUACCGUCACCCAUCGGGCGAUAUUGGGGGAAACCUGUACGGUGCUGGAGAUGGCCGCAGGAACCUGGCAUGCCGUGCUGUCGCUGGAUACCGGUGGCAUAAUUUUUGAAGUAAAACACGGUGGCUAUCAACCCGUGGCUGCCGAUGACUAUGCGCACUGGGCUCCAGCGGAAGGAGAACCAGGAACCACGGAGCUUAUGGCCUGGUAUGCGCAAGCGCAGGUGGGCGACAGCACUUUUGCCGUCUAAGGCGAUAAACAAAAACGGAAUGAGUUUCCCCAUUCCGUUUCCGCUAUUACAAACCGUCGGUGACGAUUUUAGCCGCCGACGCUAAUACAUCGCGACGGCUUUCUGCCUUAGGUUGAGGCUGGGUGAAGUAAGUGACCAGAAUCAGCGGCGCACGAUCUUUUGGCCAGAUCACCGCGAUAUCGUUGGUGGUGCCAUAGUCACCGCUGCCGGUUUUAUCCCCCACAACCCAGGAAGCAGGCAGUCCAGCCUGAAUGCUCGCUGCACCGGUGGUAUUGCCUUUCAUCCAUGUCACCAGCUGCGCCCGUUGGCUGUCGCCCAAUGCUUUACCCAGCGUCAGAUUCCGCAGAGUUUGCGCCAUUGCCCGAGGUGAAGUGGUAUCACGCGGAUCGCCCGGAAUGGCGGUGUUUAACGUCGGCUCGGUACGGUCGAGACGGAACGUUUCGUCUCCCAGCUGUCGGGCGAACGCGGUGACGCUAGCCGGGCCGCCAACGUGAGCAAUCAGCUUAUUCAUCGCCACGUUAUCGCUGUACUGUAGCGCGGCCGCGCUAAGCUCAGCCAGUGACAUCGUCCCAUUGACGUGCUUUUCCGCAAUCGGAUUAUAGUUAACAAGGUCAGAUUUUUUGAUCUCAACUCGCUGAUUUAACAGAUUCGGUUCGCUUUCACUUUUCUUCAGCACCGCGGCCGCGGCCAUCACUUUACUGGUGCUGCACAUCGCAAAGCGCUCAUCAGCACGAUAAAGUAUUUGCGAAUUAUCUGCUGUGUUAAUCAAUGCCACACCCAGUCUGCCUCCCGACUGCCGCUCUAAUUCGGCAAGUUUUUGCUGUACGUCCGCCGUUUGCGCAUACAGCGGCACACUUCCUAACAACAGCGUGACGGUUGCCGUCGCCAUCAGCGUGAACUGGCGCAGUGAUUUUUUAACCAUGGGAUUCCUUAUUCUGGAAGAGACGAAAUAACAACAACAUGAAUAGUCAAUAUUUUACCUGAAGCGAGCCACAACGCGUCCGAUUUUAUGCUUCCGAAAGGCAAAUACGGACGUCGCCAGAAUGAAACCUAAAUUCCACGUGUGUUUUUUAUUAGCUUCAAAAAUCACUAUUUCACGAAGAAUUUAGACUGCUUCUCACACAUUGUAACAUUAUUUACAACCACCUUUCAAUCAUUUUUGAUAAAUCAUUGAUUUCAUCUUUGCUGCAAUGAUACUUAAUAAACUCUGCAAGUUAUCCACAGAGCAACACUCAAUUUUAUUGAUGAUAUUCUUAUUAUACCAGACAUUUUUCAUACACUCCCUUGUACGGAUAGUUUUCCGACAACUUCAUGAUUACAUAUCUUGCGGUUUUGAUUAUUUUUGCUGCAAGAAAUACAUACUUCAAACGAAAGGUCUUUAUUUGCUGUCUGUAUUCUGAAGAGUCCAAGGAAUCAAACUUGAACAACAAAAAUAGGUUAUAUGAAAGCAUCAUCAUUUGAAACACGGCUUCAUUCGCCCAAAAUGACUUUAGCAAGAGAUGACCCACCGCCAUGUCGUAUUUGGCUUCUUUGAUAUAGUUUUCAGCAUUACCACGCUUUUCAUAGUAUAUAACUACUUUUUCAGAAAGCAAGGUAGUAUUUGUUACAAAGAAAAAGUAGUCGUAUUCGGAACCUUCUAAAAGUGAUAAUUGUGCUCGGUGAUGCUGCCAACUUACUGAUUUAGUGUAUGAUGGUGUUUUUGAGGUGCUCCAGUGGCUUCUGUUUCUAUCAGCUGUCCCUCCUGUUCAGCUACUGACGGGGUGGUGCGUAACGGCAAAAGCACCGCCGGACAUCAGCGCUAUCUCUGCUCUCACUGCCGUAAAACUGCAGUUCACUUACACCGCUUCUCAACCCGGUACGCACCAGAAAAUCAUUGAUAUGGCCAUGAAUGGCGUUGGAUGCCGGGCAACCGCCCGCAUUAUGGGCGUUGGCCUCAACACGAUUUUCCGCCAUUUAAAAAACUCAGGCCGCAGUCGGUAACCUCGCGCAUACAGCCGGGCAGUGACGUCAUCGUCUGCGCGGAAAUGGACGAACAGUGGGGAUACGUCGGGGCUAAAUCGCGCCAGCGCUGGCUGUUUUACGCGUAUGACAGGCUCCGGAAGACGGUUGUUGCGCACGUAUUCGGUGAACGCACUCUGGCCACACUGGAGCGUCUUCUAAGCCUGCUGUCGGCCUUUGAGGUCGUGGUAUGGAUGACGGAUGGCUGGCCGCUGUAUGAAUCCCGCCUGAAGGGAAAGCUGCACGUAAUCAGCAAGCGUUACACUCAGCGAAUUGAGCGGCAUAACCUGAAUCUGAGACAACAUCUGGCAAGGCUGGGACGGAAGUCACUGUCGUUCUCAAAAUCGGUGGAGCUGCAUGACAAGGUCAUCGGGCAUUAUCUGAACAUAAAACACUAUCAGUAAGUUGGAGUCAUUACCAUCAAUGCCAAUGAAGUGACCGCAGAGCAUGGUCUUUAUAUGAUUCAUCUUGAUUUUAUUUGUUGAGUCAUUAUCAAAUACGAGGUCAUUUUCAAUAAAAUCAAAAAUCCCAUUGCUUUUUGCAUUCUCAAGGAGCAGAAAAAGACCUGCAUUUGAUGUUAGAUUCUUAGCUUUGAAAUCAAUUUUAUUAAUCAUAAUUAGAACCCCUUUUUACUACUUUUCUUACUAUUAUUUUACCAUAUAUCGAGUCAUAAAAGCUGAUAAUUUAACAUAUUUUUGAGCACUUUUCUUUCACCCAAUGGGUGAAAGCUGAAUUUCGAAGGAAUGCAUAUUUAUCAAGGCUUUGAUUAUGCUUUUUGAAGUACUGACGUAGAAUCUAGGUCAUAUAUACUUUAGAUUGAUUUAAAACUUCAUUUUUAAUUUAAAAGGAUCUAGGUGAAGAUCCUUUUUGAUAAUCUCAUGACCAAAAUCCCUUAACGUGAGUUUUCGUUCCACUGAGCGUCAGACCCCGUCUAUGCCUCGGGCAUCCAAGCAGCAAGCGCGUUACGCCGUGGGUCGAUGUUUGAUGUUAUGGAGCAGCAACGAUGUUACGCAGCAGGGCAGUCGCCCUAAAACAAAGUUAGCCAUAUGAACUCGGAAUCAGUACGCAUUUAUCUCGUUGCUGCGAUGGGAGCCAAUCGGGUUAUUGGCAAUGGUCCUAAUAUCCCCUGGAAAAUUCCGGGUGAGCAGAAGAUUUUUCGCAGACUCACUGAGGGAAAAGUCGUUGUCAUGGGGCGAAAGACCUUUGAGUCUAUCGGCAAGCCUCUACCGAACCGUCACACAUUGGUAAUCUCACGCCAAGCUAACUACCGCGCCACUGGCUGCGUAGUUGUUUCAACGCUGUCGCACGCUAUCGCUUUGGCAUCCGAACUCGGCAAUGAACUCUACGUCGCGGGCGGAGCUGAGAUAUACACUCUGGCACUACCUCACGCCCACGGCGUGUUUCUAUCUGAGGUACAUCAAACCUUCGAGGGUGACGCCUUCUUCCCAAUGCUCAACGAAACAGAAUUCGAGCUUGUCUCAACCGAAACCAUUCAAGCUGUAAUUCGUACACCCACUCCGUUUAUGCGCGUCGAAACGGCUAACCAUUCCGUCAACGGGACGCCAAAAUGCUGCGCAUUUUGGUUCCCUCCGCUGCGCUCCGGCUCUCGUUACGUCCAACGUUAGCACCACUGAAACCCAGCUUUAUUUAGCUCAUGUUUAUUCAAACGGCAUUUAGCUUUUCAGGCGUUAUUCAGUGCCUGUUUUGCCUUUUUUCCGGGCUUCGCCUGCAUGGGCUGCGCAGGUUUUCAGUCUUUUUGGCCUCUAGCCCUUGCGUAGCAAGCGCAAGCAGCUAUCGUUUUUGCAGUGCUGUGCCGCCUCGGUGGCGCAGCGUUUUUUCACGGUUAGCGCCCGUCGCCAAAUUCAAGUUAUCCGUUUUGGCUUCUGGUUCUAACAUUUCGGUCAAGCCGACCCGCAUUCUGCGGUCGGCUUACCUCGCCCGUUAGACAUCAUGAGGGAAGCGGUGACCAUCGAAAUUUCGAACCAACUAUCAGAGGUGCUAAGCGUCAUUGAGCGCCAUCUGGAAUCAACGUUGCUGGCCGUGCAUUUGUACGGCUCCGCAGUGGAUGGCGGCCUGAAGCCAUACAGCGAUAUUGAUUUGUUGGUUACUGUGGCCGUAAAGCUUGAUGAAACGACGCGGCGAGCAUUGCUCAAUGAUCUUAUGGAGGCUUCGGCUUUCCCUGGCGAGAGCGAGACGCUCCGCGCUAUAGAAGUCACCCUUGUCGUGCAUGACGACAUCAUCCCGUGGCGUUAUCCGGCUAAGCGCGAGCUGCAAUUUGGAGAAUGGCAGCGCAAUGACAUUCUUGCGGGUAUCUUCGAGCCAGCCAUGAUCGACAUUGAUCUAGCUAUCCUGCUUACAAAAGCAAGAGAACAUAGCGUUGCCUUGGUAGGUCCGGCAGCGGAGGAAUUCUUUGACCCGGUUCCUGAACAGGAUCUAUUCGAGGCGCUGAGGGAAACCUUGAAGCUAUGGAACUCGCAGCCCGACUGGGCCGGCGAUGAGCGAAAUGUAGUGCUUACGUUGUCCCGCAUUUGGUACAGCGCAAUAACCGGCAAAAUCGCGCCGAAGGAUGUCGCUGCCGACUGGGCAAUAAAACGCCUACCUGCCCAGUAUCAGCCCGUCUUACUUGAAGCUAAGCAAGCUUAUCUGGGACAAAAAGAAGAUCACUUGGCCUCACGCGCAGAUCACUUGGAAGAAUUUAUUCGCUUUGUGAAAGGCGAGAUCAUCAAGUCAGUUGGUAAAUGAUGUCUAACAAUUCGUUCAAGCCGACCGCGCUACGCGCGGCGGCUUAACUCCGGCGUUAGAUGCACUAAGCACAUAAUUGCUCACAGCCAAACUAUCAGGUCAAGUCUGCUUUUAUUAUUUUUAAGCGUGCAUAAUAAGCCCUACACAAAUUGGGAGAUAUAUCAUGAAAGGCUGGCUUUUUCUUGUUAUCGCAAUAGUUGGCGAAGUAAUCGCAACAUCCGCAUUAAAAUCUAGCGAGGGCUUUACUAAGCUUGCCCCUUCCGCCGUUGUCAUAAUCGGUUAUGGCAUCGCAUUUUAUUUUCUUUCUCUGGUUCUGAAAUCCAUCCCUGUCGGUGUUGCUUAUGCAGUCUGGUCGGGACUCGGCGUCGUCAUAAUUACAGCCAUUGCCUGGUUGCUUCAUGGGCAAAAGCUUGAUGCGUGGGGCUUUGUAGGUAUGGGGCUCAUAAUUGCUGCCUUUUUGCUCGCCCGAUCCCCAUCGUGGAAGUCGCUGCGGAGGCCGACGCCAUGGUGACGGUGUUCGGCAUUCUGAAUCUCACCGAGGACUCCUUCUUCGAUGAGAGCCGGCGGCUAGACCCCGCCGGCGCUGUCACCGCGGCGAUCGAAAUGCUGCGAGUCGGAUCAGACGUCGUGGAUGUCGGACCGGCCGCCAGCCAUCCGGACGCGAGGCCUGUAUCGCCGGCCGAUGAGAUCAGACGUAUUGCGCCGCUCUUAGACGCCCUGUCCGAUCAGAUGCACCGUGUUUCAAUCGACAGCUUCCAACCGGAAACCCAGCGCUAUGCGCUCAAGCGCGGCGUGGGCUACCUGAACGAUAUCCAAGGAUUUCCUGACCCUGCGCUCUAUCCCGAUAUUGCUGAGGCGGACUGCAGGCUGGUGGUUAUGCACUCAGCGCAGCGGGAUGGCAUCGCCACCCGCACCGGUCACCUUCGACCCGAAGACGCGCUCGACGAGAUUGUGCGGUUCUUCGAGGCGCGGGUUUCCGCCUUGCGACGGAGCGGGGUCGCUGCCGACCGGCUCAUCCUCGAUCCGGGGAUGGGAUUUUUCUUGAGCCCCGCACCGGAAACAUCGCUGCACGUGCUGUCGAACCUUCAAAAGCUGAAGUCGGCGUUGGGGCUUCCGCUAUUGGUCUCGGUGUCGCGGAAAUCCUUCUUGGGCGCCACCGUUGGCCUUCCUGUAAAGGAUCUGGGUCCAGCGAGCCUUGCGGCGGAACUUCACGCGAUCGGCAAUGGCGCUGACUACGUCCGCACCCACGCGCCUGGAGAUCUGCGAAGCGCAAUCACCUUCUCGGAAACCCUCGCGAAAUUUCGCAGUCGCGACGCCAGAGACCGAGGGUUAGAUCAUGCCUAGCAUUCACCUUCCGGCCGCCCGCUAAAUAUCUCCUUUUGGGUUGUUAAUAAAACAUCCAAUAAGUUGACUGUGCGUGAAAAAGAAAGUUUUGUGUGAUGGCGUUGAAGAUCGCACCGUUAAGCUCUUAUGUGGGAUGGUGCAGAGCUCGACGACUACCGAUAAAACGCAACCGCCGCAAACAGACAAGAAAAAGCCCCAACUGAUAACAGUUGGGGCUUCAGUAUUGUGAUUGGUGGAGCAAUAGCACCCUGAACCCAAAACCUUCUCGCUCAACCGGUAGUGGCUGAUAACAACUCGUGAGGGCUAUUGCGGGUUAAGCAUUUAGCGAUGUCUAGGGCCAGACUGGACGUCUGAACGCAAGCCGCUGAUACUGUACAUAACCACAGUAUCAGCGGAGGAUACCCAUGUCGCUGGCAAGGAACGCCACGGCGAGUCAAUCGCCCACUCAAACAAACGGUUACGAACGCCACCAACCCGACCAGACGCUGCUCUACCAGCUGGUUGAGCAGCACUACCCAGCCUUCAAAGCCUCACUCGAAGCCCAAGGUCAACACCUGCCUCGCUACAUCCAACAAGAAUUCAACGACCUCCUCCAAUGUGGCCGUCUGGAGUAUGGUUUCAUGCGGGUUCGCUGCGAGGAUUGUCAUCACGAGCGUCUGGUCGCCUUCAGCUGUAAACGACGCGGCUUUUGCCCUAGCUGCGGUGCCCGCCGGAUGGCCGAGAGUGCGGCGCUGCUGAUAGACGAAGUCUUCCCCAAGGAGCCCAUUCGCCAGUGGGUGCUCAGCUUUCCUUUCCAGCUACGCUUUUUGCUGGCUCGCCAUCCCCAGCUGAUGGGCCAGGUCUUGAGUAUCGUCUAUCGUACACUCUCAACUCAUCUGAUCAAAAAAGCCGGUUACACCAAAGCCUCUGCACAAACUGGCUCAGUGACUCUUAUCCAACGCUUUGGCUCCGCGCUAAAUCUCAAUGUCCACUACCACAUGCUGUUUCUCGAUGGUGUCUAUGCCGAAGAUGACUAUGGCAAGCAACGCUUCCAUCGUGUCAAGGCACCCACUUACGAUGAGCUGAAUACGCUCGCUCACACCCUCAGCCAUCGCAUCGCUCGCUGCAUGGAAAAGCGUGGGAUUUUGGAGCGUGAUGCCGAGAAUACGUGGUUGACACUGGAAGAGGGCGAAGACGAUACGCUGACUCAAUUACAUGGUGCUUCGGUUACGUAUCGCAUUGCCGUCGGCCCCCAGCAAGGGCGCAAAGUCUUCACCCUGCAAACCUUGCCAGGGCGUGAGGAUAAAGCCGACUCAAGCAGUCGAGUAGCCAACCAUGCUGGUUUCUCGCUACACGCCGGUGUGAUGGCCGAAGCGCAUCAGCGGGAUAAGCUUGAGCGCUUGUGUCGCUACAUUAGUCGGCCAGCGGUUUCAGAAAAACGUCUGGCAUUAACCGCCAAUGGGCAGGUGCGUUACGAGCUCAAAACUCCGUACCGCAAUGGCACCACCCAUGUGAUCUUCGAGCCGCUGGACUUCAUCGCCAAACUCGCUGCGUUGGUACCUAAGCCGCGAGUCAACCUCACACGCUUCCACGGCGUCUUUGCACCGAACAGCAAACACCGAGUUCAAGUAACACCCGCCAAGCGGGGCAAGAAGCCCGACAAAUCGGAAGGUCUCGAUACUAACUGGCGUGACAAGAGUCCUGCAGAGCGCCACCGCGCCAUGACCUGGAUGCAACGCCUCAAGCGAGUCUUCAAUAUUGAUAUUGAAGUCUGCGAACACUGCGGCGGUCACGUCAAAGUGAUUGCCAGCAUCGAAGAUCCGAAGGUCAUUGAGCAGAUUCUCAAGCAUCUGAAACAGAAAACAGCCAAGGCGAAUGCCGCCAAGCAGCGUGAGCUGCCACCAGAACGAGCGCCGCCACUGACUCCCAGCCUGUUCGAUCCAUCACAGAGUCGUCUCUUUGACUGACGACCCCAAAUCCAACACUGCUCAACACUGCCAACUUUUAAACGGGGCGGUGGGGCAGUUUGUAUCUCUCGAGCUAUCAGGCUAGAGAUUUUACCGCCAAAUCGAACCUUAUUAGAGCGGUUUAGGCUGGACCGGCAGUUAAAAUUGGGGCUUGAGCGGUAAACGAGUGAGGGAAUUUCAGGUAAGAUACUUCGGAUGAGGAGCAAAAAGGUGGUUUAUACUUCCUAUACCCCGAGUGAGGGAAUUUCAGGUAAGAUACUUCGGAUGAGGAGCAAAAAGGUGGUUUAUACUUCCUAUACCCCUGGAUGGACGAACAAGCCAUUAAGCAGUGGCAUUGCCUGGUCCACCAUGGCCGCCGAGGGAGAGGUUUCCACUACAGUGACACCGCCAUUGAGACGGCCCUGAUGCUAAAAGGCUUGUUCAAGUUGCCGCUGCGGGCGCUAGAAGGCUUCAUUAACUCGUUGUUCCAACUGAUGGCGGUGCCUUUGCAGUCGCCGGACUAUAGCUGUAUCAGCAAGCGCGCCAAGACCGUCGACAUCAAGUACCGCCUCCCCAGCCAAGGCCCGGUGGCUCACUUGGUCAUUGAUGCCACCGGCCUCAAGGUCUAUGGCGAAGGCGAAUGGAAAAUUCGCAAACACGGCAAGGAGAAGCGACGAGUGUGGCGCAAGCUCCACUUGGCGGUGGAUGCCACAACCCAUGCGGUCAUCGCUGCCGAAGUCAGCCUGGAGACGGUGGCGGAUAACGAGGUGUUACCGACGUUGCUCAACCCCUUACGACGCAAGAUAAAACAGGUCAGCGCCGAUGGUGCGUAUGACACCAAGGCCUGUCAUGCGCUACUGAAGAAAAAGGGGGCGAAAGCCACCAUACCGCCGAGAAAAAAUGCGGCACCGUGGGAGGAAGGCCAUCCCCGCAACGAGGCGGUGACGGCGCUCAAGGCCGGUGAACUGAAGCAAUGGAAGAAAGACUCCGGCUAUCACCAGCGCUCGAUAGCCGAGACCGCCAUGUACCGGUUCAAGCAACUCAUCGGGCCAACGCUGAGCCUGCGGAACUACAACGCCCAGGUGGGCGAAAUCCUGGCUGGCGUGAAGGUGAUGAACAAGCUGAUAGGGCUUGGUAUGCCUGUUCGCCAGCCAGUGAAUUGAGUGGUAUCAACGGGUUGGGGAACGGCCAUCCAGCGACGGAUUUGGUCAACAACGCCGAUAACACCUCGAAAUCGGAGUUUAUAUGGCUUCGUGGGGGAGUUAUGUGUUUGAGCUUUGUCGCAUUAACGCGAAUCAGGGGUUGACGGCAGAAAUGGACUGGAAUUACACUUCUUAGAGUCGGCGUUGCCGGAAAAUUCUGAUUGGAUUAGUUGUUCGGGGUGCGAAAACAGUCGUAGUUCGGGGGAAAAACCGAAUUUUGACCCGAAACCGCAAAAAACCCGAAAUGACAGUUCCUAUCAAAUACUUAACUUGUAGGUUCUUUCAAAUGGAUAAGAAUGAUGUUGUUAAGAAGAUACUUGAAUCAAAAAAGUACGAAAACCUUGAUUCAGAUAUUGUUGAAAAGGUUGUUUCCAUUUCUGAGAAGAAAUAUAAAUUAAAGGAAGUUGAGAAUUAUUCUAAAAAGAAAUUGCAUCAAAUAUGGGGGUCUUACUAUUCUGCCUAUCCUAAUUGGGAUAAAUUAUUAAAAAAGUACAAUCAGGGGCAGUUAUCAAUAGAAGAUUUACUAAAGAUUCAUUCUUCGACGAAUGAAAGAGUCGCAACAUUAAAUGACUUUUACACUUAUGUAUUUGGAAAUAUCAAACAUGUCUCAUCUAUUUUAGAUUUUGGUUGUGGCUUCAAUCCAUUAGCUUUAUACCAAUGGAAUGAAAAUGAAAAAAUAAUAUAUCAUGCAUACGAUAUUGAUAGAGCUGAGAUAGCUUUUUUGAGUAGCAUUAUUGGGAAGUUAAAGACGACGAUAAAGUAUAGGUUUUUGAAUAAAGAGAGUGAUGUCUACAAAGGUACUUAUGAUGUAGUAUUCCUUUUAAAGAUGCUUCCUGUGCUAAAACAGCAAGAUGUAAAUAUCUUGGAUUUCCUACAGCUUUUUCAUACUCAAAACUUUGUAAUAUCUUUUCCAAUAAAGUCUUUAUCUGGAAAGGAGAAGGGAAUGGAAGAGAAUUACCAGCUAUGGUUUGAAUCUUUUACAAAAGGUUGGAUAAAAAUCCUUGAUUCGAAGGUUAUAGGGAAUGAGUUAGUAUAUAUUACUAGUGGAUUUCAGAAAUAACUCCGCCUCCAAGGCACUCAUUUUCUUGGAAAAGUACUAAACUCUGUCCAACGGCUGGAGCCCAUUGUGGUGCAGAAAAUUCAAAUAUAUAUCCAUUUUCAUUCUGGGUUACUUUUACUGGUGUAUCCUGACUUCUAUAACGGAUAGAUGCUGUAUAGUUAUUAUUAAGUAAUGAAGUUUCGUUUAUCAAGUGCAAUUCUGAAACACUUACUAUGUUUUUCCAAAGUUUUGGAUUAUCUUUUCCUUGGACAACAUAGAGGAUAUUUUGAGGAAAAGAUAGGUUUCAACUACAGUUUAGAAGGUUAAAAACAAAUGCAUGCAUGGCUCAAAAGCAAUCUAGGGAAGGUGCGAAUAAGCGGGGAAAUUCUUCUCGGCUGACUCAGUCAUUUCAUUUUUUCCUGUUUGAGCCGUUUUUUCUCCCGUAAAUGCACUGUAUACCGAUAUGGGCAGGGCGAAGCGCUAAAGUACAACAAUCUUAUUGUUAGCUAUUGUCUUGGCGUUCCAGAAAAUCUUUAAACUCAAUAGUAUAAAGCCGUAACAGCACCAUGGUUAACGCAAAAAUAAUUGGCCCAUAAAUCAAACCAAUUAAACCAAAGAGUUGCAAACCACCUGAGGUAUCCCCAGAAAUUCUGUAGUUAAAAUAAAAUGUUAGUUGAUUGGGGAACAUUCAUGGCGGUUCCUGAUCUGAUCAUUCGCCAAAACUCCCACACCGCGGAUGCUCACCAUGAAUGUAAAAGCUAUGCUCGCUGAUUUCCUCACCUUUGUCACGCCAAAAUCAAUGCAUAAAGCCCGAUUUUCGGUUUUGCUAGAUGCGGUAACCGCCCUGGCAAAGGAUGCGUGUUGCACCGUUACUGCGAUUGGCCGGGCGAUGCCUGGCUCUUCAGAUAAGGUCAGUAUCAAACGGGCAGAUCGUCUACUCAAUAAUCCUAACCUGCAACGAGAGCUGCCAUUGAUUUAUGCUGCGCUGACGGCUUCUAUUGUUGGCCAUAAAACUAAGCCGAUGAUUUUGGUUGACUGGAGCAAUGCCGAUACUGCCAAGCGACACUUUAUCCUGCGUGCCAGCAUUGCCGCUGACGGUAGAGCGUUGACUCUGCUACAGAAGAUUGCCGCCGCAGAAGAUUAUACCUGCCCACACCUACACGGGGCGUUUUUAAAGCAGCUUAAAGCCAUGCUACCCAAGGACUGUAAGCCCGUAAUUGUCACUGACGCGGGGUUUAAAGUUCCAUGGCUGAAACAAGUGCGUAAGCUGGGAUGGCAUUAUGUAGCUAGAGUUCGAGGCAAUGUGAAGCUUAAAUUGGCAGAGCAGGACAAGUUUAUCAGUGUUAAUCAGCUUUAUCGGCAAGCGAAGAAGGAUCCAAAAAGUGUAGGAAAAAUCAUGCUUGCCCAAACACAACACUAUGAAACGCAGGCCGUCCUGGUUGGCAAAGGUUAUAAGCUAUUGAAACGCGAUAAAAAUAAGACGUAUAAGGAACCAUGGUUGUUGGUGUCAUCCUUAGCUGACUGCCAUGGGUAUGCGGAUAAAAUUGCUAAGUGCUACAGUAGCCGAAUGCAAAUUGAAGAAAGCUUCCGUGAUCAGAAAAGUCACCGCUAUGGCCUGGGUAGCGAUUUGCAUGGUACCAAGAAGAAAUCUCGCUUAGAGAUACUGCUACUACUGGCCGCAUUGGUUAAUUGGUUUCAUUACCUGCUAGGUAGCGCAGCGGAGAAAGCGGGUUUGCACCUGCGUUAUCAAGCUAACACCGUUAAAAAUAGGCGGGUAUUGGCCCUGAAUUUCCUUGGGAUAUUACUUUGCAAAGAACCCAAACAGCGAAUACGCAGGCAAUAUUAUCAGCAGGGACUUAAACAAAUACUACAGUGGGUGGUUCAGUGGGACUGGGCAGUAAUCAAACAGGCUGAUAGCUGAUUGUAUGAAUGGAAAUUUUGUGGGGAUCCCUCAGGUUGUCUAGACUUCUUUUAACAGUAAAGUUAUCAUAAAACUGAAUUUUAUUUUUUAGGUAAGUUUAUGCAUUCUAUCCGCAUUCGUUAAGACACAACUAUUUGCAUAGUGACACUAUUUUAUAAUGGUGGGCUUUUGUUGUGUCUUUAAGAAUAUAUGCGGAUAUAUAAAGUAAAAGUAUGCUUAAUUUAUAAGUAUGCUUUUAGUGCAUAGUUUCCAGUUAUAACUUAAUUGACUAGCUAUUUGUCCACCCUGUGGAUGAAUAGCUUUUUUUUUGGGAGGACACUGUGAUGCUAGCUUUUGUUUUCACCUAAAUCCUGUUUGCUGCAUAAAAAAUUUCAAGAGCUAAACAGGAGUAAAUAAAAAUGAGUUUAAUUAUUAAAGCGAGAAACAUACGCUUGGAUUAUGCUGGGCGUGAUGUUUUGGAUAUUGAUGAAUUGGAAAUUCACUCUUAUGACCGUAUUGGUCUUGUGGGUGAUAACGGAGCAGGAAAGAGUAGUUUACUCAAAGUACUUAAUGGCGAAAUUGUUUUAGCCGAAGCGACAUUACAGCGUUUUGGUGAUUUUGCACAUAUCAGCCAACUGGGCGGAAUCGAAAUAGAAACGGUCGAAGACCGGGCAAUGUUAUCUCGCCUUGGUGUUUCCAAUGUACAAAACGACACAAUGAGUGGCGGAGAGGAAACUCGUGCAAAAAUUGCUGCCGCAUUUUCCCAACAAGUACAUGGCAUUCUAGCGGAUGAACCAACCAGCCACCUUGAUCUCAAUGGAAUAGAUCUACUUAUUGGUCAACUUAAAGCAUUUGAUGGAGCAUUACUUGUUAUCAGUCAUGACCGAUAUUUUCUUGAUAUGGUUGUAGACAAGAUAUGGGAGUUAAAAGACGGUAAAAUUACGGAAUAUUGGGGUGGUUACUCGGAUUACUUGCGUCAAAAAGAAGAAGAGCGACAACACCAAGCCGUAGAAUAUGAGCUGAUGAUGAAGGAACGGGAGCGAUUAGAAUCUGCUGUGCAAGAAAAACGCCAGCAAGCUAAUCGAUUAGACAAUAAGAAAAAAGGAGAAAAAUCCAAAAACUCUACCGAAAGUGCUGGACGACUUGGGCAUGCAAAAAUGACUGGCACCAAGCAAAGAAAACUGUAUCAGGCAGCUAAGAGUAUGGAAAAGCGUUUGGCUGCAUUAGAAGAUAUUCAAGCACCAGAGCAUUUGCGUUCUAUUCGUUUUCGUCAAAGUUCAGCCCUAGAACUGCACAAUAAGUUCCCGAUUACGGCAGAUGGUCUGAGCUUAAAAUUUGGUAGCCGUACUAUCUUUGAUGACGCUAACUUUAUAAUACCGCUUGGCGCUAAAGUCGCUAUAACUGGAUCGAAUGGAACAGGGAAAACGUCCUUGUUAAAAAUGAUAUCAGAACGUGCUGAUGGAUUAACCAUAUCUCCAAAAGCUGAAAUUGGCUACUUUACACAAACAGGAUAUAAAUUUAACACGCAUAAAUCUGUGCUCUCCUUUAUGCAGGAAGAGUGCGAGUACACAGUUGCGGAAAUUCGUGCAGUAUUGGCUUCAAUGGGGAUCGGAGCGAAUGAUAUUCAAAAAAACUUAUCCGACUUAUCGGGAGGUGAAAUCAUCAAACUGCUUUUAUCCAAAAUGCUUUUAGGAAAAUAUAAUAUUUUGCUUAUGGAUGAACCAGGAAACUAUCUUGACCUAAAAAGUAUUGCCGCAUUAGAAACAAUGAUGAAGUCCUAUGCAGGAACUAUUAUCUUCGUAUCUCAUGACAAGCAAUUGGUCGAUAAUAUUGCUGACAUUAUCUACGAGAUCAAAGACCACAAAAUCAUCAAGACUUUUGAGAGAGAUUGUUAAUGAUAGCCAAUCUAAUCCGAACAUUAAUUAUUGAACUCUUUAAAGGAAAUUAAAAAUGACAAUUCAAGAUAUUCAAUCACUUGCUGAAGCACACGGCUUGUUGCUUACGGACAAAAUGAAUUUCAAUGAAAUGGGCAUUGAUUUUAAGGUCGUUUUUGCUCUUGAUACAAAGGGGCAACAAUGGUUGCUGCGUAUUCCUCGUCGUGAUGGCAUGAGGGAACAAAUCAAGAAAGAAAAACGCAUUUUAGAAUUGGUAAAAAAACAUCUUUCUGUAGAGGUUCCUGAUUGGAGAAUUUCAUCUACAGAAUUAGUGGCUUAUCCCAUACUUAAAGAUAAUCCUGUUUUAAAUUUGGAUGCUGAAACCUAUGAAAUAAUUUGGAAUAUGGACAAAGAUAGCCCGAAAUACAUAACAUCUUUGGCAAAAACCUUAUUUGAAAUCCAUAGUAUUCCUGAAAAAGAAGUUCGGGAAAAUGAUUUGAAAAUUAUGAAACCUUCAGAUUUAAGACCUGAAAUAGCAAACAAUUUGCAGUUAGUAAAAUCUGAAAUUGGUAUAAGUGAGCAAUUGGAAACCCGCUACAGAAAAUGGUUGGAUAAUGAUGUUCUAUGGGCAGAUUUCACCCAAUUUAUACAUGGCGAUUUAUAUGCUGGGCAUGUACUAGCUUCAAAGGAUGGAGCUGUUUCAGGCGUUAUUGAUUGGUCAACAGCCCAUAUAGAUGACCCAGCGAUUGAUUUUGCUGGGCAUGUAACUUUGUUUGGAGAAGAAAGCCUCAAAACUCUAAUCAUCGAGUAUGAAAAACUAGGGGGUAAAGUUUGGAAUAAACUAUAUGAACAGACUUUAGAAAGAGCAGCGGCCUCUCCUUUGAUGUAUGGUUUAUUUGCCUUAGAAACUCAAAAUGAAAGCCUUAUCGUUGGAGCAAAAGCUCAGUUGGGAGUUAUAUAAUUUAAAAAUAUGAUUGCUGAGAACUGCCUUGUUUUGAAACUUGGUUGGCUUUAAUUAGUUUUUAGUAUUCUUUAUAGAAAAUGCCUCGAUCAAGGGGCAUUUCUAACAAUCAUUUAACAUAAAAUUUCUUAUACGAAAUGCUUGAUAUUUCUCUUUAAAUAUCAUUAUAUUAACGUAAGCCGUUCUGGAGUAUAGGGCACCAGAACGGCUUUUUAUUGAUUAUUCAUGUUCCACGAUCACUAAUUGAGCGAUGUUCCACGGUUUUAUUCAGUUUUAAUAAACAUCAUCCGGUUUUUUGAGGAGUCAUUAUUUCAAGUGCUUGCACUGAAAUUGGCUCUUCAAAAAACUGGAGUCUUGGCUAACCAUAUGGAAGGAAAAAGCGGCUUAGGAAGCCUCUCUUCUUCUGUUCUGGUUCAACAUGCUCCGGGAUAGGAAUACGCUUAUUGUCUUGCUGAGGAGUAGUCAAUUCGUCAUAGUUCGUUGCUAGUUCCGACCGAGGAUCCGUUGCUAUAUCCUGUUUAAAGCUCUGAUCGGUAAAGGUAGUCAUAUUGGCUUUUGGUGCUUCUAGUAAGCGCUGCAUAGCUUCAAUCUGUUCUUGAUAAAACGAUUCACGUUCUAAAGAUUGAUUUUCUCUCUGUAUUGCCUGAUUUAAUUGUUUUUCCAGUAUGUCAACUUGACGUUUUAGUAAGUCAACUUCUGUCAAGUUUUGACUGUUAAUUGAUUGACUUUGAUUGACUGUAUCCUCUUUUUUUUGUGGUUCCCCAAAAACUCUUAGGGCCUCUGAAAAGUCAAUUAAUCCAUCAGAUCCUUUAGAUAAAUUUCCUUUGUUUAUAUGUGCAUAUAUGGCUUGUCUUGAAUAUCCAUAAAGCUUAGCUAACUCUGAAACUGACAGUUUUUUCAUUAUGUAAACCAGUUUUCAACUUGUGUUAAUACCUGACUGUUAACUUAACAAUUUCAAUUAACAAUGUCAUUGAAAUCCUAAUUUUCUGAGUAAAGGAAGUAAUUCCUUAAAUUUCUCUGCAUCUUGCAGCAUGGCAGCUAUACGUACAGCAAACUGCUGAUAGCUUUCUGUGCCUUGUGAAUAUUUACUCAUCUCAGGAAGCUCUGAGAGCUUGUUGGCGAAUAGAUGGCGUUGUUUAUCUGUUAUUUUUGAAAAGAGGUCUAAUGUAUUCGGAUCUCUUUUAGAUUCGACUGAAUGCGUGGCUGAUUUUUUCUGUUUAAAGCUAAAUGAAAAACCAGUAAUAGAUCUACCUGUUUUAUGCUGUUCAACUUUGACAAUAAUAUCGGUAUGUUCAUUUACUUGUUUUAAUGCAAUGUCUAAAACAUAUUUUUUAAAAUCAUACAUUCGUUUGUAUUCAGUCUCGAGUACACCUAUUUUUUGUCUAAAAUCAUACAUAGUUAUGAGAGGCGUUUUUCCAGUACUACGCCAUGCAAUCAAUAUUUCAUAUAAACGAACAGCAUAAGCACUUGUUAAAUUACUUAUUUGUUGUAUUUCAUACUUUGUAAAUUGUUCUUCUAACCUAGUAAUUAAAGGCACAAUAGCAGGGGCAAAAAUAAGUCUAACGACAGCUUCAUUAUCAAUAUAAGCCACCUCGCUCACCCAUCUUGAUUUGUGAUUAAUAGUGUUACCUUUUUCACUAAGACUCUGAUAACUGAAUUGUCUUGCAAACAAGUCAUCGCAAGCAUCUUUUAACGCCUGAUAAGCCGUAUUUCGAUGUACACGGCACUGUUGCAAAUAGUCGGUGGUGAUAAACUUAUCAUCCCCUUUUGCUGAUGGAGCUGCACAUGAACCCAUUCAAAGGCCGGCAUUUUCAGCGUGACAUCAUUCUGUGGGCCGUACGCUGGUACUGCAAAUACGGCAUCAGUUACCGUGAGCUGCAGGAGAUGCUGGCUGAACGCGGAGUGAAUGUCGAUCACUCCACGAUUUACCGCUGGGUUCAGCGUUAUGCGCCUGAAAUGGAAAAACGGCUGCGCUGGUACUGGCGUAACCCUUCCGAUCUUUGCCCGUGGCACAUGGAUGAAACCUACGUGAAGGUCAAUGGCCGCUGGGCGUAUCUGUACCGGGCCGUCGACAGCCGGGGCCGCACUGUCGAUUUUUAUCUCUCCUCCCGUCGUAACAGCAAAGCUGCAUACCGGUUUCUGGGUAAAAUCCUCAACAACGUGAAGAAGUGGCAGAUCCCGCGAUUCAUCAACACGGAUAAAGCGCCCGCCUAUGGUCGCGCGCUUGCUCUGCUCAAACGCGAAGGCCGGUGCCCGUCUGACGUUGAACACCGACAGAUUAAGUACCGGAACAACGUGAUUGAAUGCGAUCAUGGCAAACUGAAACGGAUAAUCAACGCCACGCUGGGAUUUAAAUCCAUGAAGACGGCUUACGCCACCAUCAAAGGUAUUGAGGUGAUGCGUGCACUACGCAAAGGCCAGGCCUCAGCAUUUUAUUAUGGUGAUCCCCUGGGCGAAAUGCGCCUGGUAAGCAGAGUUUUUGAAAUGUAAGGCCUUUGAAUAAGACAAAACGCUGCCUCAUCGCUAACUUUGCAACAGUGCCGAAAAAGAUGACAUUAUCAUGUGUACCAAAAUGGACCGGCUUGGCCGCAACACAGCGGAUAUGAUCCACAUUGUUGAUGCCUGCUAUAAAAAGGGAAUAGCCAUCCGGUUUCUGGAGAAUGGACUGAGUACUGAAGGCACGAUGGGUAAAAUGGUCAUUCAGAUCCUUGCUGCCGUUGCUGAAGCUGAGCGGGAGCGGAUCCUGGAGCGCACAAACGAAGGCCGGGUCAUCGCCAUGGCGGCAGGCGUCAGGUUUGGACGGAAACCUCAUCACAAAUCGGCCGCCGCACUGGAGCUUAUCCGGCACGAAACGCCCAUUAAACUGGUGAUGGAGAAAACCGGCAUAUCCAGGGCCACCUAUUUCAGGUUAAAAAAACUGGGCCCAGGCAGUUAACCCGACGCAGGCAGCGAUUUUUUCCUGUGCCGGAAAGGGUUUCGCGGUUGAUGCUGAUGAUCCCCUGCUUAAAAACAGAGUUAACAUUGCCCACAAUAUUGCUGGUUUUGAUGAGCCGUUAAAGGAGUUUUAUGAAUGGAUGGAUGUAUCUGGUGAUUGCCGGCAUAGCCGAAGUCUUUUAUGCCGCGUCAAUGCUCCGGACUGAGGGAUUUACCCGGAUCUACCCCAGUAUUUUUUGCCUGACAUUUAUCGGUGUGAGCAUGUACUUUUUGUCCCUGGCAACACGGACUAUUCCUGUAGGAACCGCUUAUGCGGUCUGGGUCGGGAUUGGUGCUUUAGGGACAGCAGCGUACGGAAUAAUUUACUUAAAUGAAGAUAAGGGCCUGUUACGCAUUGCCUGUUUCGGACUGAUUCUGGCGGGUAUCAUUGGCCUGAAAAUUCUGGCAGGACACAAGCAGCUGUAGGUUCUCAUCCAUAAACAGAACUCCGGGGGCAUUCUGAUUUUAGACAUCAGCAUGCCUCUCCCUUUCCCCUUUUUGAAAUGGGACAUUACCCGCUACAUUAAUAACAGGCGAGAGAACCGACAUAACCGGGGGCGGCCAGGAAAAGUUGCCAUGAUUGACAAAAAGACUGCUUUUUGUUUGUACCUGCAUGAUUAACGGUGCGAAUUUUUUCGGCAAACUAUAAAUGCGGGCACCAGUGUGAUGAUAAGCACCUGAAUAAAUGCCGACGGUAAUGAAGGUGGCCCUGUUGAUUAAUAAGUUUGCAGGGAAAUAAAAAUCCCCGUCAUCACGGGGAUUUUCCGGACCCGAAUGCGUUACCGGGAAGGAUGCGAAGGAGAAAAGCGCAGUAUCAGCAUACCCGCCAGUGCUGCCAGUACAGAGCCGGCAAGUACCCCCACCUUGACCUCGUCCACCAACAGGGGGCUUUCUGCAAACGCCAGGUUGCCGAUAAACAGGCUCAUGGUAAACCCUAUUCCGCACAGGACCGAUACGCCGUAAACCUGCAGCCAGGUACUUUUUUCAGGCCGUUUUGCCAGGCCCAGGCUGACGGCCAGCAGCGACAGGCCGAAAAUGCCCGCCUGCUUGCCAACAAACAGGCCCAGCGCAACGCCGACCGGUACCGGCGACAUCAGGUCAUCAGCCGUCAUACCGGAGAGCGCGACCCCCGCAUUUGCGAAGCCAAACAGCGGCAGUAUCAGAAACGUCACCCACGGAUUGAUGCCGUGCUCCAGCCGGGCAAGAGGGGAUUGUUUAUCCGGAUCGGUUACCCGCAGCGGGAUAAAGAGCGCCAGCAGGAUACCCGCGAUGGUGGCGUGCACCCCGGACUGAAGCAUGAAAAACCACAGCACGCCCCCCGCCAGCAGAUAGGGAAACAGCCGGGUAAUCCCGGCACGGUUCAUGAUAAACAGCAGAGCAACCGUGACCGCCGCACCGGCCAGCAUCAGAAACGAAAUAUUACUGGUAUAGAAGAGCGCAAUAAUAGCCACUGCGCCCAUGUCGUCCAGAAUAGCCAGCGCCGACAGGAAAAUUUUCAGCGAGGCAGGUACGCGACUGCCCAGCAGUGCCAGUACCCCGAGCGCAAAGGCAAUGUCCGUGGCGGCAGGAAUUGCCCAGCCAGCGAGGGUUUCAUCGCUGCCCGCAUUAAACCAUACGUAAAUGGCCGCAGGCACGGCCAUCCCGCCCAGCGCGGCAAAUCCCGGCAGCGCGCGCUGGCCCCAGGUGGCAAGCUGACCGGUGAGAAGCUCGCGCUUGAUUUCCAGGCCGACCAUCAUGAAGAACACGGCCAUCAGGGCGUCGUUUAUCCAGUGCUCAACGGAGAGGCCGGCGGCGUUGUAUUUCAGGAAUACCUCAUAUCCCUCCCUGAGCGGAGAGUUAGCCACGAUGAUAGCGGCUGCUGAGGCGAUGAUGAGCACGAUGCCGCCGGCUGCGGGCGAGCUGAAAAAUGCAGAUGGCACUUCUGACAUCCUCUUUUUAUUUCUGUCUGGGAUUUCUGACACACUCCCUCCCUUUAUUCAAAAAAAACAGGCCUUCCCCUGAUAUACAACCGCUGGUUAUCAGAGGAUAAGCCGGCUGAGCUACGCUGAAGAUAUAAAAAAUACGAUAAUUAAUUGCUGAUAAAUUAACGAAUUAGCGUGACGUUAAUUUUAUCAUAACGUCCGGCCCGCUUCAGGCGGAAGAGGUAAAGCCCUGUAAAGCUGCCGCAGGCAGGGGCAUUUUUAUCCGUCAUCAGCCACACGCUCACAGCAGCCAUGUGACGACAAAAAAACCCAGGGCAGUCAUCAGAAUGGAGCCGGUUACGUGUACCAGCAGUGAAGUAAACGCCCAGAAAUAAUUACCGGACUGCAGCUGUGAGAAUAUUUCCAGGGAAAACGUGGAAAACGUGGUCAGCCCACCGCACAGCCCGGUGAUAACAAGUAAUCGCCAGGCCGGAUCCAGGUCAGGAUGGCGCAUGAACCAGGCCAGCGACGCACCAAUGAUAAAUCCGCCCGCAAGGUUCACUACCAGCGUGCCCGGUGGCAGGUCAGGAAACAGGCUGUUCAGGCGUGCGCCAAGCAGCCAGCGGAUCAGGCAGCCAGCGGAUCCACCAAUGAUAAUGGCCAGAUAAGAUUUCACGGGGUUUACCUCUGUGUCAGAGGGAGUAUGCAGGCUGAUGAUACGGGGCGGCCUGACAUACUCCCGGUUAAAGGGGAGUAAUAUCAGGCGUCAUCAGCUUCUCAGGGGAAGCGGUUGGGUAAGGUGGAACGCCAUCACCUCGCCGCAAUUCUGGCCCGGUCACGGGCGUUAAUCAAGCGGCUAUCCACUGUUUUUGUGCGACUCCCCCUGCGGCGGGCAUGAGGAGCCCGUUUUCAGGCUUGACCUGAAGAGCAUUAAAAAUUAUCGUUUCGGCAGCAUUUUAUAUCUGACUGUGAGUCAUGCACAUUACGCCACCCUGAGUUUCUCUUCGCCCGUCCUUUAUCAGAGAGCCUGCCGCGACAGCCAGUCCGCGCCGGGUACCGUUCUCUCAUAUCCGUUACGGGACUGCCACCUUUCACGGUGAACCCGCGUGUACCUGCUUCAGGGACGCAGGCGCCGUGUCCGCAGCAGCCGGUACGGACACGUCGUGAUUAAUCGGCGGGCUGCAGCCCGCCUUCAGGGAUAUUCAUGCGUCAGCUUUUUCGGUUUAUGUUUCAUCACGCCUCUCACCUUACGUUCGGUGCGAUGCUGAUGGCCAUGUCCAGCUUUGGACAGACCUAUUUUGUCUCACUUUACGGGCAGGAUUUUCGUGAGGCCUUUGGGCUCACCGACGGCGGACUGGGCGGCCUGUACGCAAUCGGAACGGUGAUGAGCGCCAUCACGCUGACCUGGGCCGGACGGCUGAUUGACUACACCACGACCCGCCGCUUCACGCUGGCGGUCACCCUUUUGCUGCUCACGGCCUGCCUGCUGGUUUCCGGCGCACAGGCGGCGUGGAUGCUGUGCAUCGGGUUUUACUUUCUGCGCCUCGGCGGCCAGGGACUGAUGGUGCAUACUGCGCUGACCGCAACGGCGCGCCAGUUCCCCCUUGAUGCAGGCAAGGCGCUCGGCGCCAUCGCGCUGGGGCUCUCGCUGGCGCAGGCCGUUUUUCCUGUGAUUGCGGUGCAGAUAAGCGCGCUGACGGGAUGGCGCGCUGCCUGGGGCAUCAAUGCCGGAAUGCUUGUUGCCGGCGUGGGGGUCGCGCUGAUGUUUUUGCCCCGCGGGAAAGAGAAGCCGCUGCGUACGUUCAGAAAGCGGGGUGAGGAGAAAGAAAAAGAGGCGCCGGUAUGGCGAAACCGCAACCUGCUGCUGGCGCUGCCUGUCGUGCUGGCCUCCCCCUUUAUCACCACCGGCUUCUUCUUCCACCAGGCGAGGCUGGCACAGGAGAAAGGCUGGGAGCUGUCGUGGGUGGCGGUAUGGUUUAUUGCCUAUGCCAUUACCCAGGCGGUAUCGCUGCUGUCGUUUGGCCCGCUGAUUGACCGGCUCUCACCACGCAGGCUGCUGCCGUGGUUUCUGAUGCCACAGGCCCUGGCCAUGCUGGCGCUAUGGCUCAGCAACGGUCAGUGGGUGACGCCUUUUUACCUGAUUAUGACCGGCGUAUCGUCGGCCAUUGCCUCAACGCUUGCCACCGCGCUCUGGGUACAGCUGUUUGGUCCGGCGCAGCUGGCCAGGGUGCGCUCGGCGGUUGAGGCAGGGACGGUGAUUGCCAGCGGGGCAUCCCCGGUAAUCAUGGGCGUGCUGAUAGAUAACCAUGUCACCCUGCAUCUUCAGGCCCUGUUCUGCCUGGUCUACAUUCUUGGCGCCAGCCUGCUGGCCACCGGUAUCAGGACGGAUGCGCCGCAAUAACGCGCCUUUACCUUCAUACCCGUCAUCCUCUUUCCCCUGUGAAGGCGGGCCUGAUAUCAGGCCCGCCUGUUUCAUCGCAGCAUCAGCAGGGGCUGACGGCUUUCAGACAGCAUUUCCGUGGUGUGGCUGCCAAUAAAGAAUCGCCGUAACCGGGAGUGCCCGCAGGCCCCCAUUACCGUGAGGUCGAUAUCAUGGGCGUCCGCGUAGCGGCACAGCGCCCCGGUUACGGACUCGUCUUCCAGCAGGCGUGUCUCGGUCGUGAUACCGGCUUCCUGAAGAACAGCCUGCGCAUCCUGCAGGGCUGACAUGUCACCGUUGACCAUCACGAUAUGACAGCUCAGGCCGUGCAGCAGCGGGCUGACCGUCAGGCGCGUCAGGUUUUUACGGCUCUCACUGCUGCCGUCGUACGCAAACAUCACCCGCGCCGGCGGCGUAAACGUCUCCGGCACAAUCAGCACCGGGUUUUUCUGCAGGCGAAUGACGCUUUCCAGAUGGCUGCCUACCUGAUUCUGCGUCCCGCGGCGCCCCAGCACCAUCAGCCGGACUUCGCCCAGCUCCGCCAGGAUUUCGUCCAGUGCGCCGUGCUUUUGCAGCAGCUGUGCGUCCGGCUGUCCGGUCUGCUUCAGGAGCUCCGCACAGCCGGCCAGCACGGCCUUGCCCUGCGCCAUCAGCAGCCGGCUGCGCUCACCCUCGACGCGGACCAGCGCUUCGGUCAGCUGCUCCCGGCUGUCAAUACCAAUGCUCCCGGUCAGGUCAGACACGGCGGGAGUCUCACUCUUUUCGAGCACGUGCAGCAGCGCCAGCGGCGCGCCAAGUUUACCGGCUGCCCAGGCAGCAUACUCACAGACCGGCCGGGUUGACGGCGAGCCGUCAACGCAGGCAAUAACGGUGUUAUUCAUGAUGCUUUCUCCAGUAAAUUAAUGGCCACCCAUCAGCUUUUCCACUUCUUCAGGCUUGUCAUGCACUCCGAAGCGGUCAACGAGGGUGCGGGUCGCGUCAUUCAUACCCUUGAUCUCCACUUCCGUGCCUUCGCGACGGAACUUGAUAACCACCCGGUCCAGCGCGCUCACGGAGGUGAUAUCCCAGAAGUGGGCGUGCGUUACGUCAAUCACCACGCGCUCCACCGCUUCACGGAAGUCGAAGUGGCUCAUAAAGCGAUCGGAUGAGGCAAAGAAUACCUGGCCGGCUACGGUAUAGGUGCGGGUGUCGUCCUUCAGCUCAGAGGAGACCGCCAUAAAGCGGGCGACCUUGGUGGCGAAGUUCAGCGAGGCAAUCAGCACGCCGGUGAGCACGCCAAACGCCAGGUUAUCGGUCGCCACCACCACCACCACGGUGGCCAGCAUCACCACGCUGGUUGACAGCGGAUGGCUGCGCAGGUUGCUGAUGGAGCGCCAGGAGAAGGUGCCGAUGGAGACCAUGAUCAUCACCGCCACCAGAGCCGCCAUGGGUAUCCGGGACACCCAGUCGCGCAGGAACACCACCAUCAGCAGCAGCACCACGCCGGCGGUGAGCGUGGAAAGCCGCCCGCGCCCGCCCGAUUUGACGUUGAUCACCGACUGGCCAAUCAUCGCGCAGCCCGCCAUGCCGCCGAUAAAGGAGGUGCAGAUGUUGGCCACGCCCUGCGCCUUGCACUCGCGGUUUUUAUCGCUCGGCGUGUCGGUCAUGUCGUCCACGAUGGUGGCGGUCAUCAUCGACUCCAGCAGCCCCACCACGGCAAGUCCUGCCGAGUACGGCAGAAUAAUCAUCAGCGUGUCGAGGUUAAGCGGGAUAUCCGGGAUCAGAAACACCGGCAGGCUGUCCGGCAGUUUGCCCAUGUCACCCACGGUGCGCACGUCCAGGUGCAGCCACAUGGAAAUGGCGGUCAGCACGAUGAUGCAGACCAGCGGCGAGGGAAUGGUUUUGUUCAGAUACGGGAAGAGAUAAAUGAUGCCCAGGCCCGCAGCGGUCAGGGCAUAAACGUGCCAGGUGACGUUGGUCAGCUCCGGCAGCUGCGCCAUAAAUAUCAGGAUGGCCAGCGCGUUCACGAAACCGGUGACCACCGAGCGGGAGACGUAGCGCAUCAGGCUGCCCAGCUUCAGGUAGCCGGCCGCCAGCUGCAGUACGCCGGUCAGCGCCGAGGCCGCCAGCAGAUACUGCAGGCCGUGGUCUUUUACAAGCGUGAUCAGCAGCAGCGCCAUCGCACCGGUGGCGGACGAUAUCAUUGCCGGACGGCCGCCGAGGAAGGCCAUAACCAGGGGAAUACAGAACGCAGAGUAGAGCCCGACCUGCGGGUCGACUCCGGCGAUGAUGGAAAAGGCGAUCGCUUCGGGAAUAAGCGCGAGCGCGACCACAAUACCGGCAAGGACGUCACCACGGACGUUACCCAGCCAGUCCUUACGCGUCGAGGACAGCAGCAUAGUCAUUUCUCAGUUUUUGAUUACGGUCAGCCCGUGAGGGCAAAAAUUUUACGUACGAAAAAGCACAUCCGCAGACGGGAUGUUUUUGAGUGCGCGCCGAAGUUUAUUCAGUGCGACAGAGGAGGGGUACGACUCAGGGUGGCGUAAGACGCAUGGUGGUGUUUAUCACUCCUUCACGGCUGACAGAGCAGCGCGGGUAAUCAGAAAGACCGGAUGAACAGACGUUCAGUACCGGCCACAAAUGCCCGCCGGGCAGAUGAACCACGGCAAAAAGCGCUUUUUACUCUACACGAAUUGUUAACGGGGUCAACGCGCAGGGCAAAAACGCUGUUCAUGGAAUGCCGGUCAGGCGCAUCCGGACGGAAAGUCCUUCUGCAUGCUCAGGCUCGUCCGGCGUUCGCACAUACAUAUGAUUAAGUGAAUAUAAAUUUGACGGAGAAAGUUUCACAGGUACACUCAGGUCAGUCACAAUAAGGAGUCACCAUGCCACCCGUGUCCCCCCUGCAGCUUUUUAAAAGCCUUUCCGACGAAACCCGACUCAGCCUCGUGCUGCUGCUACGCGAAAAAGGGGAGCUCUGCGUCUGUGAACUUACGUCCGUGCUGAAAGAAACUCAGCCCAAAAUCUCACGGCAUCUGGCUCUGCUGAGAGAAAACGGGCUGCUUACCGACCGGCGGGACGGAAAAUGGAUCCACUAUCGUCUGUCGCCUCAUAUGCCGGCGUGGGCAGCGGCGGUUAUCGAACAGGCUUAUCUCUGCCAGCGGGAUGAUAUCCGCCAGCUCAGCCGGCAGGCUGAACGCGAUAACGCCACCACCAACGGCAAGCCUGUCUGCAUUUAAAAAUUUACCGGUAUAUAUCUGGAUUAUCGAAUAUAUUACGCAUCGAAAAUUUAUCAGUCCGGUUUAACAGGCAUUUGUAUUCAAUAGGAGCGGGUAUGUUUCUGGCAGGUGCGAUUUUCAUCCUGACGCUGGUACUGGUCAUCUGGCAGCCGAAGGGGCUGAGCAUUGGCUGGAGUGCCGUCAUCGGUGCGGCGCUGGCGCUGCUGACCGGCGUGGUGCACAUCGGUGAUAUUCCGGUGGUCUGGCAGAUUGUCUGGAACGCCACGGGCACGUUCAUUGCGGUCAUCAUUAUCAGCCUGCUGCUCGAUGAGUCCGGCUUUUUUGAGUGGGCCGCGCUGCACGUUUCCCGCUGGGGAGGCGGCAGGGGCCGGCUGCUGUUCACGUAUAUCGUUCUGCUGGGUGCCGCAGUGGCGGCGCUGUUUGCCAAUGACGGAGCCGCGCUAAUUCUGACGCCGAUCGUUAUUGCCAUGCUGCUGGCGCUGGGAUUCACUCCCGGCUCCACGCUGGCGUUUGUGAUGGCAGCGGGCUUUAUCGCUGACACCUCCAGCCUGCCGCUCAUCGUAUCGAACCUGGUGAACAUCGUAACGGCUGACUUCUUUACGCUGGGCUUCAGCGAGUACGCAUCCGUCAUGGUGCCGGUGAACAUUGCCUCCAUUGCGGCCACGCUGGUGAUGCUUCAUCUCUUUUUCCGCAGGGACAUCCCGGUCACCUAUGACCUGGCGAAGCUGAAGGCACCGCGGGAAGCCAUCCGGGAUGCACGAACCUUUAAGGCUGGCUGGGUGGUUUUGGUUCUUCUGCUGGUUGGCUUUUUUGCUCUGGAGCCGCUCGGCGUGCCGGUCAGCCUGGUGGCGGCGGUGGCGGCGUUUAUUCUCUGGCUGGUUGCCCGCAAAGGACACGUGAUUGACGCCGGCAGGGUGCUGAAAGGCGCGCCCUGGCAGAUCGUUAUCUUUUCGCUGGGCAUGUAUCUGGUGGUAUACGGACUGCGUAACGCCGGACUGACUGAUUACCUUUCCGCCGCCCUGAACCGGUUUGCAGAGCACGGCGUAUGGGGCGCAACGCUCGGCACCGGCUUCCUGACGGCGGCACUCUCGUCCGUCAUGAACAACAUGCCCACCGUGCUGGUUGGCGCGUUGUCGAUUGACGGUAGUAGCGCACAGGGCGUGGUGAAGCAGGCGAUGAUUUACGCCAACGUCAUCGGCUGUGACCUCGGCCCGAAAAUAACCCCUAUCGGCAGCCUCGCAACCCUGCUGUGGCUGCACGUGCUGGCACAGAAAAACAUCACCAUCAGCUGGGGCUAUUACUUCCGCGUGGGCAUCGUGAUGACCCUGCCGGUGCUUUUUGUCACGCUGGCCGCGCUGGCCCUGCGCCUGUCUGUUUAACUUUAACCCCGGGGCUGCGCCCGUGCAGCCCCUUUACGGAGUACCGCUUAUGACUGACAUUACCAUUUACCACAACCCGGCCUGCGGGACAUCCCGCAAUACCCUGGCGCUUAUCCGUAACAGCGGCGCCGAACCCACGGUUAUUCUGUAUCUGGAAACGCCGCCGUCACGCGAUGAGCUGAAGAAGCUGAUUGCGGAUAUGGGCAUCGGCGUGCGCGACCUGCUGCGCAAAAAUACCGAACCGUACGAACAGCUCGGCCUGGCAGAAGACCGCUUCAGCAAUGACGAACUGCUCGAUGCCAUGCUGGCUCAUCCGAUCCUCAUUAAUCGCCCGGUGGUAGUGACACCGCUCGGCACGAAGCUGUGCCGUCCCUCCGAAGUGGUUCUGGACAUACUGCCGGACCCGCAGCAGGGCGCGUUUACCAAAGAGGACGGCGAAGCCGUCAUUGAUGAGCACGGGAACCGCGUCAGCCACUGAUUUUUUACCAGGCUGCGGGCAUAACAGUGUGGAAAAAGCCGGCAUCUGCCGGCUUUUUUAUAUGCUGCGCUGGUUGACCCGCUCAGAAAGCUGCGCGGCACUCUCUUUCCUUUCGCUGUAGCGGUCGGUGAGAUAAUCACUGCGACCGCGCGUCAGCAGGGUGAACUUCAUCAGUUCCUCCAUGACGUCCACUAUGCGGUCAUAAUACGAAGAAGGCUUCAUGCGGCCAUCCUCAUCAAACUCGGCCCAGGCUUUUGCCACGGAUGACUGAUUCGGGAUGGUGAUCAUCCGCAUCCAGCGUCCAAGAAUACGCAUCUGAUUUACAGCGUUGAACGACUGUGAGCCGCCGCUGACCUGCAUGACGGCCAGGGUUUUUCCCUGUGACGGGCGGACCGCGCCUGACGUCAGCGGUAUCCAGUCAAUCUGGGCCUUCAUGAUGCCGGUCAUGGCCCCGUGACGCUCCGGAGAGCACCAGACCAUGCCUUCCGACCAGAGAACCAGCUCCCGCAGCUCAGCCACUUUCGGGUGCGUCUCCGGCGCAUCAUCGGGCAGUGGCAGGCCGGACGGGUUGAAAAUUUUCACCUCCGCGCCCAUGGCCGUCAGCAGCCGGGCACCUUCUUCCGUUGUCAGCCGGCUGUAAGAGCGCGCCCGCAGCGAGCCGUAGAGCAUCAGGAUGCGGGGCGGAUGCGUUAUCUCUCUGGCCUUCAGCUUAUCUUCCGUCAGCGGCGCGUCCAGGAGGGCCGGAUCGAUAUUUUUCAGGGCAUCAGUCAGGUUGUUCACAAUGGGGUCUCUUCGGGAGUCUUUGCGGGUGACAGACUGCAGCUGCCGCCUGCGCAGCAUUCUUCUGUCAGAAAGGCCAUCAAUUGCUCAAGCUGCGCAUAGCAGGGCCUGCAGAACAGGGUACGACUCUGCCGUUCCUGGCUUAUGAGUCCAGCGGGCACUGUUGCAAAGUUAGCGAUGAGGCAGCCUUUUGUCUUAUUCAAAGGCCUUACAUUUCAAAAACUCUGCUUACCAGGCGCAUUUCGCCCAGGGGAUCACCAUAAUAAAAUGCUGAGGCCUGGCCUUUGCGUAGUGCACGCAUCACCUCAAUACCUUUGAUGGUGGCGUAAGCCGUCUUCAUGGAUUUAAAUCCCAGCGUGGCGCCGAUUAUCCGUUUCAGUUUGCCAUGAUCGCAUUCAAUCACGUUGUUCCGGUACUUAAUCUGUCGGUGUUCAACGUCAGACGGGCACCGGCCUUCGCGUUUGAGCAGAGCAAGCGCGCGACCAUAGGCGGGCGCUUUAUCCGUGUUGAUGAAUCGCGGGAUCUGCCACUUCUUCACGUUGUUGAGGAUUUUACCCAGAAACCGGUAUGCAGCUUUGCUGUUACGACGGGAGGAGAGAUAAAAAUCGACAGUGCGGCCCCGGCUGUCGACGGCCCGGUACAGAUACGCCCAGCGGCCAUUGACCUUCACGUAGGUUUCAUCCAUGUGCCACGGGCAAAGAUCGGAAGGGUUACGCCAGUACCAGCGCAGCCGUUUUUCCAUUUCAGGCGCAUAACGCUGAACCCAGCGGUAAAUCGUGGAGUGAUCGACAUUCACUCCGCGUUCAGCCAGCAUCUCCUGCAGCUCACGGUAACUGAUGCCGUAUUUGCAGUACCAGCGUACGGCCCACAGAAUGAUGUCACGCUGAAAAUGCCGGCCUUUGAAUGGGUUCAUGUGCAGCUCCAUCAGCAAAAGGGGAUGAUAAGUUUAUCACCACCGACUAUUUGCAACAGUGCCCUGUUUAGAGUACUAUAUGCGCCUGCAACAGUGGGCCACCGAAAAUAUUAAAAAACUGCUUUAUCUCGCGGGGGAUGACGCGGUGAUUAAUUACGGGAAAAUGCGGCUGGAAUUUUUGCAGAAAGCACUGGCGCAGGAUACCUCCGGUGACUUCUGCUUUCGUGUGCUGCAUCCGGAAGUGUCUGGCCCGCCGGAUAUGAAAAAGGCUUCCGCCGGGUACCGUGACUUUAUUAUCGGUAACAGAGCGUUGCUGGAUCUGGUGAAUUCAGCCGGUGAAGGGGCUCCGGUUGCGCAUUAUUCCGCUGAUGAAAUUCAGUCAUUAUUUUCGGCACAAAUACAGGGGUCGGUGGAUAAAUACGGCGAUAGUUUCCUGACGGAUGAUCCGUAUGUGCUGGCGGAAGACAAGCUGCAAACCUGUCAGAUGGAAAUUGAUUUAAUGGCGGAUGUGCUGAGAGCACCGCCCCGUGAAUCCGCAGAACUGAUCCGCUAUGUAUUUGCGGAUGAGUGGCCGGAAUAAAUAAAACCGGGCUUAAUACAGAUUAAGCCCGUAUCGGGUAUUAUUACUGAAUACCAGACAGCUUACGGAGGACGGAAUGUUACCCAUUGAGACAACCAGACUGCCUUCUGAUUAUUAAUAUUUUUCACUAUUAAUCAGAAGGAAUAACCAUGAAUUUUACCCGGAUUGACCUGAAUACCUGGAAUCGCAGGGAACAUUUUGCCCUUUAUCGUCAGCAGAUUAAAUGCGGAUUCAGCCUGACCACCAAACUCGAUAUUACCGCUUUGCGUACUGCACUGGCGAAAACCGGUUAUAAGUUUUAUCCGCUGAUGAUUUACCUGAUCUCCCGGGCUGUUAAUCAGUUUCCGGAGUUCCGGAUGGCAAUGAAAGAUAAUGAACUGAUUUACUGGGAACAGUCAGACCCGGUCUUUACUGUCUUUCAUAAAGAAACCGAAACAUUCUCCGCACUGUCCUGCCGUUAUUUUCCGGAUCUCAGUGAGUUUAUGGCGGGUUAUAACGCGGUAACAGCAGAAUAUCAGCAUGAUACCAGGUUGUUUCCGCAGGGAAAUUUACCGGAGAAUCACCUGAAUAUAUCAUCGUUACCCUGGGUGAGUUUUGACGGAUUUAAUCUGAAUAUCACCGGAAAUGAUGAUUAUUUUUCCCCGGUUUUUACAAUGGCAAAGUUUCAGCAGGAAGGUGACCGCGUACUAUUACCUGUUUCUGUACAGGUUCAUCAUGCAGUCUGUGAUGGUUUUCAUGCAGCAAGGUUUAUCAAUACACUUCAGCUGAUGUGUGAUAACAUACUGAAAUAAAUUAAUUAAUUCUGUAUUUAAGCCACCGUAUCCGGCAGGAUUGGUGGCUUUUUUUUAUAUUUUAACCGUAAUCUGUAAUGGCACUGUUGCAAAGUUAGCGAUGAGGCAGCCUUUUGUCUUAUUCAAAGGCCUUACAUUUCAAAAACUCUGCUUACCAGGCGCAUUUCGCCCAGGGGAUCACCAUAAUAAAAUGCUGAGGCCUGGCCUUUGCGUAGUGCACGCAUCACCUCAAUACCUUUGAUGGUGGCGUAAGCCGUCUUCAUGGAUUUAAAUCCCAGCGUGGCGCCGAUUAUCCGUUUCAGUUUGCCAUGAUCGCAUUCAAUCACGUUGUUCCGGUACUUAAUCUGUCGGUGUUCAACGUCAGACGGGCACCGGCCUUCGCGUUUGAGCAGAGCAAGCGCGCGACCAUAGGCGGGCGCUUUAUCCGUGUUGAUGAAUCGCGGGAUCUGCCACUUCUUCACGUUGUUGAGGAUUUUACCCAGAAACCGGUAUGCAGCUUUGCUGUUACGACGGGAGGAGAGAUAAAAAUCGACAGUGCGGCCCCGGCUGUCGACGGCCCGGUACAGAUACGCCCAGCGGCCAUUGACCUUCACGUAGGUUUCAUCCAUGUGCCACGGGCAAAGAUCGGAAGGGUUACGCCAGUACCAGCGCAGCCGUUUUUCCAUUUCGGGGUUCUAGGGAUUUUCCCCUCUAAAGUAACAUAAAUCGCCAUACUCACCAUAUUUAAAGGCAUACAAAGGUGGGUUACUUCUCCAAAGUAUGGCAAAUUAUGAGGUUAACAACCCCUUAAACUUAAUUUAAUUCCUAUGGCUAUAAAAAACGAACUAUCAAUUCUUACCAAAGCUGAGCAGCUUGAUCUAUAUUCUCCGCCGCUAUUAUCACUUGAACAACAACGAUUGUAUUUUACGCCAAACGAGAUCGAGUUAACAGAGUUGAAAAGUAUUCGCCUAAGGAACCACCGAUGCUAUUUCAUUGCGUUAUUAGGGUAUUUUAAGUCUAAGCCUGUGAUUCUUUCACCUAGCUUUAACCUCAUCUUUGACGAUAUGCAGUUUAUUUCAACGCAAGUUCAAGGAGGCAAAGGGAUCAGGCCUUUCAGCAUUAAUAAGAUGCAGCGUGACCGUAUAUAUCAAAGAAUACUGAGGUUAUUAAACUAUCAGAAAUGGGACGAAAGUCUGCACUUUGCGCCGCUGUACGAACAUCUUGUUAUGGUCGGCAAAGCUUGGCUUGAGCCUCGUUAUCUAUUCGAUGCAGCCGCUGAAUAUCUAGCAACGCAUAGAAUUGCCAUCCCUAAAUAUACUGUCUUACAAAAGCUUAUCAGUCGUGUUAUCCAACAGGUCAAGAAGGCGUUAAAUAAUAAGCUUCGUAUUCAUGUUUCAUCUGAACUACACGGAUUUCUAAAUACUAUUAUCGAUGACAAAGAUGGGCUCUCCUUAAGCCAGCUUCGAGCCGGUGCAAAAAGCGUUAUGGUGACAGAGCUAAAAAAGAACUGACGGUGUAUCAUCAGUUACAGCCUUAUACAAGACAGAUUGAUAAUGCUGUUAAGGGCUUAGCCUUAUCGUCUAAAAACCAACAACACUUCGGUGAAAUGGUGGAUUAUUAUGGCAGUAAACUAAAACGCUUUAAGCGUCCACAGCAACACCUAUGGUUGCUGUGUUUUCUGACUCAACGCAUACGGCAAAGCCUAGAGCGAUUGGCUGAUGGGUUUAUUCAUCAUAUCCGUAAACAACAAGAAGCUGCGCAUGCGUUUGCCCAACAGGCAGUGUUUGACUCAUGGAGGUCAGCUGCAGACAAUGUCACCAAAGCCGCAGAAUUACUGCAUCUGUUUGUUGAUGACAGUAUCGACGAUAAUCAACCAUUUGCAACGGUUAGGCAACAAGCAUUAAGUGUAAUGAAUAACCAAGAUAUAGAAACGCUAUGCCUGUACUUAAAAAAGCAAAAACGCACGGUAGAAGAAUAUCAAUGGCAAUAUUAUGAUGAUCAAAACGGGUUAAUUGAGCAGUUAUUAAGGCCCGUGUUUCUAUGUCUUGAAUGCCAAGCAGGUAAAGGCUCAGAAGCAUUAGUGACCCAGCUCAAAACCACAAAAACAGAACUAUUAGCAGGUAAUACAUUGCAAACAAUGGAUAGUACACUUAUCCAACAAAAACAUCGUCCAUGGUUAAUUAACAAGGAUGUUGUUCAUCCACAGCGAUACGAAUGGUUGCUUUACCGUCAACUGGCUUCUCGGCUUAAUGGUCGAAUUUACUUAUCAAACGUCACUAAAUAUCGUGCGCUAGAAGACGACUUAAUUGCAUCGUCAAUACAGCCUGAUCUAUUGGCAUCAUCAACAUUGGAAAAGCUAAAGCAGCCGAUUCAGAAGCUACUGCAAGUAAAACAAAUACGCUUAACAACAUCCCUAGAAGAUGUUGCUCGUCACAUUGAUAAUGGUGAUAACCGCAAUGUGAUCAUGAAGAGCCGAAGUGGCACACGAUGGCGACUGCCAGUUAAAGGCUCCCAAUCACUUGUCAACAACCCUUUCUUUAAACAAAUGAUCCCCGUCAGUAUUGCUGAUGUGUUGCGUUAUGUUGAACAAGAAACCAACUUUAUGCAAUGCUUCGCACACGUGCUGCCAAUACAAAAACAAGUAGGCGCCAAUCAGGAUGAUUUAUUGGCUAUUCUAAUUGCGAAUGCGACACAUCGCGGCGUAUAUGGGAUGGCACAAAUAUCUGAUCGCAGUUAUGAGCAUCUAAGCACUAUACAAGCUAAUUAUAUUAGGCCUGAAACCUUGCAAGAGGCUAGUGAUAUCAUCAAUAACGCAGUAGCGGCACUCCCUAUUUUCCGCCACUAUCACAUCCAAGAAGACGUCCUGCACGCCAGUACCGAUGGGCAAAAAUUUGAAACUCACCUUGAGACUUUUAAAACUCGCUACUCCUCGAAAUACUUCGGCACCAACAAAGGUAUUACGGCCAUGACGUUAGUUGCCAAUCAUAGUGCGUUAAAUGCCCGUAUCAUAGGAUCUAAUGAGCAUGAGUCCCAUUAUAUUUACGACUUACUACAAUCUAAUACUAGUGAUCUUAAGCCAGAUGUCCUCUCAACCGACACCCAUGGUGUUAAUCAUGUUAAUUAUGCCUUAUUGGAUUUAUGCGGUUAUAGUUUUGCGCCUAGGUAUGCUCAGUUCACCAGUGUGAUCAAUGACCUAUUUAACGUAACUGAAAGCGACGACGGAAACACGCAUCUGGCGCUGAAAAAGCCGAUAAAAAUGAAUGUGAUUGAAGAAGGCUGGCAGGAUAUUCAGCGUAUUGUGUUAUCCCUUCAAGAAAAACGCACAACACAGGCAUUGCUAGUACGCAAAUUAUCUGGUUAUCCAUCUAGACACCCUAUAUUACAAGCAUUAACGGAAUAUAAUAGGCUCAUCAAAGCCCAAUAUUUACUUGAUUAUAUUGAUGAUGCAAGUCUGCGCCAAUAUGUUCAACGAGCACUGAACCGAGGCGAAGCCUGGCAUUUCCUCAGGCGAGCUAUUGCAUCGGUCAAUCGUGACCAGUUCCGUGGAAAAAACGAAUCAGAAAUAGUCGUCUGGAACGAGUGUGCCCGUUUGACGGCAAAUGCUAUUAUCUACUUUAACUCGAUGAUCCUAAGUCAUCUAUUACUGCACUUUGAAGAAGUUGGUGACGAGGAAAAAGCAGCAAUAACUCGACAAGUAUCACCCGUUGCAUGGCAGAACAUUAAUCUGAGCGGCACUUAUCAGUUCGCUAGUAACCGCAAACUACCUGAUUUACAGGAAAUAACUAGGCCUAUUGUUGAAAAUGAAGUCUAAAAUGAAAGGUAACCCAGCUCCACAAGCCAUUAACUGCGAGGGUUGUGGCGAUUUAUGUUACUUUAGAGGGGAAAAUCCCUAGAACCCCAAAGCCGCUCGGUAGGUUUUGUCACCCGGAAGUUUUACCUCCUCCAGGGCAUCGACAAGAGCGCCGACCGUCUGCUGAUGUUCCAGAACGUAGGCGUGUACGGAUUUACGCAGCAGCAGUUGGCUGUUGCCGCGUGGCUUGUAGCCGUUGAUAUAGGGCAGGCCCAGGGCAUCGAGUACGGCGCUAAUGUUCUGGUGCUUGAGCUCGACUGAAGACUUGCUGCGACCGUUCAGCAGUUGGCGCAGUGCCUGGUUGUGCUCGGACUUGUUGUACGGCUCCCCAGCCGCCUCGGCACGCAGCAUGUCGAAAUAGUCUUCGACCGUGGCCAGGACCUCUUCUUCGGACCAGUCUUCGCCGAUGCGAAUGAUGCGAAACCCGAGCCGCGUCAGCGCCGGAACGACGGUCGCCUCGCCACCGGAGAAGCUGUCAGCAGUGAGCGGGCCCUGCUCGGGAAAUUGCUUGCCGAAGGCCACACCGGCGAUGGCCUUGGAAUCGCAAUCGGUGCCGGUCUUCGGAUCACGUACCAGGAAGUCGCGGGACUUGCCGUAGCCGUGGCGCGCCAGGAAUUUCGUGCGGCCCAGUUGCACGAACUCAUCGAUGGCAGCCUGCACGGCGGCGGGGCUUCGAAGCUGGGAGAGUUGAGACACAGGGUCCUUCCUUACUGUCAUGGUGUGCCGGGAACCGCCGAGCCACGAGAUUAUGAGUAGCCCCUGAACAGAAACGUCACGAUAAAAGCCGUGAACGCCACCAGGCCCAUUAAAUCCCUUGCGUAUUUGCAGCCCGUGCUGUCCAAACCUGUACCAGGUCCGAUCAACACGCUCCAACCAUUGAGGUACGAAAACACCGCCUGACCGAACAAAAAAUGCGUGAUAGCCGCCGCAGCCAUGACGCCGGAAUCGUCAGACAGGCUGUAGCUGUUGACCAUUGCCCUGUACGCCUGCAUCUGAAAUGGCUAUUGCCCUGAUGGGAGCCGGCUUUUCAGCCACCGACACCAGCGAUGCCGUCAAUAUUCUUUACCCGAUAACCAUGACCGUACAAGCUAACAAGGCCUGGCAAGCCAGCGGACUUAAAAAGUCUUUUUUUCUACCAUCCCACAAAAAAGUUCGUGGUGGAGAAAAGAUAAGCUAUGCAAGGCUUUAGGAGACGUGGUUUUUCAGGAUGACGAAGAACGAUUCGGCGCUAGGUGCAACAUAGGUGCAUCGCACGAGCGCUAGGAACGGCGAAAAAAGGCGGACGUGGCGAAAUCGGUAGACGCAGCAGACUUUAAAAUUGGAGUGCCCGCGGGGAAAUCCGCGGAGUAGAACCGCUCAAAGUCGGGGAACGCUAACGGGCAAUACCCUAAGCCAAUCCCGAGCCAAGCCCCUUCGGGGGAAGGUGUAGAGACUGGACGGGCGGCGCCUAAAGCCUUCGGGCAAUGGCGAAGGGACAGUCCAGACCACGAACGUCAUCAGACGGCGGCGAAAGUCGAGGUGGUACGAAAAUCUGCUUCUCUGUGAGAGUACGGGUUCGAGUCCCGUCGUCCGCACCACAAAGCCAAACAUCCCUGCGAUGAUCGACCUCUGGGCGUUUGGUCGUGAGCCCGCCACCCUCGCGCUACGCUUUGCGCAGGCGUCGAAGGCGAUCAGGUGCGCCCAUCGAUUCCGUCGAGCACCAUCGCUGCGAGUUCAUCGCUGGUGUGUGCACCACUAUCGAGAACACGGGUUGUGCAUGGAAGCCGUUCCCUUGCGGCCAAGCAUCGGGCGACAUUCGCUAAUCGCCACUCUCGAAUCUCCGCAUUUCGAUUCGGGUCAGGAUGCAUGGUCUGGUUCGCGAUCCGGUGACGCAAUAGGUCCUCGUUGAGCGUCAGAAAGAUGUGCAGCAGCUGAUCGUCGAUCCGCCUUACCCCGUCGAGUAUCUCAGUCAGAUAGUCCGGGUGCACGAGCGUCAUUGGGAUGAUGAUGUCCUGCGAGUAAUUCCUUCGAAUCUCCCUGACCGCCGCGAUCGUAAGUCCCCUCCACAAGGGGAGAUCCUGAUAGUCUCCGCUCGCUGGCAUGGGGACCGUUUCUUUCACCACGAACCCGAUUUCCUCGGGGUCAAAGAUCAGCGAUUUGGAACGCCGAUCGCGCAGCCGCUUAGCGAGCGUCGUCUUUCCGGCGCCGAAAGGUCCGUUGAUCCAGAUUAUCAUUGUCGACGGCCUCUAACCUGAAGGCUCGCAAGAGCGCUCGACGGCCUCGUGCGGAGGCACGAUCGGAGUGGUUCCGAAAUGCUUCUCAAGAUAGGUGACGCCGAACGUCACGAUGUCCUGCGCGUCGAACAGGUAGCACUGAGCAAAGCCCACGACACCUUCUCGAUGGCGACCGAGCUUCACGUAAGCAUUUGCUAUAGUUUCAACCGCAUCCGGCUUUCCUUCGAUAGCAAAGCAAUCGAGAAUGCCGUUUGAAUCGUAAUCCGAUGCCGUUUUCCAGGCGACUUCACCGUCUCUUCCAAGCAUCGGCAUCUCAUACGUCACCCACCGUUUGUUGGGGAUAUCGGCAACCGCCUCGGCGUAGUGCAAUGCGGUAACGGAGUUUAGCGGCGCACCCAACAGCAGGGCCUUCCCGCCAAGGCGAACGAACCGCUCGACGGGCGAUCCUUCCCCCAAGGCGUGACCGAGUUCGUGAGGCUCCGUCAGCGUUUCAGCCAGCGGACCAACCGCGACCAUCGAUGCAUCGGGGUGCGCGCUGCGCCGCGCGCCGGGGGCUUGAACCAGAAAUUGAUUCAGCAGGCCGAACCCACGGUAAGUCCCGGCUGUUGCGGGAUCGAACGGCAGCCAGGUACGGCGGGCUUCGUCAUCCAGCCGAGCGCCAUUCAGAGUCUCCUCGUAGGGUGAUCGGUCCCACGACGCGUAUCCCAUCACAGUGCCAGUCGGCCCAACCGCGGAGCGUAACGCGGCAACGACCGUCUCCGCUCCUCCUUCGACCGGACCAAUCGCUUUAAGUGAGGCAUGCACCAUCAAGAGGUCACCGGUUUGGACUCCGAGUUUUUGAAGCGCCUCCGUUAUUGCCUUCCGCGUAUGCAUCGCGAUAUCUCCUCUAAACUGCAAAACACUAUACGCUGAUGAAUCCCCUAAUGAUUUUGGUAAAAAUCAUUAAGUUAAGGUGGAUACACAUCUUGUCAUAUGAUCAAAUGGUUUCGCGAAAAAUCAAUAAUCAGACAACAAGAUGUGCGAACUCGAUAUUUUACACGACUCUCUUUACCAAUUCUGCCCCGAAUUACACUUAAAACGACUCAACAGCUUAACGUUGGCUUGCCACGCAUUACUUGACUGUAAAACUCUCACUCUUACCGAACUUGGCCGUAACCUGCCAACCAAAGCGAGAACAAAACAUAACAUCAAACGAAUCGACCGAUUGUUAGGUAAUCGUCACCUCCACAAAGAGCGACUCGCUGUAUACCGUUGGCAUGCUAGCUUUAUCUGUUCGGGCAAUACGAUGCCCAUUGUACUUGUUGACUGGUCUGAUAUCCGUGAGCAAAAACGGCUUAUGGUAUUGCGAGCUUCAGUCGCACUACACGGUCGUUCUGUUACUCUUUAUGAGAAAGCGUUCCCGCUUUCAGAGCAAUGUUCAAAGAAAGCUCAUGACCAAUUUCUAGCCGACCUUGCGAGCAUUCUACCGAGUAACACCACACCGCUCAUUGUCAGUGAUGCUGGCUUUAAAGUGCCAUGGUAUAAAUCCGUUGAGAAGCUGGGUUGGUACUGGUUAAGUCGAGUAAGAGGAAAAGUACAAUAUGCAGACCUAGGAGCGGAAAACUGGAAACCUAUCAGCAACUUACAUGAUAUGUCAUCUAGUCACUCAAAGACUUUAGGCUAUAAGAGGCUGACUAAAAGCAAUCCAAUCUCAUGCCAAAUUCUAUUGUAUAAAUCUCGCUCUAAAGGCCGAAAAAAUCAGCGCUCGACACGGACUCAUUGUCACCACCCGUCACCUAAAAUCUACUCAGCGUCGGCAAAGGAGCCAUGGGUUCUAGCAACUAACUUACCUGUUGAAAUUCGAACACCCAAACAACUUGUUAAUAUCUAUUCGAAGCGAAUGCAGAUUGAAGAAACCUUCCGAGACUUGAAAAGUCCUGCCUACGGACUAGGCCUACGCCAUAGCCGAACGAGCAGCUCAGAGCGUUUUGAUAUCAUGCUGCUAAUCGCCCUGAUGCUUCAACUAACAUGUUGGCUUGCGGGCGUUCAUGCUCAGAAACAAGGUUGGGACAAGCACUUCCAGGCUAACACAGUCAGAAAUCGAAACGUACUCUCAACAGUUCGCUUAGGCAUGGAAGUUUUGCGGCAUUCUGGCUACACAAUAACAAGGGAAGACUUACUCGUGGCUGCAACCCUACUAGCUCAAAAUUUAUUCACACAUGGUUACGCUUUGGGGAAAUUAUGAGGGGAUCUCUCAGGGCGAAGCUCUGAUGAAUCCCCUAAUGAUUUUUAUCAAAAUCAUUAAGUUAAGGUAGAUACACAUCUUGUCAUAUGAUCAAAUGGUUUCGCCAAAAAUCAAUAAUCAGACAACAAAAUGUGCGAACUCGAUAUUUUACACGACUCUCUUUACCAAUUCUGCCCCGAAUUACACUUAAAACGACUCAACAGCUUAACGUUGGCUUGCCACGCCUUACUUGACUGUAAAACUCUCACUCUUACCGAACUUGGCCGUAACCUGCCAACCAAAGCGAGAACAAAACAUAACAUCAAACGAAUCGACCGAUUGUUAGGUAAUCGUCACCUCCACAAAGAGCGACUCGCUGUAUACCGUUGGCAUGCUAGCUUUAUCUGUUCGGGCAAUACGAUGCCCAUUGUACUUGUUGACUGGUCUGAUAUCCGUGAGCAAAAACGGCUUAUGGUAUUGCGAGCUUCAGUCGCACUACACGGUCGUUCUGUUACUCUUUAUGAGAAAGCGUUCCCGCUUUCAGAGCAAUGUUCAAAGAAAGCUCAUGACCAAUUUCUAGCCGACCUUGCGAGCAUUCUACCGAGUAACACCACACCGCUCAUUGUCAGUGAUGCUGGCUUUAAAGUGCCAUGGUAUAAAUCCGUUGAGAAGCUGGGUUGGUACUGGUUAAGUCGAGUAAGAGGAAAAGUACAAUAUGCAGACCUAGGAGCGGAAAACUGGAAACCUAUCAGCAACUUACAUGAUAUGUCAUCUAGUCACUCAAAGACUUUAGGCUAUAAGAGGCUGACUAAAAGCAAUCCAAUCUCAUGCCAAAUUCUAUUGUAUAAAUCUCGCUCUAAAGGCCGAAAAAAUCAGCGCUCGACACGGACUCAUUGUCACCACCCGUCACCUAAAAUCUACUCAGCGUCGGCAAAGGAGCCAUGGAUUCUAGCAACUAACUUACCUGUUGAAAUUCGAACACCCAAACAACUUGUUAAUAUCUAUUCGAAGCGAAUGCAGAUUGAAGAAACCUUCCGAGACUUGAAAAGUCCUGCCUACGGACUAGGCCUACGCCAUAGCCGAACGAGCAGCUCAGAGCGUUUUGAUAUCAUGCUGCUAAUCGCCCUGAUGCUUCAACUAACAUGUUGGCUUGCGGGCGUUCAUGCUCAGAAACAAGGUUGGGACAAGCACUUCCAGGCUAACACAGUCAGAAAUCGAAACGUACUCUCAACAGUUCGCUUAGGCAUGGAAGUUUUGCGGCAUUCUGGCUACACAAUAACAAGGGAAGACUCACUCGUGGCUGCAACCCUGCUUACUCAAAAUCUAUUCACACAUGGUUACGUUUUGGGGAAAUUAUGAGGGGAUCUCUCAGAGCUUCGCCGCCUUUCGUGCGUGUGAAGGCCGAAGAUAGUUCUCUCAAAAACAUCCGUUUAUGAGAGAUACCAAAUGUCAUUUUCAGAAGACGACUGCACCAGUUGAUUGGGCGUAAUGGCUGUUGUGCAGCCAGCUCCUGACAGUUCAAUAUCAGAAGUGAUCUGCACCAAUCUCGACUAUGCUCAAUACUCGUGUGGGCUCUGUUGCAAAAAUCGUGAAGCUUGAGCAUGCUUGGCGGAGAUUGGACGGACGGAACGAUGACGGAUUUCAAGUGGCGCCAUUUCCAGGGUGAUGUGAUCCUGUGGGCGGUGCGCUGGUAUUGUCGCUAUCCGAUCAGCUAUCGCGACCUUGAGGAAAUGCUGGCGGAACGCGGCAUUUCGGUCGACCAUACGACGAUCUAUCGCUGGGUCCAGUGCUACGCCCCGGAGAUGGAGAAGCGGCUGCGCUGGUUCUGGCGGCGUGGCUUUGAUCCGAGCUGGCGCCUGGAUGAAACCUACGUCAAGGUGCGGGGCAAGUGGACCUACCUGUACCGGGCAGUCGACAAGCGGGGCGACACGAUCGAUUUCUACCUGUCGCCGACCCGCAGCGCCAAGGCAGCGAAGCGGUUCCUGGGCAAGGCCCUGCGAGGCCUGAAGCACUGGGAAAAGCCUGCCACGCUCAAUACCGACAAAGCGCCGAGCUAUGGUGCAGCGAUCACCGAAUUGAAGCGCGAAGGAAAGCUGGACCGGGAGACGGCCCACCGGCAGGUGAAGUAUCUCAAUAACGUGAUCGAGGCCGAUCACGGAAAGCUCAAGAUACUGAUCAAGCCGGUGCGCGGUUUCAAAUCGAUCCCCACGGCCUAUGCCACGAUCAAGGGAUUCGAAGUCAUGCGAGCCCUGCGCAAAGGACAGGCUCGCCCCUGGUGCCUGCAGCCCGGCAUCAGGGGCGAGGUGCGCCUUGUGGAGAGAGCUUUUGGCAUUGGGCCCUCGGCGCUGACGGAGGCCAUGGGCAUGCUCAACCACCAUUUCGCAGCAGCCGCCUGAUCGGCGCAGAGCGACAGCCUACCUCUGACUGCCGCCAAUCUUUGCAACAGAGCCUCCGUCGCCAUGCUCACCUCGCUUUGGUGCACACGAGUAUUGAGCAUAGUCGAGAUUGGUGCAGAUCACUUCUGAUAUUGAACUGUCAGGAGCUGGCUGCACAACAGCCAUUACGCCCAAUCAACUGGUGCAGUCGUCUUCUGAAAAUGACACAUGGCAUCUGACAUCAAGUUAGGGUAUGCCUCAAUCUGACGGCUGCGAACCGCCAGGGACAGGCGCAAUGUCAGAUUCUGUCGCGGCCUUGGCGCGUGCCUGGAAGCGUUCAUAGCAAUCCAGCCCGCAGAAAUGUUCGACGUAUUCCGCGCCUUCCGGGGUGAAGGCGGCAUCGAGCGGAAUUUCUUUGCAGCAUACGCAGCAGGUGGUGCAACUGGCAGUGUUCGGGGCGUUUGCGUUCAUGGUGGUACUCCUCCAGAUUGGUAGCGAAGCUCAAAGCUGCCCACUCUCGGCUGGCUGGGAAGCGGUCAUGAUCUUCCCUUGAAGGCCCGCAGCAGCCGCGUCACAGACAGGACAAACAAGCCGGUCAGCGUGAGGGCUGCAAUACCCCAGUGCUCCCCGAUGAACGCGCCGGCCGUCGUGCCGGCUAGCACAAUGGCGAGAAUCGGCAAAUGGCAGGGACAGGUGAGCACGGCCAGCGCGCCCCACAAGUAGCCGGUGAUCGGUUUGUGCGUCUCAGACGGCAAGUGCUCUGGGCUGUUCAUGGCAGACUCUCCGCGUGCUGUGCCGGUUCGGUUGGCAUGGCGGCCAGUUGCAUUUCGAGGCUGGCCAGGGCCUCGCGCCGGCGCUCGACGAGUUGCCGCAACACGGCAAGCUGCGCAGACGCACCGUCACCGUCCGCAGCAUCCAGCGCCCGGCACAGCCGCGCCAGUGCGUCCAGGCCGAUACCCGCUUCGAAGGCAGCCCGUACAAAGCGCAGCCGUUGCAACGCGGUGUCAUCGAACAAGCCGUAGCCGCCCGUGGUGUACGCGACCGGCCGUAGCAAUCCGCGCAGCAGGUAGUCGCGCACGAUAUGCACGCUCACCCCGGCAUCAAGGGCCAGCCGGGACACUGUGUAGGCGCUCAUUGAACACCUCCUUUUCCUCAUCCGGCGCAGCACGAAAGCUGCUUCACGUCCUUGCUGAAGGUCUGCGCCGCGAGCUUCAGCCCUUCGACCAUGGUCAGGUAGGGGAACAAUUGGUCGGCCAGUUCCUGCACGGUCAUACGGUUGCGAAUGGCGAGCACCGCCGUCUGGAUCAGUUCACCCGCUUCCGGGGCCACCGCUUGCACGCCGAUGAGCCGUCCGCUACCUUCCUCGAUGACCAGCUUGAUGAAGCCGCGUGUGUCGAAGUUGGCAAGCGCACGCGGCACGUUAUCCAGUGUUAGCAGGCGACUGUCGGUCUCGAUCCCGUCGUGAUGUGCUUCCGCCUCGCUGUAGCCCACGGUGGCGACCUGCGGGUCGGUGAACACCACGGCCGGCAUUGCGGUCAGGUCCAGGGCCGCAUCGCCGCCAGUCAUGUUGAUCGCCGCACGAGUGCCGGCCGCUGCCGCCACAUAGACGAACUGCGGCUGGUCGGUGCAGUCGCCGGCCGCGUAGAUGUUCGGGCUACUGGUGCGCAUGCCCUUGUCGAUGACGAUGGCCCCCUGCGCAUUGACGGCUACCCCCGCCGCUUCCAAUGCCAGGCUGCGCGUGUUCGGUGUCCGGCCGGUGGCGACCAGCAGCUUGUCGGCGCGCAAUUCACCGUGCGUGGUGGUCAGCACGAAUUCACCGUCCAUAUGGGCGACCUGGCUGGCUUGCGUGUGCUCCAGCACCUCGAUGCCCUCGGCACGGAAAGCGGCUGUCACCGCCUCGCCGAUGGCCGGGUCUUCACGGAAGAACAAGGUAUUGCGCGCCAGGGCCGUGACCUUGCUGCCCAGCCGGGCAAAGGCUUGCGCCAGCUCCAGCGCCACCACCGACGAGCCGAUUACGGCAAGGCGUUCGGGAAUGGUGUCGCUCGCCAGGGCCUCGGUGGAAGUCCAGUAGGGUGACUCUUUCAAGCCCGGAAUCGGCGGGACCGCCGGGCUGGCACCCGUGGCGACCAGGCAGCGGUCGAACAUCACGACGCGCUCGCCACCCUCGUUCAAACUAACGAUAAGGCUCUGGUCGUCCUUGAAACGCGCUUCACCGUGCAGAACGGUGAUGGCUGAAUUGCCGUCCAGGAUGCCUUCGUACUUGGCAUGACGGAGUUCUUCGACACGGGCCUGCUGCUGGGCCAGCAGCCGCUCGCGCAAGAUCGUCGGCGGUGUGGGUGGCAUGCCGCCGUCGAAUGGGCUUUCCCGGCGCAGAUGGGCGAUGUGGGCGGCGCGGAUCAUGAUCUUGGACGGCACACAACCGACGUUGACGCAGGUGCCGCCGAUGGUGCCGCGCUCAAUCAGCGUGACCUGCGCGCCUUGCUCGACGGCCUUCAGUGCUGCCGCCAUCGCGGCUCCACCGCUACCAAUGACGACGACCUGCAACGGGCGUUCGUUGCCACUGGGCUUAUCAGCGGCCCCUAUCCAGCCGCGCAUCUUGUCGAGCAGGCCGGCGCGGUUGUCCGUCGGUGGCGCAUCGGCAAGCGUUGCCUCGUAGCCCAGUCCGGCCACGGCGGUAGUCAGCGCAUCCGAUGACGUGCCCGCCUCAAUGGCGAGUUGCGCUGUGCCCUUCGGAUAGGACACCAGCGCCGAUUGCACGCCGGGCACUUUCUCCAAGGCUUCCUUGACGUGAGCCGCGCACGAGUCGCAGGUCAUCCCGGUGAUUUUCAGGGUGGUCAUGUAUUUUUCCUUUUCUGUGGUGGCUACGGCUGUUGCCGUCAGCCACGUUGUUCUGGCAAUUCACAGCUGUCCGGCCCGCAGCGGCGAUGUGCUGGCGAGAUGAAAUCCCAGACCGACACCCCAACCAUCAAGGCCAGGCCGACAUAGAGCAGUCCACCGCUCUGCCAGCCGUAAGCCCGCAUUAAAAACACCGCUGCCAGCACCAAGAUCGGGCCUAUCGUGCCGAGCGCCGUGCGUCGCCACUGUCGAUGAUUGAGCCAAGCGAUAGCAUUGGCGAGUAACGCGAUGCCGGCGAACAUCGGCAGCAGGAUGCCAAUGAAUAGCCCCUCGUACUGGCUCAAGAAGCCCAGUCCGAUGGCCGCGCCAAAGCUGGCGAUGGCAGGAAAACAGGCGGCGCAGCCCAUCGCGGAAACGACGCUGCCGAGCGCGCCGGUUUUGCCAGCGAUGCGCGUGAUGAGUCCCAUGUGUCGCUCCCGAGUUCGGUUAACGGAUCAGCGUUUGAGGCUGGACGGAUAGCCCGCGUCCUCGGUCGCCUUGGUCAACUUCUGGACGUUGGUCUUGGCAUCGUCGAAGGUGACGACGGCCUGGCGCUUGUCGAAACUUACGUCGGUCUUGCUCACGCCCUCAACCUUGGAAAGCGCGUGCUUGACAGUGAUCGGGCAAGAGGCGCAGGUCAUGCCAGGCACGGACAGCGUGACGGUCUGGGUGGCGGCCCACACGGGGGCAACAACGGCAGCGAGGGCGAGGGCGGCAAACAGUUUUUUCAUGAUGAACUCCUGUGAUUAAUAGAAAAAUGGCAUGACGUAGGGAAAUCCGAGCGAGACCAGGACCAGCGCGGCCACGAUCCAGAAAAUGAGCUUGUAAGUAGCUCGCACUUGGGGAAUCGCGCAGACCUCACCCGGUUUGCAGGCUUGCGCCGGGCGGUAGAUGCGCCGCCAGGCGAAAAACAGCGCGACCAGCGCUGCGCCGAUGAAGAUCGGGCGAUAGGGUUCCAGCACCGUCAGGUUGCCGAUCCAUGCCCCGCUGAACCCCAAGGCGAUCAAAACCAGCGGCCCCAGGCAGCAGGCCGACGCAAGAAUGGCGGCCAGCCCACCGGCGAAGAGCGCGCCGCGCCCGUUUUGUGGUUCAGACUUUUGUGGUUCAGACAUACGCUUGUCCUUUCAAAUUUGGUUUGGAUAGCUUAAGCUUACUUCCGUAGUUAUGUACGGAGUCAAGCGAUAUGCAAAUUAAUUUUGAGAAUCUGACCAUUGGCGUUUUUGCCAAGGCGGCCGGGGUCAAUGUGGAGACCAUCCGGUUCUACCAGCGCAAGGGCCUGCUGCCGGAGCCAGACAAGCCCUAUGGCAGCAUUCGCCGCUAUGGCGAGGCGGAUGUAACACGAGUGCGGUUCGUGAAAUCGGCCCAGCGGCUGGGCUUUAGCCUGGACGAAAUCGCCGAGCUACUGCGGCUGGAGGAUGGCACCCAUUGCGAGGAAGCCAGCGGCCUGGCCGAGCACAAGCUCAAGGAUGUGCGCGAGAAGAUGGCCGACUUGGCACGCAUGGAGGCCGUGCUGUCUGAACUGGUGUGCGCCUGCCAUGCGCGGAAAGGGAACGUUUCCUGCCCGCUGAUUGCGUCACUGCAAGACGGAACGAAGCUCGCUGCAUCGGCGCGGGGGAGUCACGGGGUGACUACGCCUUAGCGUGCUUUAUUUUCCGAAUUCUGAGACGACCCCUGAAAUGUCCAGGAUGAGAACUAAGCGUGUAGCAUAGUUGCUACACAAAUGUCACUGUGAUAUGUUGUAUAGCAAACUCACUACACGGGUAGUAUGUAUGGCACUGUCACAGAUCAGCGUUCGCAUUGAUGACGAACUCAAACAACGCACGGAUGAAACAAUGAAACUGCUGGGAACCAACCCCACACAGGCCAUUACUUUGCUCUAUCAGUAUAUUGCUGAAAACGGAAAACUCCCCUUUACGGUCAGCUCCCGUCUUUUUAGCUCAGAGGAAUACACCCGGAGGUUAAUCACCACUGCCCGAUCUGUGUUCGAAUACUGGCGUUUGCUUACUGAAACAUCGUCAACCCCCAGAGCGAAAAAUGGAAUGGCGUACUCAAUGACGAUGGCAGGACAUAUUUCAAAGCUGCAUAACGAUCUGAUAUAUGACUGCGGCACACUGAGCGGUGAGGAGGUCGCGUCAUUGAUGGAUGUUAUGGAGGCCAUUCUCUCUACUCCUCCAUCGUUUUAUAACGGGGAAGCGGGAGGCCAGGAAUUGCAGGAUAAAUUACACGCCGCCGACCAGACAAUUCUGGCGAUUCAGAAAAAUCAUGGUCUGGAAGCUCAGCGUCGGGAAGAUUUUGACUUUCUCAAAUGAAAUCACGGACCGAUUUUAUGCUUGAGGUUGCCUGCAGGGUAGCAAAGGACUUUCAGCUUGAUCAAUGCCUGUUCCUCCUCGAUGACAAUCAGUUUGAGGCGUUUAUUGAGGAGCUUGACGCCCCAAUAACGCCGGAACGCAAGGUACGAAUAGAUAACCUGCUGAACCGCACAUCACCAUGGGAAUGAGAGCGCCUGAAUCCAUGAGGGCUGAACAUAACUCUGAAUGAUUUCUUUGACCUGGUACCCUGGUUAACGACGGCAUACCGGAGGGAGCGGACAUCCGGCAUCCAGGUUAUGAGUCGAGACUCUUUUCAACUGGAAUGUUAAGUCACUUUUUAUGGUUCGGUUUUCUUCCCUGAAUGGACUACUCAGGACGGUUCUUAAACUGAUGGACCUUAAUAAAGUCCUCGAUCUUCAUUUCAGCCAGUGUCUCAACCGCCUCGCUUCGGGAUGUGCCGGUGAGUUUCGCUAGUCUGUCGAUUUUCCGAAGUAUCCGACGUCGAAUGGAUAAUGAGACCGUCGUUUUCAGGUCUUUAUCCAGCAACACUUUUGUCGAAAUACCCUGAGACCGUAGUUCAGCAUGUUGAGAGAGUGCUUCAUUCAUCCGGCGUAAUGUUUUUUUAUCAAGUUGUCCGAAAGACACAAGCUGAUAAGAAUGACCAGCCUUACUGUAUUUGAUAUCCGCAGCAUAAGAUUCGCGAAGUUCCUUUAGCGCCCGGCUAAGGGUGGGUUCGGAACAACCCAGUGUUCCGAUGAUUUUUUCCGCAGAAACGGGUUUUCCCGUACCCAGUAAAUUUGCCAGAGUAUAAAUUCGUUCCUGUCGGGAAUUGAGUUGCAUAGUCAACUGGAGCCUGCAUUUAACGUAAUAGGAUCAAUGGGCUGAAACAGGAAAGUGGUACUCAUUUUCCGGAUAAGUGGCUGAACACUCAGUACCGCAAUAGGAUCCACAUCUUCAAGGUUCGUGUAAUUUAUUUUUUCCAUAUGAUGGCGGUCUAUCCUGCAGGAAAGAAUGUAUUCAUUCUCAAGGUACCCCGUAUGUUUGCUGACCCUCUGAGUAAAGCCGGAAAGCACGACAAACUCAAACGGAAGGGUCUGAAAUGCGAUAGCAGCUAAACGCAUCAGGAUGCCGUGGACGUGUCUCGCAUAAUUUCCCCGGACCGCUUUUUGUGUCAUCGCUUUCUCCGUAAUAUCCGUACCCCGGGCGUUGACGGCAUACACCUUAUCAGGCAUAUCCUCAAUUUCAGGUAAAUCAACAUCGAUCCAGAUAGUGGAUUCGUCAGGUCGAACCUCAAAGGUCACCAGGGUUUCUCGCGGCCAUUCCGUCUGCGCGAACACCUCUGCGAGACAGUUUUCAAAGAAUCGGGCGUCAGUACGGAAUUGUGCGCGGGUACCGGCCACCGAAAGUGCUGAUUUCUUCUUAUGCUCCUGGGCCUGGAAUUGCCAUUCUGCAUACUGUUCAGCCCAGGCCACACGUUGUGUCUCAUACCGGUGCUGAAGAAGCGUGUUUUCUCGAUCAAUAUCUGCGACUUCCUGUUGCCACCGACUAUGGUUAGCAUUCUGUCGCUCAAUCCGGGCGGAUUCGGUUUCAAACAGUCCACCCAGAAAACCUCGCCCGGAAUGUUCAUCAGGAGCGUGCGGGAGGGGGGAAUACUCAGGUUUUGACGGACGUACGGGCGCGGGCAGGUCGAAUUCCCCCUGAUGGAGCUGAAGAUAAUGCGCUUCGAGCGAUGCCCAGGUGUUUCCGUCAGCCGGAGACGGGGAGAGUUCAUGAAUAUUCGUGAUGGCAUUCAGGACAGACAUCAGUCUUUCAGCUUCCUGCUCAAGAUCUUCCCUCACCCCCGGAACUGUCUGCGUACUGUUGUCCUGACGCCCCCGUGCAGUCUGGUCUAUUCGUGUACGGUAACUCAGCCCGGUACCGGGAAGUCCCAGAUUGGCAUAAGUGCCACGUUUUCCAACAGAAAGAGACGCCCCGCGCGGGCCGAUGCUCAGACUGGGCGUGCCGUUACUCAGGUUUAUCCUGACGCCGGGAAUGAUACUGAUCGACUUCCUGAAUCUGAAUCCCAUGUACUGCCCCUUAUUGCUGUUGAGAGAACGGGAGCAGCCUGAUCCCGUCUGUGUUCUGUCCGGUCGUCAGUCCGUAAACCUGGCCCCGGGCCAGGAUGCCUUGAGCCCACCGCCGGUGGGUCGCCGGUUCACACAUCGCACCCUGUGAUUUAAAGACCGCCUGCGUGGAGUUCAGAAUUCGCAGUGCGUCAGAAUGUUCGCCUGGAGAAACCUUCAGUGCCCCCUCAAUGAUACUGAUCUGGUCCGGAUGAAUUGCUGUUUUCCCCACCAGCCCGUGAGCAAUAUCCAUCGCCAGCUCACGCGCCAUAAUCCCGUGGUCAUCAAUGUGUUCGCACACGGGGGCCGUCAGCGCAAAAUCACGCGGGGCAAAUACCGAAACCAGCAUUUUAAUGACAUAUCCCAUCGGCGUGUCAUAAAGAGUCAAAGACCGUGGACGUCGCAGAGAGACCACGUUCAUCAAAUCGUUCCCCCCGAUACGCAGUGCAAUAAUACGUUCCCGACAGGCGUGGUUCGACAGCUCAGAGGCCAGAUCCUGCAUUUUCAGCACGUCAUAGACAUCUUCGGUUUCAAGUGUCGGCAUCAUGCUCAACCCGGUAUCGGCCAUAAUGUCCCACCACACCGGCAGCGUGGAGCGGGUAAACUUUGGCAGGACAAAACCAUCGACCGCACUAAGAUCCACAUUCGUUGUCAGCCAGCGCCCCAUGUCCGGAUGACGGGGGCGAAUAAAGACCAACGGCCAUUCGUCGUUUCCGUGGCGAAAUUUAGCUUCAUUCAGCUGUUGCAAAAACAGUGAGAGAUUCUGAAGAGCAAAAGGAACAUCAUGUUCGCUGACGGCAUCUUCCAGGCACACCACCAGAGACCGCAGACCGGGUAUUUUCCCGUCCAGCACCACUUCAACAAGAUCCUUUCGGGUUGCAGGCAUGUACAGCGUUGCGCCCAGUUCCCAUGGGGUGAAUUGUUUUUUCAUCAGCGUACCUUUUUGAUGAUGGUAACUGCACGAUACUGGCCGAGAGCAUCCCCGGCUUCCGUCACCGCGAUGCCUUUCUCUUUUGCCAGACCGACCAGAAGCGCGACAUCCGGGUCAUCCAUCUGCCGGACAAACACAUGAUCUGGCACACGACGCAGAACCGCCCGGGUCGCUUCAGCGAUGCCCGGUUUGAUCCUGUUAAUACUGUCCACCUCAUACUGUUCAGCCAGCCCUCCGAUGACGUCCCUGCUCAGCUGCCAGCGCGCUGCAUUGUUCCCGACGUCCCAGCCGGUAGGUGGCAGGUCUUGUCCGUCAAAUUGUUCCCGGAAAUUUGCUACCGUGUCCACCAGCAGCUGACUGCAUUCAAAAGACUGAAGGUGGUCGCAUACCACGCACCCGUGCAGGCCUUCUUCGGCCCAGACAGAACGUGAAAUCAGACCUGAUACAGGAGCACCCAUGAUACCGAAUGGGAUCAACCAGUCAUCGUCACUGGCGGCAAGCCAGGCACAUCCGCAGGGAUCUGCCAGCACAACCAGACGAGGUUGUGCCGGGUAGCCGGGGCGGUCCUUCAGCGUGCGUGACAAUUCGCCGGUAAUGGCUCCUUUUCCCGUCCAGCCGUCGACAAACACAAUGCCCUUUGUGCCAUGACGUGAUUCGAUGUAGUCGAGCGCCGCAGCGUCAAUACCCCGAUCGCGGAUAAUGCUGAUACCGUAAUGGUAAGACCGUUUUCCCAUUGCCCGUAGCGCCUGAUGGAGCAUCACACCAAGAGGGACACCGGCUCUGACCAGACUGACCAGAACCACGGGGUCAUCACCGGCGCGUAAGGCCAGUUCACGGCUAAGCUGAGAGACCUCCCGCGCCAGCCGUGCUGCCCCCGCGUCCAGCGCACGGGUGAAAAGAUCCAGAUGCCAGCGGGUUGGCUCAGGCUCCUGACUCAGCAUGUCGGAGUAAUGCAUUUUCCCUGACUGAAUCAGUUCUUCCUUCAGGUCAACCGGCGUCAUCUCCAUAGCAAUGGGUUUCAGCAAAAACUGAACAUCGUCCGGUUGAUACGAACCAGAAAACGAAGUGAUGUGAGACAUGUUAUUGCUCUCCAAAAAUAUGCUGUGAAAUAGCCUCAGCAAACUGGCUCUGGCGUGGGAGACCAAACCAGCUGCACAGUUUCAUGAACCGAUGGUCACUCAGGCUGUCACCCAGCCCUAUCACCGGGAAAACCCCGCGCUCCUGACGGAGUUUUUCCAGCAACCAGGAAACGGCCAGUCCUUUUUCUACCGGGCAGGGUAACCAGGCAAUGUUGUUGCUGUUGCGGUGGAUGUAAAACCCUUCGGUCGAAAAGACGCGCUCGAUCUCAUCCCCGAUAGCGUUCAGUUCAUCAAGCUUCGUGCUGUCGCAGUGCUUCAUGACCAGAUACACCGGCGUACCAUCAUAUUCGUAGUUGAGCCGUGCCCAGGCAUUGAUGCCCCGUGCUUCCAUGAGUUCGGUAAUGAUAUGUUGCAUUGACGUUAAGCGGUCGGCGUAGGAGGACAGGCUCUCCAGCAUAUGGGCUUUCCAGUCGCGGUCUGGCGUACCAUCAGGACGAAGGAUCACCGCACCAUGAGUGGUUACGGCCCAGGAACGGAAGGGGAUCUGCACCCGGCUGAUUUCUUCCGUUCCUCUGGCCGUCACCGGAAUGAGAUCCGCAUGCUCCAGCAACCAGUCCACCAGCAUGGCCUGCUCUUCGGUCAUAAAGCUGCGAGGUGUGAGACUGCGAUCCAGUGCGCCGGUCCGGAAGGGUUCAAGGGCAAGUUCAUCCACCAUUUUUCGGCGGGUCUGGAACAGGGUGUCAUCGAGGUCGCUGAAUACGACGGGCUUAUUCAUAGGUAAUCACCUCUACGGCAGGAGCGACGGCGGAAAGCGCCUCAAGCAGGCGGGGGUCCACGCUCGACGCCGGAGUUUCUGUGCAAAGCAGGAUGCGGUCAAACCGCUGGUGGGCGACGUUAUAGACAAAAUUCGGGAUACCCAGGCCGUAAUUAUCGCUGAAAGCAAUGGCGGACUGGAUUGCAAAGCCGGUUGAAAUCGGUGAUCGGGUGGUGGAACUGUAAAGGACCUGAGCGCCCGCCGAUCCCAGACGUUCAGCCAGCAGGAACGGUUCCCAGACGAAUUCGCCGGUGCCCAGCACCAGAAUAUUUUCCCCGUGCGAAACCUUAACCUUAAGGCCCAGGUCACUGGCCGGUAUCUGCAUCCCGAGUCGCCCCCAGGAUUGUUUGCCGGUGAUCGGGACGUUCCCCCUGGAGGUCACAUUAACCGGGGGCAUGACGGGCAGCGGGGCAUCCGGUUCGGGUGUCCAGCGCCAGUUGCCUGAGAUGAGCGAUACAGCGUGAACGGGCAGGGGGCUGUUCUGACUGAGGGCCUCUCCGCUCCAGUCAGUCAGCGUGACAGCAAUAACCCGUCGUACCUUCCGGAGUGCACCCGAUGCACGUAAUGAGGCCAGAAGAUUGAGAAACGUUUUCCCCGUCGUGGCUUCAUCAUCCACCAGCACCAGCGUCUGAGCUUCUGCCACUGUGCGCCGCAUAUCCGGUGUGGAGGGACAGUAGAUCAGGUGGUCAGUGGCAUGGCUGUGCUCUUCUUUAAACUCGCACAGCAGUUCGCCAUCGACCGGAUGGCGGGUUGAUGUCAGAUAGACACAAUCAGGGUGAUGCUUACGCACCUCAUCAAACACUCCCGCCCCAAGGCCAACAGCCGUCUCGGCCAUCCCGAUAAAGACCACCGGCCCGUCCAGUGUCCCAAGGAACUGCUCCGCCAGCUGUGUGUAAACGUUGCGCAUGACCUGAGGCGAGACAGGAAUAUGGCGACCCAGCACUUUACUGACAAACAGAAAUGCGCGUUUAGGAUUCCGCCGUUCGGCGAUAUCAAAGAGAUCAGUAAGAGGAUAAUCGGUCACCUCGCUGCUUACCUCAAUCCGCCCACAAGAUAAUGUCUUUUGAUAAACGGAACAUCCAUCCAUUACUGACAUAUUUAUCUCCAUUAAUCGAUUCUGUUGGUCAAUAAUGCCGGGUAGCGAAUGACGUCGGUGACAGAGCGGACGACUGCAGGCGAAAAAUCAGUUUUCGCUGACUGCCUGACCUGAUCCUCAUCCAUCAACCCCAGUGUAUGGAAGGCAUACAGACCCGGCAGAUUCACGCCACUGUGCUGCGUAUACCCAAUGCCCCCUGACGGGCGCAUGUUUAUUUCAAGCAGCAGGGGAUUGCCUUCAACGUUAUGCCGGGUCUGGACGUUGACCAUUCCGUCGGCGUUCAUUAAGCGGGCGCAGGCGAUGGCGAGUUCAAUCGCUUCCCCUUCAUUCUCCAGAUGCUGGAGCACCCCCUCCUUACGCCGCCCGACGGCGGCCAGGACAGUCCCUUGACUUACCACCAUAUCUACGGAGUAUUCAGGCCCCGGUAAAUAAGGCAUCAGAACCUGAGGUGUAAAGGUCUCCAUUUGGGCAUGUGCGGCCAGAUACUGUGACGGACGGAUAACCCGGCUGUCGGGGUUAUUCAGAAACGCGACCGGUGAAAUCUCGUCAUCAAAACGCCAGAAUCCCAUGCCAUAAAUACCGGUUACGGGCUUAAUACAGAGACGAUCAGAAGGAUACGGGGAGUGGCUGAGCAAAUGACUCAGUUCAUCGGGAGAGUUGACCCGCACAGACGGCACAACCGGGAGUCCAUUUUUUGUCAUGUACUCCGAGAAAGUAACUUUUUCGUCAGCGAGCUCGAACCAUUCAGUUCCGGUCGCGCCUGUUGUCAGACUCACGGACGGGGAUUGAAUGGCAUCUCGCUGACUUUCAAACCAUUUACAGUUUCGCCCGGUAUGAAUCGCAUUAAUGCCAUGGUUCAUCGUGACGGAGUGAAUGAAAGAAAGACGGUCAUCUUCAUUUUUAGGUUCGAUUAAUGAGAGAUCUGAAACAGAGAGAAUUUCAUUUCGUUCAUUCCGGUGAGAAGAUAAAACCAGAAUAUCUUUAUUGUGUUUAUCUGCAAAAGAUUUCACACCGAGAAUAAUGUCUCGCUGGGAGGACAAACCUUCCAUAAACCAAAUUUUGUUUUUCAUCUUUUAUUAUUUUUGCCUGAAGAGAGGAAAAAGUUUUACUGAUACAUGAGUCUAAGAAUACCUCCGAACCAUGUCAAUCAUAAUAUGAUAAACUCUGGCUGUUUAUGAUUUUGAGAACAACUAUAUAUUUUUGAAUACUAUCAAUUGGUUACGCUAAUUUAAUUCGUUAGUCCGGAAUGUAAUUAAAAGUAAAUUAUGAAAACCUACCCGUUUUUGUCUUGCAGGUGAACUUUGUCAUGAUAUGAUUUUGAUGGUGCCUGCUUUACUACUAAUUUCACAAUGUCUCAGUCAAUACCUUUUAAGGAAUGAAUAUGGUUUCUUUAAGUAAAAACCAGACGGUAUCACUCAGCAAACAAUCAUCCGCACUCAGCCAACUUAAGUUCGGUCUGGGAUGGGAUCCGGUAAAGAAAAAAGGAUUAUUUGGCAACAUUUUUGGCGGCAAUGACUCUAUCGAUCUGGACGCGGGUUGCGUUCUGUUGGACAGUGCCGGUAAUAAAAUUGACACAAUAUGGUUUCGUAAACUGAAAUCGACCUGUGGCUCCGUGGUACAUACCGGCGAUAACCUGACGGGUGAGGGAGACGGUGACGAUGAGGUCAUCAAUGUCUAUCUCGGCCAAUUGCCUGCAAAGGUUGAAUAUCUGGCUUUCACCGUUAACAGUUUCCGUGGGCAGUCUUUUAAUGAUGUUGAUAACGCUUUCUGCCGUGUUGUUGAUCAGACCAACAAAGAACUGGCCCGAUACAAACUGACCGAGCAGGGAGCGCAUACUGGCAUUAUUAUUGCCUCACUCCGCCGUAAUAACGGCAACUGGGACUUUACCGCCCACGGGAAAGCCAGCAGUGGACGCACGAUCGAUGAUAUGUACCCUGACAUCAUUAACACAGUGGUCAGCGCAUGAACCUGACGCCAGGGGGAAAUGCCCCCGUUCCCGCUCAGGAACUCCGCGUGCGGAUCCUUUCAGGUGGCCCCGUUGAUGCCUCCGCGUUCCGUCUGUUUGCUGCCGGAAAAGUGCAGGGAGACGCGGAUAUGGUCUUCUACGGACAGCCUCGUAACGACGACAGCACUGUCAGUUAUCAUCCUGAGGGAAAUAACAGCUCUUUUAUCGUUGACCUGAGCCGCCUCAAAUCUGAGGUACAGAAAGUCGCUUUUACGGUGACCUGUGACGGCAGCCAUACCGUCUCGACCCUGAAUAAUCUUUCUAUCCUGGUUGAAAGUGGUGCUUCUCAACUGAUCUGCGGGCAGGUUGAACUGACUGGACGGCAGGAGGCCGCACUUAUCCUCGGCGAAUUCUAUCGGCGAAAUGCUGAAUGGAAAUUCCGGUUUAUUGCCCAGGGGUUUAAUGGUGGUCUCAAACCACUGGCUGAACACUUUGGUGUGAACGUCUCUGAUGAUGCCGCACCAGCCUCUCCGCCGCCAGUCGCACCGCCUCCGGCUCCUGCACCAAAUAAGGUGAGCCUAAGCAAGGUCUCGUUGACCAAAGAGAAACCGGCUAUCAGCCUUGCCAAGAAGGACAACUUUGGCGAGAUCCGCAUCAACCUUAACUGGCAUCGUGGCUCCGGCUCCGGUGGCUUACUCGGAGGGAUGUUUGGCUCAAGCAAAGCGAUUGACCUUGAUUUGGGCGCGUUCGUCAAACUUCAGGAUGGUCACAAGUCCGUGAUCCAGGCACUCGGCAAUGCCUUUGGCAACUAUCAUAACGAGCCCUAUGUUCAGCUUCAGGGCGAUGAUCGUACCGGGGAGGCCAUGGAUGGCGAAUGGCUGCAUAUUAACGGACGGGAGUGGAAGCAAAUCAAUCAGGUUCUGAUUUAUGCCUUCAUCUACCAGGGCGUACCCAGUUGGGAUAAAACUGACGGUGUGGUGACGCUCCAUAUACCGGACCAGCCCCCCAUUGAAACCCGUCUGACCGAGGGAGAUAACAAACGUACUCUGUGCGCAAUUGCCCGUCUGGUGAAUGACAACGGGUCAAUUCGCGUAGAACGGAUUAACCAGUUCUUCAGAGGCCAGGAGGAGAUGGACAAGGCCUUUGGCUGGGGGUUUCGCUGGUCUAAAGGUUCUAAAUAACCAAAUUGAUGAGGAACGGAAAAUGAGUUUUUUCGACAAAGUUAAAGGGGCACUGACCUCAGGCCGUGAUGAGCUGACCCGCCAGGUUGGCCGUUACAAAAACAAGAAAUUUAUGCAGGGUACAGUCGCGGUAUGCGCACGUAUCGCGGUUUCCAGUGACGGCGUCAGCGCUGAAGAAAAGCAGAAAAUGAUUGGCUUUCUGCGGGCAUCAGAAGAACUGAAAGUUUUUGAAACGACUGAGGUUAUCGAAUUCUUCAACAAACUGGUGACCAGCUUCGACUUUGAUCUCGAAAUUGGUAAAGGCGAGACGAUGAAAUACAUCCUCGCGCUGAAAGACCAGCCUGAAGCGGCUCAGCUGGCAGUCCGUGUCGGUAUUGCUGUUGCAAAAAGCGACGGUAAUUUUGACGAGGAUGAGAAAAACGCCGUUCGUGAAAUUGCCCGUUCAUUGGGCUUCGACCCGACUGAAUUCGGCCUCUGAUAAACAUCCGCUAAGGGUACGCUAUGGUUUCCACACACAUCGGUUUUCCGACUGAAACAGUGAUUGUUUUUAUCGCGCUGUCGGUCGGCGCCAUCUUUAUUGACCUGUUCAUGCAUCGCCAUGACAAGCCAAUUUCCCUUAAGAGUGCGGCCUUAUGGUCCGUUUUCUGGGUUAUCGUUGCGAUGGCAUUUGCCGGUUUCCUCUAUAUCCAUCACGGUGCAGAAGUUGCCAGCCUGUUUGUCACGGGUUAUGCGCUUGAAAAGGUCCUGUCCGUUGAUAACCUCUUCGUCAUGAUGGCCAUCUUCUCGUGGUUCUCAGUGCCAGACCGUUAUCGCCACCGUGUACUGUACUGGGGGAUCGUUGGGGCCAUCGUCUUCAGGGGGAUCUUUGUUGCGAUUGGUACCGGUCUGCUCAGCCUUGGCCCUUAUGUCGAACUGGUUUUUGCCGUGGUCGUUGCCUGGACUGCUGUCAUGAUGCUGAAAAGCGGUGAUGAUGGCGAUGAAAUUGAGGACUACUCCCAGCACCUCGCCUAUCGCCUGGUCAAACGGUUCUUCCCUAUCUGGCCGAAACUGUCCGGACAUGCGUUCCUGUUAACCCAGAAAGAAGUUGAUGCCGAGCUGGCGAAACCCGAAAACAACGAUGUGAGCAUUGGACGGGUAAAAAAAGCCGCCCUGUAUGCGACGCCUCUUAUGCUGUGUGUCGCGGUCGUUGAACUCUCUGACGUCAUGUUUGCCUUCGACUCCGUUCCGGCAAUCAUUGCGGUCAGCCGUGAGCCACUGAUUGUCUACAGCGCAAUGAUGUUUGCUAUCCUUGGUCUCCGUACCCUCUAUUUUGUGCUGGAAGCUCUGAAGCAGUAUCUGUCUCAGCUGGAAAAGGCGGUUAUCGUCCUGCUGUUCUUUAUUGCGUUUAAGCUUGGCCUGAAUGCCUCCGACCAUAUCUGGCACCAUGGCUACAGCCUGUCCGCAACCACCAGCCUGUAUGUCGUAUUAGGCGUGCUGGCGCUCGGUAUUCUUGCCAGCGUUAUCUUCCCUGAAAAACCGGAAGCGGAAAAUAAAGAAAGCUGAUCUCCGGCUGUUUAAUAAUAAGUAUGUGAUUAACGAAAGAGGAUAAAUUGAUGAGUGUUUCACUAUCUAAAGGCGGCAACGUUUCACUGAGCAAAGCAGCCCCGACAAUGAAAAAUGUUCUCGUCGGUCUUGGCUGGGAUGCCCGCUCUACCGAUGGUCAGGACUUUGACCUCGAUGCUUCGGCAUUCCUGCUGGCCGCAAAUGGCAAGGUUCGUGGCGACGCCGAUUUUAUUUUCUACAACAACCUGAAAUCUUCCGACGGUUCAGUCACCCAUACCGGCGACAACCGUACCGGUCAAGGUGAUGGCGAUGAUGAAUCCCUGAAAAUCAAACUGGAUGCGAUCCCUGCUGAUGUGGACAAAAUCAUUUUCGUCGUGACCAUUCACGAUGCCCAGGCCCGUCGCCAGAGUUUCGGUCAGGUAUCUGGUGCAUUCAUCCGUCUGGUAAAUGAUGACAAUCAGACAGAAGUCGCCCGCUAUGAUCUGACUGAAGAUGCCUCCACCGAAACCGCGAUGCUGUUCGGUGAACUGUAUCGCCACAAUACGGAAUGGAAGUUCCGUGCAGUCGGCCAGGGCUAUGCCGGUGGUCUGGGUUCCGUUUGUGCGCAGUACGGCAUCAACGCAUCCUGAUAAUAAAGUUACUUUUCUCACUAUUUUCACGCGGGGUUGGUCAUCCGGCCCCGACGUCAACGAUAAGCAGGAGCGAUAAAAUGGCAGUUUCUCUCGUAAAAGGCGGUAAUGUUUCUCUGACCAAAGAAGCCCCUUCCAUGAAUGUGGCACUGGUUGGUCUGGGCUGGGAUGCGCGUGUUACCGAUGGUCAGGCAUUUGACCUCGAUGCCUCGGUCUUCCUGGUCGGCGAAGAUGGAAAAGUGCUGUCCGACGCGCACUUCGUUUUUUAUAACAACACCACCAGCCCGGACGGCGCGGUACAGCACCAGGGUGACAACCGCACGGGUGAAGGCGACGGAGACGAUGAGCAGGUCAAAAUCGAGCUGGCUAAAGUCAGCGCUGACGUUAAAAAACUGGUGUUUGCUGUCACUAUUCAUGAAGCUGAAGCCCGUAAACAGAACUUCGGUAUGGUCAGCAACAGCUACAUGCGUGUUGUGAACAACGAUAACGGCGCUGAGAUUGCCCGCUUUGACCUGUCUGAAGAUGCGUCGACGGAGACCGCAAUGAUUUUCGGCGAACUCUAUCGCCAUGGCGCUGAGUGGAAAUUUAAAGCAGUCGGGCAGGGGUUUGCUGGUGGCCUGGGUGCGCUGGCGCAACAGCAUGGCAUCAACAUCUGAUAAAUAACCCCAACGAAACCCCGGCCUGUCCGGGGUUUUUUAUAUCAGCUUACUGAAUGAAUAUUGCUCAAAAUUAAAGAGGGAUCAGAUGCAAUUACAAUCAGGACAGAAUAUUCCACUACAUACUACGGACCUGACGCUCAGACUUGAUUAUCUGUCAUCGUACAGUUUUAGUAGUGAACCAGAAACCUGCCUGUUUAUGCUGAAUGCUGACGGGAAAGUCACCGGUGACGCAGACUUUAUCUUCUACAACAAUCGGAGUGCUGCCGGUGGAGCUGUAAAACUGCUUCCCGGCCACCAGCAUGCGAACCUUCAGCUUGCGCUGGAACGCAUUCCCGAAACCAUUCAGAAAAUCGCUAUAACGCUGGUGAUAGAUGGCAAUGACACGAUCAGCGGACUCUCGCAACUCCGGCUGACGGCAACCGGCAUCGCUGAAUUCAAUGUCGACCUGAAGGGCCGUAGUGAGAAAGCGGUGAUUAUGGGCGAGAUUUACCGUCAUCAGGGGCAAUGGAAACUCCGUGCUCAGGGGCAGGGGUUUAACGGUGGACUGGAGCCACUUGCCGUCAGCUAUGGUGUCGAUGUCGCACAACCAGAAGAUACCCCAACGCAACCAGCCCGGAUCAGUCUGGAGAAAAAACUGGAAGGGAAAGCCCCCGCGCUUAUCAGUCUGGCAAAAAAAGCCAGUGUUUCUCUUGCCAAACACAAGCUGGAGACGGUUGAAGCCAGAGUCGCUUUUGUUCUUGAUGCCUCAGGCUCUAUGACCGGUCAGUUUAAAAAGGGACAUGUGCAGUCCGUUCUCGACCGUAUAGCCGUCCUGUCAGUCCAGUUCGAUGAUGACGGUACGAUGGAUGUGUGGGGCUUUGCUGAGCGUCACAAGAAAUACCCUGACGUCACCCUGGACAAUCUUGACGGAUAUGUUGCGGCUAUCCAGAACACGGGUAAACGAUCUGCCUGUAGUGGAUCACAAAAUCAGGACACCGGGAUAAUCUGUUUCCACUUUUCUUCAUGUAAGCAAGGCGGUAAACCAUCGUUGUUCGUGUGAGGUCGAUAAACGUUGUAAUAACCAUUAAUCCACUGGUUUAUAUCGCGUACCGAAUGGCUAAAAUCACCAUAACCACCUUUCGGAAGCCAUUCACUUUUAAGGCUGCGAAAGACUCUUUCCAUCGGCGAAUUAUCCAGGCAAUUCCCUCUGCGACUCAUACUUUGCAUUACCCCAUAACGCCAGAGUAACUUUCUGUAUUUAUUGCUUUUAUACUGAACACCUUGAUCUGAAUGAAACAGCAGGCGGCCAUCACGCGGUCGUGUUUCCAGUGCAUUACGCAAAGCCCUACACACCAACUCAGCAUCAGCGGUUAAUGAGAGGGCUGAACCGAUAAUCCGCCGUGAAUAUAAAUCAACAACGAGCGCGAGAUAACACCAUUUGUCCUGCAGGCGAAUAAAACUGAUGUCGCCGCACCAGACGCGGUUUGGUGCGGCGGGGUUAAAUUGCCGGUUCAGUAAAUUUGGCAAUGGCGGACUUUUGUCUUCGUUUACCCGGUAGUGAUGUUUAACCGGCUGUCGACUUGUCAGCCCGCAUUCCCGCAUCAGUCGUCGUGCCAGCCACCGGCCUGCAUCAACGCCACUCUGGCGCAACAUCUGACUGAUUGCCCGGCUACCGGCUGCGCCACGACUGAGAGCAUGGAAAGCCCUCACCCGACUUCGUAAUUCAAUUCUUUGCACAUUAACAGGACGCUUCACCUGCGCGUAAUAAACGCUACGGUGAAUACCGAAUAAAUGACAAAGAACCCGCACUGGCCACUUUGCUUUCAGCCGUGUGAUUAGCGCGACGGCUUCCCGGGGAUUUCGCUCAUCAGCACGGCAGCCUGCUUUAGUAUUUCUUUUUCCAUCUCAAGGCGCUUUAUCCGCGCUUUAAGCUGCUGAAUUUCGCGUUGUUCAGGGGUAAUAGCAUUACCAGCGGGCUCAAUACCCUGAAGUUCCUGCUUAUACAACCGUAUCCAUUUACGCAAAUGGUCAGGGUUGAGCUCGAGUGCCAGCGCGACUUCUCUGACAUCACGCUGGUAUUUAACCACCUGUUCGAUAGCUUCAAGCUUGAACUCCGGGGAAAAGGUACGUUUAGUCCGACGAGUUUUGAUCAUGCAUCACCUCAUUUUCACUGUUUUAACAUUAACAGGAUUUCGAGGUGUCCUGAAUUACCGAUCCACUACAGCCUGGGAAAUCCUUCCGGGCCUGGGCGGGACAAACAACGAGCCGCCGGUCAUGAAUGAGGUGAUCGACUUCUUCAAGGACAGCAUACUGCCCGUUUAUGUUGUCUGCAUUACGGAUGGCGGGAUUAGUAAAACCCGUGAAAUCAAAGAAGCCAUACGCCGCUCGGCCAACUACCCCAUUUUUUGGAAAUUUGUGGGCCUCGGCGGUUCAAAUUACGGUAUUCUCGAAAAACUGGAUACCUUCAGCGAUCGGCGAAUCGAUAACAGCAACUUCUUUGCCAUCGAUAACUUCGCAACGGUGAAGGAUGAGGAGCUGUACGAGCAACUUCUGGAAGAGUUUAAAGACUGGCUGGAUCAGGCAAAAAUAGCGGGUAUUCUGUGAGCCUUCGCCCCGGAAAGGGGCGAUAAUUUACCGGAUAGGUAGUUCGAAAGGAACUUUUCCCCGACGCCAGGUCGCAUGGAAGUGCCGCCAGUGAGGGUCGGCUGCAGCUGACAGUAGUUCGUAAUCCCCUCGUGUGUCUCCCCAUGCCCGCAGAUGAUAAUUUUUCAAAGGACCGUACUCUUUUUCCAGCCGGAUAAUUUUCUGGCUACACCGGCAGUUAUGCCCACUAAUACGCCCGGUAAGUAUCCCUUCUUUGACCUCAAGCUGUGUGCCUAUCACUUUGAUGCCCAGCCUGUCGGCAAAUGGCCUGAGUACCAUUUCUGGUGAAGCAGAACAUAAUGUCACUUCCGCGCCGGAAUUCACUUCAUUCGCCACGGCCAUCAGGCCUGCAGGACGCAUAAGCCGACUCCAGUAGACCUGGCAAAAUUUCUCAGCAUUUUUGGAUAGCCAUUUCUCGUCAACCCCAGUAAGGAAGGUUGUGAUGAGAAUUUCUUUCAGUUCAUCACGUGUCAUCUUCUUCCCCAUACAGCGUAACGUGGGAAGAGCCAUUGUGACGAUACGACGGGAAAAAGCCCGAUUGCCAAAGGCAAACCGCAGAAAAGGGAUAAAGCUGUCAUGCCGUGUUAGUGUGCCGUCAAAAUCAAAUACAGAGAGCAUACGGGACUGAAUGACAUUCAUCGUAAUCUUCUUCCUGGUAAAAUGGGGGAACAGCUUCCUACAGGUUUGACUAUACCAUUCAGGCAAUAAUAUUGGUAAUCGGCCACAGAAGGUGAAGAAAGUUACUUUUUAUGAUGUUCGCUUCGCUCAGCAAACUAAAGGUUCGUCACGUACUCCCGGUUUUCUCGAUGACUUGCCCGCUGUCACUGGCUCAUUCUUCGCAGCUCUUGACAGUUUUAAUACGGAAUACAUCGCGCCGUUGGCGACGGUCCCGGCAAUAAUAGAAAAAUUUUAACGCGCCUCUCUGAGCUGUUUUUUAGAGGCAAUUAAUACUCACCCAGGUUAUAAACCCUCAUUUUCGUUAUCUCAGACUCUUUUCAUAAACACUAAAUAUUAAUGUAUUGCACAUACCAUCAUCAGGUGGGUAUAUGUAAAGAAAUCAACAUUGAUAGGAAUUUUCUUAGUGGUAGGGUAAUUUAGGGAAGGUGCGAAUAAGCGGGGAAAUUCUUCUCGGCUGACUCAGUCAUUUCAUUUCUUCAUGUUUGAGCCGAUUUUUUCUCCCGUAAAUGCCUUGAAUCAGCCUAUUUAGACCGUUUCUUCGCCAUUUAAGGCGUUAUCCCCAGUUUUUAGUGAGAUCUCUCCCACUGACGUAUCAUUUGGUCCGCCCGAAACAGGUUGGCCAGCGUGAAUAACAUCGCCAGUUGGUUAUCGUUUUUCAGCAACCCCUUGUAUCUGGCUUUCACGAAGCCGAACUGUCGCUUGAUGAUGCGAAAUGGGUGCUCCACCUUGGCCCGGAUGCUGGCUUUCAUGUAUUCGAUGUUGAUGGCCGUUUUGUUCUUGCGUGGAUGCUGUUUCAAGGUUCUUACCUUGCCGGGGCGCUCGGCGAUCAGCCAGUCCACAUCCACCUCGGCCAGCUCCUCGCGCUGUGGCGCCCCUUGGUAGCCGGCAUCGGCUGAGACAAAUUGCUCCUCUCCAUGCAGCAGAUUACCCAGCUGAUUGAGGUCAUGCUCGUUGGCCGCGGUGGUGACUAGGCUGUGGGUCAGGCCACUCUUGGCAUCGACACCAAUGUGGGCCUUCAUGCCAAAGUGCCACUGAUUGCCUUUCUUGGUCUGAUGCAUCUCCGGAUCGCGUUGCUGCUCUUUGUUCUUGGUCGAGCUGGGUGCCUCAAUGAUGGUGGCAUCGACCAAGGUGCCUUGAGUCAUCAUGACGCCUGCUUCGGCCAGCCAGCGAUUGAUGGUCUUGAACAAUUGGCGGGCCAGUUGAUGCUGCUCCAGCAGGUGGCGGAAAUUCAUGAUGGUGGUGCGGUCAGGCAAGGCGCUAUCCAGGGAUAACCGGGCAAACCGACGCAUGGAGGCGAUUUCGUACAGAGCAUCUUCCAUCGCGCCAUCGCUCAGGUUGUACCAAUGCUGCAUGCAGUGAAUGCGUAGCAUGGUUUCCAGCGGAUAAGGUCGCCGGCCAUUACCAGCCUUGGGGUAAAACGGCUCGAUGACUUCCACCAUGUUUUGCCAUGGCAGAAUCUGCUCCAUACGGGACAAGAAAAUCUCUUUUCUGGUCUGACGGCGCUUACUGCUGAAUUCACUGUCGGCGAAGGUAAGUUGAUGACUCAUGAUGAACCCUGUUCCAUGGCUCCAGAUGACAAACAUGAUCUCAUAUCAGGGACUUGUUCGCACCUUCCUAAGCGUCGGCAUGGUUCUAGCGAUCAUAUGUCACCGACAGAAUAUGAAAACCAGUAUUAUCAACGGCUCGGAAGUGUCUAAAUAGCUGCGCGGAAUAGUAGAUCACUGAAAGGGAACUCAGCCCGGAUUGUGCGAUCUGAUCAAUCGCCAAACCAACCAAAAUCACCAACCGGACUGAGCGAUGCCGAUCAUAGUACCAAUACCCCGUGGCGAACGACGCCUGAUGCAGAAAGCUAUUCAUAAAACGCGUGAUAAAAAUCAUGCCCGCAGACUCACGGCCAUGCUGAUGCUUCAUCGGGGUGAACGGGUCAGCGAUGUUGCCAGAACUCUCUGUUGUGCCCGUUCAUCCGUUGGUCGCUGGAUUAACUGGUUUACGCACUCAGGUAUUGAAGGCCUGAAAUCCUUACCCGCAGGGCGCUCCCGACGCUGGCCUUUUGAACAUAUCUGCACCCUGUUACGUGAGCUGAUAAAGCAUUCUCCCGGCGAUUUUGGUUAUCAACGUUCACGCUGGAGCACCGAAUUACUGGCAAUAAAAAUCAAUGAGAUAACCGGUUGCCAGUUACAUGCAGGAACCGUUCGCCGCUGGUUGCCAUCUGCGGGGCUUGUAUGGCGCAGGGCCGCGCCAACUCUGCGUAUCCGUGACCCACAUAAAGAUGAAAAGAUGGCGGUAAUCCACAAAGCGCUGGAUGAAUGCAGCGCAGAGCAUCCGGUAUUUUAUGAAGAUGAAGUGGAUAUCCACCUUAAUCCUAAAAUCGGUGCGGACUGGCAGUUGCGCGGACAGCAGAAACGGGUAGUGACGCCGGGGCAGAACGAAAAAUACUAUCUGGCCGGCGCACUGCACAGUGGCACGGGUAAAGUCAGCUACGUGGGCGGCAACAGCAAAAGUUCAGCGCUGUUUAUCGCUCUGCUGAAGCACCUGAAAGCCACUUAUCGGCGGGCGAAAACAAUCACGCUGAUCGUUGAUAACUACAUUAUCCAUAAAAGCCGCGAAACACAGCGCUGGUUGAAAGCAAAUCCCAAGUUCAGGGUAAUUUACCAGCCGGUUUACUCGCCGUGGGUGAAUCAUGUGGAACAGCUAUGGCAGGCACUUCAUGACACGAUAACCCGUAAUCAUCAGUGCCGCUCAAUGUGGCAGUUACUGAAAAAGGUCCGCCAUUUUAUGGAAACCGCCAGCCCAUUCCCCGGAGGAAAACAUGGUCAGGCAAAAGUGUAGCGGUAUUAGGCGCAGCUAUUUAGAUUAUCCGUGGCGAUUCAGGCUUUUUUAUGUCCGUUACUAUUAGCAUAAUCACUACCUACAUCAGGGCUGUGCCUUAACACGCAUGACGUUAAAGGCGGUGUGUGCAAAACUGAUUAGCAGAUAGCCGCAGACCGGGAGCGAAACAUCCUUGCGGCUGAGCGCUGCGUCAAUACCUACGGCAAUGGACGACAACUAAGCGACAAUACAUUUUCUGCUGUAACGUCGAUCACGUUUAACGCUGGUUGCGCCAGUAUGCAGAAAUCAACUCUGUUUAAUUACCUGCGACAGGGAAAGAUAACUAGUGCCUGCAACCAGUUCCCACGCUGGGGUAUACGACGGAGGAAAAAUCCUUCCCGGCCUGGUGACUCGUCGCGCAGCGGAAAAGCAGCUCUGUCUGGAUGGUGUGAAAUGAAUCUGAUUUGCUUCGUCAUUGCUGCGUUUCUUGCCUUAGAUGGUAAUGAUGCGUGGCCGUGGUUUCUGGCUGUUGGAAUAAUCAUGUCAUGAGCCGCGUGACCGCCAUUAUCAGCGCUGUGGUUAUGCUCAACGGCGAGAGAGUGGACGAUGAUCGCUUGCAACUCGAUACCAAUCCGCUGCUGAUGGAUGCGAUCAGCGCGGUGAAAUAUUUAGCUGGCAAAAUGGAGCAAUUGCAAAACAUCAUUGCAGAGCUGAAGGCAUCAAAUGCAUGAUUGGUAUCGCUAAUUUUAUUCUCCAGACAUCCACAUAUCAGCCUCUUCGAACAUCUCCAGGAUAACUCUGCCAAUUUGUUCUUUUUCAUGCUUACUGGCAUCUGUAUAGCCCCUCAGGGCAUGUCCAUUCCUAUUGCUAUGUGUUUUGGUUAUGAGACACGAGAUGACGUGUUAUGCAUUCCUUUUACAAUAUGUUACAAAAUGUAGGUGUAUUCACAGGGAACUUUUAACUAGCUUACAGCAUGAGAAGGCUGGAUUUUUUUGUGUAUAGAUAAUUAUACAAUGACAGCCCGAUACGCAGUGGCAAAUAUAAAACGAGGGUUCAACCAUGAAAGUUAAAGUACUAUCCCUCUUGGUACCGGCUCUGCUGGUAGCAGGUGCAGCAAAUGCGGCUGAAAUUUAUAACAAAGAUGGCAACAAAUUAGACCUGUACGGUAAAAUUGAUGGCUUGCAUUACUUUUCUGAUGACAAGAGCGUCGAUGGCGAUCAGACCUACAUGCGUAUCGGCGUGAAGGGCGAAACCCAGAUUAAUGACCAACUGACUGGCUACGGUCAGUGGGAAUACAACGUUCAGGCGAACAACGUUGAAGGUUCUGACAAGCAGUCCUGGACUCGUCUGGCAUUUGCUGGUCUGAAAUUCGGCGACGUGGGCUCUUUCGACUACGGUCGUAACUACGGCGUUGUCUACGACGUAACUUCCUGGACUGACGUUCUGCCAGAGUUUGGCGGUGACACUUAUGGCUCUGACAACUUCAUGCAGCAGCGUGCUAAUGGUGUUGCAACCUAUCGUAACUCUGACUUCUUCGGUCUGGUUGACGGCCUGAACUUUGCGCUGCAGUACCAGGGUAAAAACGGUAGUGUAAGUGGUGAAGGCCAGACUAACAAUGGUCGCGGCUGGAACAAACAGAACGGUGAUGGCUUCGGAACAGCGAUCACUUAUGAUAUUUGGGAAGGCAUCAGCGCAGGUUUUGCAUACUCUCAUUCUAAACGAACUGAUGACCAGAAUGCUGCAGGUCUGGUUGGUCGAGGUAAAUACGCAGAAACUUACACUGGUGGCUUGAAAUAUGACGCGAACAAUAUUUACUUGGCUGCGGAGUAUACCCAAACUUAUAAUGCGACUCGUUUCAGUGGUGAUUCCGUCAGUGGUUAUGCUAAUAAAGCACAAAACUUUGAAGUGGUUGCACAGUACCAGUUCGACUUCGGUCUGCGUCCGUCCGUGGCAUACCUGCAGUCCAAAGGUAAAGACAUCGAAGGUUUCGGCGAUCAGGAUCUGCUGAAAUAUGUUGAUGUAGCCGCGACCUACUACUUCAACAAAAACAUGUCUGCUUAUGUUGAUUAUAAAAUCAAUUUGGUGGAUGACAAUCGUUUCACCAGUGCUGCUGGCAUCUCUACUGAUGACAUUGUCGCACUUGGUUUAGUAUAUCAGUUUUAAUUAUUUACCAAACACCGGCCUUGGUGGCCGGUGUUUGUGUCGAUAUGAUGGAUAAGAUAUGAUGGAUAAUAAGCCAUUAAAUAAAAAAGAACUUGAAAGUAUUUUCCUUACUUCAGGGGCUUUUAAUCCGAAGGGGUUGUAUCUGGGGGAGGGGUUUCGUAAACAGGCCCUUGAAUUGGGUUUUCCUCCAUAUAUUUUACCCACAGAGAUUAACAUUGUUUUGCAUUAUUCGCCUGAGUUGAGUGUACGAACUUUUGUUUCUACUUUAUGGAAUACUGGUGCUUCAUUAACUGAAGUGAUUCAUUUAGAACGGAAGUCUUUUGUUUUUAAAUCUCCUCGCCCAUAUGUUAAAGUAUUAAGUUCUGAAACUGAAUCAUUGUCGUUAGAUAACGAUAAUAGAUUGUCUCCCCGCCGGAAAAUUCCUUUACUUUCCCCAUAUUAUAUAGCUCAAGUUAAGUUAUUGAUUGCUACUUUGAAAAUAGCGGGUAAUACUUGCGGCGAUUCCACCAAACCUAGGAGGAUAUGGGAUGUGGACAAUUUCAUUGCGACAUCAUGGAUAGAUAAUGCUAUUAAACAUGCCAGAUUGGAUGGCGUGAUUUUUCCAGUAGAAGUCACGCCGGAUGCAAUUAAACACGCAUUUGCAAUGAAUAUGCUGAUCUUGGGAGUUGAGCCAUCAAUAGUAAUGAAGUUAAUGGGGUUUAAAAGGAAUAAGUGGCUUGAAAUAUAUUUGAAAGUUAAAUGCUUAAUUAUGUCCUUGGAGAGGGAUAUGUGAUAAAAAGCGAUGCUUUGGAUCAUGUUGAGGUGCUCGAAAUUGCGACACACUCGAUCAACUAUACGAGGCUGGAUAAUUGUACGGUUUAACCCCCCACUCCCCACCCAUACAGUUGUAUGCAAGGCCUGCAGAGUGGGGAGGACUGAAGAUUUUUUCGAUGGCUGGCGUGAAUAUGGAAUGAUCUGCAGUCGUAUAGAGUUUUUAAUUAUUCAUUUAUCACUGCUGAGCAAAGUGCGAUAAAUUAAACCGCCCAGUAUCCCACCAAUGAUUGGCAUGACCCAGAAUAACCAUAAUUGUUGCAAUGCCCAACCGCCCUGAAAAAUCGCUACCGCAGUGCUACGCGCCGGGUUUACCGACGUGUUGGUGACCGGAAUGCUGAUCAGGUGAAUAAGCGUCAGUGCCAGUCCAAUGGCGAUAGGGGCGAAGCCGGCAGGAGCGCUUUUAUCCGUGGAACCGUGAAUAACCAGCAGGAAGCCACAUGUCAGGACAAUCUCUAUCACAAUGGCGGAAAGCAUUGAGAAGCCGCCCGGAGAGUGUUCGCCAUAACCGUUCGAAGCGAACCCGCUAGCGGUGGCGUCGAAGCCCGCUUUACCGCUGGCGACAACAUACAGAAUAGCGGCGGCGAUAAUACCGCCGACGACUUGGGCGAUAAUAUAACCAAUUACGUCUUUGGCCGGGAAACGACCUCCAGCCCAUAAACCUAAAGUCACUGCCGGGUUAAAAUGUCCGCCGGAAAUAUGACCGACGGCAUAUGCCAUGGUUAAUACCGUUAAACCGAAGGCCAGCGCCACCCCAGCAAAACCAAUUCCUAAUCCCGGGAAUGCUGCCGCAAGGGAAGGUGCGAAUAAGCGGGGAAAUUCUUCUCGGCUGACUCAGUCAUUUCAUUUCUUCAUGUUUGAGCCGAUUUUUUCUCCCGUAAAUGCCUUGAAUCAGCCUAUUUAGACCGUUUCUUCGCCAUUUAAGGCGUUAUCCCCAGUUUUUAGUGAGAUCUCUCCCACUGACGUAUCAUUUGGUCCGCCCGAAACAGGUUGGCCAGCGUGAAUAACAUCGCCAGUUGGUUAUCGUUUUUCAGCAACCCCUUGUAUCUGGCUUUCACGAAGCCGAACUGUCGCUUGAUGAUGCGAAAUGGGUGCUCCACCUUGGCCCGGAUGCUGGCUUUCAUGUAUUCGAUGUUGAUGGCCGUUUUGUUCUUGCGUGGAUGCUGUUUCAAGGUUCUUACCUUGCCGGGGCGCUCGGCGAUCAGCCAGUCCACAUCCACCUCGGCCAGCUCCUCGCGCUGUGGCGCCCCUUGGUAGCCGGCAUCGGCUGAGACAAAUUGCUCCUCUCCAUGCAGCAGAUUACCCAGCUGAUUGAGGUCAUGCUCGUUGGCCGCGGUGGUGACUAGGCUGUGGGUCAGGCCACUCUUGGCAUCGACACCAAUGUGGGCCUUCAUGCCAAAGUGCCACUGAUUGCCUUUCUUGGUCUGAUGCAUCUCCGGAUCGCGUUGCUGCUCUUUGUUCUUGGUCGAGCUGGGUGCCUCAAUGAUGGUGGCAUCGACCAAGGUGCCUUGAGUCAUCAUGACGCCUGCUUCGGCCAGCCAGCGAUUGAUGGUCUUGAACAAUUGGCGGGCCAGUUGAUGCUGCUCCAGCAGGUGGCGGAAAUUCAUGAUGGUGGUGCGGUCAGGCAAGGCGCUAUCCAGGGAUAACCGGGCAAAUUCAUGAUGGUGGUGCGGUCAGGCAAGGCGCUAUCCAGGGAUAACCGGGCAAACCGACGCAUGGAGGCGAUUUCGUACAGAGCAUCUUCCAUCGCGCCAUCGCUCAGGUUGUACCAAUGCUGCAUGCAGUGAAUGCGUAGCAUGGUUUCCAGCGGAUAAGGUCGCCGGCCAUUACCAGCCUUGGGGUAAAACGGCUCGAUGACUUCCACCAUGUUUUGCCAUGGCAGAAUCUGCUCCAUACGGGACAAGAAAAUCUCUUUUCUGGUCUGACGGCGCUUACUGCUGAAUUCACUGUCGGCGAAGGUAAGUUGAUGACUCAUGAUGAACCCUGUUCCAUGGCUCCAGAUGACAAACAUGAUCUCAUAUCAGGGACUUGUUCGCACCUUCCUUAGUUACUGUUCCCAUUCAUCCGGAGAUACAUGAUGUCUAACCUGUUUGCACUGCUGGCCGCUAUUGUACUUCUUUUCAUCGCUGUGUAUUCACUGGUGUCAUAUCUGAAAGACCAACGUAGAUCAAAAGGAAGCUUUAAACGCUAAAAUCAUGACAGUAUUAGCUACCGUCACCGUGUAUCAUUCACAGACGGAGCGGAUACUAUACAUGGAGUGACAGAGAGCAUGAUUUACGUCAUUACGGACAACCAGUUUCUGUUUGCUGGAAUUGAGUUAAUACUCAGAAAGUAUGAGAUCACCGUAUACCAACUAUCAGCGGAUGACCUCAGAAGCCAUAAGGUCCGUAAGGACCAUGUAUUUUUCAUUGAAUGCCCACUACGUGAGGAAAAUUUACAUUCACUGAGGAAGCUCUAUCAAUACGGUGCACGUGUCUGCUAUCUGAUGCGCAGUUCAAUAGAAUGUGACCGAAAGAAUGCCUCACAGUUUAUCGAUAUCACAACCGAAAUGAAUGUGUUUAUCGCUAAAGUACUGAAAACGAUCAAUAACUCUGCAUGUCCACCAGCAGUUAAUAUUGUCCGGUUGACUAAUCAGGAAUUCACCGUAGCGCGUCUCGUACUUUGUGGCCAUUCCGAUGUGGACAUAGCGUCUGAAUUAUUAAUCACCAAACGAUCAUCCCAGGACCAUAUCAAUCGGGUUCUGAAAAAACUGGGGGGUAAAUCCGUCGCGGAUAUCUACCUUCAGCGGAAUGUGAUUUACGGGAGUGGUACAACACUACAGAAACAGAAGUCACGGUAGUGACGUACAUCCGCCUGAUGUAACCCCGCCCGCAUGCUUCCCGUCGCCAGUGCGUAAACCCGCCCCGAUAUUCCUUGGGGGGCCAUUUGUGAAAGUUACUUUUACUGAAUGUGAACCACUCUUUCUUCGAUGCUGGUGGAUAACCUGUCCCGCCGAACCAGCCACCUGGCUCAACGGGAUAGUAUUAAGAUUAUGACCGCACAAGCAGGGAUGCAUCAUCAUGGUAGGAAUGACGAUCAGGCUCAGCACUACCAAUUUGCACCCCGGAGUGGUCCGGCGUCAGAAUCAAGCCACCCUGUGCUACAUGCAUAUGCAGGAGGAUAUCACCUCCGGCCACGUUAAGAUGCAAAGCAGGGACACCGUGGUUAAUCUCCAGCCGUACACCAAAGGAUGGCUCACCAGACUCGUCCUCAAGUUCAAGUGAUAUCUGGUUUGCUAUAUGGAGGGUAGCGGUGUAAGGCCUUCCGUCUUCCUCAUGCAACAGCUCACAGCCUUCCGCAAUUCGCCAGUCUGCCAUUUUGAGUUUUAACUGCUGUUCGAUACCCAGUGCAAGACCGGCAUUACUUAACAUCCCCUGAAUAUCUGCUCGCUGUGAUUUCACUGUUGCAGGAACAGAUACAGCCUCCAGAACAUCAGCUUCUUUCCAGCCUUCAAUGUGAUAGUUUGCCCAGACAUUUUGCUCCAGCGAAGGGAGACGGUCAUCUGCUUCAAUAUGCAGACAGGGUGUGCUGUAGACAUCUGAAAGAUAGGGACUCGAUAUAUCUCCGUCAGUCACCCCGUUAACGAUACCACCACAGAAAUCAGCUACAACACAUCCUAUGGCCUUCAUGAACUCCUGAUGAGCGACACGUGUGUCCAGUUCGCCCAGCAGUUCAGGUUUAACCAGUAGAGCGGUUACAAUUUCGGCCAGUUCAGCAGGUAAAAUUUGUUUUGUCAUCUAGUCACCGGAGUUUCAGUUAAAUAGUGUGUUAAGAGGCGGGAGACCAAUUCCCGCCUCCGUGGAUCACAUCACCUUAAGGUACUUUGCCAUCACCCGGUACUCAUCCGGAGUAACAGGCUCCAGGAGGGCAUUUUUGAGAGAUGAACAAGAGGAAAAUUUAAUGCUACCGUCGAUAUUGGUUUUUCCACCACUUCGAUAGUUAAGCAAUAUUUCAUUAUAGCGCUGAGAUGCAUCUACAUUAGACGGGCAACAUAGAAUGAAAGUCACAGGACAUUCCAGCUCACCGAUAACCUCAGUAAAAGAACAGAAGUAAUAGUGCAUGCGUUCAGUAAAGGCGGUUUCUUCAGCUUCAAGAAAAUCGUAAUUCCCCGUCCAGCGAAUAAAUUCACGGGAAACUACGCAGGCAGCACCGCCAUAACCAUCAGUACGUCUGAAGUUAUCGCAUGUAUAAGAUAUCUGAAAAGAUAAAAGCUCAUCUUUCCCGAAGGCAAUUAGAGAAGCCUGGGCAAAAAGCGCUGCAUGCUCUGAAUUGAAAUUACCGCAAUCACUGUGGACAAGGAAACCCUCAGAACAUAUUUCACCAUCAAAUGACCAAUCGCAGUCUUCAAUAACUUCAACUGUAGUUUUGUCCGGGUGAUUCAGCACACAGUGACGCACAACACGUUCCAUUUCAGAAAGACCGUCAUGGCUAUCACCAGAUGUAAUGCGUUGAAUAAAAUCAUUGUCAGGCUCAAACAACUCAUGCAUUGCUUCUAACAGAACUUCACUUUGCGCUGGUGUAGCUUCAAUAACAAACGCAGAAUUUGAAUAAUAGUCAGCCAUUUAAAUCACCUCGAUAUUAACAUUUGCUACAAAUCAAUUGCCCGGAUAGAGAGUCCAUCAUACUAAAUAAAAACUGUGCAUCAAGAGUCUAUUUUUAUUUAAAACAAAAACAAAAAACAUUACCGAGGUGUUUUCUGAAUGUUUUCGGCAUGCCGUGGAAUUUAUAAUAUAAACACUCACAAAUUACAAUAAAAAUAUAUUGGCUCAUCAUGCCGUAAUUUCUUAAAAAGUACACCAGUUAACUUACAAGUUCAUUUAUCUGACUGAAAAGCAAUACUCAAUGGCAAUGCUGAAACACACAAAUUGUAUUCCAAUAAAGUCAUUGAGCUAAGGACAUAAUCAAUUUCGUCAAGUAAUUCAUGUAAUGAAUUGCACCAGAUAUAAUCACUACGAUAUCGGGUAACCCAAAAUUUUGACCACCAUGUUCUUAGCAUCAUGUAGAUAUCGCUUUCACGAAGACACUGACCGUGGAUCUCAUCGUGCCAGUCCCUGAGCCAUUGUUUAUGCUCUCCUGGACGGCAGAAAAUGAGGCGCUGGCUUGAAACGGUCUUAGCGUUCUGGAACGAUAUUUCUUUUGAUUGCAAAUGGCUGGUGGUCUUACGCUGGUCACGCAGUUCCAUAAUUUUUUCACGGUGAUCGCGUCGCUGUGAUACCCGGUUCUGUAUGCCUGGAAACAUCGCAACAGCCACAGACCAUGAGAGCGGCAGGGUAAAGACUUCUCCACGCGUAUCAAUAAGGAGAUCGAUAGCACGCAUGUAAUCCAUUUUUGUCGACUCACCGCGAACUGACGGGUCAUAAGAUGCAUCGACCUGACGGACAUCACUCGAUGUAAUUUGAGCCUUACCCGUUAAUGCUCUGAAAAAGGCUUUUGCAUAGGCCAGCUCCCCCAGAUUCCUGCCCAUUGUUCGACGGUGUUCCACGUAGGCUACAGAAGCCAUUGCACAGUGUUGAUACACGCCAAGAGGAACAAGUGCUGUACUUUCCAUGAAAUUAACCCCUCAUUUAAAAAAUGGACUAGUUGAUAUGAAUAUCCUACCAGGUUUUAUUUCUUACGUAAGGGGGGUGUUUUUAAAUAUGAAAUCAACAGGAACCAAAAAACCCGGAUAAACACUGAAUGUAUAUGAAAGGGUACAAAGAGUGAAAAAAAAUCCUUUUGAAAACCUCAGUGUUAAGAUGAUUUCGUGAAUGUUAUCUUUGGUUUUAAAGGGGCAGCAUGAAAUAUAAGCCCUAAGGGUUGUAAGUGGCUUCGUAAACUACUAUGCGCCAACCACUAUCUCACGAAUACUAUAUCUUUUAACAUCUUCAGUCUUUUUCGUGUCAAGCGUUGCAUUCCACUACAUACUUACAAUGCCGUUUAUAAGGGUCUGGUAUGUUAUUUCCAUGGUUUACUUCAGAGAUGCCGGGAUAUCCCAUUUAAUGGAAAAGAUGAAAGAUGGGAUAGAGAUAUGUUAUUUUUUAAAUCUACCGGCAUCAUGUUUAUAUGUGGCAUAUAAAACUUGGAUAGAUUACAGAAGCGAUACGAUUACGCUACCUUAAAAUUCAACACCAAUGGAUAUCAUCAAGUCCGGCAAAUAGAAAAGGGAAGACCAGAUAAUGCCAAGGCCUUCCCAUGCAAACUAACUGAUAAUGCUCUCAAUUAAAGAAUAAAUAUAGACUCUGUCAGCAUGGCAACCCGUUAGCGUUACGGGAUCAAAAACGAUAUUGUCAGUAUCGACAUAACGGAGACGAAGGUAAACAUCCUUCCUUAGUUCAUUUCUCCUGUUUUCCAUAUGGACUGGAGAAUAAUCCCUUGGAGCUAUUAGCAUUAUACAUAAGGCAGCGACAAUGCCUAUUAUCAUAUAAAAGUAAAACGAACUUUCAAAUAACUCUACUGCUGUCUUUGACAACUCAAAGUCAGUGAGAAUGAGAACUCCAUAUGCACCAUAAGUGAGAAUGUUCAAUGCGAUGAAUCCCACAGCCAGGUACAUUAACAGUUCAUGCAUUCUCGAUAUAUCCGGUUCUGCUGUUUUGCCCUGAGGAGGCGCAAAAAUAGCCGAUCGCCCCGUCUGAUUUGUUUCGCUACCAGAGUAUCCGCCACCUCCCAGAACUACGCCGGACUGUGAUAGUCCACCGCCUAAAAGUGCGCCGGAUUUUUGAGUGGUUGUCGUCUCUCGCAGAUAUAAACCACUAAUGGAUACUCCAUCAGUGGGGCCGUAGCUGACCUCAAUAAUUUUCAUAAAAUCAUCCGUUUGUUCAGGUGACAACCAUCUUAACAACUGCGGUACCCGGCGUUUUUCCAUACGGGCAGGAAAAUUGCUUUUAACCAGAAAUUUUUUAGCUCUUCAUAUCUGGACAUAAAAAUGUCGAGCAGGACUGAUCACUACUCGCUGGGUAAAUGCUAUUCUUCGUGAAAACCGGCAAAGGAUUCAACUAACCAGGGGUGGUUUGUUGAAUGUGGAGCAUUCGGCCCUUUGCCGGUUUGACACUUCCCGGCUGUACCCGACAACUCUGAAUCUGCAGGAUAUUAAACUCUGUCCUGACCAUCUCGUUGAACACGACUGCGCUGCUCAAUUCCUGUUCAUAACCAUGGUAGUUGCGUGACAGUGUCACAUAUCGCCGAAAAUAUGAGUAGUACCGCAUCGUGAAUGCCACAUGCAAAACAGAUAGCAUGCUAACACUAACUCCGUGCAUCUGGUUUUAGAUUAAUGAAAAAGCAUUUCAUUAAUCUCACCACAAUCCGUCCGGAAAGAUAACUUCAGAUUUUAAGGAUUAUGGCGAUCGGGUAUCUAUUUGGUUGAGUUUCAGGCAUUUUAACACUUCGAAUAAAUACCAUUAUUCAAUGUGUUAAAUUAAUGUGACUUUCCCCGAUAUGUGGGUGACCGGCUUUUGACCUGAGAAAAAGUUACUUUUGGAGUGGUUUUCACACAGGUGGCGCUACGUGAAAUCUGGAAAAAAACGGAGGGGUGAGUACGUCAGAUUUCACGUAGCGCACGCGAUGCAAAAUAUACCUUCUGGAUGAGAACGGGCCGGUUUACGGUUCAGAAUGGAAGUCACCGGAUGAAGGACUGCAGGGCUGAACCCCUUUAUACGCCAAAAGUUACUUUUACACUUGGCGGGAAGAAGAACGGUAGGGGGCAAUCUCGUCCUUGUUUGCCGUCAUGAGCAGCAUGGUCAUGUUAUUUAAGAGUCUUGCGAGAAAGGCAGGCAGGCUUUCCGGUCAGAAUGUUUAAAAUAAAACAUUAACGAUAUAGUUGAUACUGGUCUGGAUUAUUAAAUAAUUUUCAAAACAAACACAUUGAAACCAUGCCCUAUAAUUUAUGAUGUGAUAUAUAAUUAUAAAACUGAAUCAUGUUUAGAAAAGUAAUGGACUCAACAGCACACGACCAGGUGCAUUUAUCACCCUGUGUAAUAUACACAUGAAAAUAGACCAGCAGCAUAACGAGGAGGAUGGCGGUAAGGCCCUGAAGCUUUUUUUAAACUACGUCAGUAGCGAAACGAUACGACUAAUCCCGAAUACCCAAUAAAUCUUAAUGACAGUAAGCAUGUUAAGUUUUAGAAAAAUAACUUUCUACAUUGAUAAAGGAACGACUAUGAACAUCAAAGGUAUACCACACUCUCAAGACACUGGAUUAGAUUUUAAUUCAAAAUUAAGCGACGACCUUACGCUCAGGAGAACCCUGUUAUUUGUGACUUACUCAAUCAUUCCUGUUAUUGCUCUCUAUUACUUCUCACCGUUUCUGGCUGAAGCCACGAUAAAUGGUGUCUUAUCAGUUGGAAUUGAGCUUAAAUAUGCGAUGCUUUUUCAUUUUCUGGUAACCUGGGUGAUUUUCUGGGGAGCAAUAAGUGUACAACGUGAUUUAUAUCAAGGCUUUAGGUUGGUGUAUUUCGGCGUUAAAUCUUUAAUAAACAAAAAGGGCCAAUAGGCCCUUUUUACUAUAAGCGUAUGGCUGAAAAACAACUUCCAUUGGUUAUACAAACUUUAACAAAAGGUACAUUUUUACUAUUCUUAACUACGCUUUCGAUAAAAGAGAAUUCUUCAAACUUUUUUAAACGUCCGUUUCUGAGUUCUUCUUGCACUAUUUCAGUGGGUGAGGUAAUCGUUAGGAUGUCACCCUCUUUGAUUUGAUGGUAACUAAAAACCCCGAUCGUAUCGUUUUGACCGAUUCUAUAAUAGUUCCACUUAACGCCAGUAACUUUCUCCUGGGUCGUUGUUUUUCUGACAUCGGAAGGGUCAACUUUCUUUACUGAUAUUGGAUUACCUGAUACAAACCCUUCACUAUCAUUGUAAGUGGUAGCCACUUCAUGAUCGAUGCCUCUCAACAUGAAAUUAGAUAAUGAUAAAUAUGCUAUGUAAAGUACUAUUGCCAGCCAGAUGCUAAAAAAGAAAACUUUAGACACAACUGUUUUUACUGUUGGCAUGAUGAUCUCCUUAACGAUGUAAAGCAGGUAAUAAUCUCAGGAUAAGAAUAACAUGAUUAGUUUGUAAAAGUUUAAAAUAGGGGCUUAAUUAAAUUUUAUUAUCCCAGGUAAAGAAGGGAAGGGUGAUAUAGCCAGAAAUGGAUUAAGUGUUCUUUUGCAAACUGUACUGUCUGCAAAAAAAGUAACUUUUCUGAGAUCGAGCAAAUAGCAUGCGUAAUCAAUCACAAUUAUUAUGUGAAGCAAUACAGUUGCCUGGAUUGAAAGGCGGCGUAGCUGUGACUAACAAACGAAUGAGAGGGGCAAUAAAUUGCCUUUUAUCAGUCAGAACUCAACCAUGGUAGUGGAGAUGUGAAGCCGGGGAAGGAGUAAAGGGCCGAAGCCCUUAUAACCUGGGGCUAACUUCUGGCUUUCGGUGGCAACUGAGGUAAGGGGCCAGCCGGUGCAACCCAUGAUGCCCAACCGUUCUUUCCAUAUCGUUCAUUAUAGUAACUUUCUUUAAUCGCCUUACGGGCCAGAUAUGAAGCUGUAUCCAUGCCAAAUACCUCAAUAGGAAACAGUUCAUGCCCCCCUGUAUCCGUCAGGCAGAAAUCAGGAAAGACAUCAUUAUUAGAGGCGUCAUAUCUUAGUGGCUUGAUGAAAGCUCUUCCCUGGUUAUGAAGAUAAUUAAGCAUAGUCAGUUCAUAGCUGGAAUCUGCAGGGAUCCAGUUAUCAUCAACGUUCAUCAGGGCGAUCUGGAGGGGCUUGAGGUAGUACGUAUCUUUACCCUUAAACUUACCAGGUUCGCCUAUAGCAAUACAGAUGACAUUGCCACCUGCUCUCCAGUUUGCUAUCUCAGAGGGGAAUCUCUUCUCCAGUAACGUCCAGUCCUCUGUAUUCAUCAGCACGACCGGCACGCCAGAAAAAUACCUUACCGGAAGCCGCUUUGACACAUUCGAAUGUUUCUCGUAGUUAUAUUUAGACAACGCAUUGAUGCAAAUCAGACGCUCCUUGCUUUGCAUAACCGCAUCUGUCAUUUUUAUGUUUUUGGUUUCCUGAGGAGUAGAAGGAUAUGUGCCAACCAGUAAAUGUGUGGAGAGUGGAUGUGAUGCAAUUUUAAUUUUUUCCGAUGAACUGGUAAUAAGGUUGAAUACCUUUCCUGGAUUACGUUUCCCGGUCAUUUUGGGAUACCAGCGAUUCAGACCACUGUCAUCCCACAGGAACUGGAGCAAACCUAGCAGCGACAUGCUAUUUUGCGAAACGCCACCAGGUGUGUUCCUGUUAUCUACAGGCACGAUCGAGGUAGAUUCGGAGUCAGAUGAAGCUAAUGCAACGUCGAGUCUGAUGCCGAAGCCACCAUCUUUAAGGUCUUUGACUACGCCAUGUGUAUAGCAUUUUAACCCGGAAUUAUCUUUAUCCAGUGUGAAGAAAAUACAAUCAGGAGAAUGCUGGCUACCUGUAUUCGGAUACCGUGCCAGAAAAUACGUAUCGCCACCUGUAUGAUAUUUUACGGCAAGUAACUUUGGACCUUUACCCUUACAGGAACAGCUUACCUUCGAGUCUACAGAAGCGUGUGCACGAGAUAAAACUGCAUACCAGCUCUUUUUAAAUUCCUCUUUGGUCUGGAAGUCUCUUGAAUACCUUUUACUGUCCACUCCAUAAGAUACAAUCACAUCAUUUACAGUAGACAUAAGCCCCCCUUUUCCUGAGCUGACAUGCUUUUUUAUUCGCUUUCGGCAAUAAUUUUCAUAUAGAUUGACACAAUAGCAUGUAAUUAAUAAAGUAACCUAUACUUCGAAAGUAACUUUUCAAAUUCAUUGUUUUUUUUCUGUUCAACUCACAAUAAAUGAUUAUCACCCAGAGACAGCAAAUGAUUAAAUUCCGGAUGACCAGAUUUGCCAUUGUCCCUUUGUCCGUAUUUAUUUUAUCGGUGCCGAUGCUUUCCUGUGCUCAAACCAUUUCAGGGAAAGUUGUGCGGGUAAUUGAUGGCGAUACUGUCCAAGUUUAUGACGGCGCUACAAAUACCAGAGUGCGGCUCUAUGGGAUUGAUGCCCCGGAGAGUAAGCAGGCCUUCGGUCAGAAGGCAAAGCAAGCCAUGACUCAGAUGGCAGCAAACAAAGUUGUCGUUAUUGAGGACCACGGGCAGGACGUGUAUGGGCGUAUGCUUGGUACCCUCUAUCUGAAUAACCAGGAUCUUAAUGCCGUUAUGGUCGCAGAAGGCAUGGCAUGGGCAUAUCGUUAUCAGGGGCGGCUAACGGUUCCUCAGUAUGGGUCUCUUGAGCUAAAUGCACGUAACGCAGGUAAAGGGUUAUGGUCUGACCCACACGCGGUAGAGCCACGCCAGUGGCGUAAAGCAAAUAAUUAAGCACUGAGUGACAUUUCAUCCUUUAAGGCAUCGAACCAGCGGUCAUUUAAAAAGUAACUUUUAUUUUGUCGCUGUCAUUCAGAAAUUACAGAAAAAUCGAGGUUUUUUAUGGUCCAGAUUCUCAAUACAACGGGUUUGAAUUAUCACGUAGAGCAAACUAUAGCGAAUGCCGAAGAGCGCAUUAUCCUGAUAAGCCCUUACCUGAAACUAAGCGCCAGAAUUAAGGAGCUAAUUGAAGAUAAAAACCGUAUGAAGGUAGAUAUUCGUAUCAUCUACGGUAAAUCUGAACUCAACCCAAAAGACCAUGAAUGGCUAGUCAGUUUGCCCUACGUACGGCUCAGUUUCUGCCAGAAUCUGCAUGCUAAAUUUUAUGCUAAUGAAAGUCAGAGCCUGAUAUGCAGCCUGAAUCUGUAUGAUUUUAGUCAAAUCAAUAACCAUGAACUGGGGGUAUUAAUUGUAAAAGAUGAAGACCGGGAAGCAUUCAAUGCUUCUAUUACCGAGGCCCAGCGUUUAAUCCGGAUCAGCACAGAAAACAUUCCAUCCCCAACAUCAUUGCAAACCGCUGACUCUGAUUCGAAAAAAAAUCAGGAACAGAAAAAAGAUUUUUCGAAAUCAUCCACAAAAAAUGACGAAAAAACUUUCGUAUCCAUUGAUAACAAAACAACUGAUUCGGAUGACAGCGCAGGAAAAGACGAUGAAGCUAAUGCCGAGCCUGCAAAUAAACUAACCACUACAAAUUUAUCAAAACAGCACAAGAUGGGGUUAUCCGACAUGUAUACGAAGCUUAUCACUGCGGGAUACCUCAAAGAUAAUGAUGGUAAGUAUGAAUUGACAACGUUAGGGAUUUCCAUUGGCGGUGAAAGCAAACCUAAUCGAUACAAGAAAAAUGGAGAGAUGUAUUUCCUGUGGCCUUCUGAUAUCUCUAUCUAAUCUGGCCUGCGGCUAAAAUAGUAGGGUGGUUUUGAUAACAAAGCCACUCUUGAUUGAAUCAUUGCUCCAAUGCUUCUACCCAGUCAUCAAUCUCUUAACGAUACCCGCCUGAAAGUUACUUUUCUCCAACUACAGCAAUAUUAUGGUCAAAAUUCCGCGUUCGCUCUAUAUGAGUAUGUGAAUUUAAAAAAGGGUAUUGACGAAGCGAUCUAAUAUGUCAUCCUUUUAAAAAAAAGGAGAUAAUAUGACAUCCCACGAACUGAAAGAAACUAAUCUUGUAGAAAGCGUUGUGUCUGAGCGGGACAUGGCAAUGAAUCUUUUUAUUAAUGGAUUAACUGCAAUAUCCGAAGCGGAAAAACUGAUGGGCAUCUCCCUUAUUGAUCAGCUCAGAAUUGCAUAUGUUCGCUUUAACCCUGCCCAUUUAGAUAAACAGAUAGAGAGGGCGAGAGUUUUGAUUGAUAGAGAAUCAUGGAAGAGACUCAUCGACAGAACAUCAUUAAAUAUCUACUGGAAUGCACCUCAACUAAAAUCAUUUAUUGACGAACUGGUAACAGAACCACCAAUUAUGACGAUUCAGUCAGCAAGAGAGAAAGUGGCUCAUACGGUUAACAAUCGGGCAGACAUACUCUGCGAGGGUCUGGUUUCAUGCCUGGGUAAUCUGAGCCAUGAUUUUAAAAAGAACGCCCGUAGCUUUGUUAUUAAUGAAAAUAUGGUUAUAAAGAACGGGUUCAAGAAGGAUGUAUACUACCUUGACAUGACGGAUCGAGACCUGAACAGCCUCAAUGAUCUUUACAGGAUUUCCCGGUACAUAGAAGGGCUAUCUUACAGCCAGCAGGAUGUUAUCGUACCUAAGCUUUUUGCUCUUAGAGAGAAGAAUGAUUAUCAGAAAGUUGACUAUAUCGACAAGGAUUUAAAUAUUAAAUUUAUUGUGUAUGGAAACGGAAACAUCCAUAUGCGGUUUAUGGAUAAAAAGGUCCUGGAUGGUCUUAAUGAUGUGCUUGCAUCAUACCAGAGAAACAACCUGCCUGACGUGAAGUAAAUGCCCCGGCACUGGUUCCCGGGGUUUUAAAUACCUUCGACAGAGAUAAUAAGCUCAACGUCCUGUGAGGCAGGUCCAGGGCCGGUAUUGAUAUGAUUGAGCUAAACAUGACCUCAUACCGUGGCUAUUUUAUAUGACGAAAUAAUUUCACUGGUCGAAAUUUAAACUCGUCCCGGAUGUGCUGCCCGUCUUAUCGACUACUCCAUCUUAUGAUGUACAAGCUCAUUAUCAUUGUGGUUUAACAAACCUACAUUGAGAAGCUUCAAUUUUUGGUUUUGUAUACUCCAGGGUCUGAUACUGUAGGUUUUCUGAACUUUGGUUUGAUUCUUAAGUCUGUAGUAUAAUUUUACAAUCUGUAUAGAAAUUUCUUAUGGUGAAAUAUGAGCCUUAAUGUGAAGAAGCUCUUUGCUAUGAAACGGCCUUGCAAAGAUUGUCCCUUUCUUAAAAAUAAUCCUAUUCCCUUAGUAGAAGGACGCAUCGAUGACAUAAAAUCGACGCUUCUCGCCAAUGACAAUAUUCCUUUUUUUUGCCAUAAAACAACAUACACUACCGGUGCUUUCAAUGACGAUGAGACGGGCCAGUAUCAACCUUCAGGGCAGGAAACAUAUUGCAUGGGGGCUAUGGCAUACCUUUACGCAAAACAAAGAGUUAAUGUGCCGAUGCGGUUAGGUUUAAUCCACGGACUGUGUGAUAUAGAUGAUAUUGAAAAAUCAGUUCCAUACAUAAUCGUUGAGUAAACAUUCAGACUUCACUGUAAUGGUUAAGCCUGGUGAUAUAGACAUCAUCCUGAAAAAAUGAAUCAAAGAACAUUGAUUAUUUUUUUUAUGACCUUUACAAUUUAAAAAUCACCUGUUCAUUGGACUCUUUUACUUGAGUCAUAAACGGAGUGGCAGAUUUUACGAGAUGCAAUUGUUCGUUUUCUAUAAGACAAUGAACAUACCAACACCAGGGCGUAUCCGGGUUACAGAACAUACAGACAGCAUGAGAGCCAGAAUUUUUUAAAUCAUCUCACGAUGAUAAUAAUUUAGCUUGCAACGCCUCCUGCUGACAUUUAACUGUUAAUUUAAUGUUGUUAUGUAGCUGCAUAACGAUGUUCAAGAAGAGGUAACUAUGAGCGAGACAUUACAAGUUCUUAAUAACAUCCGUACACUUCGCGCCCAGGCGCGUGAACUGCCUUUAGAGGUUCUCGAAGAACUACUGGAAAAACUCACUACGGUUGUCUCUGAACGCAGUGAAGAAGAAAAAGAGCUCGAAGCCGCUAAUCGCGAGCGUUUGGAAAAACUCAGUCACUAUCGUGAAAUGAUGAUCGCUGACGGUAUUGAUCCGAGUGAGUUGAUGGAAGCAGCCGUUAACGUUAAAGUGCGCAAGCAACGUGAACCACGUCCUGCUAAAUAUGCGUACAUCGACGAUGCUGGUGAGCGUAAAACCUGGACUGGUCAGGGUCGUACACCAUCUCCAAUUAAAGCUCAACUGGAUGCCGGUAAAACUCUUGAUGAUUUCCUGAUUUAAGCGAAAAAGCUGAGUCAUUCCGAAACCACCUUAAAAAGGUGGUUUUUUUUCAUCCUGAAAAGCCUGGGGUACGUCAGUGGUUCUCUUGUGGUAUUCUUGGUCUUUCACCAGUUGCUGAACUACGCCGGAGAAUUCUUUGACUGUUCUACCUACCAAACGGCCAGAUACUGAACUGGCGCAUUUUUCAUGGUGUAUCCUGAUCGCAGUUGCGCUUGCCCGAAGGGAAGGAAAGAUUCAGUCUUCGCUACAAAUCCAUAUGUUUAUUAUGCAAUGGCUAUCCACUGCCCAGAAACGCAAAUUGUUUCCCAGGUCAUUAGCGCAGGAUAUUCUCUGGUUGCAGGAACAGGGCAAGGUUAAAGGCCCGUCUGCACGCUUAUAUCAAAAGGUUGAAUACCUGUGGCUGGCAAGUUCAGGUGAGUUUACAAAACAGAGUACCUUAUUCCGGUUCACCUGCAUGAUUGACACACUUCGAACAAUGGGGUGGCAGGAUUAUCUGCUGUCGGAUACAGACUGGCAGAAUGGCUGGACAUCCAGCCCCGGAAAGCCUUCUAUUUAUACGCAGCAAUCAACGCUUUCGGAUAAAUUUACUCAAUCAGGAAAGCUCAUCCAGCCUCUUAGUUUACGCCUGUCCGGGUUAACUGACGGCAUUUUUCCCUUGUUAGAGCAGUGCAAGCUAAGUUACGUGUCUCUACCUUCAACCCAGAAAUUUUCCGUUCUGCAGUUAAAUGCUGAUACUAAAGAAUGAGCACGGUAUCCCGGGAAGAAAGACGAUCUCCUCAAAAAGUGAGAUAGAAUACAAUGUUUGACGUUCAAAUUGAGACAGUUAUGGAUUUGUUUAACGGUUCAAGAUAUCUAAUCAUUGCUGGUAUUCUUCUAAUUUAUCUGGUGUUGAUAUUGCGUUUAGUCAGUCAUUAUGAAAUUUAUGCUGUCAUGAACCGUAGACAGGCAGCAUCCAGAACUGGUGAUUAUAAAGAUGAGUCCCCAGAUUUAACUAAACUUUUCAUAAGCAAGAGUAUUGUUUCACUGUGGCUUAACGUUAUUACGUUAGUCUUGAUGAAUGUUCUCAUUGUAAUGAUGUAUGUGUCAGCCUGAGUUUGUUGUGUUCAUAUUGGCAUUUCGUAUAUCAGGCCAUACCCAUAUAAAAUCAAAAGAACCUGUAAAAUCAAAGACUUUGUCAAGGCUCAAUUGAAAUGUCCGUUAUCCAGCUCAAUUAAAAUGACCACUUUGAUCUCUCAUUCUCUUUACUGAUAGACUUUCCUCCGACUGAAACAACAGGAUGAUUGAGCCCAUGCUUCGAUACGAGUUAACGCCGAACAAUGCAGGUUUUAUACUGUGGGGAGAUUCAGAAGCCCUGAAUGAAUUACAUGAACUCAUUCAUUACAUCGUGGAUGAAAGCCCACUGAUUAAAGUUAAAGACGGAUUUAUGUUAUCCCUUGCCUAUGAUAUUCGUAAAGCACGGGAAGGUAAUCGUCGUGUUGAGCAACAUCAGUAUGAUCAACAUGAUACAUAUAAGCUUUAUGGUGUUGAGCUUUUAUGGCCUCUGGUCCUGGUACAGUCCUCAAUACUCAGAAACUCAAUGGGUUAUAUUCAGACAGACAAAAACCAGCUGUCUGUCAUGUAUGCCUUUGAAUACCUGAUAGAAUCAGCAUUAACAGAGUCUGAGAGAACAACGUCGAAUGAUAUUAUGCUAACAGUAAAAUAUGCAUCAGACUCUGAUUUUAAUUUCAUUGAGGAUAAUAUUGACAGCAGGUGCUGCUAUUUUAUCAGCCUAUCUCCGGAGCAAAGAAAAAAGCAGUUAAUCAGUAUUGUUCGUUCUUUUCAUUCUUUAUGGGGUAAGUAUGCCCGUGAAAAGCAGGACAUAAAGAUGCUGAACGAAAUGAAUAAUACAUCAUGGGUCUGGCCGGACAAUAUCAACUGGUGAGCAACCACUGUCCGGCCAGUGAGUACCAUCAGCGGGCUCUUUUACCAAAAAUGUCCUCUGAACGUGACUGAAGCUGUUUGAGUGCUUCGAGCAUGUCAUCAUUAUCCAGUGAGCGCUGGGAUUUCUUCCCUUCCUGCUUUGGCCGUCGUCGGGAAGGGCCAUCUCCAGCGGGAAUUGACUGAGAGCGCGUGUUAUCCCGCUUGCUCUGCACCAGACUGAUAAACUCCAGGGUUCGGCCAAGACGCUUGUUAUCGACAAUCGCGCCCUGGUCGAUUUCUGACAGUCGGUCGUAGGUAGAGUAGGGAAGUAGCGUACCGUUCAGGCGCAGCUCUUUUCUGCCAUCAGGAUAGUGAUACACAUCGAUAUAUUUACCUAUUGCACGGCGACUCAGUUCGCUGUCUUCAAUCAGGUACAACAUUUUAUCAUAUUGUAUCGUCAACGAUUUUGAGACUUUACGUUUUUCACGAACAGUGAAAAUAAGCCCCAGGUCCUCAUCAUGUUCUACAGCACGGUGUACGUCAAAAUCAUGUCGCGGUACUUUGCCAAAACGGCGGUUAUAGUCAGCCAUAUAGGCCUCAGCGAAGUCAUUUGCAGCCUCCAUUGAACAAAUGCCCUGUAACCGCAGCUCUUUGACCAGACGAUCCUGUAAAGUGAGGUGAGCUCGUUCUACACGCCCUUUGGCGGGACUGGUUUCUGCACAGAUAGUCUGGAUGUUCAGUUCAUGCAUGGCUCGCCCAAACUGAGUAUGCCCGUCUCCGCCUGUGGCGUGUUUAUUGUUAACACGAAAAACACCGGCUUUAUCGCUGUACAGUGCCAGCGGUUUACCAUGCUUAUCGAUAUAGCGCCGCGUGGCUUCGAAGUAAGAAAACGUGGACUCCGAUUUAACAAACAACAGUUCCAUCAGUUUGCUGGUUGCAUCAUCAACAUAGACCAGCGCGGUGCAGGCCGGGCCACGGCCUUCAAACCAGUCGUGAUCACAGCCAUCUAUUUGUAUCAGCUCACCAGUACACGGACGCCGGUACCGUGGUUGAGGGAUCCUUGCGGCACGUUGUUUACGGGGAACCCAUAAGCCAGCCCGCACCAUGAUGCGCCGGACAGUUUCUUUGCCAAGAAACAGUCCGUGGAGUUCUUCGAGCUUUUCACGCGCCAGAGUCGGACCGAAAUCAGCAUAACGCGUCUUGAUCAGUUCCAGAGCCUGAUCUGCGAGCCCGGGUGGCAACUGGCGGUUACCACGCAUGCCACAUCGUCUGCUGGCCAUACCAAGCGGUCCGCCUUCACGGUAACGGGCAAGAAGUCUGCGGCAUUGCCUGUCGCUGAUACCGAGGUGCUCGGCCGCACGGCGCGUUGUGAUGCGACGUUCAAUGACGUCCUGUAUAAUCUUGAUCCGGUUGAUCUCUUUCAAAGUAAACACUCCUGAGCUUUCUGCGCUCAUGAUAUGCCUCCCGGUAGUUUAAACGGACCAGUGAAGCUUACCAUAGCGCGGACAUCUGAAUUGAGCCACAGGCGGACAUUACUAUUGAGCCAUUACAGACUUAGUGCGCAUAAUGUACGUUAUGUUAAAUUUAGUCCGCCGUUCAUUUAGUUCAUAACCAGCCACAGACUACGAUCAAUCAUACACUUACCUAUCCCUCUAUCUUCUUCUUGCAUGACGUUAUGUUUGUCGGUUACUCAACUUCCCUCUUCCACCCUUCGAUAUCACCGCUUACUGAAAAGAACCUUUCAAAGCACCUUUUAGUGAUCUAUAGUAGAUGUUCUUAACAGGAGGAUUUAUUAUGGCAUUUCAGGUUUUAACCACCACAGCAGCCAGCAUUACAGAACUUAAACGUGACCCUAUGGGUACCUUCAAUGCAGGAGAAGGUGCACCGGUAGCAAUCCUGAAUCGCAACGAACCCGCUUUUUACUGUGUACCACCAGCCCUGUAUGCUCAGCUGAUGGAAAUGCUGGAAGAUCAAGAGUUGGGGCGUAUUGCUGAUGAACGAAUCGGUGAGGACCGAAUCGAGGUCAACAUUGAUGACCUAUAAGUUAGCCUUCAAUGAAUCAGCUUUGAAAGAAUGGAAAAAACUGGGUCAUACUAUUCGGGAGCAAUUCAAAAAGAAGCUUUCCGAACGGCUUCAGAACCCACGGGUGCCCGCAGCACAACUCCAUGGAGGUAAAGACCAGUAUAAAAUAAAGCUCCAUGGCGCGGGUUACCGACUGGUUUACAGUGUCAACGAUGAAAUUGUGACGGUCACCGUAAUUGGGGUGGGCAAACGCAACAAUGAUGAUAUCUACAACGCAACCCGACACAGAAAUUAAUCACCCCGGAUACCCGAUAAAAAAACCAUAGCUGUUUACAUGCCGUCUGUUUGGAGCUGAUUUUUACGAGGACUGGAGUAACAGUUCCCUUUCCUGUCUCUGCAACAAUGAUUUCUGUAGGCUCUCAAUUGAGAUGGCGGCAAGCGCGAUCCCAAUUUCAUGUUAGAUGCAGAAUGAAUGGGUAAUUUUUAUGACCAAUAUCCUAGUUCCUGAAUGCUUCGUACUGUUAAAUAACAUCUUACAGGCUAUUGAUGAUGCACCCGUUGAGUGCGAUGGUCAUACAUUAAUGAUAAGUAGUGCUUUAAAACAUGCAGGCAUUUCUCAUCAAAGAAUAUACGGGGUUGUCAAAAACCCCAAAACGGAUUUUGAGCUUUAUCCUCAUUUCUGGAUUCAGAUUGGUGACUUCACUCUGGAUUACCGGCUCAGGAUGUGGGUUGAGUUUUAUUCAGGUGAAGAACUUGCAAGGUUCGCCCCUCACGGGAUAUUCCAUGUUCUAGGGCUUGAGUAUCAAUACGCCUCUGGUUCCCUUUGCCCACCAGCAGAGCUUGACUUUAAUUUAUUGAACUUUAUGAGUGAUGGUUUUUACGGAAAAAUUAACCAUACUGAACUUACCGCUCUGGCACAUUCAGUAAAUUUAAUUCACUUAACCUGUGUAAAGAAUCCUUGAUAAACAUGUCGAAAAUACAUCUCAUUACUACAUGUGCGAAAAGUAAAAAUGGCCCGGUUCUGGAUACGGUAUUUCCCUACCAUAUUCCGGAUACAUGGAAUGCGUACCAGCAAUGGAAAUGUCUUGUACAGUCCCGAUACACAUCGGGUAAAGAUGAAAUUACUGAAACCCAAAACAUUUACCGUGGCGCUCACUGGAAUACGGCAAAGUCUAUUGCAGCCUCACAUUCCCGUAUCUGCCUCUGGGUUAUUUCAGCAGGUCUGGGCCUGCGGCACAGUUCUGACCCCGCCAUCCCUUAUGAAGCGACGUUUUCGCAGCCGGGAAAAAAGAGCGCCCGCAUCUGGGGAAUGCUGACCUCCGACCCUGUUCUGCCAGGAAAAGUAACUUCUCUUGCGGAGCUGUUAAGUUUGUACCGGCACGAUAUCUUUGUCAUCGCCGCCUCUCCCGUCUAUCUGAACGCUGUAGAGGACGAUCUGAUUAAAGGAGUGGCUUAUCUCACCUGUCCAGGAGAACAGCUUACAAUCGCUUCCAGCGCUUCCUACAACGGCAGAUUAAGGGAGUAUGUGCGAUACGGUGAAAGCCGGAUGAUGAAAGACCUUAAUUCGAACAUGACAACUCUGAACAUAAAGCACGCUGGCAAGCUGAUCCAUGAGAUGGGGAGCAAGCCAGACACAGUAUGUUGAAUUUUCUUCCGCACGUUUACCGGAACCGGAUUUCCCCCGAUCCAACGACAGAACAAUCACGAUCCACCGGAUUUCCCCAGACCACAACAUCACCGGAGCCUGUCACCCUGGCCUUCACCGAUUCACAUACCCAUGUUCUGACAUCGCCGGAGCCUCUGACAUGCACAUCAGCGGAUAAAGACAUCAGCUGAUCUGCGUUAACGUCACCUGACCCGGCUAUAUCAAUCCUGAGGCGCUCUACCGCGCCUGCCAGUUUAACAUCGCCUGAACCCUGGACCGAUACAGAAAGAUCGGAUUGUUUUAUGUUGUACAGGCUCACAUCACUACUUCCCUGCACAAUGACAGCAGAGACGGCCACCGGAUCCGUUGGAGACAGGAUCGCGGCAAGCGUAAAUCCGGCGGCCACCGUGAUCGCCGGGAUAAGCCAGUGAAUAAACCAGCCAAUGCCAAUAAUGGUGACCAGGACAAGGCCAAUUGCCAGUGACAGGAUGGGUUUCAGAUCACUGAAAAAUGCAUCCUUGGGUAUUCGCCAGCCAUCCAGAAACAACAGCGGCGGGAUGAACAACAGCAGGAAGAUAUGCGGAUCGAAAUCAACCUGGAAGCCUCCGGCAGCAAGACCCGCCCCGGCAGCUAUCUGAAGCAGGGGUAAUGGAAUUUUUACGGGCAACAAAUGAGAUAUAAACACAGUAACAACUAUCGCCAUCAUGAAAACAAGGACAAUGGUGAUCAGCGACAUAUUGCCCCUCCUCUUCCGAUGGCAAACUCUUCAUGCAUAUUGGUUCAUCCUUAUGGGCUGGUGGUACUCAUAAUGCGCUUAUUCUAGGGGCGCGGGGAUCACCGGACAAUAUGAAAUGCUGUCUUUUCUGUUAAACCUUCCCGGCAAUCCGUUGAAGACAGCCCCUUACCUCUGGCUUGAGUAUCUGCGUUUCAUAAUCGGCGUUUAUUUCAUCGCGUACAGAAUAUGAAACGCAUGCCUUCAUACGAUAUACUGACGAUAUUUCAUGAUGACUGCUGAUACUGUUUCGUCAGUCAUCCCCUCUCUGUAUUUUGUAGACACCAGAUUUUCACACCCAGGUGGAAAACGGUGCGACUCAUCAUCUAUAAUAAUAAAAUGACUGAUACCCAGAUAUCGGGCAUUUGAAAGGCACUCCCUGUACCGGAUAUAUUCAAUAUCCGGUACAUCCUGAAGUGAAGGCGUAACGCCAAUGAUUCUGUGCCGGUAUGAAACCGGGAAAAGAUGCUUUAGCCCCUCUAAAGACAUCGUCUCCCUCCAGCUGCUGGAGAUCACUAUGAGGAUUUCAGGGCAUUGAAUUAAAAUUUCUUCCAGCAGGGGCAUUUUUUCAAAGGACUCAUUCAUUCUUCGAUGUAGAACACCAUCAAAAUCAAGAUAGAGCAGAACAGUACCUUCUGGAUGAGUUCCAGUUGCUGCUUCAUGCGAGGCUGAAAAUUCAUAUGAUUGAACAUUUCGAACACGCCUUUUGUUUAAACUGUCGUAUAACAUAGCACUAAGAAUGAGAAUAACCACAGAGGCGGCAAACACCACCCCACUAGCAGAAAGUGAAAACAAAGCCCCUGUCAUCUCUCCCCCUUCUUCUCUUCAUACUUGAUUUUAAGAGUAGCAAACCCAUCAAACUCUUUAUUUUCAAGAUGAAAUUCAUCUGCUAUUAAUUUCAAUCCUCCCAAUGAAGAAAAUGGCGGAGCUGAUAAUUUAAUAUCUUUUAUAACAUCCGUGUUACUUACUGCUGUAUUUAUAUCCUUCAUGGCUUUAUUCAACCAAAAAUGACUAUCCGCCAUAAGCGAAAGAACAUACUGUACAUCUUGUUCUCUUUCACAGAUUAUGUUUCUUCCAUCAAACUUAACUGUCUCCUGGUUGAAGUAUUCUGCCAAAAACUUCAAAUGUGCAUUGCUUAAAGAUAAGUUUCUGUAAGCGUCUUUCAUGCCGCCGUUGUACUGAGAGUCAGCCAGAUGAAAAGCCUUAUAGACUUCCUCAUACUUUUUAUGCAAUCUUUUUUUUGACUUAAUGCUCUUAAAUAGCAUGUAAGAUAAAAUAAUAACCAUAAUCAUCAUGCUGUUGAAAAGAAUGUUAUGUUCAAACAUAGAUAUGACCUUCUUAUAAUUAAUGUAGAGUAAAAUACCUGGCUCAAGCUUCAUUAAAGCAACCUAAGGAAGGAAUAUGUUUAGUUGCCUUUUGCUUUAUCAAUGGCCUGCUGCAAGCGAUAAGAAUCAGGCGCACCGGGAAUAAUGGUGGUAGUUUUGUUUUGCGGGUUCUUAAUGUUCAUGACGAUGAAUACCGGAGUACCACUAUAAUUGAGCUUAUCAGCCAGCAUCAUAUUCGCAUCAAGCACAUUCUGGAGUUGGUCACGUAGCUGUGCAGUCAGAAGGAAGUUACCGUGUUCGUCAAGAAUAUCUUUAUACCCCAGCCCAUGAACCAGCGUUGCCAGAUUCUGCGGUGAGUAAUCCUUUUUGGACUGAAGCGCUAUUCCGGUCUCGUUCAUUAAUUUAUUAUGAAACUCAUAAUAUUUAUCCUUACCGUAUGUCCUGAAAAUAUAAAGACCAAUUUUUGCGCCCAUACCUGAAAUCGGAGUACGGUCUGCGAAAAUAGUGAAGUCUUUAAAGAACGUUCGCACAUUUUUGUUCACGCUAAUGGCCUUUUCAAGAACCGGGCUGGAUUGCUGGCAGAAGUGGCACAUGUAAUCAAAAAACUCGAUCACGGCGACAUCCGCAUUAUCCGGACCGUAGUUAGGUGUGUAGGUUGAUUCCAGGAGAACGUCUUUAGUAUUCACUACAUUAGACAUUUUCUCACCAUCGCGGUUAGACUCCAGGCGUUUACCCGCUUCUACCAGGUUUUCAGGGUGGUCGAUCAGAUAUUGAGCCGCCGUCUUUCCAAUCAGCUCUUUGUCCUGUUCUGUCAGGACUAAACCGGCUGGCUGAUUCGCCUGAGGCUCUCUGAUUAGCCGAUUGAACUGCUCGAUCUUGCGUUCGUUAGCAAGUUCUUUAGCCGAUUGAUUCGAUUUAAACAGGUCACUGGCAGGCCCCCAGACAACUGAACCGGCUACAAAGCCACAAAGGGCCAGACCAAUAUUAAUCAGCAUACGUUGAUUAGGAUUUUGCUUCUUUUCCAUGGUUUCUCCCCGGAAGUCAUUUUAUGAUUUUAUAAAUGCAACUGAUGUAUAUGAAAGAACACUUAUUGACCGGACAUUCGACGACUGCUUUCAGACUCGAAUGGACCAUCAUGACUUACCUUCUUUACAGUCAUAAUUUCAGAAACAUCACCCAGCACCCCGCUAUUUAGCAUUAAAUUCAACACACCGUAGUUUACUGAACCUAAUAAAAAACCUCCCAACACGAGGGCAGCAUAAAUGAUGACACGAUGACUUUUUCGUUUAUUUAUCAUUCUAAAUCUCCUAGAUUCAUCUAACGAUAAAAAGAAAUACAUCUGAAGACAAAAAAUUCCAUCUUACUGACUGUUUUUCCGGCUACUGCUGUCAAGUUCAUCCACUGAAUCCUGAAUAAGCUUCUGGAUAUCGAUAUUACCGGCCAUCAUGACGACUUCGUUGACUGAACCACGGAUAUCAUGUUGUUCACCCAUCAUCCCGACUACACCUUCCAUUACGCCAUGGUUUUUCAAUCCGGCAAUGGAAUCCGCUAACACUGAGGACUUCAUAAUGUCAUUUCUGGUCAGCGAUGAAGGCAAUUCCACAUCCGGAAGUGGAAGAUUAUCUAGACUGUCUUUUGUUUGUGAAUAGGCAAAUAUGCCGCCGAUGAUACCCACAUAGACCAACGUUCUGAUUAAUCCCAUGUCAGACUCCGUAUUAUGCGCUGUAGAUUUUAAUCGGGCUUAACACCCGGUUCAUUUGUACCGGCGACGAUUUAUCUGUAUGCCCGGAUACUGAGGAUUUCAGCUCGGUCUGAAUUGUCUUACCGGUAGUGUUUACAUCAUCAAACACCCGGCCCAUAGCACUCUUCGACGGAGUCUCCGCAGCAUCAAGCAGCAUGAUCGGUUUUUCGGUACCAUCGACAUCAACAAAAGUAACUUUGCAGCCACUCUGACCACACAAACUGGACUGUGCUGAAAAUGACACAACCACCACCGCUGCAAUUGCCAUAAAUUUCUUCAUUAUCUCUCCCGGAGAACUAUUUUUUCUGAUUGGCCGUCUUCAGGCUGUUCAGCAUCUGGUCAGGGUCACGUAACCCAGCAAAUACCAUCGGUUCACCUUUCAGGCUUAAACCGCUGGGCGUACCUGAGAGCUUGAACAUGUUCCCUGCAUUGAACUGGUUCUGAACGGAGUCCAUGCAGGCCUUUGUCGGUUGCUUAUCCGGCAAGCCAUCCCCUUUCAUGGCUUUGGUCAACGCAGCGGGUUUGUCGCCUGCACACCAGACCGAUGCCAUAUUCCGGGCAAUCAUGGAGUUCAUCCCGGCACGUGGGUAGGCGAUGAACUUAAUUGAGAUGCCUUUAUCCAGAUAGGAUUGCAGGUCGCUAUGUAGCCUCUGGCAAAAGCCGCAGGUGAUAUCAGUAAAGACACCGAUAACAUAUUUCUCAUCCGGGGCUUUGUAGGUGAUGGUAUCGAGCUUCUCAAUAUAGGAUCGCAUCCCUUUGCUGAUAAACUCAUCUGUGGUGUUUUCCACUUCCGCACCUUUCACCUUGAAUAAAUUCCCGGUGAAGAUGUAUUUCCCGUCAGACGUGACGUAACUGGUCCCCUCUUUCGAAAAGACCGAGUAAAUCCCUUCGACAGGCGACUUCUCCGCAUAAACGGCAUCAAUACCAACGGCCUCAAUUUUGGCUUUCACUUCCGCUGAUAAAUUAACGUCCGCAUACGCCGAUACGGAUAACAAUGUCAGGGCGACUGCAAUUGGUUUAAUCAUGUCCUACCUCCUUAAAUACUGUAUCAAACCAAAAAAAAUAAUUUUCCGACCAGGAGGUGUUUUUACCCCCAGCCAGGAAAAAAUUUUUUUGGUGACGUGUAACCUGACAAAGUAACUUUUGAGGAGCGGGUUUAUGACGAAACUAAUAUUCGGCGCGGUGCUGUUCGCAACGUUAACAGUCAAUGCAAAUGCAGCAUUCAAUCCGCCCAGGGAUCGCCCUAAACCGCAAAAUGUACCCGAGACGGUCAAGAAUGAGUGUUUAACUGACGCCGCUCGUUUCUUCGGCAUUGACCGUGACCUUGUCUUUACCCUUUUUGAUAAUGAAGGCGGCAAGAUUGGCUCUUUUGUCCUUAAUACCAACGGUACAUGGGAUAUUGGGCCAAUGCAGAUAAAUUCAUCAAAUCUGGCGGAAGUGAAAUCUCAUUUCCCCGCGAUAAGCUGGCGUGAGCUUGCUUACGAUGCUUGCGCCUCUUUUUGGGUGGGUACGUGGUGGCUGCAUCGUAAAAUUAUUGAUCGUAAGGGGAAUGUGUUUGAAGGCAUCGCCGACUACAACAGUAAGACCCCUCGCGUCAGAGCCAACUAUAUAUUCAAUUUUAUGGUUCGAUAUAACCGGCGAUUACAGCGAAACGGGAAAAUGCAGCAACUCAAUGCAUGGACAGGGAUUGAUCGCGUAAACCCGAAAUUAGCGGAGAUACCGGGUAAACUCGCGAACAACCCACCCAGAUAAAAGUAACUUUUGAAGUUAUGGCAUCUGGUCGUCACUUCGACAGGUGACAGGGAGAGCAGAGGAUGUGCUGUUUCUCUUACGCCCGCACCAUCUAAAAUGAAGGUGGUCGUAAUCUGUCAACGCGGCCAUGUCAGUAAAUCCUUCAUCCUGCCAGCCCAUAUGGUGCUACCGUUCCGGUUAACAUGCGCCGUACUGUGUAUUCUGGAAAAUCGAUACCGUCGUUACCCUUCCGCAUUAUAGUGAUCAAGUUUAUGAGCCGGUACGAUGGCCCGUUUCAGGUGUUAACAGGCAUGGCGCUUAUCAGCGCCAUUCCGUGGUUAAAUACUCUUCCAGAUACGACACUGGCGUGUUAUUGACGAUCAACGGUUCUUUUAGAUCGCCCAGCGCCCGCGACAGUGUUGAGAAAUAGGGUAGCUUCUCCCAUAAUCCCCGCUCCCCGAUAACGUAAAUUCGCUGUUUUGCCCUGCUUACCGCGACGUUCAGAAGAUUGGGUGUGCCCGCUGCCCAUGAUUUAGCGCCGGGAUUCUGUAUGUUGCCUCCCAGCACGAGGAUAACCACCGUAGCUUCUUUUCCCUGUGUUUUGUGUACAGUGCCCGUUUUAUCCCUGCUGAACUGCAAUUUCUUCGCUAUAUCGGCAAGUCGUUUUGCACAGUCCCGGAAUGGCGAAAUCAAAAACACGUUGUCAGCCGUGAGCGAAUACUGGUGACGCAAAUCCAAAAGUAACUUUUCUACUGCCGCCCCUUCCUCUUUUACCCAGUUCCCCUCGCAGGUCCUCCCCUUCACAUCCAGCCAUCCACUUUCCGGGAGAUUCAUCUGGCUCGUUUUUUUCCCGUGGACCAUCAACCCGUCAUAGGCAAUAUCGUUACUGAUGCUGAACAUUGGUUCAUCACAGCGCCGGUGAACCCGUAACGGGCAACCUACCCAAAUCUGUUCUGAUUCAAUGUCGGGCAGAUAAGUGCCAACGUCCAUUGUCUGGUCUGCCAGAAUCUGUACAGAGACCUUGCCAGGCCACCAGCAGGAAGGGACCUUAAAAUGUUUUGCCAGCGCCCUCUCUACAGUGGACGGAAUACUGGAUACCGGAUCCAGCUGUUUCGGGUCGCCUACGACGACCGUCCGUUUCGCUCUCCAGACAGCGCCCACGGCGUGCUGAGGUUGCGCCUGUCCGGCUUCAUCAAUCAGUAACCAGCCUAUCGCUUCCUGUCCUGUAUCCCUGAACAUCCGGGGCAUGGAUGCAAAGGUGCUCGAUAUGACGGGGACAACCAGACAUAAGGAGUCCAGGGCCAGCCCCGCCUGUUCCUCGGUCAGCGCUCUCCCUUUUAACCAGUCCAUCGCCAGCCCGAUAUUAGCGGCAAUUUUCACGGGGUUAUUCUCAAUAAACGCCCUGUGUACGUCUAAUGCCGCGACAAACACGUCUUCUCUGGCCUUUCUCCAGCGCUCAUGAAGCCAUGGGGCUGACAACUCCCUUUGUUCAUCUGUUGCGUCACGCUCCGGCCAGGAGGCUCCGAGCUCGUCUCUGGCCUGCUUCUGCAAUGCAUGGUUCUGCUCCUGAUCUUUACAGACCGCCCGCCCGUUACUGAUCGCCUGAGCGAGCUCCCGCUCCAGGCUUCGGAGUGUAUUGUCCGCAUUAUUUUUUUCUGAUUGCGCCAGCUGCUGUUCCUGACGAUGCUGAGUCAACGUCGCCCGCAAAGCAUCUGACUCGUCUGUCAGACGUUGAUAUCGUUCCCACCACGCUCUGGAUACCUGCCCGAACGAAAAGAGGUUAGCCAGCAGACCGGGUUUAUUCUUCUCAUGCUGGUGGAUGCGCUGAUCGAGGUCGGCCCGCUCUCCACUGGACAGGGUAACGGUCAUUUCCAUCGCCGCGAGCUCAUCAGAGAGCGCCUGUAUUGCGAGCUGGCAUUCCUCAAUCUGAAGCGUUGCGGUUUGCUUCCUUUCUUCCCACACUUCCCGUUGUUCUUCGAGCCACGCCAUUUCAUGCGUUAGCCCUGAACUGUGGACCAGCUGCUGACGCUCUGUUUCUUCAGCCGCCUGAGCCCGUUUAAAUCGACUGACGGCUUCUGCCCAGGUCAGAACGGGCUUCCUGCCCUUCCCGCCCUGACGCAGUAAACUAAGAUGCUCUUUCAGCCCUUCGCCCUGUCCGGGGGAAAAGGUUUCCGGUGGCACUUUAUCCUUGUCUUCACGCUUCGUUUGCCUGCCCCACCACAACGUGUUAACAAAUGCCUCUCUGUUCGUUUUUCUACCCAUUUUCGCUGCCAGCAGGCCCCAUGCUGGUUUGCCGAGUAUGAUACCUGCCAGCUCGCUAAAGUAAUCACUGCGCUCUGACACGUCUCCCGGAACAGCCUCCACGCCGGGGAGCUCAAGGGAGAUAUUCUCUACGGCACCGUUAUUUGCUGAGGCAAUGACGAUGGCGCUCCCGGUUAAGUCGCUGUGGAGUGAAUAGAAAGGUAUCUGCCGGUUAUCGAAUGUGAAGGUCUCUUUGGCUUUAAACGCUCUGCCGCCGAGUUUAACCAGUUUACCGGCCCGAUCGGUGACGACAGCAGCCACCACAUCCCGCAGGAGCGUUGUCUUCCCCGUCCCCGGAGGUCCAUUGACGGCAAAAAUGCCCGGUUCAUUGAUAUGUCUGUUCCAGAUUUCAUUGACGGCCAGCUGCUGGCUGAAUGCCAGGGGGUACUGUGAGGGCCAGGAGCCUGCUGGCGGCUGAGUGGGCAGCAGUUUCUCAAAGGCGAAGUCCAGACCUUCUUCGGAGCGUAUAUCAAGACGCUGUGGAUUGGCCCGGGAGAUCCCCAUAAUGAAGUCUUUGAACCCGGCCCCUCCGCCUCCCUGCCGCCACGUCACAUCGAGCUUUUGCAGUUCGGUAAUGAAAAAACUGUUAAUGAGAUCGUCGGGGGCGCUCUCUUUCUUUUUCUGCUCUUUCUCCGGAGCGUCUUCCCUGAUGUUUUUUGGCUUAUUCACCAUGGAACACUUAACCAUACUGACAAUAUCAGUAUCCAGGGCUUCUUCCGGAAAGCACAGCUUUUCAACCACCAGCUUCUCAAGUGUCUUCAACCAGCUGGUGUCGGCCGUCAGCUCUUCAUCCUGUAAUCGAUAAGCCUCAUUUUCCACCCAUUGCAUGAGAUGAAGUGUCAGGCGGUCAAAAUCGCUGAAUCCGCUCUCUAUUACAGGGAGACUGUCAUUCGGUGCGGGGAGCCCGGACAAAUCAGAGGAAAGAGGCUCAUGCAGUGCGUAGACACCUCGCUUAUGCCUGAGUAUCUGAGCUGCCGACCAUGCAGACAGAGACAACAUGAAGGUGACUGGCUGGGGGAUACCCGAUUCAUUGAACCCAAUAUCAAAAAGCCUGCUUUUCCCGUUUAUGCGUUUUUCUGCUAUCUCUUCAUGAGCACCAAUCUUAUCCUCAAGCAUACUGGUAAUAACGUUGAGAUGAUAAACCCCGGCCUGAGCGGAAUAACGCCACGACUUACCCGGUUCAGGCGUUUUGCGUCUGUGUUGCGGGGCAUCCCAGGGAAGCAUCCCACCAGCACCCGUCUUAUAUACCGGGUUAAGCAUAUCCCGUUCAUUUGCCUUAUCAAUAUUCUGAGGGGCUAAUGCUUCAAUGGCUCGCCAGAAGCGGAACACAUUUUCGGUGUUUAUUGCGGUUUUAAUUAACGGGUCUUUCACGUAAACCUCAUGAGUCUGUUCCUGACGGCGGCGGGCUCCGGGGAACGCUAUUCCUAAAUGGUCAGCCUGCACGGCCGGGGUAGACAACGGCCGUAAGUAAACCGGGGAUGUUUGCCGGAUGCUGUGGCGGUGAACCUGAUAAAAAGUAACUUUCCGGACCAGAGCCGCUCAUAAACAGCGACUGUUUUUCAUGUCCGUUCAGCGGGUAACGUUUAUAUAUCAACGGAUACACUAUGGACUAUGGGCUGUAAAGCCCCUUUUUUGAGUUGAGGCUCCAUUCGGGUGUGAUGAAAAUAGGGGGUUGGACGUGAGGUUAAAUAGUUUAUAAUCUAAUCAAAUGAGAGAGGGCUGAGGGCUACACAAGGAUGAUAGGCUUUAAUGUGUUCAACAACUAUAACUAUGAGGUACACAAUGGCUAAUUUUCUGUAUUGGGAUUAUGUAACUUAUUGUUUUUAUGGACUAUUUUCCAUCUCUAUCGUUUUACUAGUCUUAAAGAAAGUUCUUAAAAACCGAAAACAAUCUUGUGCUGCCGCAAAACAGGCUAAAGGUUUUGAGAAUUCGUCCGGUGUAUAUGGAAUUCAUGCUUCUAUACAGAGACCGUCUCAUCAAAAUGAAGGAAGGGUUGAGGCUCUUCAUGAAAAUCUAGGCAAAAACUACGAUUUUGACCGAGAAUAUGAUUUUGAACGGUAUUAAUACAUUAUUCAGAAAAUAUACACUUUUAAGUUAAUGGCCUGAUUUUUUCAGGCCAUUAACUUAUCUAACUUUUAAUUUUUCCUAUGCUUAUCUAGGAAUUCUUUAGUCUUCGCUGUUCCCUCGUUUACUCCAAUAUCCUUUGGCAGACUCGCAAUAAAUUUGGGAUACUCGGCAGCUACAUCAGGCCCAUAACGAGAAUCAUUUGAAAGAGCAUGUUGAACCUGCCUAGUUAACAUCUCGUUUUGGUCCGCCAUCCGAGUAAAUUUUUCAUCGUUCAUACCGGAAUAGUUACCUGCUUUAUUUAAUGCUUGCCCUAACUGGAUAUUAUUGCUGAUGUUUCCGAUGAGAGAGCCUGGCGCUCUACCACUACUUAUACCCAUUGCGCCCGGCACAUUAUCCUGAGAGCCUAUUUUCGGUGCGAUAGCAUCACCACCAGGGAUAGCACCAGCAACACGUUGUACAAUGUCAGACGCGAUCUCAUGCCCGGGCACAGAGUCUCCUGUAGCUUGCCACGCUGCUGAUGCCUUAUCCAUUGGAUGUGAACUGGCUCCAUUAUUUUCUCUCAGUUCUUGGCCCAAUGCUGCAUCUGCACUACCUCUUGCUGCCUUUCCUGUCGUACCGCUUCCAGUGACUUCUGCAUUUACGACAUCAUUCAGCCCGCCACUGAAACCAUUAUUUUUCCCAUCCGACGCUUGUCUUCCAAUCCGUUCAACUCCUGAUUCGGACAUUGCUGCACCGGUGAUUUCAUUAUACUUAUCGAGGUAUGCUUUGCUUUCUGCCAGGCUUGCCUCACGCUCUUGCCCGGUUUGGUUACGUGCGUUUUCACUAUGCAAUGUUGCCUGAGUUAAUGCUGCUUUAGCGUCCUGUGUUUUGUCACCGGUACUACUAAAGCUAUCAAAGCGUUUAGGUGCUUCACUUGAUUGCAAGUUCCUCAUUGUUUGCUGUGUUGAAGCGUUGAAAUCGUUAGAAGGUGCGUCACCAAGAAGAAGAGGUUGGACUCUUCCUGUAGUUGCUUCUCCAACUGAACCAGCCUGUUUUCCUCUCUCAAUUGUGUCAUUUGUGGACCCCAUUGGAAGAUUAUUCUUAACCUGGUUUAAAGUAUCUCUGUCUGCCUGAGAAUGAACACGACCUUCACCUGCGCCACCUUCAUUUGCAACGUGUAAACGACCAUUGUUCUCGUUAAGGCUUUGAGCGGUAAUUCCGCCAAUUGUAUUACCUGGCUGAGCUGUGGAGGCUUCUCUGUGUUGACCCAGGUUCGCAGUUGAUUGAGCUCUCUGGCCGGCAACAUUUCCACCAAUCUCUCCUGCUGUUGGCACAGCUGACGUAUCAGGGGCCAUUUGAGUUUGCUCUUGGUAAUUCGCAUACUGCCCGCCACCUCCCAAAGCAACAAAUUGAUCUAAUUUUUCGGCAGCUGGUGCAAGUAUCUGUUCAUUUGCCCCCAUCAUGCUGACUGCAUUUUUAAACAUCGCAGAUGUCUGUUUAAUAUCAGACAGGUUUUUGGCGACUGUUUCCCCGGAUUCCAUUUGAGUUUUAGCUUGCGCCUGGUCAAGUAAUACCUUUGCAAAGGCAUCAUUACCAUUUUUAUCAGAACCGAGCGUGUUACUCCUGUUCAUCAUAUCGCGGGUUGACUUCCACUGACCAGCUAUCGCAUCUGCAUUAAGACCUGAAGCUGACGCCCAAGCUCUUACUGAAUUCUCGGUUGCCGGUGUUCUCAUGGUAUCGGAGAUCAUAUUGCCAUCAAUAUCCAGACUGUUACUCAUAGCCAGUUGAGAUGCUUGACCACCAGUUUUGCUGAAUGCAUUUGUUUCGGUGUUACUAAUAGACUGGGUAAAUUGUUGCAUUUGUUGUGCAACCUUCUGAAAACCAUCAGAACUUGUAAACCCAUCCUGUGUAAUAUUCGAUUCCAACUGACCGAUAUCCUUAGAAAAGGAACUUCCAUUUCUCAUCAUGUUUUCAAGGUUGUCAGUAAGAGCCUUUUUCGCUGAGUCAGUUAAGGAUGAAUCACUAUUUAUUUUUCCAACAAUGCCUCCUUUCAAUGCUCCAGAUAUUCCUUUUCCACCGCCGCCACCAAGUCCCAAUGAACCUCCCAGUUCUCCUGCUGCUUGAAGAACUGCACUUAAGGCACUACCUUUGGCGGCUUCAGAAGAAACACCUACACUCGAGCCAACACCACUACUGAUGCUAGAUGCUAAAUCCUCAACUAGUCUCUGAUUAGCCUGGGUACCGGACGAAGCCAUUUGUGAAUGCUGCCCCUGAAACGCAGAGUUCCAUGCCUCACUAAAAGCUUGUGUAGCAGUUCUGCUAGACAUUCUUGUAGUUCCAAUAUCAUUUCUACCUGCUGCAGAAACAGUAUCCUGCAAGUUAUUGCCAAGUGACAGAGAGGGCAUUGAACUACGAACGGCCGCAUUCAGAAGCCCGCCUGUUGACAUACCGGCACCGGUUGAAGUGGCUGCGGUGUGUGUCUGGUCACCAAAGGACUGUUUACCCGCAUUCCCCGCCGACCAAACAUCUGGUGUGACGUGGCCGGUAUUGUUUGGGGCAUCAGGUGUGACAUUUUUCAACGCUCCCAUCAUCGGGUGAAUGCUGGUGGUCAACAGGAAAAGAGUCAGCAUCGGAACCAUGCAAUACAGAGCUGAGGCCACAGACAGGUAGCUGCCGUACGUCUCCUGAAUGCUCCCCAUAUUUGCCCAGUUCAUCGUGGUUUGAACCCCCAGCGAUGUCCAUGUGUCAAACUGUUGAUUCAGUACCAUCUUCACGUAUGCGUUUACCAUGACUGCCGUUAUCGGCCACAUGUUAACGAAUACAAUUAGCUGCAGAUACUUAGCGGCUGAAGCGAUACCUUCCCCCCCUAAAAACAGGAUCGCAAUCAGAGCAAAAGGGGCGACCAUGUAGCUGAACAUUUCCAGGAACGAUAUUGCAGCGCCUGAAAUGUUGAGCCAGAGCUGCCCUUGACUAACCAUUGCAUUCGUUCUUUUCAUGCUCGCUUCGAAGAGCUGAUAGUCUGCCGCUAUACCUAGCGCCUUCCUGUACUGGAGAACGCCUUUGUCGACCUGAUUAAGAACGAAUGCAGCUGUUGUGAUAUUGUGAGCCUGACCAGCGCUUCCAAAAAGCGUGGUGGCCGCACCGCCGAUAAAGUCAGUUUGUUGACCAUUAUCCUCUUGUUGCGGCGCAACAAACUGAUUCAUCUGCCCAAGAUUUCUCAUAAUUGAAGCGCCCUGAGGAGAGUCGAAUGCGGCUUUAACCGCCGCCCAGGCAUCCGUACAGGACGCAUACUGCAAACCUGUAGAUGUCACCAUUGGGACGCUUGCUGUCUUGAGGCUGUUGGCCGUCAUUGAAUCCAUCACGUUCAUUACUGACGCAAGAUCAGUGGCAUAGAUUUCAUUCAAUGCCACCCCUCUCAGUGGUGUCUGAACUUCUGAGUCCUGGGUCGUUUUAAUACAAUCGCGUGCAAUAGACUGGAUGAUUCUGCAGACAUCAAAAGUAACAGGUUUUUCACUCCCGCUCAUCGUAUUUGGGAAAGCCUGACAGAACCCACUGGAUUCCCCACCCCACUCCAUAUAUUUGACCAUUUUGGUCAUUGGGCCUAGCGUCAGGCUGUCAUCGAGCGUAUCGCUGACCUGCCCCACCGGCGUAAGCGGGUCAAACGCUGCUCGCCAGUCCGUAAUUAACCCGUGAAGUAAUCCGGUUGUCAGUUCACCGGUUGACGCGAUAAAUAACGGUACAUCGUCUAUGUUCCUGACCUCCCCCGUUUUAACCGAUUCCAGAGUGACAUCAGCUUUAAUGACGGCAAUUGAAUAGAACAACAACCCCAUUAUCCAUGAGAAUAUAGGGACAUCGUUUUUUGUGGGGGCAAGGACCCAUUUCAUUGAUUUAUAGAAGAGUCCAAUUGCUGCUGCAUAUGCAGCAAAUCUGAGCCAUUCAUUAGAACCAUGGCUGGAAAAAAUCAGCGCGAUCCCGUUAAAAGCUGUAUAAACAAAAUCAAUAUCACCAAUGGUAUAAAUCGUGUAAUUAUCCAUAUCAGCCUCCAUUCCCGCUAUCGCCAUAGGUCCGUUUUUUAACGUAUGCCGUAUCCCAAUAAGCCAGGACCGUUUUUUCCUCAGUAUUCUGGAUGGACUGUACUUCUGAAGCGCUGCGGAUCUGAUUUCUGAAGGUUUGGUUUAUUUUGUCUAGUUGGUCCUUAAACGAUGUCAUCGCCUCUGAAGGCAAAGUCAUAUUUGUCAUUUUAUUCUGUACACUACUCAGCAACUCUAUCGUGAAAUUUUUUGCCGCGAUCGUGCUGAUAUCAUUGAUGUAUUGAACACCCUCAGCAGCUGACAAGGUCUGAAGAGUCGGAAUGAUGUUAUUAACACCUAACAUGCUGAUAAGUUUACGUUGGUCCUGCGUCAACUCAGUGUCAUUCCUGACAGCCCGCUGAACUUCGAGCAAUGUCUCAAUAAUGGUUUCAGACAGUCCUUUGAAUUGAAUAGACUCCUGACGCAUUUCAAGACACUGUGCUUUCCUGUUACUGCGUAAAUCAGGAGUUGGGUUACAAACAUUUAACUUAACAUUUCCUGUUCCUGUCCCCUUUAUGAAAUCAGCCGCUUUCAUCGUAGGCGGGACGGGUGUUAUCGCAGAAUUUUCCCCAUUACUAUCCCAGCUGACGAUAAGUGUUCCGGUAAGUGACAUUAUUUGUUCGGCCAGUUUGUAACCUGUUAGUUCAGUCACGCCCCCUACAUUUAUAUUGCCGUUAUCAAUGCUCAUGAAUCCCUGGUAAACAAUAUUACCGGCGUAUUUUUCCUUAAAUGCAUCAGGAUCUUUUGCAUAGUUCUUUUUGUUUACUUCACUCGCAGGCUGACUCAUGGUGCUACCAAAAUCCGGGAAUAUACCUGAUACCAUGGAGUCAACAGCGCCGCCACCGAGCCCGAUUUUCUCAGUAAACUCCUGAGGAGUGCCCAGUCCGUUUUGCAAAAACUCAUAGGUCGCGUUACAGCUGUCUUUGGCAAAUUUGUUCAGCGCAGCGAGCUUGUCCUGAAUGUUCGCGAUAAUCGCUGCACAGUCGGCACAGAUUGCUGAUACUGCCGUAUUAAAGGCGUAUACCGCUGAGCCCUGUGCGAUACCGCGUCCAAUCUGUACAAGCUGAUCACCGUUGAUCAUGCUGAAACUGCCGAGGAAAAUAUCAAUGCCGUUACACCCGACGCUGGCUUUCGGGAAACUGACGUUGACGAGGUUGGUAUUCACCUGAGGCUGGCGGUAUGAGAAACUCCCCCCAACAGCUCCUACACGUGACGCCGUUCUGACUGAACCGGGAUCAGUUGAUGCAACCAUACCUGUGAAUAUGCCUUCCAUGACGUUGGCAGCAUGGACCUGCUGCAUUGAGUAAGCCCCAAAAAACAUGGCCGAUAAAAGUAACUUUUUCAGGAAAGUUACUUUUGGAAAAUUAGUAGCCACUAAAGCCCCCUUCAUUUUCUGAGAAACGGGCAUCUACCCGAUCGGUUGUAGGCAUGUCGUACUCGCCGAGUUUUUUAUCCAUUAAGUUCUGAAGCAGAUAAGGGUCCUGUUCAUAGCUCACUUUGUUCACGGUCAGGACGUCUCUGUCGCCAAUCGCAUAUUGCUUCUUAAUAUCGAGCGUAUUCUGGAAUGUGGCCUCAUCGAGGAGGUUCAUUCCUCUGGCCGCAAGAAUAAUCGUAUUUUUAAGUUCGUCUGCGGAAACAAGACCGGUACUGACACGUGUCGCCUGAGAGCCAUCAUUAGACAUGAGAUAAACAGUAGGAACUUCAGUAAUGGCAUACCGUUUGAUCAUAUCCAUCGUUGCCCUGCCGUAGCGGGGAAAUAAACCAUUAUGGAGAGGACGUCCGUCGAUACUCACCGGCAUAAUGUCAACGUGAUAAUAAUUCUGCAUGAAAUUAAGAAUCUGGCUUUGUUCAUGACAGUACUGGCAGGUGCUCUGGAAAAAGAAAAACAACCCGCCCUUCUGGAAAAUGGAGGUCAGUGCUUUUUGCUGAUUAUCUUCAAGACCGGCCCGGUGUGCAUUUAAAGCAACUGUUUCAGUCGGCUGGCGUCUCUUUUCUGACAUCAUCGGAUUACUGAUGAAAUAAUCCCGGGUACGGUCAGAGAAACGGGUGGCAAUAUCAAGCAUUAAACGUUGCGCAGUAUAAUAACGGGACAGGUUUUCGUCUGUCGGGUUAUCCAUUGCUGCAUAACGGAGAUUAAGCAGGUUUUCUUUCAGCCACCGGGAAUCCAGCUUAAGUUCUUCAUUCUUGUCCUGAGACGGCGAACCCGUUAAAGGCUGUUGCGGUUGUUCUUCUUCAUCCUCAACCGGCUCUUUAUCGUUAUACCAGAAGAAACCUUUUUUCAGUGCCUGGCCGGAAACAAAAGGUGUAUUCCCGACAUACUGUGUUUCAGCCAUGCUCAUAGUGGAAAGCACCAGCAACGAACUAAUGGCGGUUUUAAGGAAGAAAUUUUUUAUGAUCUGCAUAUGCUACCCCUCGAUGGUUAGCAUUAUCAUCCCAUAAAAAAAAAUUCGUUUUCUUCAAUAAGGAAGGUGUUCUGUGCGAAAUCUGAAAUUUUUCUCGCGGGCUGUUUCAGGCCGAACAAUGGCGCAACAUAUCCGCGUCUGGCGAGCCGGAGACAGACGCUGCUGGUAAUGUAUUAGCCUGACAGGUGAGUAUUCCUGCUGAAACCGUAUGGUGAAUGAAGGAGUGCUUUUUCAAAGCAAAAAAAACAGGCAGGUAUACAAAAAUCGACCAUGAACGCGAAAGCAAUGACCUUUUUCUGCCAGAAAGGUCUACCCCAGGAUGUGGCCGUUGAUGAAAUUUAAAUGCAGAAAGAAUGCGGUUAAUCUUUCCUGACUUUGCCCGGGGAUUUAAAUCUGGACACUGUUUCUUCCGCCUGUAUCAACAGCAUCAACUGGUGAGAUAAAUUACAGUUUCUGGAUGCAAGGAUUUUCUCUAUACGGGCCUUACGGUCCGGAUUUUUUAUCAUCCGGAGAAAACGGGAAGGUCCCGAAAGAUAUUCGGCCAGACGAAUGCUGACCGCUUCCGAACUGGCCGAAAACAUGGCAUCAAGUUCUUUUUCAAACCGGAUCUUGCCGGAUGGACAGGUGGCCCUUUUUAACGGCGUCAGCUCCUGAACGAGCUGCAAGAUGCAAUCAGGAAAAUGGUUUUUGAGGUCAUCAGUUUUUAACUCUGUAUGGAUGACCGGCAGGAAUAAAUAAGAAGCACAACGGACAUUCAGGUCGGGCGAAAUCGUACGCAACCGGUGAUGGAUCGAGUCUGAAAGAUGAAAAAAUCCUUGUUCAUCUGAAGGCGUCGUUAUUCCUGUUGAUGCAAACGCGAUAUGACAGAUAGUGCUUGCGGUGUGUAAAAGUUGAUUUUCCAUGAGUGAUGAAUGUCUUUUAUUCAAAGGGAACAACGGGCUGCGAAUAACGCAUAAUUGCUACUUUGCAUUUUUUUGCGCUGCAUGUCGGACAGGAGUCAUAUUUAUCCGGCGCAUGAAUGAAGGGUUUUUUGCAGACCAGACAGUAGUCUUUAUAAUCCGCCUCACUCAUCCCGUUGAGAACCUGAACUAUCCUGUUAACCUGGAGCGGGUAGUAUUCUGGCGAAUAUCCUGUCUGUAUUAACAAAUCAACCAGUGCAUUAAAAUCCAUUUCUUUUGUGGAUUCUGUAGGGUUUUGAGGUUCAUAUCCGAAAAUAUGUAUUGCAUUGUUCACAACAACGUUAGAGAGCAGCAUCGCAGAUUUUUCACCAAGCCACGACCCUACUCCUGAUCUGGUAUUCACUCCUUUGCGAUACUCCAGUCUGUCAGCAACUUUACGGCCAUACAAAUGCGUUAUCGUAUAUUUGUUAGCAUCAUAUUCCAGUAACCUGAUGGCUUUUGCCAGGCUAUCCAGCUGGCUUACCUCACUCUUUUUUAAAACCAUUAUCCGUAUUCUCCUUAACGUGACCCGGUACCGGGUCAGACGACCGGCUGAAAAAAUGACUGCGUGUGGUUCUGAAAAGUAACUUUUUAACUAAAUUCGUUCGGGGUCGUGUAUUCGUUAUCCUGUAUGAACCAUAAUCACUCUGUCGCAAUCCUGACUGACAGUGGUGAGUCAAUAUAAACCCACUGUGAUACUAAAAUUUCUUUAACUUCUCAUACGACUCUUUCAGAGUGAACUCUACCCGUAAGUUUUCCAUAUUUUCUCUGGGUAUAAAUCCCUCAAGCAGAUCAGCCAGUAUCUCGUACCCCCACGCAUAAACUUUGGAACCACGUCGACCGGUAUCAUAGGUUAUAAACCGGGGAAAGAAGAUCACAUUCGUGACCUCAACGAAUGCAGACAUUUCUGUUUCAACCAACAUCUGAAAUGCAUCAUUUGACAGGGCUAAAUAGGACUGGACAAAAGCAGGUUUAAAUCUGGCGAGAUUCCACAGAUUAACGAGGAAGUUCAUCUGUAUAGAGACAAUAUUUUUCCGGAAUAACUCAAGGUCGACAGGUUUGUAGACAUAACUUUUCCCGCUUAUUAAUUCGCACGGGGCAUUGGGUUUCAGCUCUGAACUGUCAAAUGGUCGCCCGUAUGCAUCAAACUUCAGGUAAUGCGAGUCAUCCAGGAUCAAUUUGAUCAACUCGCUCCAUAAAACAGGUUUUCCGUUUACACGCGGAAUUAACAGACUCCCGGGCCGUGCCUCUGAUUGUGCAAUUCGAUUAAGACGAGUAUCUGUAGAUGGAUGGAAAAAACGGCCUAGGAGGAUAUCGGGAAUAUAGCGAUAAUCCGACGCGAGUUCACGAGGCAACACGCUGAGCAGCUUUUGCUGACUCCGGAUUAACUGUAACUCCGAACGGAGAAACGCUUUAAUGACCGAGUCAGUCUGUACGUUUUGUUGUACGUCCAUACGUUCUCCAGGACACUUUUGAGUCGAUAUCUUACUGCGCUACUUCUGCGCGUCAAAGGGGCUUUUAUUAUAUCACAGCAACCCCGGCAGGGUGUAGAAAAAGUUAUUCACAAAUAUUAUAAAGCACUAUCUGCAUUUUAGUACCUCGUGUUAGAUCAUCGAUUUUUUCACGUAUAUCAUUAGACACUUUUAUGCCAAAACUGGCGCAAACCAUCAUCUUUCAUUGCUGCUUUUUUUAAAAAAAUUCACCAAUGGGAAAAAAACGUCAUUUGUGAAUUUUACCAAAAUAGUGACCAAUGGGCUGUGAUUUUCCAGGUUUCGUCAUGUGUGAAUUUUCCCAAAAUAGUCACUUAUGUAUAAGGGUAACUAUUCCAGAUUCGAAAAAAGUUACUUUUCUGGUACCCCCCCCCUCCGGAGUAAGGUUCUCUGUUCACUCAGUGGGCUCACGGUGCCCGGCUUGUAGGCGAUAUUCGUCUCAACACGUAAAAGUCACUUUUUUAGCCGUGGCAGUGUGCCCGCAGAAAAAAGUUAAAAAAAAAUAAAAUCACCCUUGUUAUUCCUGAAAAAUUUUUUUGAACUCCUGUAGCCUGUUUGUCUGGAGGAGUAGAUAUGAACCCGAUAAUUACCAAUCAUCAGGAAACCGUUAUCGCGAACUCGGUACGAUACAUCGAGUUACUGAAGCUGGAAGCUUCAAAGGUUUUGGAUGGAUAUUGGGCCGCCUGGAAGGCGCGAAACCAGUUGAUAUCACAAAACACGUAUGCAAAUGGCGGGAGAUUUAUUCCCGGCAGAUACGCGCCAGUGUUACAAAAGGUCGGUUCAUCGCAAAAACUGACUAUUGUCUGGAAGGAUUUUUCGCCCAGGUUCAAAAACAAAGUUGAACAUUAUGGGGUUGUUGUUAAACCGAAGCUGGGAGGCUACAGCGUUAGUUGUUUUAAAAAAGCGUUAGACUGGGAACUGGAGAUGAUCCAGGAGACAGAAAACAAAAUUAAACCGAUCCGUGAACUGCUUACGGAAUGUCAUCAACGAAAGCUAGCCGACAUCAAAAGACUGGAAAAACUGAAGAGGUUAUUAUAAUGGUCGACAACGUAUCCCCUAAAAAUGAACAGCGUAAUCAACGGAACGCCGGUAACAACCGUCCUUUAGGGAUGGUCAUUUCAAAAUUAAAGCCACUUUCCAGUGAUUUUUAUAAUCAUUUCCAUGAAAAAAACAGAGCCUGCCUGCGUCAGUUCAACGCCAUUUCUAAUGCUAUUUAUAAUAUCUUCCGGCUGGUCGAAGGUGAUCAGGCAACCAGCACCAAAGUUCAGAAAUGGCUUUCCGGGGUUUAUGACGAACUUUCUGGUAAUGUCAAUACGUACAAAGAUCAGAUUGACAAAAAUGUCUCCAAACUCCCCAUCGAAGAUUCAUCAUUCGAUGGAUUUGACUAUGAAGAAUUUGAGAUUCGCUGGAAUCACCCAUUAACCUAUAAAUUGCUGAACAUUAUCCAGACCAUCAACGUACUGACUCGCCAGGCGCACCAGCUGUGGUUAUAUGGUCAGAUAUCUCAACAGAUCCACGACCGUAUUAUCCUGCAACUCCUGAGCUCCCUUCGUGUCGCCAUGGAUAGCAUCAGUAAAAUACUGAACGCAGAAAAUCGCGUGAAUGGUAAAUAUGAUGCAUUGCCAUUCAUUCAAAGCAUUAAGCGGUUUAAAUCCGUCGAACUGUAUAUUGCGAGCCUCGAACCAAAACCCGAUGCUGAGACGGAGCAGGCGUUAAAAAAAGAAGAAACGGUAGUCCAGAGUAAGACAGCUGAUAAGGCCGAGAAUACUGUCACUCCCGUUCCGGUAGUCCAGAGUAAGACAGCUGAUAAAGCCGAGACUUCUGUCACUCCCGUUCAGGUUCAAUAAACUCACAGGUUGAUAUGAGUAUUAUAUCCAGGCUUUUUUAUAAAAUCAGGGUCGCCCUCUCAGGAGGGCAUGACUACGACAGUAUCUAUGAUACUGAUGAUGAGUAUGAUAUCCCACACACGCCUAACAAGGACGUGCAAAGCUAUCUUGACUAUCCCAGCAAGCCUACGGGUAUAACACUCUUUUCAGAGCGUGAAAUCUUAUCCGUCCAUGCAAACCGGUUACAGGAAAUCAAUAUGUAUAUCGGUUUGCCUAAUUCAGACCUGAGUGAGGAUGCCUAUACUUUAACGAAUCUGGUUAUUAAGCCAUUGAUGGAAUUUACGCGCUGGAUUCACCUUUUACCUGCGUCUGAAAAUCAUCACCAUGCUGGCACCGGUGGCCUGUUAACGCAUAGUUUAGAAACUGCUUUUCUGGCUUUAAAAUUUGCCUACAGUACUGAAUUACGCCCCAUUGGUUUACAGGAUGAAGAGCAGAUACGAAAACGUCGUUACCUUUAUGCGGCCUUUAUUUGCGGCCUGUUUCAUGAUGCAGGUAAGAUAUUUGAUGUGGACGUUAUUUCAUCCACCCCGGGGGUUAACAGUACGUGGCGCCCUCUGUCGUCCAGUUUAAUGGAUUGGGCCAAUGCAAACCGUAUUCUGUCCUAUGAGGUUAUCUGGCGUAAAAGGCUGGCUAACGAGCAUUCUGUACGGGCACCUGUAUUCCUAGAACGCUGUUUAAACGAUACGUGUCUUAAUUAUUUAAGUGACGUUGUCAAAGAGCGUUUGUACGAUAAAAUGCUGGCGGCAUUAGGUAAUUAUACAACCAGUGAUGAUUUUAUUUCGCGCUGUAUGAGAACGGCUGACUGGCAUUCUACCGGCACCGAUACCAGCUAUCGGUAUGAUAAACAAUCCGGUAUCCGGGCAUCCGAUACAGCUGCCCGAGCCGUCGCGAUUCUGAAAGACAAUAUUAGUAUUCUUAAUAUCAAUGGAUUUGAUUCAUCGUCUGAACGCUUUGAUAAAAACUCGCCGCCUCCGGUCCAUAUUAUGAUUAUUGGGGGCUCUGUUUACAUCAACGAACAUGCGGCCCUUGAUUUCAUUCUGGGUCAGUUUAAACACCUCAGAAUUAACUUCCCGGAUGGUGAAAUUGGUCGCAAAGCCUUAACCGACCUUCUGUUAACCGGCGGCUAUAUAGAGCCUUACGGCGAACAACGGAUAGCACACUUUUUCCAUCGCGGUGAUUUUUCAGAAACGGACAUUCAAAGAAUGUUUGAUGAGGGAAUCAAAGGCCUCAGCUGGUUCUCUCUUUUAAAAAUUAAAUGGGUAGGCUUCCUGUUUAAAUACGAUAUCCUGCCAGAAAGUACGCCAGGCAUUUUCAGCAUUAACGACACGAACGACUAUGUUUUUGUUGACCGCAAAGGGCAUGACACGCUCUAUGCACGCCCUCUUUCACAUGGAUCAAAAUCAAUUCGCCUUGGCGUAAAUCAGUCAUCUGAUAAUGCUCCAGUUUUAAACGCUGAUAAACAUCCUGUAGAGGAUAGUAACAGUGCUGUUUUAGAUUCUGAUAACACUGCUGAUGUUGAAGAAACCGAGGCGACAGCUGAUGAGAAUCAACCGAAACAGGAACCGGAAAGUACUCAAGAAACGGCACUGAACUCAGAUGAACCAGAAUGUAAAACAAAUGAAUCCGAUACCAGGAAAACCGCUAAAAAACGCCGUAAAAAAGAAGAAAUAAGUCCUGGCGAGUACAUAUCCAGACUCCAGCACCAGUUCAACAAUAAUGCAAUUAAUGCAAAUGAUCUGGUUUUAAUCGAUGGGGUCUUGUAUGUGUCAGAGCACCAUAUUCGCUCUAUUGCACCGCUUGAUGAACCACGCUUAAUGGGGUCCGGUCUCUUUGUACUUUCAUUACGUUCAGGAAGUCUCGAUGAAGAAUUUAGCAUCCCGUGCAACGACGGAAAACGAUAUGUCCAGUUAAUUGACGAAGUAUCGCUUGUUCAGUUACGCCAUCAACCUGAUAUUAAAGAGGUUGAGAUGCUGCCAUUGCUUUCUGCUGAUUUAUUUGGUGGUGUGAAGUCCGAAAAUGAAAUGUUGUCUUUCUCUUUCCCGCCGCCACUGGUUAUGGUGAAUCCUGAGCCGCUCCCUCCUGAACGUUACGAAGAGGAAGCACCUGAACUGGACCACGCUGAACACGAACCGAAUGGCAUACCUCCAACCGAAUAUCCCGAUGUUCAGGAAGAGGAUGUUGAACAGUAUUGGGAUGAUUACUCAUCGUAUUCUCAUGGUGAUAAUUUUGGUUAUAGUGAAUCUGGUGCGAUAAACCAAACCCGUGACAACAUUGAUGUUGAUGUUGAUGUUGAUGUUGAUGUAACGCAGGACAAAAAGUUACUUUCUGAGAGUACGCCUGAUAAUUUUGCCUCGGAUACCGAACAAUCUCCGGAGGAUGUGGAGGCAGAUUCAGAUGAAGGUAUCAGGGACAUUAACAGCGAUUUUGAAGCGUUAUUUGCCCGUCAGAGUCAAAUCGUCACUGAUCCGGCUGUCGUCAUUGCACACGACCUUGAGCAGUCAAAAUCUCUUACGCCAUCAGUUCCGGAGCAGGCUGACAUCAGUAACAGCGAAACACUUCUCUCCGAUAUCGAUACGAUUAUAAAUCUCCUGAAUCGAGUGAAGAACAACAAUAAUUCAGCGCAUAUAAGAGCAUUGCAACGGGUCGUAUUGGUCACUGAUAUCAAUUUUUGUCUCCGUUUUAGAAUUUUAGAUGAUGCAGUAUCCUGGGGGCUCAGUCAGGAUGAAAUUCGUCAGUUAAAUCUAGCGUUGGCUAAUUUCCCGGUUGCCGCGUUAAAGAUAACGAUAGGACAAGCAAUACGGCACUACAUGAUCCGCCUUGAUGAUCUUCAACAAGGCGCUUUGCGCAAUAACAUUUUUUACGAAGAAUUUAUUUCGUUUUUUAACCAUCAGGACAUAAGCAAUGAAACGUAGAAGCCGAAACAAUCUGCAUACUCAGGAAAUGCUUUACCGCCCUGCCCUUGAAUUUCGUUCAGCGGUACUCCUGAUACUAUUUUCUAUCUAUGUCCUUAUCGACUCCUGGACCAGCAAGAACGGAAUCAGUGAAAUCCCCUUCUAUUGCUCUCUUGGUUUAAUCGCUAUGGCUUGCUGGAGGUUAUGGAAUGGUGUGCCUAUCUUUAGAGCGCACUGGCGUUUAUUUCAUCGCACGAUAGAUUUUUUGUCGCUGGAAGACUUCCGGAUGAUUAAUAACGCUCAAUUUUUUGCAGAUGACCGAAAGUACCAGAAACUGGUCGGUUUUCAGGCGUCUGGAGGAGCCCCCUCUAAAAAACUGGUUAACAAGCUCUUCCGUAAAAAAGAAAAAGUCGAGAUCCCCCAGCGUACUACUUUUUUGUGUAAUGGCUUCAAAUGGGGACCUGAACACUCUGAACGUACCUAUCAGGUACACAACCUUUCCAGUGAUAUGCAUGAGGUUCAGUUACCUUUUAUUCUGAAUCCUGUUACUCGCCACUAUCGAAAACUUGCGACUGAACUUGGUGGGAAUUAUUCAAUUUUUGGUGUUGAUAAGAAGGUGCCGAUUUUCGUCAAUGAAGAAAAUUUCUUUGGUCAUACCCUUAUCACAGGAAACGUAGGGACAGGGAAAACGGUUCUCCAGCGUCUUCUUUCCAGUUCUAUGCUUCAUCUUGGGCACAUCGUCCUCGUAGUGGACCCUAAAAACGAUUACCAGUGGCAGGACGGGUUACAGGAAGAAUGUGAAAGCCUUUGUAAGCCUUUCCUACAUUUCCACGCAGGUAGUCCGUCCAGGUCUAUUUCUUACGAUGUCAGCGCUAACUAUGUUAAGGAUACAGACCUCUCGGCCCGUAUUAUGAGCAUCAUUGCUGGUACCGAAGGUGGUGAAGACCCGUUCUUACGUAUCGCAGAGGGGCUUGUUACAACAGCUAUUGGUGCGUUGAAGCUGGCUGGUACAAAACCAACUAUCCAGAAUAUUUACUAUGCAAUCCGCUCAAAACAGGACCUGGUCGUUACCACCCGAAAUGCGCUACGGGGUUUUUAUAUUUACCAUCUCGGGCCGGAAUGGCAUUUAACGGUUCAGGUUUCCCCCAAUCUUCCUCUUGCGGACGAAAUUGAACUGCUGAAGAACUAUUUCUUCAGCAACUACUUUGAAGAUAACACCCCCAAAGUUAUGCAUGGUAUGGAUACGGUUCUGGAAUGUUUCAAAUACGUAACCGGUGAUGAAUCUCACUAUUACAAAAUUACAGCCAGCCUUAUGCCAAUGCUUAAGCGAUUAUCCCAGACUCCUAUGGAUAUAUUGCUUUCGGCGAACGAUGUCGAGAACCCUAAUCGAAACAUCGUUAACAGCCAUGGCCUUUUUAACAGUGGUGGUGUGCUCUAUAUUUCACUGGAUGGCCUGUCUGACCCGGCAACUGCGCGGGACCUUUCCCAGCUAAUUACUUCGGAUAUCGCCGCUGAGGCAGGUAGCCGCUAUAACACGGCGACUGAUUUGUCCGCAGCGCCAAGGGUUUCCAUCUUUAUCGAUGAGGCCCAUCAGGCCAUUAAUAUGCAAAUGAUUAACCUGCUUGCCCAGGGGCGUGCGGCUAAGAUCGCAUUGUUCAUCUCUACGCAGACGAUUUCAGACUUUGUCUCGGCCACCAGCGCUGAUACCGCUGACCGGUUGACGGGGCUUUGCAACAACUAUAUUUCCACACGAGUUACUGACGCGAAGACCCAGGAACUUGUCCUGACUAAAGUCGGCCAGGCUAAUGUUUCGAUGAACCAGGUGACUUACACCACCAGCACGGGCACUAAACAGUCCCAUACAGAUUUCAAUGGCUCGAUUUCCGAACGUAAGUCCACAACAAUGGUGAGUGCAAUUCCGCAGGAAUUACUGUCAAUGAUACCGACCCUGCAUUUCAUCGCCUGCUUACAGGACGGGCGAAAAAUCGUAGGCCAGAUGCCUAUUACGGUGCCGGGAAAAUCAAUGCGUAGAACCACAACUGUCAUUGAUAUGAUCACAACAUCGCCCUUCAAACUUAAAUUGAGACGUAAUCUCGACGUUGAAGAAAUACUAAGCAAAUCCCAGAAGGUGGCCUGACUAUGGAAUGUAAACGAGUAUCAAGAGCAUCUUUGCUCGGUAUGAACUCUUCGCAACCCAAAUAUAUUUCACGUGCAAAUAAGACACUGAAACAGUAUGGCAUUAAUGUUGACGAUGAGUGUCUCCCGGAAAUAUUGUCACGCUACGCCAGGAAGCUCACUGGUGACAUUAGCAAGGUAUACGCACAAUACACAGUUGAUAGUCUGGACGUAGUGGCCCGCACUCUGUCUGAGUUUUUUAUUAUCCGUCAUAAGGUGACUAUCGUUACGCACGAUGAGCAAGAGAUCGUCAGUAACUGGUCUGUAUCUCAGGGACCAUUCACCGCGUGGCUCAAAGAACUGUUGAAUACCUGCAUGGCAAAGAGCCAUACAGUUGAGGUACAGAUUGAUGAUAAUCAGGAACGCAUGGAAUUUAUCCAGCUUAAUGCGGAGCGUCUUGGUUGGUACCUGUUGCCUGAGUUUAUUGAUAUUGCAGGCUUCCUGCCCGUUUUCCUUGAUAUACCUGAACAGGUUGAAUACCAGGUAAUGCGGCGCAAGCGGCACGGUAAGGUGCCUGACAUCCACCAGCACGAUUUGGGUAUUUUCGAAGAGGAUGCGCUGAUAUCCGGUUUGAAAGAAAAGCUACUUUUCUGGAGUGACAACCUGAGCGACCCACACGAUGAAUACACGUCUCUUUUUAACCGUGUUAUCGACCUUUCCAUCCUGGGCAACCGCCACCAGCCAGCAAUGUACCGCAAGAGCUGUAUUAUUCAGUCGUUCCUUGAUGAGUUUUCCGCCUCGGUGCUGACUCUUCCCGUCCGCUUUAAUGACGGUACUCUUCACGCACUCUGGACGCCAUGGGCGGAGCCCUUUAGUCAGUUCUCGCGCUUGCGGCCGGUUGAAGAAGAUACCGUAUACAUGCCAACCCCGGGACAGGUCCGCUGGAUAAAUGAAGAUGUCCGCAGGAAAGUGACUUUUUCACUUAUAUCCCGGUUAAUCGCAUCGGAUGACCUGGCGUGUUCGGGCAUUCUUCAUGGCUGGAAGAAUCACUACCUCAACAGAGAAAGCAAUAUUCGCCUGGCAGCCCUUUGGGCAGAGCUGUUCACAAAUAAAACUGACUGACAGAGGUGUAAAAUGGCUGGAAAGGAUAUGUCGGCGCAGAGAAUGACGAUGAUCCGGUUCGGUUUAGGGCUGGGUCUGUUGAUUUAUUUUCUGUUUAACGUUUACCUGGAAGACACCAAUAAGCUUUAUAAAGAUAUCAGCGCAGAGGUGAAAUCCAGCAAGUUGCUUAUGGAUGUGGAGAGAUGGCAGGAUGUCACGCGAAGAACGGAAAAGACGUUUAAUUACUUUUUCGUCGAAUUAAAUUUUACAGGGUACCUGAAUAAGUGGCUAUUACCCGAGGACGAUAAAACCAAACCGGCGCGGGGGAUGAACCUUGCGGCAAACAAAUUCAUGAGCCCGAACUACAACGCCGCCCGAAACGUCCCGUUAAUGGCGUAUCAGGCAAUUUACCGUUGGUAUUUGCUGGUUGGCUGGUUUUUCACGUUCCUGCCGUUGAUGAUUGCUUUGGCACUGGAUGGUUAUUACCAGUGGAAAAUGAAGAGAUUUGUUUUCGGCGAUGUUACAAUUCAGCUUUAUCGCCUCUGGUUCCGUUCUCUGUCGAUAAUCAGUGUAUUGAUAGUUGCAUAUCUUGUUAUCCCUAAUUUGAAUUUAUUUAACGGGCUGACACAGUAUUUUCCGCCGCUUGCACUGGCGUUGCUUGCUAUUGCCAUUAACCGGCUUCUUGCGCAUUACCAAAAACUCAUGUGAGGAAAUACAUGUUCAAAAAAAAACCACCUCAACCUGAAACAGGCUCUGUUCAGGAUGUGGUAUCGCGUGAAAGUAAGAAGUUUUACCGACUGUAUAAAUCGCACGUAUUAUCAAAAAUGGCCCUGACGAUUAUUGGUAUUGGGUUUGCUGGUUACAGUGGUUUCACCAUGUAUCAGGAUAAACAGAAAAACGGUAAGGGAGCCGACCAUAUCGCAGUUAUCCGUAUCCAUGGAGAAAUGGGCACGGGUUCGCCAACGGGCGACGGCGUUAUCAUUGCCCGCGCUUUACGUGAAGCGUGGGAUAACCCGCAUGCUAAAGCGAUCCUGAUUGAGGCUGAAUCGGGCGGUGGCGGCCCGUCUGACGCCAUUAAUAUUUACCGUGAGAUAAACGAGCUUCGCAAUUCCCUCCAUGGAGCGCCGGGGCUGACGAUUGAGGAUUCUGACCCUACAGCGUCAUCAAAUAAAAAGGAAGUUCCACCAGCGGCUAAUGACGCUGUUAAACAGGCAUUAUUGAAAGCUGUUGGUACCGGUAAAGGGAAGCUGCCAGCUGCUGCCCGUGACGUCCGUCCGAUAAUUGUCAGCAUUAAGAAUAUGUGUGCCUCGGCCUGCUAUUACGCGGCUUCUCCGGCUGAUGCGGUUUAUGCGGACCCAAACGCCAUUAUCGGUAGUAUCGGCGUGCGCAUGGACCACUGGGAUGUGUCAAAGAUUAUGGACCGUCUUGGAGUGGCUAACGAGCCGUUAACGGCCGGUGCCUGGAAGGCUUCGCUUGACCCAUGGCGUCCGAUUGACGACGAAACCAAAGCGUUUCUGCAUAGUGAGCUACUCGACAAAAUGCAUGAGCAGUUUAUCAGUGAUGUCGAAGCUGGUCGGGCAGGAAAGUUACUUUCUCGUGAGCAGGCUGAUAAAGAACAACUGUACACGGGGAGAUUCUGGUUGGGCGACCGUGCUAAAGCGUUUGGUCUUAUCGAUGACACAGCCACCAGCACAGAAGUGCGUGAACGACUGAGUAUUGUUUACGGAACCACGCGGUUCCGCGACUACAACGCGCCUAAAGCAUCGUUAAGCAGCAUGUUAGGAUUGUCACUGGACGUAAACCUGAAAGAGGCUUUAUCCGGUGCGCUUAACGCCACCAGCACGGUGAGGUAGCGAACAAUGGAUUUAACAACGUUAACGACUAUCUUUCUGGUGUUCGUCAUGUUGGUCCUGUCGUGCAUCAUCCUGUGUGUCUGGCCGCUUGUCAGUAAUAUGUUUAGCGAGCAGCGUACACGAAAUGCAUUAAAGGGUGUUUUGGCUGACCUUGAUGGGACGCUUCUGUCAGACGUUACCCUACCGCUCAACGCAUCCCAGACCACACAGAUAGACCAUAUCUUUAUCAGCACGAAAGGGAUCUUCAUUAUCGAAGAGAAACACUACUCCGGAGACAUUUAUGGUUCUCUCGAUGAUAGAGUGUGGACAGUCGUGUACCGUUACGGUGAACAAAAACACAAGAUGCAGAAUCCGUUCCUUCAGAAUAAAACCCAUAUAUCUGGAGUGUGUCGGGCUCUGAAGCGUGACGAAAAGAAUAUUUUCAAUGUCGUGUUACUGACGGGCAGCAGUAAGUUCAUGGUGAGUCCUGUGCCGGAAUGGUUGUGCCGUAACUGUACUGAACUUGGUAACAAGUUCAUCGCGUACGAUACAGAGCCUGUUUUAAGUGUUGAAGAAAUUGGCUGGAUAGAAAGUGACUUGCGUAAGGCGAUGUUGCCCCAGACGCUGUUAACUGACCUGGGCCAUGUUUAUUCUUUGAAAUUAAAGCACCGGCAAAAGAUAUCAGUACCGCACAGAGUGACCUAUUUUACGUUGCUGACAACCACCCUGUUCUUCCGUGCGCUGAAAAAGUUAUUUUCACGUAAGCGGUCUGAAGUCAUCCAUAAAGAGUACCGCGAAUAGCGCGUUUCCCGUUCGUCAUCAGGUAUAAACAGGGCCACCAGCGGGCCCUGUUUAAUUAAAGUAGUCAGAUGCAGGAGGAUUCAGGUACGGCACGGACUGCCACGCGCGGAUCAUGUUGACCAUUUGCUCGGCGAUCCCCAUUGACUGGUUUAGCCGGUAUGCCGUUCGGGCCACCAUCCUUUGCUGAUGUUCAUCAGAUUUCACAUCCACCAGCCUGAAGCGCCACCACUCUCUACCACAGUGAAUGACACAGAUAUCGAACUCGGCCUUGACCACCGGCAGGUAGUGACGGAGAUUCAACUCCUGCAGAAGUGAAUACGCCUGAGGCAUAUAGCGUCCAUCGAAUGAGCCCGCCCAACGAUACGUUGCGAUGAAUGGCGGUGAGUCCAGAGAUUUAAGAAAUGUCAUGUCAGGUCCACCAGCAGCUUUACCAGCCUCUUAUUAUAAAGAUUCAAACGCCUCCUCAAAGCCCCUAUUUUCAUCCACGCUAUUAAAAACGGAUGCAAUAACAGUUGCGGGAAUGCGUCUGAUAAACAGUGAGAAAUAAUGGAGUCGAUAUUCAACCGGUGUUUUUGAAUAAGAUGAUCAGGUAAUCAUAAACAACCAGAAAUUAUGAGGCGCUGUGAUGUGAUGACCCCGGUGAAUCCCGGUGGUUAAAAGUGACUUUUGUGCUGAAUAACACCCGGGAGGAAUGGUGGGUUAAUCGAUUUCUGCCACGUCCUGUUUGAAUGGCGACUUAAUGUCAGUUCGUAUCAGAUGGCUUACGGUUGAGCCCGCAACUGCGAGUCAUCGCCCUAUGGGAGCCUGCACUACGGCAUCAUUCCGGCGAGAAUGUGCUAUGGCAGUGCACGGUAGCCCGACUGUACAGACAGAUGCCAGUAACGCCGCAGAGAGCUUGUGCGUGCCUCCCAGAGGCGGUGUACACGAGUCGCACUGUGAGAAUUAUUGUUACUUCUGAUUGCCAUUUGCUUUUUUUGGGCCUGUCUAAUGCACCAGCCCACAAUUUACCUUUUGGCUUUAGAAAGAGCGAACAGCCUAUCUGAUAAAAUCAACCAGCACCCUACGUGCAAUACUUUGUUCUGGCAAAUCACUGUAUAUCCGCCGCAUCGCCGCUUUGUGGAAUGGGGUACGAUUAACCACGUCCACCAACGUUAGCCCGCUUUUAUCGAAUGAUGCCCUGACUUCCCUGUAACGCUGGUAAUGAAACAGCCUGUGGAACAGGUUCAUGGACAACGCCUGAUCGCCUGUGACUUUGAAUCGUAUUACUGCAUCCCUUACCUCAAUCUCUUCUGCAGGGAUUUCGCCAUCAGCGUAGGAACCCACAAUAGCUGGCGACAGUAAGUAUUGCUCGUCAAGAGGAUCGUUCAUGAAACGGCUAUACAUUAGCAGCUCCUGUUUCUGGUAAAAAUCUCACCCGGGGCAAUCAAAAAAGUUACUUUUCCGGCGAAUAUCGUCGUAGGUCGCAAAGAACAUAAAGUGGGAACAACAGGCGCAACAUCAGGAGUUUCGCACGAACCUGCUUCAUGACACUGUGGGAAGCCUGCUCACCACGGUGAGUCCUUCACAAACCGGCUGACUGAUAUCAUCGCGUCAUUCUCUACAUACCAGUCCACCAGCAGUUUGUCGUUCAUCCCCUCUGGGGUUUGGAUAACAGCAUUGGCCGGGCCUGAAUGAACUUCUGCUACCAGUAUCAAGCCUAUCGUACCUGCAAUGCCCCUGAGUUCGGUGAAGCGGUGUGUCAGCUCCACAUCAAGCUCAGCGAAGCGUACGCCAUUCAGAGAGAAGAUAAACGGUAAGAAUGACAGAUUGCUUUUCCGUCCCGCGCGAGACACUGGGGCAUCUGGUAAUGCAGCUAUCUGUUCGACUGAUAGUGUGCUCAGGUACCGAUUGCUGUGGCUUAAGGGCAAAACCAAACAUCCAAUAUUUUCUGAUUGAUGUUCAUUUGUCAUGUUGCCUGCCUUUGGUAUUGGCUUAAGAUGUUGUCAGAAUGGUAACGCUAAGCACUUCCUGAACUACCAUACGGAUAAUAAUGCGUUAUUCCCGGUGUACCAGUCCACCAGCUGUAAGACGAAAGUAACUUUUGCCUUAUUAGUCCGGUGCCCUGCUUCUUAUGCCACUAGAAAAAUUCGUCUGAAUUCCUCGUCACCUUAAUACCAAGCCAGAGCACGUUAGCCUGUAAUGCAUAGGCGGAUAGUUUAAUGAGCAUCCCCUCCUGCAUAAGCCCUUUCAACGGUAUAUUGUUCAUAUCACAAAACAAAGUGACCACCAGCAAUACAUAGAAGAAUGCUAAAGGAAACGUUCUGAAAAAAUAUACUGUCAUUGCCGCAAGCCCACGAAUUACGUAGAGCGUACUCAUGACAAAGGUUUGAGUACGAGAAGGUGGUUCCUGAAUUUUGAUAUUCAUGUGAAUGUCUUUUUGUUGGAGGAUGGAUUUAUUAUGCUCAGGUGAAAAGGUUAACCAGCAUACCCAGCUCAAUUAACCCACUCCACACUUCAGAUAGUCGGGCUGACUUCUUUGUACCAGAGUCGGAUUGCCUCGAACCUGCUGGAAGUGCUCGCCAUGGAUCCUGAGACUUCAAAAAUAGUUUCAACUGAUAUAACGUCUAUGUUUUUAUCUUCCAGCCAUUUAUUCAUGUCGAUGGUGGCCUGCCACUCCCCCCUGUCAAAGGUUUGUCUGUCAUCUCUGAAAUCAUGAAAUUUAAUGCCCAUAUUUGACUCCUGAAAAAAUAAGUAAUCAUUAAAAACGCGAAUGACUGUCUUUCAGCAUUAUACAUAAUCAUAUUGUCUGUCGUAGCCACUGGUUAGAGCAUUCAGCUCAUUUCAGGUUUUUUUAUAUCAUCGCCCAUUCAUAAUCACCCUGGCAUUUCAGGGUUAGUAUCCGGCGGUAGAUAAAAGUUACUUUUCUCUGAAUGCCUGCCCCUGGUGACUGCCAACAUCCACCAGCAAAACCAACAUCAUCGAUGUGAUGAUAUCCCCCCCUUCGGGCCCAGCACAAUGGCAUUCUAUGGGCGCGCAUGAGCCGCUACUGUCAGCAUUAACUAACUAUUCGAAAAGUUUCUGAGUUACUGAAGAACAUUACUGAAGCCGAUUAUUACGUUUUGCGAUUAACUACAUUUAUCGCCACCAGAAAAGCAUUUCAGAUUUACUCCAUCCGAAUAUCAUGACCUGUUGUGAUAAUAUCAUCGCAUAUUCACCCAUCAUUAAUAGCGAGCCUACAUGGAACACAAAAGCGAUCGGAAAGAAUCAUGCCUCAUCCCUACUACUUCAGAUGAUAAGUUUGUAUUUAUUCUUACACUCACAUUGACACUCAUCUGUUUCGCCAUAAUAUCUGCCUUGACCUUUCUGGUCUCAGAUGAAGAAAUUAAAUCCCUGAGGGUCUGGUUUUACAUCCCUUUUGUAUUUUUCUCUUUUGUAUCCUACCUCUCAUAUUGUGCCUGGCGUGGUUCAAGGCCGAAGAAGCCAUGAACAAAUUAAUACUGUCCCUUCUUCUUUGCGUCCCACUUGCGUCAGGCAUUUCUGCAGAAAGUGACCCUGAUGUCAGACCGCCAGAGAAAAAAUAAAUAAUCGCAUUAUAUGAACUGUCUCCGGUAAUCGGAUUGAUUAUUUCUGAUAUUGCCAGUGUGCGUAGACAUAAUUGCAAUGACACAAUGACCAUAAAACGUAUGCAGGACACACUGGCUAAUGAUGUGUUUGUGUCCGACACACUGAGACGGAACGCGGCAGAUCGUUCAUAUAUGGACUCAGAGUCAUACCGGGCCGAACUGAACCGGAACUACAGGCAAUGCCACUAAAGAGCGCCAGCUGUCGUGCUGUGCGCAUCCUGAAGGCUUUUUACAGCUGAUACCAAAGACUGGCCCUCUGGCGUAGAGAUAGCGUACCCCGACGUUAUGACGUCAUUGAGUCCUGGUCGUCUUGUUGCCUGUUUUCCGUCCACCGUCGACAAAAGUUACUUUCUUCGCCUGAAGAUUCAUUAUUGCUGUGUACCCGAUAACCCGUAAUUUACCAGGCAUUAUGAGCUUGCAAUCACUUAAGGCGGAUGUCCCUUACCUCACUCGUAUUUAUCCAGGCAUUAUGCAAACUCAUACCGGCCCAAUGAUGCCGAUCAUAAAUAGCUUUUCCUCUGAUUGUGUUUUGUUUACCCCAGUCAUCCUUUCCGUCCACUGACAUUAUAAGGGAUGGCUGGCAUUAUGUUUCUGUGUCAUAUUUCAGCCCGGUGUUAAAUUAUCGGUAAGUGGUACUGCCCAUGAUGAAGUUUUUAAAAGUAGCAGGGAUAUCUGUUUUAGCGCUGGCCGUGUUUAUAGCAGCGCUUAUUGCGUGGUACUGGCUGGACGCCCGUGCGUCUCUCCAGGCGGAUAUACGCGCCUGCCCUUCAGUGACGACAGAGCAGGCCACAGCCGCCGUUUUGAAGAAUGUCCUGUUAAAUGGCGAACGGCUGUUUUCGAAGCCCCAUUUAACUCAAAAGGAUGUGAUCAUUGAGGAACGAGGGGUGCAGGUAGGACAGACCGGCACGCUGGUACCGUUCAGGAUUGACGGCGUAACUGACCGGCGUUACUUCGGUAUGACAGGUUGCGCAUCGCUGGAUGCGGUUGAAUACGCCACGGAAUAUUAUACAGAGCCCUGACAGCGGUAUAGCGUUUCACGCCCGCUCUGCACGUCAUCACUGCGUCAGCUCCUUCAGGUAAUGUGCGGGGUGACUGCCAGUGUGAGCGAAAGUAACUUUUCCUCUGAUUGCCUUCAUCACUUCUUUCAGAAAACAGUACAUGACGUGAGCAACCUGCAUCAGUACAAGGGAAAGGAUCGGAUAUGUGCGGUCAGCCACUCCCCCUUAACCCCCUCUGUCCCUGCGAACACUUUUGGUCGUUUGGAAAAAUCGCAAUCAGAAGAAAGGUUCCGGGUUUCUUGGGUGGUCGGCGUGCGCUAGUUGGCCCGCCAGGUGCUUUAGCUGGUUUGGAUUGUACAUGCUUGCCCCACCAGCUGACCGUCAUUCUAUCCCCAUGUCCUCGUCAGCGUUAAAGGCGAUCGCCUCUUCAUCCAUGAACGCCGGAUAAUUAAACUCCUCCACUGCUUUAAUAACGUCCGGGUGGUUGCGCCAGUAUUCAUCCACAAUACCGACGGAUAACUGUUCUGCUUCCUGUCGCAACUGACGAGCGGUCUCAUAGUUGUCCCAGCCGCUUUCGUAGCUGGCUUUCUCGUAGAGUGCCUUCUGUUGCUCUUCAAUUCGGCGGAUUUCCUCCAGACUAGCAACGUGCCCGUACCAUUCCAGGUUGCAGGCAUUACCGGCAACCACUAGCCGUUCAUUUUCAUCCCGGAUUUCGAUCGUUCUUUCAUAAAAGCUGACCGGUCCGCAGUCUCUGCACAUCCACGGAUCAUAACUAUCCUCUUCCUCCCCACGUUCGUUCCAUUCACCCCGCAUAGCGGCUUCCUUUGCCCGUUCCAGCGCAUCUGCCACGGUCUGGGCUUUACCCAGCAGGAAUGUCCCGUCAGUGAUGUAGGUGCCUUGCAUCGGGUCAUCUUCAGGGUAUUCCACACGCCCUGUUACAUAGACACUGAACCGAUACUGUUUCUCUUUCUGAUUGACCAGAUAGCUUUCGCGUUUUGCUGUCGCCUCGUCCUGAUAAAAUGCCAGGGAUUUUAACGGAAAUGGCAUAUCCCUUAGCCAUUCAUCGCGGGCAAGCCGUAGAGCCAGACGCUCGACGUUCGACGCAAGGUCGUACACUGCUUUACUUGUGAUAGCCCCGCAGCGCCUGAGUAAGCGGACACAUUGUGCAGCGGAUUGCCUGUGGCCCCCAAUCAUGCUGUAAAAUUUAUCUUCGUCGAUAUCGAUUUCCGCCCGACAGAUGGCGUCAUGCAACAUGAAAUCGCCCUCGUGUUUUGCCAACUCCACCAGCGUGGUCAUAAUAUUGGCAAACACAUCUUCAUUCUCUGCAGCAGUGAUUAAUUGUGUUGUAGUCAUUUUAUUGUCCCUGUCUUUAACGUUGCGGCGCUCCCUUAAGAACACUCCGCUGGCUGAUAACCAGGAUAGCAAUUAAAAUCAACGCAUCAAGACCCAAAAUAAUUAACGAAUCAUACCGUUCAAGGGGUACGAUGAAGGGUUUAAUAUUGAGGAACUAUGUCUGUGUGAUGACCUCAGCCUAAAAAGUUACCUUCCUGUUUAUCUCAGGCCAUAAUUUUGCACUGUUUAUGGACUGUGUUAUUUUAUCGAACAGUUAUCUAUACUAAUAAACUGUCAGUGUCUAUAUGCCCAGCAAUUACCCCCCCCCGGAUAAUAAUAACCAGUCUCGCCGGGUGGCAGUGGUCGGACAUUUCUUUUCCUGAUUGCAGUUUUUUAAAUAAUAAAUUAACAUAACGGAAAUUGAAGCAUCGAUGCAUUGAUUUAAUCAUUUAUCACCCUGAAUAUUAUUGUUAAUGUCGGGUUUCAGGGCGGAUUAAUAAAUUUCAACUUUACCCAUAGAAAUGUGUUAUUACUAACGGUAUGACUUAUGAGGGGUCCGGCAUGACACUUACGGCAUAUUACCAGUUAAAAAACACAAAAAAUGCAGGGCUCGGUAUCGAAUUGCUGGAUAGUGAAGCUGCUGCCUUUAUUGUUCUGGAAGAAUGCAGUUAUGAAAAACCGAAUGAAAUUGCCCGCUACGGACACAACGGUACAGCUGGCGAUCGCUCGAACGCCUUCAGUUGCGCGAUGAAUAAAGCGCUGAGCUCUCAGAAUUACAGCGGCGCAAUGUGUGAUUACAACGUUUACGAAGAAACCGCCUGAAUCUUCCUGUAGUAGCUGUGUGUAGUCUUUGCCCGCCACUGGUGGGCUUUUUUUUGAUUUCCCCUCCCCGGUCGUGCGGUUUUUUAAUUGGUAUCCGGGCAGGAAAAAGGGGCUACCAGCGAACCGGUAACCCCUUCAUAAAGCGCUUCAGGCAUGUCAGAUCAACCCAGCUCCUGAAAAGGCGGGGUUUCCCCCGCCUCCAGGUUGCUACUUACCGUUGGAUUCGUAAGCCAGGCUUGCCGCGACCUCCCUGUCCCCGUCCUUUAGCCGGAGUUCGCAUAAGCGGUUCCGGGUCAGGCAUGUGAAUAUCAAGAGCGUGAUACACACGAUUAAUACGCACCAGAUAAGGGCGUUUCGCGGUAGUUUCAUGGUUUACUCCUCCUGUGUAAGUUCACACAGAUAUUGCAAUUGCCUCAGAACACUAAAGGAGGGAUUGCCAGAUGUUGAUGCAGCAUAUCGGUGUCGGCUAUUUUGGGUAUUACCGAGCAACUGCUUAUGCGAUGAAACACUCUCUUAUGCCCGAGAUUGCGAAGUUAAGAAUGAAGGCUCUGAACUUCUGGGAUAAGCACGGGAUCCGUGCCGCAGCUGAUGCUUUUGACGUAUCAACGCGAACACUCUACUGGUGGCGCCGGUUACUGCGCACCGGUGGUCCAGAAGCACUAAUUCCAAGAAGCAAAGCCCCUCUGGUUCGCCGUUCAAGGCACUGGCAUCCUGAUGUACUCAAGGAGAUCAGGCGUCUGAGAACUGAGUUACCCAAUCUCGGCAAAGAGCAGAUUUUUGUCAGGCUGAAACCAUGGUGUGAAGCGCGGCAUUUUACCUGUCCCAGCACGUCAACCAUUGGAAGAAUCAUUGCUGGUGCUCACGAUAAAAUGCGGAUGAUCCCCGUACGCCUCAGCGCCAGGGGCAAAGCCCGGUUGAUAAAAAAACGCUCAGUGAAGCCCAGAAGACCAAAACAAUACCGCCCGGUAAAAACAGGCGAACUCAUAGGGAUGGACGCGAUUGAACUCAGGAUGGGGGACCUACGCCGCUAUAUCAUUACCAUGAUCGACGAGCACAGCGACUAUGCGCUGGCCCUGGCGGUCCCUUCACUCAACAGCGAUAUUACCAGCCAUUUCUUCAGCAAGGCCACAAAGCUCUUUCCUGUCGCUAUCAGACAAGUUGUCACUGACAACGGUAAGGAGUUCCUCGGUAACUUUGAUAAAACGCUACAGGAAGCCUCGAUUAAACACAUCUGGACCUAUCCGUACACACCGAAAAUGAAUGCGACCUGUGAGCGAUUUAACCGGACACUUAGAGAACAAUUUAUUGAAUUCAAUGAAUUGUUGCUUUUUGAGGACCUGAAUUUGUUUAAUCAAAGAAUGGCUGAAUAUCUGGUGCUGUAUAACAGCAAAAGGCCACAUAAAUCACUCGAACUGAUGACGCCAGUGGACUAUAUUUUACGUGAGAGUAAAAAUUGCAAUAUGUGGUGGACCCAUACACCUCCUUGCAAAUUGCACGGUAAGAGGCCAUACUGGUGUUGACUAGACAUACAGUGGGCCUCGGGUUAAUUGAAAAAUUACUCGGGGCUUUCUGCUUUCUGCCACACAACAUCCAAACCACUCAAACAUCAUGAGGCAAAAAAGCCUCAAGCGCCGUCAUCAUUAUACCCUGUAUAACCCCACCCUCCCAGGUCUAAAAUGAUGAUAAGUGAAUAAUAUUUUAGAUAGUUUUUGACGUAUUUUCUGCCAGGCUCACCAGCCUCUUCUGAGGUUGAGUCGUCUCUUGCUCCCUGCCGGUCUUCUCCCGAUUAUCCCCUUCUGCUUUCCCUGCAACUGCCCAUGUUGUCGUGCCAGGCGGUGACUAACAGUCCAGUUACCACGUUCGUAUUGGGCUAUGUAUGGUUCUGUGUAGACACAGAGCAGCGCCAAAACAACCCCCUUGUUCUCCAGAUACGCUCGUACUUUUUGUUUACAGAAGGGUCGGGGCUGCUGUUUGAAGAUUAACUCUAAAAAAACGACGAGUGACCAUGUCAAAAUUCCCCAGGCAUUAUCAAAUAGCAGUAGCGGCAUAUUGGAAUAGUUAUUGUUGUGCAAAUAUCAACCACCAGCUAAUGAGACUGAGCAGCCUGUAUACAUUUUCCCUGAUUGUGAUACUUCAGAGUGUAGCGAUCGGUAUGGAGUCCCACUGGGUCGUGUAAGCCGGAGAGAGCAUGUCUCUCUUCAUUGUCCACGCCGGUGCGAUGCCUCGACCUGCAAACCAUACUUUGCCUUUGCCUGAAUUAUUGAUCGUAUCCAGUACGUUCAUGAGUGCAUCGCUGUUCGCAUAAGGCUUCCCUUCAUCAAACAGCGAGAGCUGAGUCACGCCAGCAGGUUUGAAAUCGUUCAGCAUGACGCCUGCCUUGGCGUAGUUAUGUCCCUCUUUCCAGAUCUUAUCCAGAGCACGCCCAGCAGCUGCAAUAAGGUCUCGUGUAUCACGUGAUGGGAUGCUGAGUCGCUCGCUUGCAAUUUUGCUGUAAUACGGUUCAUUUUUGGAAAAAGGAGAGGUUUUAAUGAAAACAGACAGGUGGCCGCAGUACUGACGUUCCUGCCGCAGCUUUUCCGCAGCACGUUCAGCAUACUGGCAAAUUGCCUGCCGCAUGGAUUCAUACGUUGUAAUGCGCUGUCCAAAGCUCCUGCUGCAUAUGAUCUGUUGUUUUGGCGGAGGGGCAUCCUCCAGAUUAAUACAACUUUCCCCAUUGAGUUCUCGUACGGUACGCUCAAGGACUACAGUGAAGUUUCUUCGUAUGAAUGCAGGGUUUGCCCUAGCCAGUUCCAGCGCAGUGGUUAUGCCCAUUGCAUGUAGCUUACUCGUGGUUCGCCCACCAACCCCCCACACCUCCUCUACCGGCAUCAGAGAAAGCAUCUUAUCGAUCCGAUUACGCUGGCCUGCAGUCAGCGCGAGUACCCCUCCGAACUGGGGCCAGGUCUUGCUUGAAUACUGGCAGGCUUUCGCAAGGGUUUUGGUCGGCGCCAGCCCCACACCAAUAGUCAGUCCAGUACAGCGGAAAACAUGAUCGCGCAGCUGAUGUCCGUAUUCCUCGAACGUCAUGCAGUUAUCAAUACCACCAGCCAAAAUAAAGGAUUCAUCGAUGCUGUAUUCUUCCACCUUAGAAGAUAAUUCUUCCAGACAGAAAUGCACCCUGGCGCUCAUGCUGGCGUUUAUGUGGAAUAGAAAAGCAACCGUUGAUUCAGGAUUUCACUAAUGGAAAGCUUCUUAUUGGAUACGUGCUACCGGUAUAUCAUCCCAACAGGUCGUCCAUGCCGGGCUAAGCAUUUCCCGCUUCAUUUUCCACGCUGUAUUGACACCUUGCCCCGCAAACCACACAUUGCCUAACCCGGACUGAUUGAUGCCAUCCAGUACCUUCAUCAGUUGGGCGCUUUUCUCCCUAGGUUUGUUCUCGUCAAAAAGGUUAAACUGAGCUACGCCAUUCGGCGUGAAAUCAUCAAGCGCGAUACCGGCCUUCAUAUAGCGCCGACCAUCCAGCCAGAUGCGAUCGAGCGAACUCAUCGCAACUUCAAUAAUGUCUCGCGUAUCCUGGGUCGGGAGAGCAAGUUUUUCCCCUGCACUAUUACCGUAAUAAACUUCGUUAACAGCAUGAGGCGAUGUUCUUAUAAAAAUGCCAAUAUGUCGGCAAAACUGACGUUCGCUUCUCAGCUUUUCGGCUGCACGUGUCGCGUAGAGGCAGAGUGCCUGCUGCAUGGCUGUUUUUGACGUGAUGCGCUUACCGAAGGAGCGUGAGCAUAUAAUUUGCUGUUUUGAUGACGGAAGCUCCUCAAGAGGAAUGCAGGACUCUCCAUUCAGUUCACGCACGGUGCGCUCCAGAACGACCGAGAAAUUAUUUCUGAUAAACCUCGGGUUGGACUGAGCGAGCUGUAAAGCAUUUUUAAUCCCCAUCAGGUUAAGGCGUUUGCCUAUUUUCCUGCCCACGCCCCAAAUCUCUUCUACGGGCUGAUUUUCCAGCAGUGUCAUGGUGCGUUUCGGAUUAUCCGGUGUGAGCGCCAGGACGCCGCGAAACUGUUUCCACUCCUUGCUGGCCCAUUGAGCUGAUUUGGCCAAGGUUUUGGUCUGUCCGAUACCGACGCCAAUAGGCAGCCCAACGGUAUUCAGGACAUGCGCUUUGAGACGGCGACCAAAAUGUUCAAACCCUUCGCAACUGUCAAUGCCGGUCAAAUCCAGAAACAUUUCGUCAAUGCUGUACUGUUCGACUCGCGGUGCAACUUCCUCUAGGGCGAUCAUUACUCUCUGGCUAAGGCUAUGAUAAAGCGCAUAAUUUGAGCUAAAAGUAUGUACCUGUUCCCGGUAAUCCUGAUUUUUAAUCUGGAACCAGGGUACCCCCAUUUUUAUCCCUAACGCUUUUGCGCCUGCAUUACGUGCAAUAACGCAUCCGUCGUUGUUACUAAGAACAACAAUCGGUUUGCCUCGCAAAUCUGGACGAAACAACGCCUCACAACUGGCAUAAAAUGAGUUUACAUCUGCAAGACCAAACAUUGGCAUCGUUACCUCCGUCGAGUACGAGUGCAGUUGAAAAACCACGUAACCACACCAAAUAGUUGUAAUUCAUCGGGAUAAAUAAUUGGAAAUGCUGGACUCAUAGGUAAAAGCGCAAGCCGGGGCUUCAGUUGAAGACGCUUAACGAUAAACUCGCCAUCGACCUCCACGACAACAAUAUCACCAUGAGUAGCUUCUUCAGCGCGAUCAACCACCAUAAUAUCGCCAUCACAAAGACCAAACUCCUGCAUACUGCAGCCACUGGCGCGUACAAAAAAAGUAGAGGCCCGUCUGCGUAUACAGAGCUCAUUUAAAUCCAGUUCCUUUUCGACGUAAUCCUGAGCUGGGGAUGGAAAUGCUCCCAUAGUCACAGGUUUUCAUGGGCAGAAAAAGAAUAAAAUACAGGACGUCGUACUUUAUUGCUUUCAUAAGCUAAAAAAUUAAUUAACAAUAUGAUUAUAUUGUUAAUUAUAAAAAUUACAUUCCAAGGCGACAUGUUGAUUUACUCGCAACUGAUGUCGCGGUAGGGAUACCCGUUACCGGAUACCCCCCGCACAGAUCCCGGCGUGCGCGAUUUACGCACCGGGCUCCUGCCUCGGGUGUCUGGCGGUGAACCGCUCCACAGGCCAUGGAUGAAGAACCCGAACCCUUGGUAGCCAUGCGGCUGCCAGUUUGUUUGCUUUCGUCCAGGUCGUAUCAUCCUUCUGGCUCCUGCGCCUGAGCGCCCGGCGCCAGAGGUUUGUUACGUGUGUCCUGAACUUCUGCAUGGUGGGGAAGUUGCCCGGUACCGAGUGAUAGUUCAGGUAUCCCUGAACCACUCUCCUGAGCCAUUUUCCCUGUUCGGGGAUUGAGUAAUGCCAGCGCCUUCGCAGACCGUCUUUGAUGGCUUUCAGAGUUGCCGUCAUCCGAUCCCGGCGGGUCUUUCGUAUCAGCAUGAACCUGCCGUUGCGAUCUUUCCCGCUGAUGUGCGUGAACCCGAGGAAGUUGAACGUUUCUGGUUUGCCUUUUCCCCUGAUGGCACGGUUUUCGGCAGCGAAGCGGCCGAACUCCAUCAGACGGGUUUUCUCCGGGUGAACCGUGAGUCCGAACUCCCUCAGUCUGCGCUGCAUGGCUAUACGGAAGCGCCGGGCAUCGUAUCGUUUGUCGAACCCGAUGACGAUGUCAUCGGCGUAUCUGACCAUUACCACAUUGCCUGUGGCAUAGCGACGUCGCCACUGAUGCGCCCACAGAUCGAAGACGUAGUGGAGGUAUAUGUUUGCCAGCAGCGGUGAGAUGACCGCACCCUGUGGGGUGCCUUCCUCCGUUGCUCGCCAUUGACCCUCCUCCGACGUCCCGGCUGUGAGCCACUUACGUAUGAGCCUGAUUACCCUCCGGUCGCCGAUCCGAUGCUCUGUGAACCUGAUCAGCCAUUCGUGGCUCACCCUGUCGAAGAACUGACUGAUGUCGGCAUCCAGUACCCAGUUUACGUUAGUGCGUACCAGCCCUGUGGCCAGUGCGUCCAGUGCAUCGUGCUGGCUUCGCCCGGGUCUGAACCCGUAUGAGAACCCCAUAAAGUCGUUUUCAUAGACUGCGUUCAGGAUUUUCACCAGCGCAUACUGGACGAUCUUGUCCUCCAGCGAGGCGAUGCCGAGCGGGCGUUGUUUUCCAUCCGCUUUUGGGAUGUAGUGACGCCUGCCGGGCUGCGCCCUGUAGCUGCCCUGAUGUAGCCUCCGGUGCAGAUCUGUUAUGUUGUUCUUCAUGUUUCCGGCGUAGUCCAUCCACCUGAUGCCAUCCACUCGGCGGCCGCUUUCCUGCUCAGGGAGAGGAAUGCGGCUUCCAGUGCUUCGACUGUCAGCAGGUGGAACAAUGCUGUAAACCGUUCUUUCUUCCGCUGCUUCGCAGCUUCCCGCACGCGUGACAGCCUCUGUGACAUGCUUUCCCGGCUCUGUGUCCGGCGCAUGUGUGGCUGUUCCGCGUUCCCCUUGGCCCCGCUCCUUCGCUCCACUGACUCCGCUCCUUUCGGGUUGUUCGCCUGCUUCGCCGCUACUAUGAGCGAGUCCGACUUCUCCUCUCCGUACAUCACCGGCUAUGACUCCUCGUCUUCCCGGUGCGGGCCAUCUCCGACACUGGCAGAUGGUCAGAGGGGAGAUCUCCCGGUUCCCGCGUAGAGAUCGUAUUGACAUGCCAGGGUCUCAGACCCCGCCGGGUCCAUGUGGCACUCGCAGUAUCGCACCCUAUGAUGUUGCCUUCCGUUAACAGUACAACGUCGGCACCCGGUAAUUUAAUAUACAUUUCGUGGCUCAAUGGCUGGCCUGUCAACACCCCUGUCAACGCUUCGCCCCAUACCUCGCGGUAUGCAACGCAUGACUCGGGGACCUUGUGGAUUGCUGGUCCUUCAAUGGUCGGGGACUUUCACCCCUUGAUCUCUAACCGGUCUCCCGGCGCACACUGUUUGUAUAUACAGUAUUGUACAAUAACAGAGCAAAGCAAGUGAUUCAUAAGUGUGUAUUGUGAUCUUGUUGAAGUAAGGGCAAAUUUAGUUAUGCAAGUAAGAGGUAUAGACAGGUGGUUCAGGAAUCAACGGAACCGUUCAAUGAUUGUCACUACCUCUCUCGUCCUCAACUUGAUGCCAAUGUGCUCCCUGCUUCAGAGGCCGGGAGUGUUGCUCGUGCAAUAGCUAUCUAUAACCAAUGGAGCUCUGAUUUAUCCCGGCACCGAUAUUGGGGGGAGACCAAACAACUUUGUUAGUGUAUCAAUAUGCUAACAAUUAGAGGACAGUUCUAUAAAAAUGAUGGAUCUGACUAUCAGGCCCAUCAUUAGAACCUUUAAGCUGUAUGUUUUAAUUAUUUUAUAGCCACGUAUUAUAGAUUCUUUGCAUAACUUCUUUUAAUUUAUCAGGGAUUCCAUCAAAAUCAUCUCCCCAUCCUAAUGUUUGCUGAUAGGCAUUAAAUGGUUUUUCAGAUUUUGGGGCUGGAUAGCCAAGAAGAUCUUCAAUACACUCCUCAACAACAAUUACUUUUUCAUGGUCACCAGCUGCUUCUAGUAUAUGUGGGUUAAAUACUUCCGCUCCCUUAACUCCCUGAUCCCUAUCGUGAAUAACGAUAAAAUCAACAUCUAAUGCAGAAAGAUAUUUUAUUAAUCCUAUUAUGGCUGCCUUUCCUCGUGCCUUAACUAAUUCGGUGUUGGUUAGUAUCUUAUUUCUAGAGAGUGCAGGCACCCUCCGAAGCGCUUCCUUGAAAACAAUUUCCUCUGUAUCACCCUCUACGACUAUAACCUUUUUAGUAAAAAAUAUGCGCGACAUAUGAUCAUCCAACUUCAUUAUCAUUUUCACAUAAUUCUUGUCAUCUUCUGAUAGCUGUUUGUAUUUUUCGGUCACAGAGAAUGGGUUAAUUGAGGUAUGAGAGGAUUCAUAAUGGAACCUAUUCAAUACUUGUCUUGGUUUUCUGGAAAGAUCAAUGAGGUAAGGGGAGUGAGUUGUGGCAAUGAUUUGAGAUGAUAGGCCUGAUAAGUCAUAGAUAAUAUCUCUCAUUUGAUUGGCUGCACUUGGGUGAAGAUAUAUUUCAGGUUCCUCAAAGCCAAUGAUAAGACUCCUUGCAUCUUCACCUCUUUUUCUCAACCACUCCUGCCUGAAUCUUAGCAGGCCAAAAACGGCGGCCCUUACCAUACCGGUUCCUUGAUUAGAUACUGUAGUUCGUAUAUUGCUUGACAUUUCAAUGGAGAAAGUGGGUGACAAUGCAGUGUCAGGAUUGGAAAGAUCGGCGAAUGCAUAGAUUUUUGACUCAGGGAAUACACCGCAAAGAACUUUGUUUAGCUCACCCAUCAUUAUCCCAAAUUCUGAUUUUUCAUCGGAAGGGUUUAAUUCUUUAGCAAGUUCAUUUAGACAUUCUUGGGCACGUUUGUAAUUGUCUGAUCCUCCUCGAACAUCUUUAAAUAGUUCGUUUAGUGUUUUUUGAAGCACUCCCGUCUUAUCUUCAAUUUCAUUAGCUCCUGAUUCUGCAGGAAUAAGUAAAAAGCUUGGUAGUCUUGAAAGUACCACUCCACCUAUACCGCCUGGGUUUUUGUCCCAGAUCUCUUCUUCUGUUACGUCCCAAAUAUCAUCUAUGAGCUCAAGUUUUGACUUUUCGCUACCACUUAUGUUUUUUUCUAAAGAAGAGAAUAGUUCGGUGAUGAUUGCAGCGUCGACUCCGGAUUCAAUAAAAUCCAGAGGCUUCUUUAGAUUCUCAAACUCUUUUUUCAGUUCUCUCUUGAGUGAUUUUAAUUCAAUUAAAACAUCUUCACCCAAUGUAUAGCUCUUUCUGUAAAAAAUGCUAUUGCCAGUUUCUCCACUAUCGGUUGGAUCAUAAGAAAACACUCUCCCUUUGAAUCCUCUCCACGUUUUAGCGUCAUCUGGAACAUUUCUAAACUCAGCUUCAAGUAUUAUUUCUUUACAGGAUAUUUUGUUUUCACCAGUUUCGGCAUCAACUUCAGAACAGAAACAGUCUGAGGCCAUUCUUUUUUUAUCAGACAAUAACCACUCAAUGGCUUUUAAAACUGAACUUUUCCCUGCAUUGUUAGAACCAAUUAAAAAUGUGGCGUCACCAAAUUUGACCUGAGCAUUGUGAAUUCUUUUAAAACCAUUUAUUUUAAGGGUGUGUAAUCGCAUUAGUAUUUUCCAUAUGCUAUAUAAAAAUAAAAUAUUUAGAGAUGACUUUGUAUUAUUCAUACAGUUAGUCAUUUUAAUUUUAAAAAUAGAGCAGUAAUGAGACUUACAUCAAAAAAAUGUAAUAAUCCAGAAAAAUCAAAUUCUUUAUUAUCGGUGAGUUUGUGAUAUAUUGAUUGAUUCAUCGCGUAAAAAUAACGCCCCUCUCGCUCUUCGCAGCAGUCACUUCGAAUAGCUCUGGAUUAAAUAACUAUAAAAUUAUGAUGUUUAAUGCUUUUUCCAGACAACAUAAAGGUUGUGAUAGGUUUUGCUCGGCAGUAUUCGGAAUGGAUAUACGCAAAUCUUUCAGAUACGAUAGAAGGAAGGGUAGUAACUAAAAGUUAUAAGUAGAAGCUGGAUUCAUUUAACAUGUGCGUUAUAUAUUUACACAGCCCUGAGUUAUUAUUUUCCAUACAUCAGGGCAUUAUAAGAAAACUAUCAAUUUGAAAAAACUAUAAAUAUUGAAUAAAUCGUUAACUUACAUUCUUGCUAGUCACUUUUAUACACCAUUCAUAUUUGUUCGCAAUCGAGUUCCAGUGCCAAAUGUUUAUAACACCAUGCAAACCUUCUUGGUAAAGGGUACCAAGUCGAAGGACGACUGAUGCUUGUGCGGAAACAAAAAGAUGCACCUCAUUAGCCUGUUUUUUUAAUUCAGAGAUAAUAUAGCUAAGAUCUCUGACUAUUUUUUCUUGCUCAUCUUCUUCAGGAAGAUUAUCAAAUCGGAACCCUGUAUUCAGUUGAGUAUGUAAAGUAUGCCCAAUAAACUCGGCAGGAAGAUCUUUUUCUAAAACUUCCAUUGUAAAUGAAAUUGCAAGGCCUAUAACAUUUCCAUUAUUUGAUGGCACACAUUUACUAUCAUGAAUUAUCUGACCAUUAUAAAAUUUAACUAUCUUUGCAUUAGUCGGAGGAGCAUCAAGAGGAUGAAACACUUUUUUAUCCCGAUCAAAAUCAAACAACUUUAAUGCCAAAUGCCCAUCUGUCAUGAAGCUACCAACCAUAUAAAGAUACGGUACGCUGCCGAGUGCAGCAACAUAAGCAGUUGUUGCACCAGUGUGAUGUAUCCUAUCUUGAAUAGUUUGCCGGAUAUAACUUGCGUUGGACAAAUUGUUAUUUUUUAUUCUUGAGUCAAAGGCUUUAAAAUCCACAUGUAAAAUUUUUGCUUUCUCUCUGGUAGAGAGCAUUUUCUCUGCCGCGUGGGGAUCAGUAUUUUCAAACCCAUAUGCUCGAAUAAGAGCAAUAUCUCGCUUAUUCAAGUCCCGAAGAGCGAGAUAUACGCAAAUACACCAUAAAAUAAAACCCGCAACAAUAAAGGUCAAGCUUAUUAAUUGGGCAAUCUCCGAGUAUUUUUGAUAGGUUAAACUUACUCCAUCGAUAACAUCAAUAUAUCUUUUAACAAAAGCUUUUGAGAAAACAAGGUUAAGCCCCCAACCGCCAACUAAUCCUGUCAUUCCUAAACUCAACAAACCAAGUGAAAGUUUAGAAAGUUGAUCUUUUGGUCUAAAAAGAAACUUGAUAAGAUAUAUUAAAGUUGUUUUAUCCAUGAUGAACCUCAGAAUUCCUGCCGGAUAAUUUUUUCAUUAUUAAAAUAAUAGAGGGCAUUUGUUUCCGUACCAAUUAUUAUGAAAAAAAGCCUCUGUCCUGGGUUCCGUAGUUUACAAUUAUUCCAGUCCCUAAUAUCGGUGUAUGAAGCGUGAGGAUUUUUUUCAGGAUGUGUAUGCCAUGUGCCAAAGUAGAUCAGUUGACCUUCGGAGUUCUCAUACAGUUGAUCGACGGUACGUUGAUGUUCCGGAUCUCUCAGGGUAAAACUCAUUCUUGAGCAUCUGUCCUCUUUCUGCGGUACUGUAAUUUCAACUAAACCAUAACGCUCAAUCUCAAAAUCUUUAUCGCCAAUGAGUACUCCAAACGCUUCAGGAUCCAUUGGUUUGAGCUGUCGAUAUUCUUGCCAGAUAUUACUCACUUUCUUUGAUAUAGUGAGAUUAAAAUGUUCGGUAUCGAUAAUUAGCAUAUCAAAGUUAUCCAUUGCAAAUAUCACACUCAUCAUUGAACAAGGGCAGUAUUUCUAAUAUACGGGUGAAUGCGUAAUACCUUCCACUUAAUUUGAAUCCAUUUGCUAUCGCAUCCUCAGAGCUCCCCUUCCAGCUCACUCUGGAUGAUUCUCUAAUUUUAUUAAGAAGAUAUUGGACCCCGAGAUUAGCGGUAAUAAGAGCAGUUUGAGUCGAGGCUAUGUAUGAGUAAGGUAGGAACGCAUCGCCACACCCAGCAUGGUUUUUAGUCAAAUCUUGAUUCGGAGCCAAAAAAUUCAAGUUAGAGGCUAGUCCUCUUGAAAAAUCAGCCGGGUCAACAUAUGAACAACGUAAACAUCCUUUUGUUCCAGGGAUCGCCAGAACGGCAUGCCCCCCUAUGCCAUACCCUUCAACCCAUGUGUUAAUAACUGGGACAUUAAUUUUUUCUUUAAUUAAAUAAUCAUGAAACAAUCGUUCCUGGGUCGGUGCUCCUAUCGCUAUGAUGAUUAGAUCAUACUUCAUUAGUAAGUCACGACGCCUCAAAUCAAGUAGCUUACCAGUGUAGCUUCCAAUCUCGAGCCAUGGGUACUUGCUGGUGAGACUGUGCCAUAAUGCACUCGGUUUAUGGAAUGAGACAUACUGAGGUGGCAGAAUGUGGCGAUAAAGGUUAUUCAGUGAAAGUGUCUCUGGAUCAUAUAAAUCUAUAUGGCCAACGCCAGAGGCUGCGAGUUUAUCUGCAACAUCGCCUCCUACGGAACCACAUCCAACAAGCAUAACUUUUUUGCUAGUAAGGGAUUGUUCCGCUCCACUCCGGGGCAUAAUCCUUUCUUUAUUAAAAGUUAACACGAUGAAGGGUUCAAGCACCCAUUCGGUCAAAUGUGAAUGCUUUAAAGGCAAUGUUUUCCGACCUUUGCCAGCGUUCUUUUGGGAAAAGUGGAUUCCAAACCAUGUGAUUCCAGAAGGGGUUUGGGCAUUGAAGAUUAGCCAAAACUCAUGUGAACGCUUUUGAGCAAAUUUCUGAGUUAAUUUUGCUUGAACAUUCGUCGGUAGUUCUGACAGUAGGUCUAGAUACCAGUCAGUAAGUUCAUCCUUUUUCCAUGGAGCAGGUUUUAUCACGCUCAACGGUAUGACGAAUCCGUUACCUUUUGCGGCUUGGCGAUUUUUGAGGAGCUGAUUGAUAGGUGAAAAAAUAUUAUCUGGGACUGCCUCUUCAGCAUAACCUAAAUGAUAUUUUCCCAGACCUAUGCUGCCUUUACUCGGCUUCAGUACGCACAACUCUUCUGGUGUUUCGCUUUCAGUUAAACAGAGAAAGGGGGUAAUGUCCGGCUCAACGAUAUUCAACCAGCCAGCUUCAAAUUCCCGAAGUAAUUCCUUUGUAUUCCAUUCACUAUCGGUUAAAGCUUGACUUAACAAAGAAACAUGGCGUUUUAGCGAUUCUUCGAAAGCUAGCUCAGGACAUUCAAAAUUCACGGAUACCGCGUCAGGUACAUUCACACAAAUGCUUGCAAAUUUGCUUCCGGGAUAGAACGCAGUGUGCGCAAGCCUGGGCAAUGUUGAUGGCUCGGCCAAGAGAAAGCUGGGCAUUUUCGAGAGUUCAGUAACAGCGAUAUGCCAAAGAGUAACUGGCAUACCAUUUAUCUCCAGUUCGACAGUUAAGAACCCAAUCUCUGCCGUCUUUGAUGGAAUUGCGGAUACCUUGUAUCCGCAUUCAUUCAAGUGAGCCAUGAUGACUGAAUAAUUCAUGCGCCUUGCGAUGUCCCCACUACUCCGGCAGAUGCGAAAACAGUUUUAACAGCAUUUGACGAUGCAGAUGAUGUUUCAGCGCACUCAGGAAAAUCUUCACCAAAGGCAUUUCGUAGCAACUCGCACUGUUUUGACUCUUGCUCUUCAUCAGCAACCUUAUCCAGGGUUUUCAACAGUGCGCUCAGCUUAUUGCGAAACUGUGUUCCUGUGACGAUACUGCUACUAUGAAAAAUAUCUCUGUAAGGACUCACUGGAAGCGUAACAUUGACACUGUAUUUAUCCACGUCAACCUGAGUGAAAUAGCUACGAUAGUUAAGCAUGUGGUUGAUUGUCUUUCUCAGUGCAGUGAGGUCAUCAGGGAAGCCUUCAUCGUUGAUGGAGGAGACGAAGGAUUCCUUGACCAUGACAGCUAUACCAAUUGAGUAGAUUUUACGACGUACAUCAUCGCCAAAUGUAAAAUUUCGCCAACGCUUGAGGUAUCUGACAAUACGUCGAAACUGGUCAUGCUUAUUCGAGCCAUAAGCUUCAUUAGCGUCGUAAUUAUUCACCCAGUCGAUAAGUUCACGUGGCGCAGAUCUGGCCCACUCGCGGUUAUCCUCAGCUGAAUGUUUCUUGCCAACGGCCAGUUCGUAUUGGCCGUUAUCGUACUUGCGGUAAAUUGGGAUAUCGAUAUGAAGGUCAUCAGCCUUGUAGUCAGCAGUCACACAAGGUUUUUUGAUCUUAGCAUUUUUAAAACCCCGGCCUUCCAGUACUUCAAGUACAGCGAGCUUAGGUGUUAUUGGGUUUUCUGGGGCCAGCUCCGCUUCGAUUACUAUUGCACGGUCAAUAUCGAAAUCUUGACCUUUUUCCCGGAUACCCGUGAAGGUCGCCAAAGACCCUUGAAUGAAAUCCUCAAUAACCGGAUAUCCAUCUUCUUUGAAUCGUUCAACGAUAUCGGCAGUAAUGCUAUCGUCCUUGAGGCGGGCCGUCGUGUACUCCAAGUCCUUCCUUCCUAACUUGAUAGCAUCGUGAAAUUUCUUAAAUUUGUUUUGAAGACUCAUCUUGACCCCAUAUUUGUUGUGAAUUAAACAACAAAUGGAGCCGCUUCGCUUGAUUUCAAGUGACCGAAUGAGAAUUUAAUCUAAUUCUGAUUUACAUCAAUAAAAAUUAACUUUGUUAACAUAGAGAGCCCGUAAGGUUUAGUCUUUUUGAGGUGCUGGCUGACUAGCCAUUUUUUUUAUGAAUGCUGUCAGUUUAUCAAUAUCACCUUCAGCAAUGGCUUUCUCAUCUGGCGUGAGCGGAACUUCCUCAAGAUACCGAUGUAUGGAUGCCUUACUUUCAAGAGCCUGAGCCCGAGAGCUGCUUUUUGGCAAGCUGAAAUCACAACCAAUACAGGCCAUUCUGUGCGGGCAACUGCUCCAAAAUGGAUUGGUGCAAUACAAAUCGCCUAAAUCAUAGUAUAGGGCGGGCCCUGAAGACGUUAGUGCCUGACUGUCAUGAUCGAUCAAUACGCUGAUCAUAUGAGAAAUUUUGUCCGCUUUCACAAAAGAAGCCGCCAGCCGUGUUGGGCGAAUGCGGAUGUAGUGCAGGGUUGAGCGUGGGCAGCUAUGUCCGGACCAUUCCAUCAACUCAUGCAGAGUCAUCCCCUGUGGCACACUGGCCAGCGCGGUGACGGCUGAUGCUCUUCCCCUGUGACUGGUAAUCCGCCCCCGGCUGUCAUUAAGAGGGACCCCAGACCGGGCGCAGAGUACCGGGAUGAUCGUGUUAUUCAGGAUUGAGCUUCCUAUCAGUUUUCCUCUGUACUGAAAUAAAUAAUUGACCCUUUCAGCAGUUCGCUCAUCCGUCAAAGGAGCCUGUUCGGCACUGUUGCAAAUAGCCGGUGGUGAUAAACUUAUCAUCCCCUUUUGCUGAUGGAGCUGCACAUGAACCCAUUCAAAGGCCGGCAUUUUCAGCGUGACAUCAUUCUGUGGGCCGUACGCUGGUACUGCAAAUACGGCAUCAGUUACCGUGAGCUGCAGGAGAUGCUGGCUGAACGCGGAGUGAAUGUCGAUCACUCCACGAUUUACCGCUGGGUUCAGCGUUAUGCGCCUGAAAUGGAAAAACGGCUGCGCUGGUACUGGCGUAACCCUUCCGAUCUUUGCCCGUGGCACAUGGAUGAAACCUACGUGAAGGUCAAUGGCCGCUGGGCGUAUCUGUACCGGGCCGUCGACAGCCGGGGCCGCACUGUCGAUUUUUAUCUCUCCUCCCGUCGUAACAGCAAAGCUGCAUACCGGUUUCUGGGUAAAAUCCUCAACAACGUGAAGAAGUGGCAGAUCCCGCGAUUCAUCAACACGGAUAAAGCGCCCGCCUAUGGUCGCGCGCUUGCUCUGCUCAAACGCGAAGGCCGGUGCCCGUCUGACGUUGAACACCGACAGAUUAAGUACCGGAACAACGUGAUUGAAUGCGAUCAUGGCAAACUGAAACGGAUAAUCGGCGCCACGCUGGGAUUUAAAUCCAUGAAGACGGCUUACGCCACCAUCAAAGGUAUUGAGGUGAUGCGUGCACUACGCAAAGGCCAGGCCUCAGCAUUUUAUUAUGGUGAUCCCCUGGGCGAAAUGCGCCUGGUAAGCAGAGUUUUUGAAAUGUAAGGCCUUUGAAUAAGACAAAAGGCUGCCUCAUCGCUAACUUUGCAACAGUGCCACCCUGAAUAUAAAAUGCAGUGUGUGAACGGGAGCCUGUAAUGAAAAACUUAGCAACCUGGCUUCUGGCCGCAGCAUUUACGACAGCCGCCCUGCCCGCCUUUGCGGUGGAACCAUCCGUUCAGGUUGGCUACUCGCCUGAAGGAAGCGCCCGCGUUCUCGUCCUGAGCGCCAUUGACUCCGCAAAAACCUCGAUACGGAUGAUGGCUUAUUCUUUUACCGCCCCGGAUAUUAUGAAAGCACUGGUAGCAGCCAAAAAACGGGGAGUUGAUGUGAAAAUCGUAAUUGAUGAAAGGGGCAAUACGGGGCGCGCCAGCAUUGCGGCCAUGAACUACAUAGCGAACAGCGGCAUCCCUUUGCGUACUGACAGUGAUUUCCCUAUCCAGCAUGACAAGGUGAUCAUCGUGGAUAAUGUGACCGUUGAAACUGGCAGCUUUAAUUUCACCAAAGCGGCCGAAACGAAAAACUCGGAGAAUGCGGUGGUGAUCUGGAACAUGCCUAAGCUCGCUGAAUCAUUCCUCGAACACUGGCAAGACCGCUGGAAUCGGGGGAGAGACUACCGUUCCAGCUACUGAAUACUGACCGCCAAAAGGCGGUUUUUUUGUUCAAAGAAACUGAUCUCAGUAUCGCGCCCGGGGCAGCUGGCCAACGUCGCCGGCAUCGCGCCGGCAAAAAUCGAAAAACAGAAAUAUCAGCAAGAUAGCUUAAACAGGUGUCGGGAAAUUUCGUUGAGAUAUUUUGAAGGAAUCACAGUGUAAGCAGGCGCUUUUUCAGGGAGGCGCGUUCUUGCGGGUUGCGUCCCUUGUGAUUGGCGAUGCGAUCCGCCGUGGCGGCCUGGCGCUUGACGGGCCAGUAGGAGCGGCCAUCCUUGCCCAUCGACCAGACGCUGCUGGCCUGGUUUUCCAGCAGGGGCAGAUGGGCGCUCAGGGCUUCGGGCGACGCGCUGGUCAGCGCCGUGCGCUCACGGGUGCGCCAGCGCUGAUGCCAGAGCUUCUUGUCCUCGCGCUCGCUGCCGCAGGUCGUGUGCCCGACGAUGGGUAUUUUGCGGCGGCUGCGGCUCAUAACGUAGUGGUCUCCAAGAACAUUCAGGACUGAUCCCAGGCGUCGAUGGUCAAGACCUGAUCGGCAGGACAGGCGGCUACGCGGUCGGGAACUGGAUGGUGUUCAGUCUCAUGCCGACCCCAUUCGAUUGAUCGCGUCGCUUGCGGCACGCUGCGACGCAAGGAGGUUUGCGACCUGGUUUAGCAGCCGUGUCCGCUGCAUGUCUGUUACCUAUCUCCCCGACCGCUCAUUGGACCAACUCCAGAGAUUGGGCUCUAUCGCUCAGCCAAUACGAAACCGGCAUUGGCUGAUGCCACAACCGAGACUAACACAAAUGGCUCGGUACCUGUAUUUCGCGCCCCGUGCACUUGGCCCGGUCUUGCCACGGCUAUCUCACCUUCCCUGAGGGCACGAACAAUCCCAUUGCCCUGAAAGUAAUCAGCCAUUCCCGACAAAACAGUCCACGUGUCUUGGCCGUGAGGAUGAAUGUGAGCCGCAAUUUCCUGCCCGGGAUGGACAUGCCAAACCACGAUAAUUGAGUCUCGGGUUUCAAGCACAACGGAACGAAUAGGCUCGCCUUCGGACGGCUGAACAUACUCGGCUACAGAAAAUAUUCUCGAUUCAACAGUCAUCGGAGAUCCCUCUUUCACAGUUGUCGUUACGGUCUUCAUCGUCGGCAUCCUGACGCACGGCGGGCAAUUGCUGGAGCAACGCCGGCAGCCAUUCCUGUACCGUCUCCCACACCACAUCGAGGUUGAUGUCGAAAUAGCCGUGAGCCAUGCGAUUACGCAUAUUGCGCAUGCUGCGCCACGGCACGUCGGCAUGCGCCUGGGUGAACUCGACGUAGCCAUCCAUCACCUUUGUGGCCGCCUCGCCGAUGACGAUCAGGCUCAUGAUGACGGCCUGCUGGGUGCGCUUGUCGGCCAAGAAGUCGUCCUUGGCCAUCCCUUCCACGAAGCUGCGCGCAUCGGUUGCGGCCUGCUGAAUGUGGUCGAGGUAAUCGGGCAGGCGGUUCUCGCUCAUAUCGGUUGCGCCUCCGCGAGCACCUUGGCCCGGAACUUCGGCGGCAGGUCGCCGGGAGUCAGCAGAUCGACGUCAACGCCGAGCAGCGAUUUCAGUUCUUCUUCCAAAUCGCCCAAGUCCAACAACGUGGCACCGGGCAGCGCAUCGACCAACAGGUCGAGGUCGCUGCCAUCCCGGUCGGUGCCAUGCAGCACCGAGCCGAAGACGCGCGGGUUCGCGGCGCGAAAGCGGCCUACCGCUUCACGCACUGCGCUUCGCUUCAUGUCAAGCACAACAGACGGUCGCAUGCGCAUCCUUUCUUAUCGAAACUCGUUGAGAUGAUAUGCAAUCAAGAAUAGAAUUUCAAGAACUAUUUUCGAGAAUCGCAAUGCCUUGAUUCCCGUGCCGCGCUGUCAUUUUCAGAAGGUGACUGCACGGAAUAUCAAGAGUCGGCUGCACAGUCUUUUCUGAUCUGUGGUCGUCUCAGAAAACGGAAUCUAUGGUCACUCCCGUUUUUGCAACACCGAUUUUGACGACAAGUUGGCUUGCUUGAAUCUAUCCGGCGUCUGAAUGGGAUUUUAUUCCCGCGCCUUGAUGAGUUCCGCGCCUGAUGAACCUCCAGAAAAUAUACGGCUUCAAUGAGCCUUUCCGUUUUACAGGUUCCUCAACAGGCCGGUGGGCCGUUAGUAUCAUCAAUAUCAGUAUUCGCAAAACCAGAUCAGUAAUUCUUUAAACCGGUGUAUUUCUGCCGUUAUGCUACAUAAGUUUGCUGUCGUGCCGUUAGGGCCCAGGCUAUUCUGGCCAGCUUGUUUGCCAGAGCACAAGUGACGACAAAGUUGCUUUUCCGGCACAGUAAAUCCCUGACCCAAUCGGCCAAUUUGCCAGACUGGUGUUCCAGUUUUUGUAUGAAUACCCUGGCACAUUGAACCAACAAAGUUCGGAUCUUUUUAUUACCUCGCUUACUAAUUCCCAGCAAUGUCGUCCUACCUCCCGUGCUGUACUGCCGAGGUACAAGCCCUGUUGCCGCCGCAAAGUCACGGCUGCUGGCGUACUGCUUCCCGUCGCCAAUCUCAGUUGAAAUAGUACUCGCUGUCAGUGUUCCGACGCAGGGAAUGCUCAGCAAGCGCUGUCCAACCUCAUCUUCGUCCAACUUUCGUUUCAACUGGGAUUCCAAAUCUUUAAUCUGCUCAACAAGAUAGUGAUAAUGCUGUUGUAAUUUCAGCAAUAACUGGCUGAGGUAAAGAGGCAAACUAUUAUCCUCAAGAAUGGUACUCAGUCGGCUAAUAACGGCAGCUCCUCGGGGAACGCUAAUGCCAAAUUCCAGCAGAAAAGCAUGCAUUUGAUUGGUUGUUUUUACCUUAUCCUGAACCAGGGAUUCACGGACACGAUGCAGAGCCCGCAUUGCCUGCUGAGAUUCCGUUCUGGGCUGCACAAAACGCAUAGACGGACGCGAUGCAGCUUCACAAAUAGCUUCGGCGUCGACAAAGUCGUUUUUAUUGCUUUUAACGAACGGGCGGACAAAUUGUGGUGAUAUCAGCUUUGGGGAAUGCCCCAACUCUUCCAACUUGCGUGCCAUAAAGUGAGAACCGCCACAGGCUUCCAUUGCGAUGGUUGUAGCGGGGCAUGUCGCCAAAAAUUCGAUCAACUUUGGCCGGGUAAAUUUUUUACGGUAAACAGCCUUCCCGCGACGAUCCUGGCAAUGAAUAUGGAAAGAGUUUUUACCCAGAUCGAUACCAAUGAGCGCAAUGUUUUCCAUGAUAGUUCUCCGAAUGAAAGCCUGUCCUCAGCAUAGUACCGGGAAGGAGGGAGUGACCAUCUCAUUAAAAAUCGUACGCUAAGACCGGUUUGGCUAGCCGGGUAGUAGGAGUCCCAUUAGUCACGCCUGCCGGGCUGCGGCUUGGUCUGGUUGAGAACUCGGUUCUUUGUGGCGAUGAUCCACGAAGUUGCACCCAUCGACGCUGUGCUCACAGGCAACAAUCUCCAGUUGCAGCGUCGUAUGGAAGAUGCUGAAUCGGUCAGCCAGCAACAACUUGAGGGUUUUGAGCAACUCGUCGGGCCCUAUUUCCGGCGCAUACACGAUAUGAGCGGUCAUGCUGACCUUGCCGCUCGUGAGCGCCCAUACGUGCAAGUCAUGCAGCCCUGUCACGCCUGGCACGGCCUGAACAGAUGCCAUCAAGGCUCCCAUGUCAAUGCCGUCUGGGACUCCCUCCAGCAAGACAUUCAGGCUUUCCUUGAGUAGCAGCCAAGUUCGUGGCAGCACCCAAAGCCCAAUUGCCACGGCGACGACCGCAUCUACCCACACCCAGCCGGUGAAUCGGAUGACCAGCGCAGCUCCGAUCACGCCGAUGGAGCCAAGCAUGUCGCUCCAGACCUCCAGAUAAGCGCCUUUGACGUUGAGGCUCUUGUCCUUGCCGCCCUGAAGCAUACGCAUGCUGAUGAGGUUGACGAUCAGACCCAGCACUGCUACCACCAGCAUCCCGCUGGACUGAACCUGCGCUGGCUCGCGCAAACGCUGCCAGCCCUCAUACAGGAUGUAGCCAGCGACGCCGAAGAGCAACAGGGCGUUGAAUGCGGCCGCAAGGAUUUCGAAGCGGUAGUAGCCAUAGGUGCGCUUGGCAUCGGCUGGCCGGCUCGCCACCCGUACAGCCGCCAAGGCGAUGGCCAGCGCCGCUGCAUCCGUGAACAUGUGCGCCGCAUCUGAGAGCAGGGCCAGGCUGUUGAAAACAAUGCCUGCGGCGACUUCGGCCAGCAGGAAGCUUCCGGUCAGCGCCAGGGCGAUCCAGAGCGAUUUUUCAUUGCGCUCGCUGGGUAGGGCAUGGGAGUGAUUGGUGCUCAUCUUCGUCCUUCUUCUGAGUUCAUUUUUGUUCAGCGUGACCGGAAGCCGGCACCCAGCGAUACAACGUCGGGAUUGAGACCCCGAGGUUCUUGGCCACGUCCUUGGGAGCGAUCCCGCUGGCGAGCAGUUUCUUGGCCGAUUCAAUCUUGCUUUUGGUCAUCUUCGGUUUGCGUCCUCCCUUGCGGCCUGACAGCCGGGCGACCGCCAAUCCUGCACGGGUCCGCUCCACCGUCAGCUCGCGCUCCAUUUCGGCGAGGCUGGCCAUGACGUGAAAGAAGAACCGUCCCGACGGCGUGCCGGUGUCGAUGGCGUCGGUGAGACUCUUGAACUGGAUGCUCUGCUUGUGCAACUCGCUGACCAGAUCGACCAAUUGCUUGACGCUACGGCCCAGGCGAUCCAGCUUCCAGACGACCAGCGUGUCUCCCUUGCGUAGCAUUUCAAGCGCCUUGGCCAAGCCGGGGCGCUCGGCUCUCGUGCCGCUUAAUUUGUCCUCAAAGAGCUUUUGGCACCCGGCCUGGGUCAAGGCCUCUCGCUGUAGCUCCAGGUUCUGAUCCUGCGUCGAGACGCGCGCAUAGCCGACGAGCAUGGCACGGUCAGACCGCUGCCUUGCCGCACUGAGCGCAAAACGGCACUGUUGCAAAUAGUCGGUGGUGAUAAACUUAUCAUCCCCUUUUGCUGAUGGAGCUGCACAUGAACCCAUUCAAAGGCCGGCAUUUUCAGCGUGACAUCAUUCUGUGGGCCGUACGCUGGUACUGCAAAUACGGCAUCAGUUACCGUGAGCUGCAGGAGAUGCUGGCUGAACGCGGAGUGAAUGUCGAUCACUCCACGAUUUACCGCUGGGUUCAGCGUUAUGCGCCUGAAAUGGAAAAACGGCUGCGCUGGUACUGGCGUAACCCUUCCGAUCUUUGCCCGUGGCACAUGGAUGAAACCUACGUGAAGGUCAAUGGCCGCUGGGCGUAUCUGUACCGGGCCGUCGACAGCCGGGGCCGCACUGUCGAUUUUUAUCUCUCCUCCCGUCGUAACAGCAAAGCUGCAUACCGGUUUCUGGGUAAAAUCCUCAACAACGUGAAGAAGUGGCAGAUCCCGCGAUUCAUCAACACGGAUAAAGCGCCCGCCUAUGGUCGCGCGCUUGCUCUGCUCAAACGCGAAGGCCGGUGCCCGUCUGACGUUGAACACCGACAGAUUAAGUACCGGAACAACGUGAUUGAAUGCGAUCAUGGCAAACUGAAACGGAUAAUCGGCGCCACGCUGGGAUUUAAAUCCAUGAAGACGGCUUACGCCACCAUCAAAGGUAUUGAGGUGAUGCGUGCACUACGCAAAGGCCAGGCCUCAGCAUUUUAUUAUGGUGAUCCCCUGGGCGAAAUGCGCCUGGUAAGCAGAGUUUUUGAAAUGUAAGGCCUUUGAAUAAGACAAAACGCUGCCUCAUCGCUAACUUUGCAACAGUGCCCCUAAUCGUGUUCAGCAGAAUAGCCGGAGGAAGUUUCCUACUGUCGAUAAGAAAGGAUUGGCACAGGGAGUGUGAAUAUCGAAACACCAUCACAGAAUAAUGCCAGAUAGAAAUGCGAUAGUAGGGUUGGAUAUUUAAAUAAGGAGCAUCCCGACUUAAAAUGAAUAUGACUGCGUAACCAGGCGCAAUAAAAAAAGCGAAAAAAUCGCUUUUAUUCUGGUUGUUUUUUCGAAGAGUGACCGUUUUCUGAGAUGACAAGAAAUAAGGAAGUCCUAUGAUCGCUAGCGGAAUAGUUCAAAAACUGAAUGCGCAAAUGAAUCAGGAGUUUUAUACCUCAAAUUUGUAUCUUCAGCUCAGCCAGAGGUGCAGCGAGAAUAGCCUUAAUGGCACCGCACUAUUUUUGCGUCAUCAGGCGCAAAAUACGGUGACGCAAAUGAUGCGCAUGUACGAAUACAUCAAACAGAGCGGCGCCACGCCGGUGUUACAGGAGCAACACGCCCGGUGCGGUGAAUUUUCCACGCUGGAAGAUCUGUUUGAGCAGACGGUAAGCGAUUACCAGAAGCGCAUUAAUGCGCUGACCUCUUUGACGGAAGACGCCCAGGCAGCAAACGAUAAGUCAGCGAUUAACUUCCUGAAGCGAUACAGAAAAGAGGAAAUCGUGGACGGGACGCUGUUGCAAAUCAUUCUGGAUGAAGUCCGCAGCGCUAAAAAAGCGGGCAUCAACAUGCAGCAAACCGACCACUAUCUGGUUGGCGUGAUCGAUCGCUAUCACUAAAUCAAUUUCGCAGUACGAGGAGGUUUUACGCCUCCUCAGAAAAUCUGUUUUACAUCAGAAACAGAGGUUUAUGCCAGUGAACAUUUGAUACCCAACACGUCAUAGUGAUUUUUUAACUUAGCGUUUUUAUAUCGUGCCAAAAAUGUCUCUGCUUGUGUCUUUAUAUUAAGGAAGGUGCGAAUAAGCAGGUCAUUUCUUCCCAAGCUGACUCGCUGAUUAAAAUUUCGCGGAUCUGGGCCGAUUUUUUUCCCGCAAACACAUCGAAUCAGCCUAUUUAGGCUAUUUUUUCCACCAUUUCUGGCGUUAUUUCCGGUUUUUACUGAGAUCUCUCCCACUGACGUAUCAUUUGGUCCACCCGAAACAGGUUGGCCAGGGUGAAUAACAUCGCCAGUUGGUUAUCGUUUUUCAGCAGCCCCUUGUAUCUGGCUUUCACGAAGCCGAACUGCCGCUUGAUGAUGCGAAACGGGUGCUCCACCCUGGCACGGAUGCUGGCUUUCAUGUAUUCGAUGUUGAUGGCCGUUUUGUUCUUGCGCGGAUGCUGCUUCAAGGUUUUUACCCUGCCGGGACGCUCGGCGAUCAGCCAGUCCACAUCCACCUCGGCCAGCUCCUCGCGCUGUGGCGCUCCUUGGUAGCCGGCAUCGGCUGAGACAAAUUGCUCCUCUCCAUGAAGCAGAUUACCCAGCUGAUUGAGGUCAUGCUCGUUGGCCGCGGUGGUGACCAGGCUGUGGGUCAGGCCACUCUUGGCAUCGACACCAAUGUGGGCCUUCAUGCCAAAGUGCCACUGAUUGCCUUUCUUGGUCUGAUGCAUCUCCGGAUCGCGUUGCUGCUCAUUGUUCUUGGUAGAGCUGGGUGCCUCAAUGAUGGUGGCAUCCACCAAAGUGCCUUGGGUCAUCAUGACGCCUGCUUCGGCCAGCCAGCGAUUGAUGGUCUUGAACAAUUGACGGGCCAGUUGAUGCUGCUCGAGCAGGUGGCGGAAAUUCAUGAUGGUGGUGCGAUCCGGCAGGGCGCUAUCCAGGGAUAAUCGGGCAAACAGGCGCAUGGAGGCGAUUUCGUACAGGGCAUCUUCCAUGGCACCGUCGCUCAGGUUGUACCAAUGCUGCAUGCAGUGAAUACGCAGCAUGGUCUCCAGCGGAUAGGGCCGUCGGCCAUUGCCCGCCUUGGGAUAAAACGGCUCGAUGACAGCGGUCAUAUUCUGCCAUGGCAGAAUCUGCUCCAUGCGGGAGAGGAAAAUCUCUUUUCGGGUCUGACGGCGCUUAGUGCUGAAUUCACUAUCGGCGAAGGUGAGUUGAUGGCUCAUGAUGUCCCUCUGGGAUGCGCUCCGGAUGAAUAUGAUGAUCUCAUAUCAGGAACUUGUUCGCACCUUCCCUAAGUCACCGGCGGCUUGCCUGCCACACAUUGAACAUUACAGACCAAUUAGCACUUUGUCACCGGGGAAAGAUGUAAAGAUUAUGUAUAAAUAGAUUGGCUUAGAAGUGACAUUUCAACUUUGGAGAAACAGGUGACAUUUUAAACUUGCUUUAACAAAAUUUUGGGACUGACCGAAACAAAAAGGCCAGCCCCGGAGGGCUGGCUAUUCAGUACAGGGCAAUGACAGGUUUCUUGAUGCCGCAGGCGUGAGCGUAGCGGGUCAGUGUGUCGAUGCUGGCUUUGGUGAUGUUGUUUUCCAGGCGAGAAAUAACCGGAGGUGUAACCCCCAUGCGUUCAGCAACCUGCGCUUUUGUCAGGUUGUCAUGCUUGCGCCAUUCAGCAAGCAGCUCCCUGAGCUUUUCCUUACGUUCUUCUUCCUGCCAUGCAGCGCGAUAUUCAUCGUCCUGCAUCCACUCGUUAUGCAGUUCUUUAUGGCUUACCAGUUUCAUUAAGUACCUCCGCUAACCGCUUUUUGGCGAGAUCGAUUUCUUUCGCUGGCGUUUUCUGUGACUUCUUGAUGAAAACACGGAGCAUGAUGAUGGUAUUGCCUUUGUGGUAUACCCAGAUUCCCCUGGCUAUGUCCGUCCCCAUCGUGCGGAUCUCAAAAAGUCCAUCGCCCAGGGGCUUCGUGUCCGGCUCCCGCAGUAAUCGGGCGUCAUACUCCAGUUUGCCGAUGAGACGGUCAAACUUCACCCUGAUUUUUACGGGUAAUGCUGUGGCUUCUUCCCUGGCUUCCGGGUGAUAAACAACGCUAAACAUGUGACCUCCCAUUUCUAUUAAUAUUAACCUAUAGGCUAAUUUCAGACAAGGUAGAAUUAACCUAUAAGCUAAUUUUGUUGGCAGUUAUCGUGGCUACCCGGUCACUACCCUGUUAGCGUGAGUUUUCGUUCCACUGAGGAACGGGGAUUUAUGCGCGUUAGCGCAUGUAAGGCGGCAGGAUGAAAUGACAGGUAGCACCGAGGGUUAGCCGCCGAUACCAGUGAGGGAUCGAAAGGGAUCGCCUAUCCAUCCCUUCACCUUGCAAAGCCAUAUUCCGCUAAAAGCGGCUCAGAGGCUUUUGUGCGCGGUCGGAGUGGUCACAACAAGGCGAAGCCGCAGUUGGGGCGUAUCUCCGCGUUAGCGGGUCGUAAGAGCCGCUUACGAGCGUGUAAGCUAAUUCUUCAGCGAUAUUUGCUGACGUAUCCGGCGUGGCCGGAUUUGUCCAAUCCCUCGAUGGCUAACAGGCGAGCUGUUAGCCAUCGAGGGAUUCCGUUCUGAAUGCCCCGCGCUUUAGCGUGGGGAGCUACUUUUGAGGCGCUCGCGCCGAUGCUGUUCGGUUAUCCACUUUUUAAAGGGGAUAACAGUAAUGUCUUUUAUUUUUUGGUUUAUCUUUUAAUACGUAAGUAAUUAAAAGAUAAACCAAAAGAGUAUUUGUGCCAUCUCGUUUGCACUUCAUUAUCACUUACCCACAAGCUAUACAGCAGUUGUGGUGGGUCUACGCCGGAACCGCCGAAAAAUCCGUCAUUCCUGUAGGCGGGAUGGGUUGGAUUUCGAAAAUUAUUGUACUAUAAGGGCUUCCCCGGCGUGUCAACGCCGGUGUUUAUGGUUUCUGUCUGCUCUUCAGUAAAAAUAAAGGGGAGAGACUGCGGUACUAUAAACGGCCAUGAUGAAUCGUCAUCGAUUCGGACCCUGAUGAAAGACGCGCGUGAGGUUCUUGUUCGUUAAGCGGAUACGUAUAUCCUGUACAAUAGCCAGAUAGGCCUCACGGGGGGCACUGUUGCAAAGUUAGCGAUGAGGCAGCGUUUUGUCUUAUUCAAAGGCCUUACAUUUCAAAAACUCUGCUUACCAGGCGCAUUUCGCCCAGGGGAUCACCAUAAUAAAAUGCUGAGGCCUGGCCUUUGCGUAGUGCACGCAUCACCUCAAUACCUUUGAUGGUGGCGUAAGCCGUCUUCAUGGAUUUAAAUCCCAGCGUGGCGUUGAUUAUCCGUUUCAGUUUGCCAUGAUCGCAUUCAAUCACGUUGUUCCGGUACUUAAUCUGUCGGUGUUCAACGUCAGACGGGCACCGGCCUUCGCGUUUGAGCAGAGCAAGCGCGCGACCAUAGGCGGGCGCUUUAUCCGUGUUGAUGAAUCGCGGGAUCUGCCACUUCUUCACGUUGUUGAGGAUUUUACCCAGAAACCGGUAUGCAGCUUUGCUGUUACGACGGGAGGAGAGAUAAAAAUCGACAGUGCGGCCCCGGCUGUCGACGGCCCGGUACAGAUACGCCCAGCGGCCAUUGACCUUCACGUAGGUUUCAUCCAUGUGCCACGGGCAAAGAUCGGAAGGGUUACGCCAGUACCAGCGCAGCCGUUUUUCCAUUUCAGGCGCAUAACGCUGAACCCAGCGGUAAAUCGUGGAGUGAUCGACAUUCACUCCGCGUUCAGCCAGCAUCUCCUGCAGCUCACGGUAACUGAUGCCGUAUUUGCAGUACCAGCGUACGGCCCACAGAAUGAUGUCACGCUGAAAAUGCCGGCCUUUGAAUGGGUUCAUGUGCAGCUCCAUCAGCAAAAGGGGAUGAUAAGUUUAUCACCACCGACUAUUUGCAACAGUGCCGUGUACAUCGAAAUACGGCUUAUCAGGCGUUAAAAGAUGCUUGCGAUGACUUGUUUGCAAGACAAUUCAGUUAUCAGAGUCUUAGUGAAAAAGGUAACACUAUUAAUCACAAAUCAAGAUGGGUGAGCGAGGUGGCUUAUAUUGAUAAUGAAGCUGUCGUUAGACUUAUUUUUGCCCCUGCUAUUGUGCCUUUAAUUACUAGGUUAGAAGAACAAUUUACAAAGUAUGAAAUACAACAAAUAAGUAAUUUAACAAGUGCUUAUGCUGUUCGUUUAUAUGAAAUAUUGAUUGCAUGGCGUAGUACUGGAAAAACGCCUCUCAUAACUAUGUAUGAUUUUAGACAAAAAAUAGGUGUACUCGAGACUGAAUACAAACGAAUGUAUGAUUUUAAAAAAUAUGUUUUAGACAUUGCAUUAAAACAAGUAAAUGAACAUACCGAUAUUAUUGUCAAAGUUGAACAGCAUAAAACAGGUAGAUCUAUUACUGGUUUUUCAUUUAGCUUUAAACAGAAAAAAUCAGCCACGCAUUCAGUCGAAUCUAAAAGAGAUCCGAAUACAUUAGACCUCUUUUCAAAAAUAACAGAUAAACAACGCCAUCUAUUCGCCAACAAGCUCUCAGAGCUUCCUGAGAUGAGUAAAUAUUCACAAGGCACAGAAAGCUAUCAGCAGUUUGCUGUACGUAUAGCUGCCAUGCUGCAAGAUGCAGAGAAAUUUAAGGAAUUACUUCCUUUACUCAGAAAAUUAGGAUUUCAAUGACAUUGUUAAUUGAAAUUGUUAAGUUAACAGUCAGGUAUUAACACAAGUUGAAAACUGGUUUACAUAAUGAAAAAACUGUCAGUUUCAGAGUUAGCUAAGCUUUAUGGAUAUUCAAGACAAGCCAUAUAUGCACAUAUAAACAAAGGAAAUUUAUCUAAAGGAUCUGAUGGAUUAAUUGACUUUUCAGAGGCCCUAAGAGUUUUUGGGGAACCACAAAAAAAAGAGGAUACAGUCAAUCAAAGUCAAUCAAUUAACAGUCAAAACUUGACAGAAGUUGACUUACUAAAACGUCAAGUUGACAUACUGGAAAAACAAUUAAAUCAGGCAAUACAGAGAGAAAAUCAAUCUUUAGAACGUGAAUCGUUUUAUCAAGAACAGAUUGAAGCUAUGCAGCGCUUACUAGAAGCACCAAAAGCCAAUAUGACUACCUUUACCGAUCAGAGCUUUAAACAGGAUAUAGCAACGGAUCCUCGGUCGGAACUAGCAACGAACUAUGACGAAUUGACUACUCCUCAGCAAGACAAUAAGCGUAUUCCUAUCCCGGAGCAUGUUGAACCAGAACAGAAGAAGAGAGGCUUCCUAAGCCGCUUUUUCCUUCCAUAUGGUUAGCCAAGACUCCAGUUUUUUGAAGAGCCAAUUUCAGUGCAAGCACUUGAAAUAAUGACUCCUCAAAAAACCGGAUGAUGUUUAUUAAAACUGAAUAAAACCGUGGAACAUCGCUCAAUUAGUGAUCGUGGAACAUGAAUAAUCAAUAAAAAGCCGUUCUGGUGCCCUAUACUCCAGAACGGCUUACGUUAAUAUAAUGAUAUUUAAAGAGAAAUAUCAAGCUGUAAUGGCUCAAUAGUAAUGUCCGCCUGUGGCUCAAUUCAGAUGUCCGCGCUAUGGUAAGCUUCACUGGUCCGUUUAAACUACCGGGAGGCAUAUCAUGAGCGCAGAAAGCUCAGGAGUGUUUACUUUGAAAGAGAUCAACCGGAUCAAGAUUAUACAGGACGUCAUUGAACGUCGCAUCACAACGCGCCGUGCGGCCGAGCACCUCGGUAUCAGCGACAGGCAAUGCCGCAGACUUCUUGCCCGUUACCGUGAAGGCGGACCGCUUGGUAUGGCCAGCAGACGAUGUGGCAUGCGUGGUAACCGCCAGUUGCCACCCGGGCUCGCAGAUCAGGCUCUGGAACUGAUCAAGACGCGUUAUGCUGAUUUCGGUCCGACUCUGGCGCGUGAAAAGCUCGAAGAACUCCACGGACUGUUUCUUGGCAAAGAAACUGUCCGGCGCAUCAUGGUGCGGGCUGGCUUAUGGGUUCCCCGUAAACAACGUGCCGCAAGGAUCCCUCAACCACGGUACCGGCGUCCGUGUACUGGUGAGCUGAUACAAAUAGAUGGCUGUGAUCACGACUGGUUUGAAGGCCGUGGCCCGGCCUGCACCGCGCUGGUCUAUGUUGAUGAUGCAACCAGCAAACUGAUGGAACUGUUGUUUGUUAAAUCGGAGUCCACGUUUUCUUACUUCGAAGCCACGCGGCGCUAUAUCGAUAAGCAUGGUAAACCGCUGGCACUGUACAGCGAUAAAGCCGGUGUUUUUCGUGUUAACAAUAAACACGCCACAGGCGGAGACGGGCAUACUCAGUUUGGGCGAGCCAUGCAUGAACUGAACAUCCAGACUAUCUGUGCAGAAACCAGUCCCGCCAAAGGGCGUGUAGAACGAGCUCACCUCACUUUACAGGAUCGUCUGGUCAAAGAGCUGCGGUUACAGGGCAUUUGUUCAAUGGAGGCUGCAAAUGACUUCGCUGAGGCCUAUAUGGCUGACUAUAACCGCCGUUUUGGCAAAGUACCGCGACAUGAUUUUGACGUACACCGUGCUGUAGAACAUGAUGAGGACCUGGGGCUUAUUUUCACUGUUCGUGAAAAACGUAAAGUCUCAAAAUCGUUGACGAUACAAUAUGAUAAAAUGUUGUACCUGAUUGAAGACAGCGAACUGAGUCGCCGUGCAAUAGGUAAAUAUAUCGAUGUGUAUCACUAUCCUGAUGGCAGAAAAGAGCUGCGCCUGAACGGUACGCUACUUCCCUACUCUACCUACGACCGACUGUCAGAAAUCGACCAGGGCGCGAUUGUCGAUAACAAGCGUCUUGGCCGAACCCUGGAGUUUAUCAGUCUGGUGCAGAGCAAGCGGGAUAACACGCGCUCUCAGUCAAUUCCCGCUGGAGAUGGCCCUUCCCGACGACGGCCAAAGCAGGAAGGGAAGAAAUCCCAGCGCUCACUGGAUAAUGAUGACAUGCUCGAAGCACUCAAACAGCUUCAGUCACGUUCAGAGGACAUUUUUGGUAAAAGAGCCCGCUGAUGGUACUCACUGGCCGGACAGUGGUUGCUCACCAGUUGAUAUUGUCCGGCCAGACCCAUGAUGUAUUAUUCAUUUCGUUCAGCAUCUUUAUGUCCUGCUUUUCACGGGCAUACUUACCCCAUAAUGAAUGAAAAGAACGAACAAUACUGAUUAACUGCUUUUUUCUUUGCUCCGGAGAUAAGCUGAUAAAAUAGCAGCACCUGCUGUCAAUAUUAUCCUCUAUGAAAUUAAAAUCAGAGUCUGAUGCAUAUUUUACUGUUAGCAUAAUAUCAUUCGACGUUGUUCUCUCAGACUCUGUUAAUGCUGAUUCUAUCAGGUAUUCAAAGGCAUACAUGACAGACAACUGGUUUUUGUCUGUCUGAAUAUAACCCAUUGAGUUUCUGAGUAUUGAGGACUGUACCAGGACCAGAGGCCAUAAAAGCUCAACACCAUAAAGCUUAUAUGUAUCAUGUUGAUCAUACUGAUGUUGCUCAACACGACGAUUACCUUCCCGUGCUUUACGAAUAUCAUAGGCAAGGGAUAACAUAAAUCCGUCUUUAACUUUAAUCAGUGGGCUUUCAUCCACGAUGUAAUGAAUGAGUUCAUGUAAUUCAUUCAGGGCUUCUGAAUCUCCCCACAGUAUAAAACCUGCAUUGUUCGGCGUUAACUCGUAUCGAAGCAUGGGCUCAAUCAUCCUGUUGUUUCAGUCGGAGGAAAGUCUAUCAGUAAAGAGAAUGAGAGAUCAAAGUGGACAUUUUAAUUGAGCCGGAUAACGGACAUUUCAAUUGAGCUUUGACACAAGCAUUUCGUAUAAGAAAUUUUAUGUUAAAUGAUUGUUAGAAAUGCCCCUUGAUCGAGGCAUUUUCUAUAAAGAAUACUAAAAACUAAUUAAAGCCAACCAAGUUUCAAAACAAGGCAGUUCUCAGCAAUCAUAUUUUUAAAUUAUAUAACUCCCAACUGAGCUUUUGCUCCAACGAUAAGGCUUUCAUUUUGAGUUUCUAAGGCAAAUAAACCAUACAUCAAAGGAGAGGCCGCUGCUCUUUCUAAAGUCUGUUCAUAUAGUUUAUUCCAAACUUUACCCCCUAGUUUUUCAUACUCGAUGAUUAGAGUUUUGAGGCUUUCUUCUCCAAACAAAGUUACAUGCCCAGCAAAAUCAAUCGCUGGGUCAUCUAUAUGGGCUGUUGACCAAUCAAUAACGCCUGAAACAGCUCCAUCCUUUGAAGCUAGUACAUGCCCAGCAUAUAAAUCGCCAUGUAUAAAUUGGGUGAAAUCUGCCCAUAGAACAUCAUUAUCCAACCAUUUUCUGUAGCGGGUUUCCAAUUGCUCACUUAUACCAAUUUCAGAUUUUACUAACUGCAAAUUGUUUGCUAUUUCAGGUCUUAAAUCUGAAGGUUUCAUAAUUUUCAAAUCAUUUUCCCGAACUUCUUUUUCAGGAAUACUAUGGAUUUCAAAUAAGGUUUUUGCCAAAGAUGUUAUGUAUUUCGGGCUAUCUUUGUCCAUAUUCCAAAUUAUUUCAUAGGUUUCAGCAUCCAAAUUUAAAACAGGAUUAUCUUUAAGUAUGGGAUAAGCCACUAAUUCUGUAGAUGAAAUUCUCCAAUCAGGAACCUCUACAGAAAGAUGUUUUUUUACCAAUUCUAAAAUGCGUUUUUCUUUCUUGAUUUGUUCCCUCAUGCCAUCACGACGAGGAAUACGCAGCAACCAUUGUUGCCCCUUUGUAUCAAGAGCAAAAACGACCUUAAAAUCAAUGCCCAUUUCAUUGAAAUUCAUUUUGUCCGUAAGCAACAAGCCGUGUGCUUCAGCAAGUGAUUGAAUAUCUUGAAUUGUCAUUUUUAAUUUCCUUUAAAGAGUUCAAUAAUUAAUGUUCGGAUUAGAUUGGCUAUCAUUAACAAUCUCUCUCAAAAGUCUUGAUGAUUUUGUGGUCUUUGAUCUCGUAGAUAAUGUCAGCAAUAUUAUCGACCAAUUGCUUGUCAUGAGAUACGAAGAUAAUAGUUCCUGCAUAGGACUUCAUCAUUGUUUCUAAUGCGGCAAUACUUUUUAGGUCAAGAUAGUUUCCUGGUUCAUCCAUAAGCAAAAUAUUAUAUUUUCCUAAAAGCAUUUUGGAUAAAAGCAGUUUGAUGAUUUCACCUCCCGAUAAGUCGGAUAAGUUUUUUUGAAUAUCAUUCGCUCCGAUCCCCAUUGAAGCCAAUACUGCACGAAUUUCCGCAACUGUGUACUCGCACUCUUCCUGCAUAAAGGAGAGCACAGAUUUAUGCGUGUUAAAUUUAUAUCCUGUUUGUGUAAAGUAGCCAAUUUCAGCUUUUGGAGAUAUGGUUAAUCCAUCAGCACGUUCUGAUAUCAUUUUUAACAAGGACGUUUUCCCUGUUCCAUUCGAUCCAGUUAUAGCGACUUUAGCGCCAAGCGGUAUUAUAAAGUUAGCGUCAUCAAAGAUAGUACGGCUACCAAAUUUUAAGCUCAGACCAUCUGCCGUAAUCGGGAACUUAUUGUGCAGUUCUAGGGCUGAACUUUGACGAAAACGAAUAGAACGCAAAUGCUCUGGUGCUUGAAUAUCUUCUAAUGCAGCCAAACGCUUUUCCAUACUCUUAGCUGCCUGAUACAGUUUUCUUUGCUUGGUGCCAGUCAUUUUUGCAUGCCCAAGUCGUCCAGCACUUUCGGUAGAGUUUUUGGAUUUUUCUCCUUUUUUCUUAUUGUCUAAUCGAUUAGCUUGCUGGCGUUUUUCUUGCACAGCAGAUUCUAAUCGCUCCCGUUCCUUCAUCAUCAGCUCAUAUUCUACGGCUUGGUGUUGUCGCUCUUCUUCUUUUUGACGCAAGUAAUCCGAGUAACCACCCCAAUAUUCCGUAAUUUUACCGUCUUUUAACUCCCAUAUCUUGUCUACAACCAUAUCAAGAAAAUAUCGGUCAUGACUGAUAACAAGUAAUGCUCCAUCAAAUGCUUUAAGUUGACCAAUAAGUAGAUCUAUUCCAUUGAGAUCAAGGUGGCUGGUUGGUUCAUCCGCUAGAAUGCCAUGUACUUGUUGGGAAAAUGCGGCAGCAAUUUUUGCACGAGUUUCCUCUCCGCCACUCAUUGUGUCGUUUUGUACAUUGGAAACACCAAGGCGAGAUAACAUUGCCCGGUCUUCGACCGUUUCUAUUUCGAUUCCGCCCAGUUGGCUGAUAUGUGCAAAAUCACCAAAACGCUGUAAUGUCGCUUCGGCUAAAACAAUUUCGCCAUUAAGUACUUUGAGUAAACUACUCUUUCCUGCUCCGUUAUCACCCACAAGACCAAUACGGUCAUAAGAGUGAAUUUCCAAUUCAUCAAUAUCCAAAACAUCACGCCCAGCAUAAUCCAAGCGUAUGUUUCUCGCUUUAAUAAUUAAACUCAUUUUUAUUUACUCCUGUUUAGCUCUUGAAAUUUUUUAUGCAGCAAACAGGAUUUAGGUGAAAACAAAAGCUAGCAUCACAGUGUCCUCCCAAAAAAAAAGCUAUUCAUCCACAGGGUGGACAAAUAGCUAGUCAAUUAAGUUAUAACUGGAAACUAUGCACUAAAAGCAUACUUAUAAAUUAAGCAUACUUUUACUUUAUAUAUCCGCAUAUAUUCUUAAAGACACAACAAAAGCCCACCAUUAUAAAAUAGUGUCACUAUGCAAAUAGUUGUGUCUUAACGAAUGCGGAUAGAAUGCAUAAACUUACCUAAAAAAUAAAAUUCAGUUUUAUGAUAACUUUACUGUUAAAAGAAGUCUAGACAACCUGAGGGAUCCCCACAAAAUUUCCAUUCAUACAAUCAGCUAUCAGCCUGUUUGAUUACUGCCCAGUCCCACUGAACCACCCACUGUAGUAUUUGUUUAAGUCCCUGCUGAUAAUAUUGCCUGCGUAUUCGCUGUUUGGGUUCUUUGCAAAGUAAUAUCCCAAGGAAAUUCAGGGCCAAUACCCGCCUAUUUUUAACGGUGUUAGCUUGAUAACGCAGGUGCAAACCCGCUUUCUCCGCUGCGCUACCUAGCAGGUAAUGAAACCAAUUAACCAAUGCGGCCAGUAGUAGCAGUAUCUCUAAGCGAGAUUUCUUCUUGGUACCAUGCAAAUCGCUACCCAGGCCAUAGCGGUGACUUUUCUGAUCACGGAAGCUUUCUUCAAUUUGCAUUCGGCUACUGUAGCACUUAGCAAUUUUAUUUUCUGAUCACGGAAGCUUUCUUCAAUUUGCAUUCGGCUACUGUAGCACUUAGCAAUUUUAUCCGCAUACCCAUGGCAGUCAGCUAAGGAUGACACCAACAACCAUGGUUCCUUAUACGUCUUAUUUUUAUCGCGUUUCAAUAGCUUAUAACCUUUGCCAACCAGGACGGCCUGCGUUUCAUAGUGUUGUGUUUGGGCAAGCAUGAUUUUUCCUACACUUUUUGGAUCCUUCUUCGCUUGCCGAUAAAGCUGAUUAACACUGAUAAACUUGUCCUGCUCUGCCAAUUUAAGCUUCACAUUGCCUCGAACUCUAGCUACAUAAUGCCAUCCCAGCUUACGCACUUGUUUCAGCCAUGGAACUUUAAACCCCGCGUCAGUGACAAUUACGGGCUUACAGUCCUUGGGUAGCAUGGCUUUAAGCUGCUUUAAAAACGCCCCGUGUAGGUGUGGGCAGGUAUAAUCUUCUGCGGCGGCAAUCUUCUGUAGCAGAGUCAACGCUCUACCGUCAGCGGCAAUGCUGGCACGCAGGAUAAAGUGUCGCUUGGCAGUAUCGGCAUUGCUCCAGUCAACCAAAAUCAUCGGCUUAGUUUUAUGGCCAACAAUAGAAGCCGUCAGCGCAGCAUAAAUCAAUGGCAGCUCUCGUUGCAGGUUAGGAUUAUUGAGUAGACGAUCUGCCCGUUUGAUACUGACCUUAUCUGAAGAGCCAGGCAUCGCCCGGCCAAUCGCAGUAACGGUGCAACACGCAUCCUUUGCCAGGGCGGUUACCGCAUCUAGCAAAACCGAAAAUCGGGCUUUAUGCAUUGAUUUUGGCGUGACAAAGGUGAGGAAAUCAGCGAGCAUAGCUUUUACAUUCAUGGUGAGCAUCCGCGGUGUGGGAGUUUUGGCGAAUGAUCAGAUCAGGAACCGCCAUGAAUGUUCCCCAAUCAACUAACAUUUUAUUUUAACUACAGAAUUUCUGGGGAUACCUCAGGUGGUUUGCAACUCUUUGGUUUAAUUGGUUUGAUUUAUGGGCCAAUUAUUUUUGCGUUAACCAUGGUGCUGUUACGGCUUUAUACUAUUGAGUUUAAAGAUUUUCUGGAACGCCAAGACAAUAGCUAACAAUAAGAUUGUUGUACUUUAGCGCUUCGCCCUGCCCAUAUCGGUAUACAGUGCAUUUACGGGAGAAAAAACGGCUCAAACAGGAAAAAAUGAAAUGACUGAGUCAGCCGAGAAGAAUUUCCCCGCUUAUUCGCACCUUCCCUAGAUUGCUUUUGAGCCAUGCAUGCAUUUGUUUUUAACCUUCUAAACUGUAGUUGAAACCUAUCUUUUCCUCAAAAUAUCCUCUAUGUUGUCCAAGGAAAAGAUAAUCCAAAACUUUGGAAAAACAUAGUAAGUGUUUCAGAAUUGCACUUGAUAAACGAAACUUCAUUACUUAAUAAUAACUAUACAGCAUCUAUCCGUUAUAGAAGUCAGGAUACACCAGUAAAAGUAACCCAGAAUGAAAAUGGAUAUAUAUUUGAAUUUUCUGCACCACAAUGGGCUCCAGCCGUUGGACAGAGUUUAGUACUUUUCCAAGAAAAUGAGUGCCUUGGAGGCGGAGUUAUUUCUGAAAUCCACUAGUAAUAUAUACUAACUCAUUCCCUAUAACCUUCGAAUCAAGGAUUUUUAUCCAACCUUUUGUAAAAGAUUCAAACCAUAGCUGGUAAUUCUCUUCCAUUCCCUUCUCCUUUCCAGAUAAAGACUUUAUUGGAAAAGAUAUUACAAAGUUUUGAGUAUGAAAAAGCUGUAGGAAAUCCAAGAUAUUUACAUCUUGCUGUUUUAGCACAGGAAGCAUCUUUAAAAGGAAUACUACAUCAUAAGUACCUUUGUAGACAUCACUCUCUUUAUUCAAAAACCUAUACUUUAUCGUCGUCUUUAACUUCCCAAUAAUGCUACUCAAAAAAGCUAUCUCAGCUCUAUCAAUAUCGUAUGCAUGAUAUAUUAUUUUUUCAUUUUCAUUCCAUUGGUAUAAAGCUAAUGGAUUGAAGCCACAACCAAAAUCUAAAAUAGAUGAGACAUGUUUGAUAUUUCCAAAUACAUAAGUGUAAAAGUCAUUUAAUGUUGCGACUCUUUCAUUCGUCGAAGAAUGAAUCUUUAGUAAAUCUUCUAUUGAUAACUGCCCCUGAUUGUACUUUUUUAAUAAUUUAUCCCAAUUAGGAUAGGCAGAAUAGUAAGACCCCCAUAUUUGAUGCAAUUUCUUUUUAGAAUAAUUCUCAACUUCCUUUAAUUUAUAUUUCUUCUCAGAAAUGGAAACAACCUUUUCAACAAUAUCUGAAUCAAGGUUUUCGUACUUUUUUGAUUCAAGUAUCUUCUUAACAACAUCAUUCUUAUCCAUUUGAAAGAACCUACAAGUUAAGUAUUUGAUAGGAACUGUCAUUUCGGGUUUUUUGCGGUUUCGGGUCAAAAUUCGGGGUAUAGGAAGUAUAAACCACCUUUUUGCUCCUCAUCCGAAGUAUCUUACCUGAAAUUCCCUCACUCGUUUACCGCUCAAGCCCCAAUUUUAACUGCCGGUCCAGCCUAAACCGCUCUAAUAAGGUUCGAUUUGGCGGUAAAAUCUCUAGCCUGAUAGCUCGAGAGAUACAAACUGCCCCACCGCCCCGUUUAAAAGUUGGCAGUGUUGAGCAGUGUUGGAUUUGGGGUCGUCAGUCAAAGAGACGACUCUGUGAUGGAUCGAACAGGCUGGGAGUCAGUGGCGGCGCUCGUUCUGGUGGCAGCUCACGCUGCUUGGCGGCAUUCGCCUUGGCUGUUUUCUGUUUCAGAUGCUUGAGAAUCUGCUCAAUGACCUUCGGAUCUUCGAUGCUGGCAAUCACUUUGACGUGACCGCCGCAGUGUUCGCAGACUUCAAUAUCAAUAUUGAAGACUCGCUUGAGGCGUUGCAUCCAGGUCAUGGCGCGGUGGCGCUCUGCAGGACUCUUGUCACGCCAGUUAGUAUCGAGACCUUCCGAUUUGUCGGGCUUCUUGCCCCGCUUGGCGGGUGUUACUUGAACUCGGUGUUUGCUGUUCGGUGCAAAGACGCCGUGGAAGCGUGUGAGGUUGACUCGCGGCUUAGGUACCAACGCAGCGAGUUUGGCGAUGAAGUCCAGCGGCUCGAAGAUCACAUGGGUGGUGCCAUUGCGGUACGGAGUUUUGAGCUCGUAACGCACCUGCCCAUUGGCGGUUAAUGCCAGACGUUUUUCUGAAACCGCUGGCCGACUAAUGUAGCGACACAAGCGCUCAAGCUUAUCCCGCUGAUGCGCUUCGGCCAUCACACCGGCGUGUAGCGAGAAACCAGCAUGGUUGGCUACUCGACUGCUUGAGUCGGCUUUAUCCUCACGCCCUGGCAAGGUUUGCAGGGUGAAGACUUUGCGCCCUUGCUGGGGGCCGACGGCAAUGCGAUACGUAACCGAAGCACCAUGUAAUUGAGUCAGCGUAUCGUCUUCGCCCUCUUCCAGUGUCAACCACGUAUUCUCGGCAUCACGCUCCAAAAUCCCACGCUUUUCCAUGCAGCGAGCGAUGCGAUGGCUGAGGGUGUGAGCGAGCGUAUUCAGCUCAUCGUAAGUGGGUGCCUUGACACGAUGGAAGCGUUGCUUGCCAUAGUCAUCUUCGGCAUAGACACCAUCGAGAAACAGCAUGUGGUAGUGGACAUUGAGAUUUAGCGCGGAGCCAAAGCGUUGGAUAAGAGUCACUGAGCCAGUUUGUGCAGAGGCUUUGGUGUAACCGGCUUUUUUGAUCAGAUGAGUUGAGAGUGUACGAUAGACGAUACUCAAGACCUGGCCCAUCAGCUGGGGAUGGCGAGCCAGCAAAAAGCGUAGCUGGAAAGGAAAGCUGAGCACCCACUGGCGAAUGGGCUCCUUGGGGAAGACUUCGUCUAUCAGCAGCGCCGCACUCUCGGCCAUCCGGCGGGCACCGCAGCUAGGGCAAAAGCCGCGUCGUUUACAGCUGAAGGCGACCAGACGCUCGUGAUGACAAUCCUCGCAGCGAACCCGCAUGAAACCAUACUCCAGACGGCCACAUUGGAGGAGGUCGUUGAAUUCUUGUUGGAUGUAGCGAGGCAGGUGUUGACCUUGGGCUUCGAGUGAGGCUUUGAAGGCUGGGUAGUGCUGCUCAACCAGCUGGUAGAGCAGCGUCUGGUCGGGUUGGUGGCGUUCGUAACCGUUUGUUUGAGUGGGCGAUUGACUCGCCGUGGCGUUCCUUGCCAGCGACAUGGGUAUCCUCCGCUGAUACUGUGGUUAUGUACAGUAUCAGCGGCUUGCGUUCAGACGUCCAGUCUGGCCCUAGACAUCGCUAAAUGCUUAACCCGCAAUAGCCCUCACGAGUUGUUAUCAGCCACUACCGGUUGAGCGAGAAGGUUUUGGGUUCAGGGUGCUAUUGCUCCACCAAUCACAAUACUGAAGCCCCAACUGUUAUCAGUUGGGGCUUUUUCUUGUCUGUUUGCGGCGGUUGCGUUUUAUCGGUAGUCGUCGAGCUCUGCACCAUCCCACAUAAGAGCUUAACGGUGCGAUCUUCAACGCCAUCACACAAAACUUUCUUUUUCACGCACAGUCAACUUAUUGGAUGUUUUAUUAACAACCCAAAAGGAGAUAUUUAGCGGGCGGCCGGAAGGUGAAUGCUAGGCAUGAUCUAACCCUCGGUCUCUGGCGUCGCGACUGCGAAAUUUCGCGAGGGUUUCCGAGAAGGUGAUUGCGCUUCGCAGAUCUCCAGGCGCGUGGGUGCGGACGUAGUCAGCGCCAUUGCCGAUCGCGUGAAGUUCCGCCGCAAGGCUCGCUGGACCCAGAUCCUUUACAGGAAGGCCAACGGUGGCGCCCAAGAAGGAUUUCCGCGACACCGAGACCAAUAGCGGAAGCCCCAACGCCGACUUCAGCUUUUGAAGGUUCGACAGCACGUGCAGCGAUGUUUCCGGUGCGGGGCUCAAGAAAAAUCCCAUCCCCGGAUCGAGGAUGAGCCGGUCGGCAGCGACCCCGCUCCGUCGCAAGGCGGAAACCCGCGCCUCGAAGAACCGCACAAUCUCGUCGAGCGCGUCUUCGGGUCGAAGGUGACCGGUGCGGGUGGCGAUGCCAUCCCGCUGCGCUGAGUGCAUAACCACCAGCCUGCAGUCCGCCUCAGCAAUAUCGGGAUAGAGCGCAGGGUCAGGAAAUCCUUGGAUAUCGUUCAGGUAGCCCACGCCGCGCUUGAGCGCAUAGCGCUGGGUUUCCGGUUGGAAGCUGUCGAUUGAAACACGGUGCAUCUGAUCGGACAGGGCGUCUAAGAGCGGCGCAAUACGUCUGAUCUCAUCGGCCGGCGAUACAGGCCUCGCGUCCGGAUGGCUGGCGGCCGGUCCGACAUCCACGACGUCUGAUCCGACUCGCAGCAUUUCGAUCGCCGCGGUGACAGCGCCGGCGGGGUCUAGCCGCCGGCUCUCAUCGAAGAAGGAGUCCUCGGUGAGAUUCAGAAUGCCGAACACCGUCACCAUGGCGUCGGCCUCCGCAGCGACUUCCACGAUGGGGAUCGGGCGAGCAAAAAGGCAGCAAUUAUGAGCCCCAUACCUACAAAGCCCCACGCAUCAAGCUUUUGCCCAUGAAGCAACCAGGCAAUGGCUGUAAUUAUGACGACGCCGAGUCCCGACCAGACUGCAUAAGCAACACCGACAGGGAUGGAUUUCAGAACCAGACGCAGCCGCAGGCGCCGGAAACUAAACCGAUGUCUGUAGGGUUACCGCUGGAUCUGCGUGAAUUCCAGCAGCAGCAAGAGAAAGACUUUCUACAAACCAGCUUACAGCAGGCAAAAUUUAACCAGAAAAAAGCCGCUGAAUUACUGGGUCUGACUUACCAUCAGCUUCGCGCUUUGCUGAAAAAACACCAGAUUUAACGCACAUUUGCAGAUGUUAUAUUGGCGGAUUUGACGCAUAACCUCAUCAGGGUUUACCAUGACGCCAUUACUGUAUAAAAAAACAGGCACAAAAUAUGGCUCUGGCACUCGUUGGCGAAAAAAUUAACAGAAACCGCUUCACCGGUGAGAAAAUUGAAAAUAGUACAUUUUUUAACUGUGAUUUUUCAGGUGCCGACCUGAGCGGCACUGAAUUUAUCGGCUGUCAGUUCUAUGAUCGUGAAAGCCAGAAAGGGUGCAAUUUUAGUCGUGCGAUGCUGAAAGAUGCCAUUUUUAAAAGCUGUGAUUUAUCCAUGGCGGAUUUUCGCAAUGCCAGUGCGCUUGGCAUUGAAAUUAGCCACUGUCGUGCGCAAGGCGCAGAUUUUCGCGGCGCAAGUUUUAUGAAUAUGAUCACUACUCGCACCUGGUUUUGCAGUGCAUAUAUCACUAACACAAAUCUAAGCUACGCCAAUUUUUCGAAAGUCGUGUUGGAAAAGUGUGAGCUGUGGGAAAACCGUUGGAUGGGGGCCCAGGUACUGGGCGCGACGUUCAGUGGUUCAGAUCUCUCCGGCGGCGAGUUUUCGACUUUCGACUGGCGAGCAGCAAACUUCACACAUUGCGAUCUGACCAAUUCGGAGUUGGGUGACUUAGAUAUUCGGCGCGUUGAUUUACAAGGCGUUAAGUUGGACAACUACCAGGCAUCGUUGCUCAUGGAACGUCUUGGCAUCGCGAUUAUUGGCUAGUCUUCAGGGAGCGGUGAAUAUUCCGCCCCCUGCACAGCUUUUUACCCUUCAGGCAUCGCUGAAGAGUGGUGUGUGGAAAUUUUCCACUCUUUACCGUCCCAUGCAUAAGUGAAUGUGUAGCGGGCUGAAACCGUUGAUUUGUCCGCGAAGGUAAAUGUGUAGGUACCGGUGUCUAUCGCCUUAUUACACCCCAGGCGAAUGGUACGCAUGUCAAUUUUCCCGGUCGGCUUUUUCGCAAGAAAAUGCUCGAAAUAAUCAACACGUUCAGCGUCCGUUAAACGCGCUUUAUUGGAUACAGUAGGCAACAAUACCGCAUCGCUAAGAUAAUUUUCAGAUACCGUCUGCGCGUUACCUGUUUUCAAUGACUCGUUCCACUUAUCAAAUAGCGCUUCGAUUUGCGCUUUAUUCACCUUCACACAGUCUGGAGUCGACGCUGCAAAAACGGCUCCAGGCAAUAGGGCAAGUGAAACAACAAGGCUCAGUAAUUUAUUCAUACAAUUCAUUCCAUUAGAAGUUAAAUGGCAACAGAAAACCGUUCAUAACCAGGAUCAAAGCCAAAAUGCAUUUAAUAACCAAUGGAAAUCAUCACCAUAAAUGGGUGAGAAGAUUAAGAUGCCAUGAAGAAAAAAUGGAAUUAACAUAUUGAAAUAAUUAUAGAUACUUUAGCUAUUACAACUCACAUAACGUGUACUGCUUCCUGAAUGAUUAUAGUUCAGCAUUGAUAGUGACACUCUAAAUGCUCGCUCCACACUUCGUUAUCGAUGCCAUACUCCAUCUUCCGAGCACACACUGAUAUCAAUCAGUAAACAACGACAGGUACGCCCCCACGUUUAUAGCAAGUCAGAUGGGCCAUGAAAAUGCUAAGAUAGUUAACAGAGUAGAUUCAAAGUGGAUAGCAGGUAUGAAUUUUGACCAUGUCGCGGUGUUGAACUCGCGCUUAUCGAGCCUGUUACUCCCAAAAACAAACGGUAAUGGCAAAUGUCAUUAAGUAUUAGUAAGAUAGCCUCUUUAUAUAAUCCAUUAAAAUUAUGCGCCUGGUUUUAUCAUCUCUGAUCGUGAUGGCUGGAUUUCUGAGUGGUCAGGCUGCUGCUGCGCCUGAGCAAGCUCCGCACGCUGAUAUCCGUGACAGUGGGUUUGUCUAUUGCGUCAGCGGGCAAGUCAAUACGUUCAACCCACAAAAAACGAGCAGCGGUCUCAUCGUCGAUACGUUAGCGGCCCAAUUGUAUGACCGACUGCUUGAUGUAGAUCCCUACACCUAUCGGCUGGUGCCUGAGCUUGCUGAAAGCUGGGAGGUGCUGGAUAACGGCGCAACCUACCGCUUCCAUCUGCGUCGUGACGUUCAGUUUCAGAAGACGGCCUGGUUCACCCCCACCCGCAAACUGAAUGCAGACGAUGUGGUGUUUACCUUCGAGCGCAUCUUUGAUCGCCACCAUCCGUGGCACAAUGUGAACGGCAGCAGUUUCCCCUACUUCGACAGCCUGCAGUUUGCCGAUAACGUCCAAAGCGUGCGCAAACUGGACAACAACACCGUUGAAUUCCGCUUAACGCAACCGGAUGCCUCCUUUAUGGGGUAUAGGAAGUAUAAACCACCUUUUUGCUCCUCAUCCGAAGUAUCUUACCUGAAAUUCCCUCACUCGUUUACCGCUCAAGCCCCAAUUUUAACUGCCGGUCCAGCCUAAACCGCUCUAAUAAGGUUCGAUUUGGCGGUAAAAUCUCUAGCCUGAUAGCUCGAGAGAUACAAACUGCCCCACCGCCCCGUUUAAAAGUUGGCAGUGUUGAGCAGUGUUGGAUUUGGGGUCGUCAGUCAAAGAGACGACUCUGUGAUGGAUCGAACAGGCUGGGAGUCAGUGGCGGCGCUCGUUCUGGUGGCAGCUCACGCUGCUUGGCGGCAUUCGCCUUGGCUGUUUUCUGUUUCAGAUGCUUGAGAAUCUGCUCAAUGACCUUCGGAUCUUCGAUGCUGGCAAUCACUUUGACGUGACCGCCGCAGUGUUCGCAGACUUCAAUAUCAAUAUUGAAGACUCGCUUGAGGCGUUGCAUCCAGGUCAUGGCGCGGUGGCGCUCUGCAGGACUCUUGUCACGCCAGUUAGUAUCGAGACCUUCCGAUUUGUCGGGCUUCUUGCCCCGCUUGGCGGGUGUUACUUGAACUCGGUGUUUGCUGUUCGGUGCAAAGACGCCGUGGAAGCGUGUGAGGUUGACUCGCGGCUUAGGUACCAACGCAGCGAGUUUGGCGAUGAAGUCCAGCGGCUCGAAGAUCACAUGGGUGGUGCCAUUGCGGUACGGAGUUUUGAGCUCGUAACGCACCUGCCCAUUGGCGGUUAAUGCCAGACGUUUUUCUGAAACCGCUGGCCGACUAAUGUAGCGACACAAGCGCUCAAGCUUAUCCCGCUGAUGCGCUUCGGCCAUCACACCGGCGUGUAGCGAGAAACCAGCAUGGUUGGCUACUCGACUGCUUGAGUCGGCUUUAUCCUCACGCCCUGGCAAGGUUUGCAGGGUGAAGACUUUGCGCCCUUGCUGGGGGCCGACGGCAAUGCGAUACGUAACCGAAGCACCAUGUAAUUGAGUCAGCGUAUCGUCUUCGCCCUCUUCCAGUGUCAACCACGUAUUCUCGGCAUCACGCUCCAAAAUCCCACGCUUUUCCAUGCAGCGAGCGAUGCGAUGGCUGAGGGUGUGAGCGAGCGUAUUCAGCUCAUCGUAAGUGGGUGCCUUGACACGAUGGAAGCGUUGCUUGCCAUAGUCAUCUUCGGCAUAGACACCAUCGAGAAACAGCAUGUGGUAGUGGACAUUGAGAUUUAGCGCGGAGCCAAAGCGUUGGAUAAGAGUCACUGAGCCAGUUUGUGCAGAGGCUUUGGUGUAACCGGCUUUUUUGAUCAGAUGAGUUGAGAGUGUACGAUAGACGAUACUCAAGACCUGGCCCAUCAGCUGGGGAUGGCGAGCCAGCAAAAAGCGUAGCUGGAAAGGAAAGCUGAGCACCCACUGGCGAAUGGGCUCCUUGGGGAAGACUUCGUCUAUCAGCAGCGCCGCACUCUCGGCCAUCCGGCGGGCACCGCAGCUAGGGCAAAAGCCGCGUCGUUUACAGCUGAAGGCGACCAGACGCUCGUGAUGACAAUCCUCGCAGCGAACCCGCAUGAAACCAUACUCCAGACGGCCACAUUGGAGGAGGUCGUUGAAUUCUUGUUGGAUGUAGCGAGGCAGGUGUUGACCUUGGGCUUCGAGUGAGGCUUUGAAGGCUGGGUAGUGCUGCUCAACCAGCUGGUAGAGCAGCGUCUGGUCGGGUUGGUGGCGUUCGUAACCGUUUGUUUGAGUGGGCGAUUGACUCGCCGUGGCGUUCCUUGCCAGCGACAUGGGUAUCCUCCGCUGAUACUGUGGUUAUGUACAGUAUCAGCGGCUUGCGUUCAGACGUCCAGUCUGGCCCUAGACAUCGCUAAAUGCUUAACCCGCAAUAGCCCUCACGAGUUGUUAUCAGCCACUACCGGUUGAGCGAGAAGGUUUUGGGUUCAGGGUGCUAUUGCUCCACCAAUCACAAUACUGAAGCCCCAACUGUUAUCAGUUGGGGCUUUUUCUUGUCUGUUUGCGGCGGUUGCGUUUUAUCGGUAGUCGUCGAGCUCUGCACCAUCCCACAUAAGAGCUUAACGGUGCGAUCUUCAACGCCAUCACACAAAACUUUCUUUUUCACGCACAGUCAACUUAUUGGAUGUUUUAUUAACAACCCAAAAGGAGAUAUUUAGCGGGCGGCCGGAAGGUGAAUGCUAGGCAUGAUCUAACCCUCGGUCUCUGGCGUCGCGACUGCGAAAUUUCGCGAGGGUUUCCGAGAAGGUGAUUGCGCUUCGCAGAUCUCCAGGCGCGUGGGUGCGGACGUAGUCAGCGCCAUUGCCGAUCGCGUGAAGUUCCGCCGCAAGGCUCGCUGGACCCAGAUCCUUUACAGGAAGGCCAACGGUGGCGCCCAAGAAGGAUUUCCGCGACACCGAGACCAAUAGCGGAAGCCCCAACGCCGACUUCAGCUUUUGAAGGUUCGACAGCACGUGCAGCGAUGUUUCCGGUGCGGGGCUCAAGAAAAAUCCCAUCCCCGGAUCGAGGAUGAGCCGGUCGGCAGCGACCCCGCUCCGUCGCAAGGCGGAAACCCGCGCCUCGAAGAACCGCACAAUCUCGUCGAGCGCGUCUUCGGGUCGAAGGUGACCGGUGCGGGUGGCGAUGCCAUCCCGCUGCGCUGAGUGCAUAACCACCAGCCUGCAGUCCGCCUCAGCAAUAUCGGGAUAGAGCGCAGGGUCAGGAAAUCCUUGGAUAUCGUUCAGGUAGCCCACGCCGCGCUUGAGCGCAUAGCGCUGGGUUUCCGGUUGGAAGCUGUCGAUUGAAACACGGUGCAUCUGAUCGGACAGGGCGUCUAAGAGCGGCGCAAUACGUCUGAUCUCAUCGGCCGGCGAUACAGGCCUCGCGUCCGGAUGGCUGGCGGCCGGUCCGACAUCCACGACGUCUGAUCCGACUCGCAGCAUUUCGAUCGCCGCGGUGACAGCGCCGGCGGGGUCUAGCCGCCGGCUCUCAUCGAAGAAGGAGUCCUCGGUGAGAUUCAGAAUGCCGAACACCGUCACCAUGGCGUCGGCCUCCGCAGCGACUUCCACGAUGGGGAUCGGGCGAGCAAAAAGGCAGCAAUUAUGAGCCCCAUACCUACAAAGCCCCACGCAUCAAGCUUUUGCCCAUGAAGCAACCAGGCAAUGGCUGUAAUUAUGACGACGCCGAGUCCCGACCAGACUGCAUAAGCAACACCGACAGGGAUGGAUUUCAGAACCAGAGAAAGAAAAUAAAAUGCGAUGCCAUAACCGAUUAUGACAACGGCGGAAGGGGCAAGCUUAGUAAAGCCCUCGCUAGAUUUUAAUGCGGAUGUUGCGAUUACUUCGCCAACUAUUGCGAUAACAAGAAAAAGCCAGCCUUUCAUGAUAUAUCUCCCAAUUUGUGUAGGGCUUAUUAUGCACGCUUAAAAAUAAUAAAAGCAGACUUGACCUGAUAGUUUGGCUGUGAGCAAUUAUGUGCUUAGUGCAUCUAACGCCUGAAAUAAGCCGUGCCGCGAAGCGGCAUCGGCUUGAUUGAAUUGUGUACGCCCAGCAUGGGCAUGAACUAAUGAGGUGAAAGUCCUCUGUAGGAAGGUCACCGUUCGAUAACAUGCUGUUAUUAAACGUUAACUACUAGCGAAUGGCAAGGGCUUACCCGUGAGGGGCGGUCUGAAGGAAGCCGCUAGCAAAUUUGCGAGCUGAUGAACAAGAACAUCAUAUGAGGCGUAGGCUGAAGGUGAGUUGGCACAAGACGACGAAACCACGUGAUCUAACGGCCACCGUAAAUGAUGCAGCAGUGCAAAGAAAGUUCAUGUCCUUAUCUGGGGAGAUCUGCUUAGCAUGCGAUCGGUCAUUAACCAGUAAGGCUCUGGUCUACAAGUGUCUUGGCUUUUCAAUUUCAUCAACUGGAAAGAGCGAAUUAGAUGAAAACCGAUAGCGCAUGACGGGGCAACUCGGCAUGUGAUUAAGCAGAAGUCAGCAGACGGCAUAGUAGCCCAACGCCUAUCGUAAUGGAUGGGAUAUGGUGAAGGCCUGAACAUUUAGAAGAAGGAGGAGUCUUGCCAAACUUGUCGGUACUCACUACGUCGUCAGACGAUUACUAUCAACAGCGUAUUAGCCCGCAACCAGCCUUCAACAGCAAUCUAUUUCCGCAACUACUCGAACCUGAGAAUCUACACCGAGCUUGGCGACAAGUGAAAGCCAAUAAAGGCGCGUCGGGUAUCGAUGGCAUGACCAUCGAAGCCUUCCCGCGCUGGAUGCAACAAGGCGGCUGGCAACAGUGUAAAUCUCAGCUUGAGCGAGGAGAAUAUCAACCCUCAGCGGUCAGGCGCGUGGAGAUCGAUAAACCCGAUGGCGGUAAACGCAAAUUGGGGAUCCCCACCGUGAUUGAUCGUGUGAUACAACAAGCAAUCGCUCAGAUACUCACGCCGUUGUUUGACCCCUACUUUUCAGUCAAUAGCUUCGGCUUUAGGCCGAACAGAAACGCCCAGCAGGCGGUACUACAAGUCAGGAAUAUCAUCAAACAGAAGCGCAAAUUUGCCGUUGAUGUUGAUCUGUCCAAGUUCUUUGACCGCGUCAACCACGAUCUGUUGAUGACUCAGUUAAGGAGUAAGGUGCAGGAUAAGCGUCUGCUAGCGCUUAUUGGCAAAUACCUGCGAGCGGGCGUCAUGGUCAACGACCAAUUUGAAGCAAGCUUCGAAGGUGUACCUCAGGGCGGCCCACUCUCACCCUUAUUAUCAAACAUCAUGCUGGAUAGUUUGGAUAAAGAAUUGGAAAGCCGAGGACAUCACUUCGCCCGCUACGCUGAUGACUUUAUCAUCUUGGUGAAGUCUCAACGGGCGGGAGAACGUGUUCUCAAGAGUAUUACUCAUUAUCUUGGUACGAAGCUAAAACUGAUCGUUAACGAGCAUAAAAGCCAAGUAGUUAAGGUAGGUCAAAGCAAGUUCCUUGGCUUCACCUUUAACCGAGGAAAGAUCCAAUGGCAUGCCAACACGUUGCACGUUUUCAAACAAAAGAUACGACGACUGACGAACCGCAAUUGGGGAGUCAGCAUGAGCUAUCAACUGUUUAAACUGCGGCAAUAUAUGCAAGGUUGGAUCAAUUACUUUGGCAUAGCCAACGCUUAUCAAGGUUGCGUCGAUUUAGACCACUGGAUCCGUCGCCGAGUGCGUAUGUGCUACUGGCGUCAGUGGCGAAAACCACGGACUAAGGUGCAGAACCUACUUAAACGAGGUGUCAGGAUCCAAGCUGCCGUUGCUUGUGGACUCACAAGUAAAGGCCCUUGGCGUAGUUCGAAAACGCCAGGCAUACAGCAAGCGCUGAGUAACGAGUACCUAGAGAAAGCUGGAUUGUAUUCACUAAGAGAUGGAUGGAUUGCAGUUCAUUAUCCUAGCCAAAUAACAGGUUAGGAGUUCUAAAUGAACCGCCCUGUGCGGAGCCGCAUGCAGGGUGGUGUGGGGGCUGGAGGCUAGAUACCUCCGGCUACCCGAUUAGAAAUUUAGUUGCUUAGUUUUGAUGGUUUUUUACUUUCGUUUAACCCUUUAACCGCCUGCUCUAAUGUAAGUUUCAAGAGUGAUGCGUCUCCAGCUUCACUGUGACUUGGAACAACCAGUUUUGCCUUACCAUAUUUGGAUAUUAAUAAUUUAGCGGACUUUGGCCAAGCUUCUAAAUUUGCGUCACCCAAAUUACCUAGACCGUACGGUUUAAUAAAACAACCACCGAAUAAUAUUUUCCUUUCAGGCAGCCAAACUACUAGGUUAUCUGGAGUGUGUCCUGGGCCUGGAUAAAAAACUUCAAUUUUAUUUUUAACUAGCCAAUAGUUAACCCCGCCAAAUGAAUUUUUAGCUUGAACCUUACCGUCUUUUUUAAGCAGCUCAUUAGUUAAUUCAGACGCAUACGUGGGGAUGGAUUGAGAAUUAAGCCACUCUAUUCCGCCCGUGCUGUCACUAUGAAAAUGAGAGGAAAUACUGCCUUUUAUUUUAUAGCCACGUUCCACAAACCAAGUGACUAACUUUUCAGUAUCUUUAGCCGUAAAUGGAGUGUCAAUUAGAUAAGCUUCAGCAUCUACAAGAACAACCAAACCAUGUUUAGGAACAACGCCCCACCCGUUAACUUCUUCAAACGAAGUAUGAACAUAAACGCCUUCAUCAAGUUUUUCAAUUUUUAAAUCUGGCAAAGGCUCUGCUGCGGUAGCAAUGCUACAAAACAAAAAUAUAAAGAAUACAGAUAACUUGCUCAUACUUUCCCUUUUCUAACUUUGUUUUAGGGCGACUGCCCUGCUGCGUAACAUCGUUGCUGCUCCAUAACAUCAAACAUCGACCCACGGCGUAACGCGCUUGCUGCUUGGAUGCCCGAGGCAUAGACUGUACAAAAAAACAGUCAUAACAAGCCAUGAAAACCGCCACUGCGCCGUUACCACCGCUGCGUUCGGUCAAGGUUCUGGACCAGUUGCGUGAGCGCAUACGCUACUUGCAUUACAGCUUACCAACCGAACAGGCUUAUGUCCACUGGGUUCGUGCCUUCAUCCGUUUCCACGGUGUGCGUCACCCGGCAACCUUGGGCAGCAGCGAAGUCGAGGCAUUUCUGUCCUGGCUGGCGAACGAGCGCAAGGUUUCGGUCUCCACGCAUCGUCAGGCAUUGGCGGCCUUGCUGUUCUUCUACGGCAAGGUGCUGUGCACGGAUCUGCCCUGGCUUCAGGAGAUCGGAAGACCUCGGCCGUCGCGGCGCUUGCCGGUGGUGCUGACCCCGGAUGAAGUGGUUCGCAUCCUCGGUUUUCUGGAAGGCGAGCAUCGUUUGUUCGCCCAGCUUCUGUAUGGAACGGGCAUGCGGAUCAGUGAGGGUUUGCAACUGCGGGUCAAGGAUCUGGAUUUCGAUCACGGCACGAUCAUCGUGCGGGAGGGCAAGGGCUCCAAGGAUCGGGCCUUGAUGUUACCCGAGAGCUUGGCACCCAGCCUGCGCGAGCAGCUGUCGCGUGCACGGGCAUGGUGGCUGAAGGACCAGGCCGAGGGCCGCAGCGGCGUUGCGCUUCCCGACGCCCUUGAGCGGAAGUAUCCGCGCGCCGGGCAUUCCUGGCCGUGGUUCUGGGUUUUUGCGCAGCACACGCAUUCGACCGAUCCACGGAGCGGUGUCGUGCGUCGCCAUCACAUGUAUGACCAGACCUUUCAGCGCGCCUUCAAACGUGCCGUAGAACAAGCAGGCAUCACGAAGCCCGCCACACCGCACACCCUCCGCCACUCGUUCGCGACGGCCUUGCUCCGCAGCGGUUACGACAUUCGAACCGUGCAGGAUCUGCUCGGCCAUUCCGACGUCUCUACGACGAUGAUUUACACGCAUGUGCUGAAAGUUGGCGGUGCCGGAGUGCGCUCACCGCUUGAUGCGCUGCCGCCCCUCACUAGUGAGAGGUAGGGCAGCGCAAGUCAAUCCUGGCGGAUUCACUACCCCUGCGCGAAGGCCAUCGGUGCCGCAUCGAACGGCCGGUUGCGGAAAGUCCUCCCUGCGUCCGCUGAUGGCCGGCAGCAGCCCGUCGUUGCCUGAUGGAUCCAACCCCUCCGCUGCUAUAGUGCAGUCGGCUUCUGACGUUCAGUGCAGCCGUCUUCUGAAAACGACACCAUGUGCAAACGAUGUCAGAAUAGAGUUAAAUUUCCUAUUGAUUGACAUAUUCCGUCAAAGGUAAUAGAUUUCAUCCUGACACUUUUGCCUUUGGAGGCAUCUUGCAAGGUCAACGCAUCGGCUAUGUCCGCGUCAGCAGCUUCGACCAGAACCCGGAACGGCAAUUGGAGGGUGUUCAGGUGGCGCGGGUGUUCACCGACAAGGCUUCUGGCAAGGACACCCAGCGUCCCGAGCUGGAAAGGCUGCUGGCCUUCGUCCGCGAGGGCGACACCGUGGUGGUGCAUAGCAUGGACAGGCUGGCACGCAACCUUGAUGACCUGCGCCGCAUCGUCCAAGGGCUGACACAACGGGGCGUGCGCAUGGAGUUCGUCAAAGAAGGGCUGAAGUUCACCGGCGAGGACUCACCGAUGGCCAAUCUGAUGCUGUCGGUCAUGGGAGCCUUCGCUGAGUUCGAGCGCGCCCUGAUCCGCGAACGUCAGCGCGAGGGAAUCGUGCUGGCCAAGCAGCGCGGUGCCUACCGGGGACGAAAGAAAUCGCUGAACAGCGAACAAAUUGCCGAGUUGAAACGGCGAGUUGCGGCAGGCGACCAAAAAACCUUGGUGGCCCGUGACUUCGGCAUCAGCCGCGAAACCUUGUACCAGUACCUGCGGGAAGACUGACCAUGCCACGCCGCUCAAUCCUGUCCGCCACCGAGCGCGAAAGCCUGCUGGCACUGCCAGAUGCCAAAGACGAACUGAUACGGCACUACACGUUCAACGAAACCGACCUGUCGGUGAUCCGUCAGCGUCGCGGCGCCGCGAAUCGAUUGGGCUUCGCUGUGCAGCUUUGCUACUUGCGAUUCCCUGGCACCUUUUUGGGCGUCGAUGAGCCUCCGUUUCCGCCCCUGUUGCGCAUGGUGGCCGCGCAACUCAAGAUGCCAGUGGAAAGUUGGAGCGAGUACGGCCAGCGCGAACAGACACGGCGGGAGCACUUGGUCGAGCUGCAAACGGUUUUUGGGUUCAAGCCCUUCACCAUGAGCCACUAUCGGCAAGCCGUGCAUACAUUGACCGAGCUGGCCUUGCAGACCGACAAAGGCAUCGUGCUGGCGAGCGCACUUGUCGAGAAUCUGCGGCGGCAGAGCAUUAUCCUGCCCGCCAUGAAUGCCAUCGAGCGCGCAAGCGCCGAGGCCAUCACCCGUGCCAACCGACGCAUUUACGCGGCGCUGACCGAUUCUUUGUUAUCACCCCACCGUCAGCGCCUGGACGAACUUCUCAAGCGCAAGGACGGCAGUAAAGUGACGUGGCUGGCAUGGCUGCGCCAGUCGCCUGCCAAACCGAACUCUCGCCACAUGCUCGAACAUAUUGAGCGCCUGAAAUCCUGGCAAGCACUUGAUCUGCCCGCAGGCAUCGAGCGGCAGGUUCACCAGAACCGCCUGCUCAAAAUCGCUCGUGAAGGUGGCCAGAUGACGCCUGCUGAUCUGGCAAAGUUCGAGGUGCAACGACGCUAUGCCACGCUGGUAGCGCUGGCCAUCGAAGGCAUGGCCACCGUCACCGAUGAAAUCAUCGACCUUCACGAUCGCAUCAUCGGCAAGCUGUUCAACGCGGCCAAGAACAAGCAUCAGCAGCAGUUCCAGGCUUCCGGCAAGGCGAUCAACGACAAGGUGCGGAUGUAUGGGCGCAUCGGUCAAGCGUUGAUUGAGGCCAAGCAAAGCGGCAGCGAUCCGUUCGCCGCCAUCGAGGCCGUUAUGCCCUGGGACACCUUCGCCGCCAGCGUCACCGAAGCGCAAACAUUGGCGCGGCCUGCCGACUUUGAUUUCCUGCAUCGCAUCGGCGAGAGCUACGCCACCCUGCGCCGCUAUGCACCGGAAUUCCUUGCCGUGCUCAAGCUGCGGGCCGCGCCCGCCGCCAAAAACGUGCUUGAUGCCAUUGAGGUGCUGCGCGGCAUGAACACCGACAACGCCCGCAAGCUGCCAGCCGAUGCACCGACCGGCUUCAUCAAGCCGCGCUGGCAGAAACUGGUGAUGACCGACGCCGGCAUCGACCGGCGCUACUACGAACUGUGCGCGCUGUCCGAGUUGAAGAACUCCCUGCGCUCGGGCGACAUCUGGGUGCAGGGUUCACGCCAGUUCAAGGACUUCGAGGACUACCUGGUACCGCCCGAGAAGUUCACCAGCCUCAAGCAGUCCAGCGAAUUGCCGCUGGCCGUGGCCACCGACUGCGAACAAUAUCUGCAUGAGCGGCUGACGCUGCUGGAAGCACAACUUGCCACCGUCAACCGCAUGGCGGCAGCCAACGACCUGCCGGAUGCCAUCAUCACCGAGUCGGGCUUGAAGAUCACGCCGCUGGAUGCGGCGGUGCCCGACACCGCGCAGGCGCUGAUAGACCAGACAGCCAUGGUCCUGCCGCACGUCAAGAUCACCGAACUGCUGCUCGAAGUCGAUGAGUGGACGGGCUUCACCCGGCACUUCACGCACUUGAAAUCGGGCGAUCUGGCCAAGGACAAGAACCUGUUGUUGACCACGAUCCUGGCCGACGCGAUCAACCUGGGCCUGACCAAGAUGGCCGAGUCCUGCCCCGGCACCACCUACGCCAAGCUGUCUUGGCUGCAAGCCUGGCACAUCCGCGAUGAAACCUAUUCGACGGCGCUGGCCGAGCUGGUGAAUGCGCAGUUUCGGCAACCCUUCGCCGGCAACUGGGGUGACGGCACCACGUCAUCGUCGGACGGCCAGAACUUCAGAACCGGCAGCAAAGCAGAAAGCACUGGUCAUAUCAACCCGAAGUAUGGAAGCAGUCCAGGACGGACUUUCUACACCCAUAUCUCCGACCAGUACGCGCCCUUCAGUGCCAAGGUGGUCAACGUGGGCAUUCGUGAUUCAACUUACGUGCUUGAUGGCCUGCUGUACCACGAGUCGGACUUGCGCAUCGAGGAACACUACACCGACACGGCAGGCUUCACCGAUCACGUGUUUGGCUUGAUGCAUUUGCUGGGAUUUCGCUUCGCGCCGCGUAUCCGUGACUUGGGCGAAACCAAGCUAUUCAUCCCCAAGGGCGAUGCCGCCUAUGACGCGCUCAAGCCGAUGAUUAGCAGCGACAGGCUGAACAUCAAGCAAAUACGCGCCCAUUGGGAUGAAAUUCUGCGGCUGGCCACCUCCAUCAAGCAAGGCACGGUAACGGCUUCGCUGAUGCUGCGCAAACUCGGCAGCUACCCGCGCCAGAACGGCUUGGCCGUGGCGUUGCGCGAGCUGGGGCGCAUCGAGCGCACGCUGUUCAUUUUGGAUUGGCUGCAAAGCGUGGAGCUGCGCCGCCGCGUCCAUGCGGGGCUGAAUAAGGGCGAGGCGCGCAACGCGCUGGCCAGGGCGGUCUUCUUCUACCGAUUGGGUGAAAUCCGCGACCGCAGUUUUGAGCAGCAGCGCUACCGGGCCAGCGGCCUCAAUCUGGUGACGGCGGCCAUCGUGUUGUGGAACACGGUAUAUCUGGAGCGUGCCACCAGUGCUUUGCGUGGCAACGGCACGGCGCUGGACGACACAUUGUUGCAAUAUCUGUCGCCGCUGGGGUGGGAGCACAUCAACCUGACCGGCGAUUACCUAUGGCGCAGCAGCGCCAAGGUCGGUGCGGGGAAGUUUAGGCCAUUGCGACCGCUGCCACCGGCUUAGCGUGCUUUAUUUAAUGAGAUGGUCACUCCCUCCUUCCCAGUACUAUGCUGAGGACAGGCUUUCAUUCGGAGAACCAUCAUGGAAAACAUUGCGCUUAUUGGUAUCGAUCUGGGUAAGAACUCUUUCCAUAUUCAUUGUCAGGAUCAUCGUGGGAAGGCCGUUUACCGUAAAAAAUUCACCCGACCAAAGCUAAUCGAAUUUCUGGCGACAUGCCCGGCAACAACCAUCGCGAUGGAAGCCUGUGGCGGUUCUCACUUUAUGGCACGCAAGCUGGCAGAGUUAGGGCAUUUUCCAAAGCUGAUAUCACCGCAAUUUGUCCGCCCAUUCGUUAAAAGCAACAAAAAUGACUUCGUUGAUGCUGAAGCUAUCUGUGAAGCAGCAUCACGUCCAUCUAUGCGUUUCGUGCAGCCCAGAACCGAAUCUCAGCAGGCAAUGCGAGCUCUGCAUCGUGUCCGUGAAUCCCUGGUUCAGGAUAAGGUGAAAACAACUAAUCAGAUGCAUGCUUUUCUGCUGGAAUUUGGUAUCAGCGUUCCGCGAGGUGCUGCCGUUAUUAGUCGACUGAGUACCCUUCUUGAGGACAGUAGUUUGCCUCUUUAUCUCAGCCAGUUACUGCUGAAAUUACAACAGCAUUAUCACUAUCUUGUUGAGCAGAUUAAAGAUCUGGAAUCUCAGUUGAAACGAAAGUUGGACGAAGAUGAGGUUGGACAGCGCUUGCUGAGUAUUCCCUGCGUUGGAACGCUGACUGCCAGUACUAUUUCAACUGAGAUUGGCGACGGGAAGCAGUACGCCAGCAGCCGUGACUUUGCGGCGGCAACAGGGCUGGUACCCCGACAGUACAGCACGGGAGGUCGGACGACAUUGUUAGGGAUUAGCAAGCGGGGCAACAAAAAGAUCCGAACUUUGUUGGUUCAGUGUGCCAGGGUAUUCAUACAAAAACUGGAACACCAGUCUGGCAAGUUGGCCGACUGGGUCAGGGAGUUGUUGUGUCGGAAAAGCAACUUUGUCGUCACCUGUGCUCUGGCAAACAAGCUGGCCAGAAUAGCCUGGGCACUGACGGCGCGACAGCAAACUUACGAAGCAUAAAGGCAGAAAUACACCAGUUUAAACAAUCAUUCAUCUGGUUUUGCGAAUACUAAUAUUGAUGAUACUAACGGCCCACCGGCCUGUUGAGGAACCUGUAAAACGGAAAGGCUCAUUGAAGCCGUAUAUUUUCUGGAGGUUCAUCAGGCGCGGAACUCAUCGAGGCGCGGGAAUAAAAUCCCAUUCAGACGCCGGAUAGAUUCAAGCAAGCCAACUUGUCGUCAAAAUCGGUGUUGCAAAAACGGGAGUGACCAUAGAUUCCGUUUUCUGAGACGACCCCUUUCAGCACAAUCGGAAAAAGAGAAGCGUGAGAACAGCCGGGUAUUCACAUUCAGAGAGACCGGAUUUCUGAAAAUUUAUCCAUGGUUCGUUUUUUAUCGAUACGUGCCUGCCGCCACGCCUGAAAGUCCGGGCGUGUUUCAGCCAUCCUGACGACCUCGACAGAGAAAACCUUAUAUUUGCCCUGCUGCUGGGGCGAGCCAAGCCAGCGGCGAAUGGCGGCGUCUGUCCACAGACAGGAGUUCUUAAGCCUGUAGACGGUGAUCCAUUUUUCUGACCAUGCAUCAAAUCUCUGGCAACGCAGCUGAUACCGUCGCUCUUCUUCCCGUCUUUUCCAGUCGCUGUCUGCAGCAAACUUUCGGUGACCAACAAAAAUCCCCUGGACUUUGCCCAUGUCCUGCCUCCCCCGGAAUGUUGUCAUUAUCAACGGUAUCAGGUCAGAGCCGUAACGGCCAGCAGUGCCAGGCAGAAUACACCGGACGGCAUCUUACCCGGAGAGGUGUCUACUGUAUGCGACAAAGUGGUCAACCCCGGAGAUGGCCAUCUCCACAAUUUCUGAAUGUCAGCAUGACCAUCAGUGAUAAUACAGCAAACGUAAGACAACAUACCUCCCGCCCUGCAAAGCAUUUGCUCCGCAGCGCCACGCUCUGCGUGGGUCACGACUGUGCACAUUAUCGACAUAUUCUUUUUUUCUUUUUUUUUAUUUUUUCUCUUUUUUUCACCCGCGCGGGGAGGGCGGCCUGGCACCGUAAAGGGCCUAAGGCCUAGAGGCAUGUUGUCUUACGAUUGGGUGCGGUUGUCGGCCACUCCCUUUUCGAUGAUUGUUUCGCCUGAACUCACGCUUUAACAUCCAUCGCUGGUGGCCCGCCGUCACGGCGAAAUUUCUAACUGAGCGAGGUUUGUGUGAGCAACAGAGGCAGAGAAGACAGCGUUACCGAUGUGUUUAAAUCUCAGGUGCGGAAUGCAUGCCGUGAACACGGAAUGAGUGAUCUCAUUGCCUCACUGAACGGCCGCGACCGGGAUUUUAAUGCCGAUACCCUGUUCGGAGUAUGCGACCGGUUCUUCCUGGUCGAGAUGAAAUCGUACAACCGUAAUGUUCGUGAUGAGGCCAAAAAACCUGCUGUCUGCCUUCUCUGCAAUGGAUUACAGAGAAACUCUCAGGUCCGUCGCUGGCACAAAGCAUGUCACUUCAUCAUGUGGGGGCGUGUUGUUAAGGAUUCGCUUGAAACCCGUUUCACCAUCUACCAGGACAGUGUAUGUCGGGAUUCUGUCCUUCCGAACUGCAGUGGUCUCGGGGAGCCUCCUGAACCAACCAUCUAUCGGGGGGAAGACCUGGCAAGGGGAGCAGCUUUAGGUACAGCAGGCUUAUCAAAACCAGAUUUUUUCCAUUACCUGUGGUGGCUGUUAAAUGGCAGGGCUGUAGAUGUAGACGAAUUUAAAAUCGCGCCCGGUAGCAGGUUAGGUUUCAGUUUGUUUGGUACAUCGGAUACAACUGGUUCGGUAAUCAGUAAAACGUUCAGCACUUACGGUGAACUUGAAAUGUGGGCUGACGAGGCAUUAAGACGAUUACUCAGCACCAGGAGAUAACCAUCUGAAGAUAUUGCGCCGGUGUGAUCCACGUUUUUGCUGUCGGAUACAGUAGACCUUAUCCGUGCUUCAGCCAGCUCACGCGAUUUAGCGUCAGAUUCAUUAAACCCGGGUCUGCGGUACCACCGGUUAUUUUGCGUCUGAUGCCACAACAGCGUCUCCUUUGGUCCUGGACAUUAUACCUGCUUCACCCUCCCCCCCAUUUUCAGUCAGCAUGAUAUCUGCAGACUGUACUUCUCUACCGGCGAUGCGUGGUUUAAACAUUUCUGCGAUCCCCUGAUUAUUUUGGAGUUAUCCACCGGAUAGAAUAAUUAAUUAAGAUUAAUGAGGUUUAUACAAAGAACAACAAAGGAUAAAAAAGAUUAGCGAUCGGCUUAGCCCUUUAUUCAUGCGGCUUUCAGGGGUUCUGUAUCAUCGCUGGCGGGUAGCUCAUCAACGCUGGAGGGCAAAUGCUCAACGCUGGAGGGUCAGUAAUCAACGCUGGCGGGUUGUUUAUCAACGCUGGCGGGUUGUAACUAUCAACGCUAGCGGGUAUUCUCCAUAAGUAUCCACAAGCGGGGCUUUUCUCACA